rnacentral:lncRNA from 1 species
CCCAAAUCUCUACAAUCUUGCGUGGAGAAAGAAUAAGACAGUCCAUGAGGAGAUCAUUGAGCACAAUUGGACUAGAGGGCUCUGGAGAAUGAAUUCAGUUACAGAAAUGGCAGAGUUUCUUUUACUGUGGGACUCAGUUCAGAACAUAACUCUAAAUGAUCAGCCUGAUGCAAUUGCCUGGAGAUGGUCUGCAAACGGAGAGUACAGUGCCAAGAUACCGUAUCUAGCUCAGUUCAGAGGAUCCUAUUGCACAUUCCAACCAGCAGCUAUUUGGAGGGCGCAAACUGAGGGCAAACACAGGUUUUUCACUUGGCUACUGCUGCAACAAAGGAUCUUAACCGCUGACAGGCUUCUUGCACGAAACUGGCCAUGCAACCCUGUCUGCCCUCUCUGCCAGGUGGAGCCUGAAACUGCUACACAUUUGUGUCUCCAAUGUCCAUUCGCGUUGCAAGUUUGGCGAAAGGUCAGUGAUUGGGCAAGUGGUAUGGUUACUGUGCCAUUGGCCGGUUCAGAGCUUCAGACAUGGUGGUGUUCAUCCAUCAAUGCGGCCGCGAAGGAAAAGAGACGAGCAACAGCAGCAGUUCUCAUUUACACGGCAUGGAAUCUAUGGAAAGAGCGUAAUAGGAGGAUUUUCGAUGGAAUUUAGUGCUCUGAGUUGCAAGUUUUCUUCUUUAUCAAAGAAGAAAUUCAACUUCGACAGAAGGCCUGUGGCACGCCGAGUGUCGACUAGGAGCAGCAUAGUGCAUCUUAGAGCUAUGAGAUCAGAGUUUAUAUUUCAUCAUGUAAUCUUAUUUAUGUAAACGGUUCACUCAUUUCUCUCUUUAUAUGAUAUGGCAGUGCUCCUGCCCCUUUACGUUUCAAAAAAAAACAGUACCACACCAGAUGAACAAGUGUGAACAAUCCAUUCGAUGGACUUGGAUAUGAAUAAUACACAAGACAAGGGGGCAUGGUGACCAUUUUCCAUAUCAUCAGUUAACAGACCUGGACCGAAAUGGCGGGAAGUGGCAAUAAAUAGUAAAUUAUUGGUACUACAGAAAAAAAAAUUCAAAAUUUCAAUUGCCAUCAAAAUGAUGCUAAUAUUCAGUAGCAUCAAAUAAAUGUAAAUAAGAAGAUAAAAAGGGUAUCAAAUUAUGAAGAUAAUUAUUUAGAUCCAUGGUACAUAAUGUGAUUCAAAUUAACUUCGGUUCCAUCCCUGAAGGGCCUUCCUCUCUAUCUACUCGGCAAAACCUAGCUAAUAAGAUGAGGUCAUGAGAGGCUGCUCUUUAAAAAAAAAAUUAAAAAAAAUGAGUGUGUUUUCAACCUUCAUCCCAUCCAAUUGCAAACACCACGCAGUCACAUUUUAUGGGGUGAUCGAUGAAUUUGGUCGUGAUGCAUGAUUGAUUCACACUCCACUCUUGGUUGGUGGCUUCUUGUGUCAUAUGGUAAUUAAUUACUAGUUCAUCAGUUAGUCCAUUAUCUCCAAUGUGCUUGGCAAAAGGAAAACGCAAACCAAAGGCAUGCUAAUAUGAACUGAACCUAGCUUUUGAAACAAAAUAUAUACUCCCUCUAUUCCAAAUUAUAAGUCAUUCUAACUUUCUUGGAGAGUCAAAGUAUCUCAAGUUUGACCAAAUUUAAAUAAAGUGCUAACAUUCAUGAUGCCAAAUAAGUACCAUGAGUUCCUUCAUUAAAUAUAUUUUCAUAAUAUAUCUAUUCUAUGCUAUAAAUCUUUGUGAUCUUCUCUAUAAUUUUGAUCAAACAUAAAAUGACUUAUAAUUUGGAAGAUCAAACAUAAAAUGAUUUAUAAUUUGGAACAGAGAGAGUAAGUUGUACCAGGACCAAUGCAACUCGUAAUCUAGCAUAGAUAAAUCUUUUGAUGACUCUCAGUCACAGUUGCACACAAGUUACCGAAGGUAAUUUCUCGGUCGAUUCAGAUCCCAUAAGACCAGAGAUUAAAAUAGGACAGCAUUGCAGUGCAGGUCACAAACACCCAACAAACUUCUCUCUUUCAUAUUCAUAUACGCACAAACUCUAAUUACUCUCUUCUACCGCGAACAUUCAAAGUUCAAAUAACCCCAUCUACAUCUAGCAGGUAGCCCUGUCUCUCCUAUGUGGCGUAACUAUAAGUGGCUAUGGACGCAAGCUUGAAGCCCUAUGGUGUGGCCAUCAUCAUACAACUGAUCUACACCGGCAUGUUCGUCGUCAGCAAGGCCGCCUUCGACCAUGACAUGAGCUCCUACGUCUUCGUCUUCUAUCGCCAGGCUGCUGGCUCUGUCCUCCUGCUACCUCUCGCCAUUCUUCUCAACAGCUAACGUACAGCCAACUACGGAGUUCUUUUCUGAAACAUACUGCGUUAAUUAAUAAAGAAGGGAAAACUGAUUGAUUCAUAGGACAAAAGCACGAUCGAUGUCAUUUAUGGUGCUCUUGAAGCUCUUCUUUUGCGCCUUGAUCGGGUAAGCAUGUUCAUAUUCAGAUCAAGAUCAGUCUGUUUGUUGACGUAACUUCUGUUUUGUUGUCUACUUACAGGGUUACCUAAAGCUUAAACCUGUACCAUGUGAGCCUCAAGUUCACCUCUGCAACCGUGGCAUCUGCCACUGACAACUCAGCGCCUGCCAUCACCUUCUUCCUGGCGCUGCUAUUGAGGUACUCCCUUUAUAUUGCUAGCAGCAGCCUUCAUUUCAACAAAGGUCAAAUAAUCCGGCGAUGUAUGGUUGAGUUAAAAUUUUCUUCUUCACUUGGCUGCAGGAUGGAACAUGUGAAGCUCAAGAGCUGGUCAGGCAUAGCCAAGCUCACCGGCGUGGCGCUCUGCCUCGCCGGAGUCCUAGUCAUCGCCUUGUACACCGGGCCGGGGCUGAGCCCCGCCAACCAUCACCGCGCCUUCCCCUCUCACGCUUCAGGGCCAUCGCCAUCAGUAGCAAAAACUCUACGACCCGGGGGAGCAUGGGUCAAAUGGACGUUCCUUAUGGUCGUUGCCAACGUGGCGUGGUCUCUCUGGAUCGUCAUGCAUGCAGGUCGGCCGCCGUUCCACUAGCGGAUGCAUGAGUAGUUGUUUAGUACAAGAUUUGUUGCUAUCCUCGCAGGUUUCAGAUCAAGAUUCUGCAUUUGAAUUUUUGUUAGUCUGCGUGCUAACAGCAGCUGUCUGCAGCCAACAACAUUGUUCCAAGUUCUGUCUUGACCUUCUUUAAUUUCUAAACGAUAUAUACCCCUCCUGUUCAACUCUUUUUUUUAAAAAAACAUUUUUAAGUUCUGACGGCAAGCAGCGGCUGAAUUGCUCCGUUCAUGCCUGUCGACUGAACGUUGCAGGCUGCAGUGCUCAAGGAGUACCCGAACAAGAUGCUCGUGACGGCGGUGCAGUGCGUGUUCAGCUCGAUGCAGUCGUUCGCCGUCGCGGCCGUCGCCAAGAGAGACUUCUCGAGGUGGAAGCUCCGGCUCGACGUCAGCUUACUCGCCAUCUUCUACUCUGUGUCAGGAUCACCUGACGGACAGUAGUUAUAUACUUUAGUGUAACCAUAUAUAUGUGGGGACAUGGAAGUCAACGAUGUCCCGGUACCGUUACCAUUAUUAAGUUAUGUAUCCGAUCACUUUUUUCCAACUUGGCAUGACUUAACCCAUCUUUUUUUCUUUGUUUCCUGAACCAAUUUUCUUUGUUGACCUAUCUAGCAGCUAUAGUCUUUGUCUCGUCCUCUCGUCUCGUCCUUGUUAAAUACUCCUACUAAGCUAAUUGGUCUACUUUUCACGUGUACUCUAUACACACGCAUACGGUGCUCAAAUUUCGUUUUGAAACUGCAUACGUAUUACUGGCUGACGUGUCCAUCAACUUGCAAUAACUUGUUUAACCCACCUGUGGCUAUAUAGCCGCGUGUAUGUAUAAUUGGACGGCCAAACACAGAAAGUACACACAGAUGGCACACUGUACGUCAUUGGAAAAAGCGGCCCUACGCAAACGGCUAUAGAAACCAUGCAUUUGCAGUGGCCGUUUCCUUGUGUUAACUGGUCUAGAAAAUGGAUUUACUGACCGGCUCCUUAGGCCGGUCUCUGAAAAAUCCAUUUAUAGGGGCUGACUGACGUAGUACGUUCGUUUAUGUAGUAGUGACAUCUAGUCAUCUGGGUCGCUAUUUAUAGUGCACUUAGUGUGAGAGUGCAUGACGAUGGAUGCAAAGGGUAGAAGGAUGAUGAAGAAGUCAUAUGCCCUGGCCAUGGUGAUUGUAAGGAUCGGUGGUCCAAGAAAGGGAUUGAAUUGGGCCUUUUUUUAAAAAAUUCUAGAAUGAGAAAAACAAACUUUAACCUGGAUAACUAGUGAUGCCCAAACCAUAAGGUUCAAACCUAUGAACUAAGCACAUUAUCAAAGAUAAAACUUAGCAAUGGCAUACUAAGAUAUAUAUAUAUAUAUAUAUAUAUAUAUAUAUAUAUGUAUGUAUGUAUAUAUAUAUAUGUAUAUAUAUAUAUGUAUAUAUAUAUAUAUGUAUAUUGUGUAACCUAGGCAAGAUAUGAGCAAAACAAACACAACAAGAACAAGAGCAAAACAAGUAAAUUGUAGGAAGUAAAUGCUCAAAGAAAGUGCUGAAAUAUAAAGAGAGAGGACACGAGACAACCGGAUUUUUUCCCGUGGUAUCAAGGAAUUGACGCUCCCCCCUAAUCCAUGUUGGAGCACCCACUAAGGGUUUUGCUCCCCCUCAAGCCACCAAGACUUGAGUGCUCACUAAGAGUGUCCCUUCUCCAUCUCCGAAACGGCGGACUUCAAACUGUGUACAAGAUCUUCCUCUUUGGGCUCCCACAAUCUCCAAGAGCUCACCAAGAACCUCCAAAUCACCAAGACCGUCUAGGUGACGUCAACCACCAAGAGUAAUAAGCCUCGAUGCUUCACUUGAUCAGCACUAAGCUCAGCCACGAACUAGAUGCACCUUAUCACUCUCAAACACUAAGAGAAGUCCUUAAUCUUGCAAAUCACAAAUCACUUUUGGCUCUAGCACACUCUCACUUGCUCAGGGGCUGCUUGAAGUCUUCAGGGUGUCAAGAGUAGCUCAGAUGACCCGGGGAAGAGGUAUAAAUAGGCUAGGCAACACUAUCUAGCCAUUGGAAAAGUGUAUAAAUAGGCUUCGCGCGUUCAGGCCGCGGGUGUUCCACACUAAAAUGUUAUAGUUGCAUUGAUCCAUGGCAAUUGCAACCCGAAAGCGUUUUGCUGAAGGAGCUUCAGUGCGCAGAGACCGCUGCUCCUGCCUGUGAUGCGAUCCUGAGCAGCUCGCCGUCAGAGAAUGCAUUUGUAGCCGGGAAUAUGUCCCUCAGCGCCGCAAAAUGCUGCGGUUGCAUUGUUGUGGCGAGGAAGCGAUCGAACUCGCCGUUCAGUGCUCGCUACGUGUCCUCUUCUCUAGAGAUGAUUCCAAGCUUUUUCAUCACCAGGACCUCGCCUCUCUUAGAUGGUCGAACGUUCACGUUCUGAGUUUGGCUUGCCAGACGGCCGCUACGUCGUGGCGUCGGCGCGGCGGUGGCGUGUGCAACGCUGCCGGAGGUGGCUCUGAUUGCGAGCGGUGCCUGAAGCGCCAAACGUACGGCGGUGAGGAACGCUGAAGUCUUCGCCAUGGCAGCCGCUCCGGGAGAUGGCGGUGGUGUUGGCGCCCCGUCUCUGCUGGAAUUCGCCGCGACACGCGUUCCGGAGUGUGCACCUGAACUCGUGUCGUGCCCGGUGGCUGUCCGAUGGAGGGCUACCUCGCCUGGGGAGUGGCGCCUGUUCACCGGGGUCCACUGUUGAGUAGUGGGCGUCCCGGCGUCGCCUCCCGCAGGGGGUGGAGUGGACAGCACCCCGGCGUCCGCGGCGAGGGCGCGGCCUUUCCUGUGACCCGGGCGGCGGGAGUAGGUGCGGACGGAGGCGAUUUGCGGGUCGUGCACGGGCGAGUUGGGCGGUGGACCACCGGUCGGAGAGGCCUGAGGCAGCUGCGAUUCGAAAACCAUAGGGUCUUGCAGCUCCACAACGUGGCAGUCGCGUCGCGGUGACAGGGCCGCGAGCGACAUGUCGUGUACGCCGCACAGACCCGAGCUCGCGUGCUGCGGCUGCAAUCCCUCGCCAGUUUCCCGCCCAAACGCCGGAAGGCUGCCAACGCACGUCGCUUGAGCGGCGGGUGCAGGCUGCUGGGUGCACAGAGCGGUCACGGGCGAGACAGCGGCGUUGUGGGCCCAGGUGAGAGGCGUCAGCAGGCUCACAGGCGCGCCUCCACUUUCGGCGCCCCGGGAACUGCUGUUUGACCUGGUCCCGCUCUCCGGCGCCGGCGGUUCGGGCGGCGCCACCGUCGCCAUGGCCGCUGCACCUUGUUUUACAGCAUCAUCUUCUUCCAUCGUUGUAGCCAGCGACGCCGUAUGAACCGGCGGCGGCUGUGAAGCGGCACACUGGAGGAGAGCUGGGCAAAAAUCGACUAGGCCCAUAGAAUAGAUUGCGAUAGCCGUGUCCUCGCCGAUCACGGCGGCAAGCAGGCUGCAGCAGCGCAUGGUGUCAUCUCCAAGAGCCUGUGGAUUAUGGGGACGUUUCUUAUGCUCAUCGCCUGCGUAGCCUGGUCCCUCUGGUUCAUCUUCCAGGUCAAUAAAUUCCUCCUCCUCAUCUUCAUCUUCUUCUUUUCCCCGGUGCAUCGUCGGUAAUGGACCUCUGGAACAUCAGAUUUUCUGAAAGAAAAUUGAGAUCGAAAGAACACUGGAGGAACAAGCAAUCUAUGAUCUGUCUACCGAUUAUAUAUUUACAUUCAUUGAUACAUACGCGCAUUGCAGGGGCUGUUGCUCAAGGAGUACCCGAACAAGCUGCUUGCAGCCCUGACUCUGUGCAUCUUUGGCACGAUCCAGUCGUUCCCCAUCGCUUUAGCCAUGGAGAGGGACCAUGGAUUCUCCAGAUGGAAGCUUGGCCUCGACCUGCCCUUGGUCUCAGUUGCAUUCUCUGUAUGUCCACCAUGUGGAACCCGCUAAACCUGGUCCUCACCGUCUUCUGCUCCUCCCUCCUGGGCCAAACCGUCCACCUUGGAAGGUACCUGUUGUAGCAACCAUUAAUUUUUCAAGUGUUGUGUUGACAGCAAUAUCAAGAUCUUGCAAAUGACACCGAAAUGUAUUUAUUCUCCUUUUUUUCAGCGUUUUGGGUGGGAUUCUGUUGGUCGGCGGCCUUUACAGCGUGCUGUGGGGGAAAAGGAAGGAGGAAACUCGAUUGGCGAUGCCACCGGAUCACCUUGAGGAGCAGAGUAGUAGCAAGGAGAAGCAACUCCUCGAUGCCAAAGAGUGUGAGGUUAAGGAGCCGGCAUCAUCAGAUCAGCAAGUGUGAUGAGGAGAAUGCAGUACCCAAGAACUCUAUAUCGCGCUCUCGCCAGGCAACCGAGGGGAAUUCUGAAGUUCUGAAGUUCUUGCCGAUUACAUGAGGUACCAACUUUGAUGGAAAACCUUCCCAGACUGACGGUGGCCAUCAGAGAAAAUUCCCCCUGACUGCUCUCAAGUGGCACCCGGACAAGCAUCAAGGACCUUGACAGGUUAGUGUCAUAGACUCAUAGUAUGUGUUGUCCUUGCAUUUUAUCAUUUUUUCCCACCUCUCUUUAAAGGAUUUUGUGAUACGGUUAUGGACAUUCUGGUAACUGGCGCCGAAGCUUACUGGACAUUCCAAUAGCUACCAGUGAAUUCUCACCAUGUUUUGCAUGUUGUCGUCUUUAAGGAGCUGUUUUGUCAUGCAUAACCAAAUAGAAAUGCACAGCGUGCUGGAUACAUUGUAUUGAGUAGGAGAAUUGUGGAUUGAACAUUUAAAACUGCCAAAAACUCCAAGUUAUUGAUCUGAACACAUCUGUAUCCUCCAGGCUGAGGCAGAGGAAAGAGCAUGCAGUUGCUGAUUUCAAACUCACUAUGAUAAUCGUACAACUUCCUGCACAGAGUACAGAAUAAAGUAUAAAUAUACAUAACAGUAUAUUUCCCACACUAUACCACAUGAGAUGAGAGUAGAAUAUAUAGGACACCACAAACAGAUAAGCAAAAGGAAGAUGAAAAGACAUUAACAACAGCAUCCAAGUAAACAAUAAGUCCCAGAUAGCAGAAUAUUAACAGAUCCUCAGCACACGCUUGCAACAGCAUCCACAGUUUCAAACUUGUCCUUCAGAUGACGUUGGGUGCUCUGGAACACUGUCGGACCUUCUUCCCUUCACUCUCGUUUUGGGCUUGGCCAGCCAUGCCUCUCUGAACAUUUGUGGUAUUCACCGUCACGUCCUGAGAGAUCUCUUCAAUUUCUGAACUCCCUGUUUCCUUCUUUCUCCUAGUCCUCUCCUUGAGUUGCCUGCCUCCUGCUCUUUGGGUCCUUUUGUUGUCAUUUGCUUUAUCAAUGUUAAUUCCAAUCCUGUCGCUCCUCAUAAUAUCUCCUCCAGUUUUCCUACUCUCGUUCCCAGCCCAAUCACUGUCGUUUCCUAGGUGGACCACUUGUGGAUCAUUGUUUUCAGGCUCAACAUCCUCUGGCCACAAGCUGCUUUUCUGGACGCCAUGGUGCCAAAGCAAUGCCCAAAUGUGGGUUACGAACUCCCCUCUAGAGAGACACUUCUUGUGUGCCUGUGCACUCGACGUGGGUGCAAUGUGUAUAAGUAACUCUGUCCAUACCUCUGCUAGAACCUCCCAGCGGCGUUCCUCACUCAGAUGAUUGAGCAGUUCCUUGCCCAAUGCCACACCUUGUUUCAAUACAUCCUCUUUCUCAAAGUCUUUAAUAGGUUUCUCUGCUUCGUCCAUCAGUUUUCUGAACCUUUUCGGUAAUGAAUCACAAUCUUUCAGAAGACCAUCACGGGCACUCUUCACGGUUUUCUGGAAGACAAUCUUGGGAACAAGGAAGCUAUCAGGGAUCAGCUCAGGCUUUGAAACCAGGAGAUAUGCGCAGUACCGUGACAAGCUAUUCGCAAUGAUAUAUGUUUUCCGGAGAUGAUCAGGCAACUUCCCAUCCACUUUCUUCUUGUCUUCCAUUUCCAUUUUUGAUUUGGGUAAGCAACAAUUUGUGAGCCAUGACCAGAUGCUAUCUUUCUUCUCACUCACGUCCAUAAGAUACGGUUUUGAUGAGCAGCAGGAAGUGAACCAAGACCAGAGGGAACAUGGAAACCUAGGAUUGCUCAAGUUUACUCCGUAAUCUGUGGCAAGCGCCAUCUCGCAGAGGCUGGUUGCAAUGUGCCACACAAGAAUAAUGUGUGAGCUCGUCGGUAGAACGAUGUCAGUGCUUGUUGGCACGACGAUGUGAGAGCUUGUCGACAGGACGAUGUUAGUGCUUGUCGGCAGGACGAUAUGAGCGCUUGUCUGCAGGACCAUGUCAGGGUUUUCCGGGACGACAAAGUGAGUGCUUGCCGGCAGGAUGAUCUGAGUGCUUGUCGGAAGGACGAUCUGAGUGCUUGUUGGCAGGACCAUCUGAGUGCUCCUCUCUUGUGCAGUGUAAGCCUGGUAGUUCUGCAACUGCUUCCUAAGGUUGUUGUUAGACAAUGUCUUGAUGACCCCGGGCAGAUCAGAACCUUGCUCAUUCUCCAGUAUUUUGAUGAGCUUCUCCAGGACUGCCUGCCUGACAUACUCUGGAACUUUGAUGGCUCCACUGAGCGCUGCCCCAUCAUCCUUCUUUGGAAUUAUUCCUGUGGUUAAGUUGUGAAUGAAGUUCCAAAAUCUUGGUCUGUCAUCAUAUGACUGCACGAAGACAUACUGGUCAAUGAACCCAUGCCACCUCUUAUCAGUAAUCUUAGAUCUGGAGAAAUAUAGUAGAAUGCUGUCCACCCAUGUAUCUACAUAUUCGUGGGUUCUCUUGCGCUUCCGCUGCACAUACUCGCACCACAUGAUUAAUCUUGUCCAGUCUGAAUGUAAGUAGGUUAUCAUCUCCCAUAUCUCCUUCACAAUCAUCAAAAAAAUGAAUACCCAAGUAAUGAUUAUGUCGACAUUAAAACCCUUCACCUGAUUGACAAGCUCGCCAUUAGGGGGCUUAUAGACCUUUCGGAUGUCCACAGCAAGCCAGCAGAGAGCACAGAUGGUCAGUAUGGGUGGAAGCGGAAUCGACAUGAGAGAUCGGAGCCCACUCCAGAACACCAUGGGGUAGCGGGUGUUGAAAUAAUCAUGGAGGAAGGCAAGCUGCAGCUCCAUGAUCUUCAGGGCAUCGCUGGUACCCACCUUCCCGUCAAUUAUGUUCUUGACCAGCUUUCGGUUGAUGUCGAAUAUACGCCGUCCUUGCAGAGUCACAUCCUCGAGCCUGCACCGCAGCAGCCUGGACAAGGCGAAGGCCAGAGAGAGAUCUUUCCCAUCCUUAAACUGCUUAUGUGGCUCAUGAAUAGGACAGUCCCAAAUCUUGUCCAGCGUGACCAGUGGCGACGUCUUCUUCUGCUUAGUAGCAGCCUGGUCGGUAGACAACGCGUACUGAGGCUUCUUUAGUUUGAAACCUCCUUUCUGCUUUGUUUCUCCGUAGACCAAGUACUUGUAGCCUUUCAUCGUCACCGGGUCGAAUUCUUGCUUCAUGUUGGUUUCGUCGUGCAUGGCGCGCAUGUGCUCUGCAACAAGCUCCGAACUCCCUCCAUGCCAGACGGCACGGGACGCCAGGUUAUGUGAAGAAAAUCUGUACCCGCUCCUCACUAUCUGCAGGCCCCAGACCAACCACAGUGGACCCUUGAAUCUGGAUCCACGCGUCCAAUUCAAGAAUGCCGAUCCCAGGAGCUUGAACACGUUCCUCCAUUCGGUGAACCUUCGCCCACGACGGUCAGGAACGCCAUAGCCGGAGAUGUAAUCUGCACUGUAACGGAAAUUGACGAGCACAAGAGCCCAGACUGGGAACAGCUGGUUCUUGAAAGGCGCCGACUGCAUGGCCCCCAGGAGGUAGACGACGAUGGAGUCGCAGACUGCGUCAAAGACACUGAAGACGGAUCUCAUGAACGAGUUGUGGAUGAUGCGGCGGAAGAAGUCCAUGAGGAACAUGGCAAAGAACAGUAGUGUGGCGAGGGCCACCAGGAAUUCUAUGCGAAACAAGAUGACUGUUUUCUUGUUCAACAUGAUGAACAGGGAUGCCACAUGUUCGCGGAUAUCACCGGGGCUCACCAUCCUCGCAGCUCCCGGGCGGUGCCUGCAUGGUCAAGGUCAUUUUGCAAAGUAAGUAAAAAAUACCAGCUUUUUUCUGAAGAAAUAAAACCAUCACAAUUCACAGCACAUAGUCACAGUUCGAACAAACUUGAACAGAUUAACGACGUGCUUAACCCUCCACUACCUGAACUUUGUAUAAACACCCAAGAAUAAAACUUGAGGCGUACGCUGGAUUAUGCAGGUUACAUGUUGCUGCUGAUUUCAUUGAACUAUAGUAACCGAGAAUCUUGUGAGUUUUCACUAUUAUUCGUAUAUUGUUGUCAUUUGAAAAUAAACAGAAACCAGACAUGCUUUUUCCGAUGUAUAUGAGAACCUUACAAACCAUUUCACGCUUGUUCGAAGUUGAGGAAAUAUGCAUGCGAUGCAAAGGUAAUUCCCCAGAGCUUAUGUUUGUGUACAACUGUGAAACAAAGUAAGCUGUUUUUACUUACUUGGACGCAGUAGCUGCUGAAGGGCGAUGUCAGGAACCGGGGCGCUUCGUGUGAUUGCUCUUGCCAGUUCCGAACCAACACCACCUUGGAGGGACAAUACGCCCAGAAGGUCAGAUCUAUCAUAACGAGGUGCCGAUGAUGAUAAAAUAAGAUCUAAUCCACCUUGACACAUCAUUCAAGUUUAACAAAUAAUUUCGCUUCAGCAGGUCCUCUCUUUGGGUCUGUAUAUAUUUAAGCACUCAAAUUUACUUAGUAUCGCUUACUUUAUCAAGUUUUGGGCCAACUAAUAUAAACGCAAUCAUGUGACUAGUUAGACGUUCUUUUCAUACUGAAUAGAUGGUGUUGGGUCUCGACCAAACAGUAGGCAAGGUGAAGCAAUGUACGAAGGCAAUAAUGACUCGAGUAAAUGUAACAUAAGCUAUCCUAUCAAUGAAUAGUACCCGCCUUAGGGGGGACGGUUCACCUCCCUUUACAGGGUCAUAAAGUUACAUUUCCGCAUACCCGUUAUACCCAUACCCAACAACUACAUCCCGGGCAUAUCCCGUACAAGACAGUAACUUGACCCCUACUCAAGAUGUCGCUUUCAAAGUGGGAUUACAUUUCCAACCCUUUCCAAGAUCCUUAUUACAAAAUUGACCCACAAUAAUGUGGUCCCAGGGCUGUCUUGAUCCCUUCCUCCCCUACUCGUUAGCUUCAUCGGGACUAAGUAUGCUUUCGCAUGCUUUCCGCCUUCAUUGGUCGAAGUCAGGUAACCUCGGGCUUUGGUCACAGGACCUCCCCGAAGUCAAGUCGCCGGGAGUUCCGUGGGGGCUUUAACUUCGGGAAUCUUCGCCUGCAAAAUUACAGAACGGGCAUCUUCGUACCGGUUAACUUCGAUUAAUUGCUAGCUUCGCAAAAGAGUAUAAUGACGAGGUCAGCGUCGGUGUCGAACAGGGUGCGCUGUGGGGCGGUCCCCAACAGUAGCCCCUUCGUGGGCGAGGUCAGGGACGCCGUCGACCGAUCCCGCGAAAAGUCCAAAAACGCCCUCAAAACGUCACCCUGAAUGGCGGCGCGGGCCGAGGCGAUUUACCGUUAGACGGGGGUACGAAUGUCAUUUGCCAUGCGGCGGUUGGUGAUUCGAGGCACCGUAAAGGUGUCUUUUGGCAUUUUUUACCUUGCUUAUAUAAGGUUUGCCGGGGGGGCGGGUCAUAUUUUACGAUGUCGUUUUCGAGCUAUAGCUUUUUGUUGCUUGCGCCUUCGCUACGCAUCUUCGUUGUGUGCCUUCGUUGCGUUUUCUUGGCGGGGCGGCAUCUUCGCUUUUCGUGGUGAGGGUAGCUUCUGAUUGCUUGGUUGUGGUUGUUUUUCUUGAUUUCUUUUUAACGUUUUGGCUUCGUUCUCAAAGUUAUGCUGUUCUGUUUUUGGUGCGAUAGGCAGCCCGCACCAGGUAGAGUGCGCAGAUAAUGUCUUCGGAAGAGUUGACCCUUCAGGCUGCCUCUGGUGGUGGGGGUAUUCCUGCUUCGCAGUCGGUGUCUGCGAGUAGCGGAGAGGCUGAAGGGAAGAGGUCAAAGAAACGGAUUUAUACGAAGGAUGGUUUAGUUUCUGCAGAGGAAGGCUCUUCCGGCAGCAAAAGAUAUAGCACAGACCAAAGUUCAUGCUGUAUCUUCGGAUGAGGAGGCAGAGGAGGAGGAGGAAGGGGGGCGGGGGGAAGAAGCUGGCGAAGCUGAGGAGGAGGAGGAGGAGGAUGUCGAGGUUGAAUCGAGGUCAGAGAUGGCCGUUGGGGGAAAAGUUCAAUGCAUUUCUACUCUUUACUUCAGGCGCUCCCAAGUGAAUGCGCGAGACAUUGCGUCUUUCGAGGAGAACAACUUCUUUCCUAAGGGGCUGGGCAGAGCGCCUGGGAAUGAGGCGGUACCCGCGCCCGAGGUUGGUGAAGCUAUUGUUUUCAGGGACCUGUUUACUGCGGGGCUUCGGUUUCCCUGCGAUAGGCAGCUGCUAGUUAUUUUGGAUCGCUAUCGUGUUAGGUUGCACCAGCUGACCCCCAACACCAUCGUGAAUUUGUCUAAGUUUUACUGGUGCAAUGCACGUUCAAUGGCAGUAUUGAUGUAGAGGGUUUCGCAAGGUUGCACGAGCUUCAUAUCCAGAAGAAGAGGACUUACUCUGAGGAUGGGAAAGGUGUUUGUGAGAAUCAUUUCAGAUGUUGUACCUUCGUGCCACGCAGGAAGAACGAUAAAAUGAAUCUGCCGAGGGUAGAGCUUUCCUUCGCGUAGAGAAACAAGUGGGAUGAUGCAUGGCUAACGCAUUGGUUUUAUGUUAAAAUUGAGAUGGCUGGGGUUGGGACUGGAUUCCCAUUUUAUGCGCUGUUUGGGCCGAUGGACGUGCUCACAACUCCGUCAUUUAUUCAUACGGCAGUUGUCACGAAGUGCGAGGCUGCUUACAGGGUUGCUGGGCCCUUGGUGUCUGGACGUGACCUCAUAGAGGAGUAUGUUGCUGCUAGAGUGUGGCCUCUGUCCGCUGAAUUUGCGAAGCCAUUUAAGCUCGUUGAGAAGAAGGUGUCUUGGAGCGAGAAGCCUGUGCAGUACCCCUGCUUUGAAUCUGGUAUUGAGAGGGAUGCCGACACGGACUCGUUUGUCCAGACAGUGGAGGACAUGGCUUACGAGAUUUUGGGUCCCGUGACCCAGCCGGAAAGGCAUUCUUUUGAAUCCGUUGUGAGACACGGGCGUCGUGUCAAUCGGAUUUUUGAUUUUCUUGAUAUUGUGGUUCCGCCUCGUCCUGAAGUUGGGCAAAAGGCGCCGUCGGGGUGCUGGUCUUGAGCAGAGGAAGAAGGUGAAAUUUGAUUUUGCACCCGCGGCGAAGCUCAAUGUUGAGUCACAAGUGGCCGCCAAAGCGAAGGCAAAAACCUUGAACUUGGAGGCGCAAAAGAGGAAAGAAGUUACCGCGGGGGCUUCGUCUGUCGUGUUGUCAUCGGGGUCGACAGCUUCGUCUGUCGACUUGAGCAAACCGGCAUACGUCGUUCCUGUUUCCGUGCGCCGUCCAAAGGAGGUCCCUGCUCUUGCACCUUCGUCCACCGGGCCCGCCACAUGGACCAAGAAGGGGGCUAAUAAACCUCGUUUUGCUCGCAUUACUGUUCCGGGUGCCAAGGUUGACGCGCCUUCAGCGGCUGGCAUCAAGAUCACGGCGCCCUCUACAAGCUCGAAGGCUAAGGGUGCGCGACCUCUCUUGAUUGAAGCUGGGAAACAUGAGAGGAGGGUUGCCGCCGAAAAGGCGAAGCUUGUGGAUGCGUUCUCGUCUGAUCCAAAGGGUGCGUGCGCCGAAGCUGUGAGAUCUGGUAAGCAUGUAGAGGUGUUUCUACCGAAGCUGUGGUUCUUUGACUGUGGGAAGGCCUCAGCGGGAUUUUUGAAGGACUUGGAAGCAACUAUGGGGGGCGUUGGUGAGGUUAGUUGUGAGGAUCAUGUGAGGCUGAAAGUUAAAUGUUAUGAUGUAGGUGAGAGUUUGCCGGCGGGUCUUCAGGGACUGAACGAAGGUCUAGGCUUGAGCGGGCGCACGGAGGUUCUAGUGACAUGCGCCGAAGGUAGGGUUUAUAAUCCACACAACCUGUCUUUGGUUUGGGGGGAUGAGGGUGAAAAUUGCGAGCGCUAUGCAGAUAUUGGCGGUUCAAAACGGGAGGAGCAGGUGGGCACGGCAACUUCGGGGGAGGUUGAAGGCAAACGAGGGGCUGUGGGUUUAAGUGGCGGAAAGACGGUGGUGACAUCUAAGGGUGAGGCUAGGGAAGUUGUUCCGGUCGCCGUUGAGGCGCGAAAAUAUGAGGGUGAGAGCUGCUUGUAGGUGGUUUUGCAGUUCGUAGCUUUUGUUGUUGUUGUAUUACGCUUACAGUUGUAUUCUUUAACGCACAGAUUUUCAGCAAGCUGUGAAGUCAAUGAGCUCGGAAGAGCUCUUUAACUUGGAGGCCAACCUCGUAAAGAAGGUAUGAUUACUGGAUAAUUUGGUGAUGUGUGUGGUGAGUGCUGUCCUUUACCUUGUUAUGUCUUUGGUGACUUGGCUUAUUGUUCUUUGUUUAAAACUUGUAGGUGUCUUAUUUUUCAAUGAUUACGAGGGAUCGGCUUGCUAAGAGUGAGAAGGCAGCCUCGGAACUUUCGAAGAAGGUAGCUUCACUUGAGGCGACCAUUGCUGCUAUGUCCUUGGAGAUGAAGAAGGUCAAGGUUGAGAAUGCGGAGUUGAAAGAGGACUCUCGCAGACUCGGUGAGAACUACGAGGCUAGGGGUGACGAGAUUGAUCGUCUGGUGGCUGAUAUAGCGGAGCUGGAGGGCCAGAUGAAGGAGAAGGACCAAAUUAUUGGAGGCUUACGCGAGGGUGCCCAGCGGGACAGCAAGGUUAUCGCGGGUUUGAAAUCUAAGGUUAGCCAGAUGGAGCCUGAGUUAGAAACGAAGGCAAAGCUGUUGAGCUGAAUAGAGACUACACUAAGGGAGAGGUUUGAAAAAGUUUAUGAAGCUUACAAAGCCUCCCUUGGUGUGUUUGGCGCUGAACCCAAUGAUUGCCCAUUGGAUGAGGGAUGCGAGCGUAUGUUCGAGUGGCUUUUGGACGAGGUUAAGAGUCUUCCCGAGGUCCUUGAGGACUUGAACGACUACUCCGUAGUGUUCUGUCUGGAAAGCGCUCUUUACUUGCUGGAGCAAUAAGGAUGCGAGCAUGUUAAGAAUAUCUCCGAAAAUAACUACAUUGUGCCAGCUGCCUCGGAGAUUGGCUACGCUGCCAAGUCUAAUGAUGUGGAGAAUGCGAAGAAGAAUUUGUUUGAGCGUAUGUGGUCAACCUCCAGGCAGGACUAUGUGAAGAGGCUCGCGUGUGAGCGGUUAGCGCAGCUGUGCUUGCAGUCUGGUGUUGGCAACGAUGAGAAGGAUGCUAUAGAGUAAGUGGAUGCAUGCUGGGGGGGGGUUGUGACUUGUUGGUUUUGGUGUACGAAGUUGACGAAGUUAGAUACUUUAUUUGUUUGUGAAACUAUGCCCUGUAAAGUACUUAUGUGCCAGUUUUUGUUAUGUAUUUGAUUUUUGUAACUGUUGUGUUGUUUAUCCGUCCAAAUGUGCUGGUUUCUGGCGUAGUGAACUCGUUGCGAGGUUAGAUAAGUCAAAGUCGGGUUGCUGCGUUAGGCAACCUGCUGACUUAGAAAAUGCGAGAGCCGAUUGAUACAACGACCCGAAGUUGCUUCAACCAUAGCCGUAUUCGUUGCUGUAUUUUGCAUGGGUUGACCUCGUGUGAGGUCGCUCUUUUGAGUUGGUUACCUUUUGCCGAGCGAGAUCGAAAAUGUUACUGGGCCUUUUCGAGGUUAGGUGACACGAACCUUGUAAACUCUUCUCUUGCAAAGUUGCAAAAAAAUUUCAUGUUUUUCCCGAAAAACGUCACCCCCCCUUUGCGAUGUUGCAAGAGAGAGGUCAGAAUCGUAGACUCGCAGGUCCUUCCCUUGCGAAGUCGCAGAAAUUUUUCAUGUUCUUUCGAAAAACAUCACCCCCCCCCCUUUGUGAUGUCGCAAAAGAGAGGUCAGAUAACACAGAUUCGCGGCUGGAGGUUUCAGUGUCUUUGAUCUAUAAUGGCGUUGUAUUUGCAUGUUAGGAUUCCUGCGUGGUCUGGGGCGAGGUUGCGCAACUUGAUGUUGCCUUUUGCAUACUCGAGCGCGAGGUCGUGCAACUUGUUGUUGCCUUUUACACGCGAAAUCUUCUCGGCACACUGGUGCGAGGUCACGCAACUUGUUGCCUCUUACACGCGAAAUCUCCUCCGCACACUGGCGCGAGGUCACGCAACUUGUUGUUGCCUUUUACACGCGAAAUCUCCUCCGCACACUGGCGCGAGGUCACGCAACUUGUUGUUGCCUUUUACACGCGAAAUCUCCUCCGCACACUAGCGCGAGGUCAUGCAACUUGUUGUUGCCUUUUCAUGUGAAAUCUCCUCCGCACACUGGCGUGAGGUCGCGCAACUUGUAUUUUUAGGGGAAGUUUCCUUUCUUUCUUUGUGAAAAAAGGUGUACAUGGAUCUGCCUCGUUAAAAAUCUUACCUCCAUUAUGGAGCCCCUAGCAAGGAAAAGAGUGCAGUCCGGACUUGACCUUACAAACGAGGUAAAUUUGGAAGUAAAGAAAAGAAAAGAAAGAAAAACUAUUAUGUUACCUUCGGCGUUGCUUAUAGUUCCGCAAGCCGAAGGUAGCAUGUACAAUCAUGGGUAGUAUUUUCGUAGGCUAUCAAUGUUCCACGCGUGUGGGAGAGUGUUUCCUUGCUGGUCUGCGAGGUGGAAAGAGCCGGGUCUGCCACUUUUUGUGAUAAUGUAGGGGCCUUCCCAUGUCUCUUGUAGCUUGCCUGGGUUUUCCCAAUUCUUUUUCCUUUUGAUGACGAGGUCACCGACAUUGAUCUGUCUUUCUCGAAUGUGUUGGUCCCUCCAUCUUUGGAUUUCUUCCUGAUACUUGUCCAGGUUCUCAAUGGCCUCGUUGAUGUCGAGCUCAAUCAUGUCUUUCUCUAUUCUGGCAAUUUCGUCCACAUCCCCGGGCUUAAGGACUCUUAGGCUUUUGUUUUUUAUUUCUUCAGGUGUUACAGCUUUGGCUCCGAAUAAGAGCUUGAACGGGGUAAAGCCUAUUGCUCUGGAUUCUGUUGUGUUAUGGGACCAAAUGACUCUUGGGAGCUCGUCGACCCAUUUGCCCUUUUUUGAUCGAACAAAUAUUUUUUGACUACAGUGAAUAUGGUAUAGUUCACCCUUUCCAUAGCUCCGUUUGAUUGUGGGUGGUAUACGGAUGAGAAUUUUAUCUUCGUGCCGAUGCUGGCGCAGAAAUCUGUGAAUGAGACGCAGUCAAACUGUUUGCCAUUGUCAACGGUUAGUUCCCUUGGGACUCCAAACCGGCAGACAAUGUUUUGCUAGAAGAACUUUUGUACCGAAGCCGAUGUGAUGACGGCCAGUGGUUUGGCUUCGGCCCAUUUGGUGAAGUAGUCUAUUGCAACUACUGCAAAUCUGCAAUUUCCUUGUGCUGUUGGCAGUGGACCAACUAGGUCCAUGCCCCAUCUCUGGAGAGGCCGCGAAGGUGGGAUGAGCUGGAUAGGGAACGAGGGUGCAUGCGUCUGCCUUGCUGUCUUUUGGCAGGCCUCACAGCUUUGUACGAGCAAGUGUGCGUCCGUGUGGACUGAUGGCCAGUAGAAUCCCUAUCGGAUUGCUUUUCUUGCUAGAGCCCUUGAGCCAAUGUGGGUUCCGCAAAAACCGCCAUGUAUUUCUUUGAGCAGUUCGCUGCCUGUUCCAUAAUCGACACAGCGAAGCCAUGGUAUUGAAAUGCCUGUUUUGUAGAGCUGCCCCUUGAUAAUUGCGUAGCCCCUUGCCCUUUGCUUUAGGCGCAUACGUUCGGCCUCGUUCUGAGGUUCGAAGUGGCCUCUAAGGAAAGCCAUUAUGCUUGCGCGCCAGUCGUAACGCUAGAUGGCGUUGACGGGGGCUGGAGCUUCUUCUGUGAUCGAAGGUGAGGUUAUGAUUUCGUAGAAUGUGUCGGGUGGGACUGGCUCGCCUUCUGCUGCUGCUUUUGCAAGCUUGUCCGCGUCAUCAUUUAGUGCUCUUGGUAUAUUUUUUGACAUCAAACCCCCGAAAGUGCUUCUCCAUGGCUCGGGGAGGCUUCGCUCUGCCGCUUGGAAUGAAACGGUUUAGCGCAGCAACCCUACCCGUGAGUCAUUGGACUUGUUUGAGCGAAGUUGGCUCUGACAUAUUAGCUAGCGCCUUGAUUUUAUCUGGGUUGGCCUCGAUGCCUUUUGUCGUUAGCAGGCGGCCUAGGACCUUUCCUCUUUGGACCUCGAAUACACACUUUUCUGGGUUUAGCUUUAGGUUGGCUGACCUCAGGUUAGCGAAUGUUUCUGUGAGAUCCAGAAUGUGGUCGCUUCGUUUGGCGCUUUUGACGAUAAUAUCAUCCACAUAAGCCAGGAUAUUGCGUUGAAGCUGGUUGUCCAGGACUGUUGCCGUCAUCCUUGAGAAUGUUUGGCCUGCAUUCUUUAGCUCCUCUGGCAUACGCACGAAGCAGAACGUUCCAAAAGGUGUCACGAAGCUUGUUUUGCCUUCGUCCUCCUUCUUGAUUCUGAUCUGGUGGUACCCCGAGAAGAGGUCAAGUAGCGAGAGCAUUUCACUGUUUGCAGCGUCAUCCACUACCUUGUCAAUCCUCUCGAGAGGGUAAUCAUCUUUUGGGCAGGCCUUGUUGAGGUCUGUGAAGUCUAUACACAUUCUCCAUUUGCCAUUUUCUUUUUUACUGGCAUUGUGUUAGCUAGCCAGUCAGGGUACUGGAUUGGCCUGAUUACGUUAGCUUCGAGGAACCUGUCAACUUCGGCCUUUACGGCUUGGACCUUUUCGUCGGACAUUUUUCUUAGCUUUUGCUUCUUUGGCCUAGCUCCUUGCCUGAUGUCGAGGCUGUGCUCGAUGAUUUCCCUGUCCACUCCUUUGAGAUCACCUGUGGACCAAGCGAAGAUGUCUUUGUUCUUGUUGAGGCACUCGAUGAGGUUGUGUUCUUCUUCGGGGUCGAGGUUGGCUCCAAUUGUUACGAACCUGUCUGCGAUGUACCCGUCUAGGAGUACCUGCUUUAUUUCGCUGUCAGCACUGAUCUUUAUUUUUUCUUUGUCCCUCUUGGGCUCGUCGUGGGUCUUUUGCUUUGCUGAGCUUUCGGCUUCGUUUGAUGAGGCUAGGUGGUGGACAUUCUUUUGGCCCGGAGCUACCCCUCUUUCUAUAUUCCUUGCCAUUUGCUGAUCAUCGUACACUGUUAUGACCCCCUUGAGCGCGGGUAUUUUCAUGCAUAGGUAUAGUUGCCUAAUUGUUGCAUCCAUUUUGGUGAUGAAGCCGCGGCCAAGUAUUGCAUUAUAGGGGUAGUGCAUCUCCACCACAUCGAAGGUGAUGUGCUCUGUUCUUGCAUUGUCGCGGUCCCCAAACAAGACCAGGAGAGCAAUUUUUCCCAAAGCCUUCACCGACUUUCCACCGAAGCUAAGAAGUGGGAUGUCGGCUAGAUCGAGCGUGUUCAUGUCAAUGUUCAUUUCUCUGAAUGCGUUUGCGAAAAGGAUGUCCGCGGAGCUGCUCGUGUCAACUAGGACUUUUCCAACUGUCCAACCUGCUAUCAGCGCUUUGAUGACCAUCGCAUCGUUGUGCGAGGUUGUCUUGAGCUUGAAGUCUUCCCCCGUGAAACUUAUGGGCAUGUGUGCCCAUUCUGGCUUCGUUGGGGCUCUGUCGGGUAUGAUUACAUUGACUUCUCUGAAAUAGUUUCACCUCUACCUCUUGUUCUCGAACUCUAAAGAGGAGCCUCCGGUGAUUGGCAUUAUCAUGCCGAAGGUAGGUAAGGAGUUUUGGUUGUUGUUUUGCGUGCUGGGCUCUGGUUUGGGCAUUAUGGCUGGCAUGCUUAGGGGAGGAGGUAGUGUUUCUUGAGGCUUCUGAGGGGGAUUUGGGUUAGCAUGUUGUGGGAUUGUUUGGUGGUAUGGUUGUAUGUGGGACAGAAGAGGCCAGGUCAUUGGUUGCUGGAAGUUGGCGAAGCUGGGCUGGUUGGAGUAAAAGCUUGGGUGCGGGUAAAAAGCUGUGUGGUGGAUUGUUUUGGGUGCUUGUGCGGCUGCUUUCGCGGCUUCUUUUGUAGCUUUCCUCUCUUCUUCUUUCUUUUUGGGGUACCACUCUGUAUUAUGAUGGUUCUGAUGGCCAUGGUUGACGCAGUAGAAUGAUUGUUGCUAUCUUCCUCGACCUCGUCCUCUACCAGAGUGGCCCCCUCUUUGGGUAUUGUUGUUUUGGUUCUGGCUCUGGCUUUGGUUUUGGUUUCCCUCAAUGUUCAUGACACGGUUUUGGUUUUGGUUUUGGUUUUGAGGCUUGUUGUAAGGCGAAGGUUGCCAGCUUCCGUUCUGGUUUGUUUGCCUUUCCUUGUUACGUUCCGCCACUCUUCUGCGGUGGUCCUCGUCGGAUCUGAUGUAUUCAUCGAGUUUGCUGAAGAGAGCACUCAUCGUUUUGGGCUCUUUCCUUGAUAGCUUCGACGCUGUUGGGCUAGGGGUGAGGCCCGCGAUGCACGCGGAUAUUGCUACGGAUUCCUCAAUGUGCGGCGCUUGAGAACGAAGUUGGACAUAUCUUCUUACAUAUUCUGCGAGUGGCUCCUUGUCUUUUUGUUUGCAUUGGAAAAGAUCUGCUUGGGCCGUUUGGGGGUAAUGGAAGCCCUGAAAGUUUUGUGUGACCUUCGCCUUGAGGUCAUGCCAGCUAAUCACCGUGUGUGGAGGGAGUAGUGAGUACCAGUUCAGUGCCGCGCCUUCACAAGCAAUUAUGAUGGACUUGGCGAGGACGACAUCAUCUCCCCCGGCCGAAGCUACGGCGGCUUCGUAACUCAUUAAGAAUUGUCGUGGAUCUGUCCGUCCGUUGAAUUUGGGCAGGGUGGUUGGCUUGUAUGUUGCUGGCCAUGGUGCGGUUUGGAGCCCGAUUGAGAGCGGUGAUGUGGCAUCGACCACGAGAGACACCCCUGGCGAGUGAUGUUGGGUGCCUUGGUCGAAGUUGAUGCUGGGUUGGAAUUGUGCCUGAUCAACGGUGGGACUUUGGUGAAAAUAAGCUGCGGUUUGGUUUGCAUUCUCGUGUGGGCUUUCAAGCUCCGCAAUUUCUUUCUGUAAUGCUUCCAGCUGCCGUCUAGCUUCGUUCAAUUUUGAUAGUCUGCUCGAGGCUUCCCUCUGUUGUUGCACCUGUCGUGCUAACUGCUCCUUUUUUCUUUUGACCUCUUCUAUCUCCCGAAGGACUGAGUCUAGCUCAUUGUCCAGGUCAGAGGGGCCAGUAGCUUCGGGUGUUGCGGGCCGGUGGCUUUGUUGACCGUCAGUGCGGUUGGUAGCUUCGGUUGCUGUGGGUUGUUGGCUUUGGUGGUUGACCUUGGGUACGGGUCUCUUACUCAUUGCUUUUGCCCUUAAGGUUUGCUCGACUCUUGCAAGGCGUUCCUCCUUAUCCGAAAGAACCUGAUCUGUGGCCUCGGGAGCUGUAAGCUGACCGGCCUCCACUGUGCUGACUUCUCUAUGUACUGUAAGUCUCCUUUUCCGUUGUGGUGGCAUCGUAGGUUGUUUGUCGAGUUAGACCACGGUGGACGCCAAAUGUUGGGUCUCGACCAAACAGUAGGCAAGGUGAAGCAAUGUACGAAGGCAAUAAUGACUUGAGUAAAUGUAACAGAAGCUAUCCUAUCAAUGAAUAGUACCCGCCUUAGGGGGACGGUUCACCUCCCUUUAUAGGGCCAUAAAGUUACAUUUCCGCAUACCCGUUAUACCCAUACCCAACAACUACAUCCCGGGCAUAAAUAGUACAAGACAGUAACUUGACCCCUACUCAAGAUGUCGCUUUCAAAGUGGGAUUACAUUUCUAACCCUUUCCAAGAUUCUUAUUACAAAAUUGACCCACAGUAAUGUGGUCCCUGGGCUGUCUUGAUCCCUUCCUCCCCUACUCGUUAGCUUCGUCGGGACUAAGUAUGCUUUCGCAUACUUUCCGCCUUCAUUGGUCGAAGUCAGCUAACCUCGGGCUUUGGUCAUAGGACCUCCUGAAGUCAAGCUGCCGGGAGUUCCGUGGGGGCUUUAACUUCGGGAAUCUUCACCUGCAAAAUCACAGAACGGGCAUCUUCGUACUAGUUAACUUCGAUUAAUUGCUAGCUUCGCAAAAGAGUAUAAUGACGAGGUCAGUGUCGGUGUCGAACAGGGCGCGUUGUGAGGCGGUCCCCAACAGAUGGUACCAUGUAAUUAAUAAUACUAAUCAUCGACCCAUACCACCGAACUAAAAUUAUUUUGAGUAGGAAAAAGUCCACCUUACUCCCUUCGCCUAUCCACUUUAUCCGCUUAACCCCUUAACAAAAUUUAAGCUCACCUUACUCCCCUAAACUAUUUUAUUUGGUCUAAUCUACCCCUAAUUAGAUUUCUCUAUUUUAUUUCUCCAUGUAUGAGUUGAAUUUUGAGUUCAAGUUUAACAAAUAAUUUCGCUUCACCAGGUCCUCUCUUUGGGUCUGUAUAUAUUUAAGCACUCAAGUCAGUGGUAAACGUUCAUCUUUUUUUAUGCAGCAAAUUUACUUAGUAUCGCUUACUUUAUCAAGUUUUGGGCCCACUAAUAUAAACGCAAUCAUGUGGCUAGUUAGACGUUCUUUUCAUACUGAAUAGAUGGUACCACGUAAUUAAUAAUACUAAUCAUCAACCCGUACCACCGAACUAAAAUUAUUUUGAGUAGGAAAAAGUUCAUCUUACUCCCUUCGCCUAUCCACUUUGUCCGCUUAACCCUUAACAAAAUUUAAGCUCAUCUUACUUCCCUGAACUAUUUUAUUUGGUCUAAUCUACCCCUAAUUAGAUUUCUCUAUUUUAUUUCUCCGUAUAUGAGUUGAAUUUUGAGUUCAAGUUUAACAAAUAAUUUCGCUUCACCGGGUCCUCUCUUUGGGUCUGUAUAUAUUUAAGCACUCAAGUUAGUGGUAAACGUGCAUCUUUUUUAUGCAGCAAAUUUACUUAGUAUCGCUUACUUUAUCAAGUUUUGGGCCAACUAAUAUAAACGCAAUCAUGUGGUAGCGGCUAGGCGCUGGAUAUCAUCUUUCUAGUUAGACGUUCUUUUCGUCCUGAAUAGAUGGUACCACGUAGAUUUAUGUUCCUCUCUUAGACUAUACAAGCACCAAUUCCUUGCAUUACUACCAGAUAAUGUGACGACCUAUUCUGUCUCAUGUCGUCUCAAUUCGUUAAGACGUAACUGUCCUUAGCUUUCAUGCGGUUGGGAAAGCUAUCUAGCACGUUGACUCAAAGGUUUAAGGGGUGUUUGGUUUGAGUCUGCUAAACUUUAGGAACUUAGUCCCUUUUAUAUAGUCCCUAAAAUACCAAGCACGGUGACUAAAAGUUGCUAAACUUUAGUCCCUAAAGUUUAGCCUUUAGUCCCUAAGAGGUUACUAAAAGGGACUAAAAGUGACCUUGGAUAGGGUGUGCCCCUCAUUAAUACCCCAUGCCUCCCUCCCCACCCCCACCCCCACCCCCACCCCACCCGUCCCGAGUCCGUCCGCGUCGCCGCCACCCUCUGUCGCGCGCUCGCCACCGCGAAGGCCGCCCCCGUGAGCCGCCCUACCACCACUGCCGUCCUCCCUCCCGCCCAGCCCCCGCCGCCUUCCCUCCCGCCCGCCAGACCCCCGCCGCCGAGGUCGUUCAGAUCCACGGUGGCAGUCGGCGCGUCGGAUCCUCCUCCUCGCGCUCUUCACCCCGCCACAGCGACCGCGCGGCACAAGCACCGCCUCGGCACGUCCCUACUCGCCGCCUUGCGCUUCUUCGAGGUGGACCGCCCCUACUCCACGCUGCUCCUCUCCGGCACCUUCGGAACCAAACAGGACCCAAGUUACCUUAAAUUUAUACUGUAUGUACUUAUAUGAUCUUUAAAGAGGCGGUCCCCUGAUUUUUCUUCAACAAAUUGAUUCCUUUCUUCCUCCCCCCUCUCUCCCUCUCUCUCUCCUCGUUUGCUCACCAAGAUGACAGUACCAGUGCCUUCGUUGGCCUCGAUCUUCUCUUUGCUCAUCCCCGUUCAGUCCUUAUUGUUAUAUCCUGUUUGGUUGGUUGCCCAUCUUGCUGCUGUAACUGCAAUCCCAUUUAUGGGUCAAACUCCCUUUUUCUUUUGCAUGGCCUCAUGUGCGCAACGCGCAUGCAAAUAUAUAGUGCAAGAUUCAAGACGGUACAUGAAUUAUUAGAGUUAUUUAAUUAAUAUUUCACAUUCUGGCCUCACUAAACAUGUCCAGACUAGAAAGUAUCAGAUGAAUGACUCCAUCCCACACAGUACACAGUACGUAAGAGCAUUCAUUGCCAGAGAGAGAGAGAGAGAGAGAGAGAGAGAGAGAGAGAGAGAGAGAGAGAGAAGAUGGGAACAAGCCCCGCGGAUGCUGCCGAUGCAAUCCUGCUCACCUUGGAGAACCUGUUCAAGCUGGACAAGGUUACUCGCCUGGCCAGUGUGGAGCUGUGGGUGCUGCUGACGACGGUGCUGCUGUUGCUGAGGUUCGUCUUCGACUUCACGGGGCCAUGGUUUGGGAACCCGCGCAGGAUGUUCUUCGUCGUCACCCUGGAGAUACUGAACCAAAACCUGGUGAUCUACACCAUGGGUUUGAUGCAGCUCUCGGGCGCGAGGGUGAACGACUACUUCCAGGUGUGGGCGGUGCUCCUGGUGACCCUGCAGUACAGCGUCAAGAUCGGGCGCCCCUACACCCCGUCCAAGCAGGUCCCGUUGCUGGACCUCAUGUCCUCCUUGUGGUCAGCCAAUCUCCUCCGGGUGCAGACUUUCUACCUCCUCAGGAUCCCUCUCUGGCUCAUCUGGUCCCUGAAUGCAGUUCGCAUCGUCUCGCUCUUCGUCACCUCCGGUAAAGGGGAGACGAAUAACCAGGAGAGCAUGAGGCUGGUGUGCGACUACAUGAGCUACGAGAACACUCUCUCCUCCAUCCCUGUCCCUGAUGAUGGCCAGAAGGAAUCCAAAUUCUCCAUGAGCGGGUACAAGUACCUGGUGCAUGGCGAGCACCGGGUGCUCAAGCAAGUCCAAGAGGACCCGACAAGAAGUGAGAGCAGCUACAAGAUCCGACUGGAUCCGUAUGGAGCCCACAAGGAGCAGCUCGUCACCGUAGAGAAGGUGUGGGAUGACACCAGCGAGAGCGGGUUGCUGGGGGGCACGGCAGACCCUGGCAACCAUCACAAGGACCUGUGCCUCUCGUUCGCGCUGUACAAGCUGCUGCGCCGCCGGUUCUACGACCUCCCAAUGCACGAGCUGAAGAGGCGGCAGGGGAAGGAGAAGAUCCGCAGCCUCAUCUUCGGCUACAUCCUCCGUGACUACGAGAGGGCCUUCCGUGUCACAGGGGUGGAGCUGUCCUUCCUCCAAGACCUGUUCUACAGCAAGCACGCCACCAUGUUUGCCGCCGGGCUCCGGGUCCCGUUUUGGAGCCUGCUGCUGUCCCUGGCCUUGGCCACGGUGACGGGGUAUGUCCGGUACAUACCCGGGAGGAUGGAUCCAGCGGACCGGAACAGGAUCACGCACGGCGUGUUCAUCACCCGCCUCAUCGUCGCCAUCAUCGUUCUCAAGGAGCUCCUGGAGAUUGUCCUCUACGUGUUCUCACAGUGGGCCUGUGUUCUGAUGCUGUGCAAGUACGUGCAGCAUCAGGGCUUGCGGCGUCCAGCGGUGGAGAGCGUGAUGAGGCUCUUGCUCUGUUUCGGCAGCAAAGCCAAGUGGAAUCAUCAGAUGGUCCGUCAGCAGAACCUUCUGGUCACAUUCGGUUUGAUCAAGCCAGGUGCCCUACCUCCACUUACGAUGAAGACAGUAUACCGUCGAGGGGUAGUGCUUGGAACAACCGGCCUCAAGGAUUACACGAAGAAUGCACUGUUGAAUUCGCUUGUUAAUUUGAAGGAGAAAAGGCUAGCGUUGGAUGACUACUUCUCGAACGCCUUCAAAUCGAAUGAGAAGGUGCUCAAGCUCAAGUGGACAUGCAACCUCAAGGUAGACACCCACAUCAUUCUGGUCUGGCACAUCGCAACCUGCCUCUGCGAGAUCCACUUCUUCGACGAGGUCAAGGUGCUCAAGGCUGUGCGGCGACCGCAGCCGUUCAUGAAGGGACCAAACGGGACGCUACCAGUGGCUACUACUGAUAAGCAAGACGAGUCCGAAGAAUCUGUGUGGUCAGACAAGUACGCAACUGCAGUCAGUUUAUCUAACUACUGUGUGUAUCUGGUAAUGAAAGCACUGGUGCCGGAUAAUCGCCUCGUUGCCAAGAAGGUCCUUAAUGAGGUAAUCCGAGAAAUCGACUACGUUAUCACUUCCAAAAGAAAGCUGCUUAGAUCCAUGAAAAUGGAAGAGGUAUACACUUGUCUUAUGGAGACAGUAGACAAGCCCUGCAACAACCGUGACCACGAUCAACGAGGGGGCCCUGACGUGGAAGCAGUAGCACAGGAGGAAGGUGAUCAUCAGGUAGAAAACGAAGAGGACUAUGAAAAACUCGACAUCGGGUGUUCCCUAACAAGGAUGGGUGCAGUGCUCGGAAAGCAGCUGACGGAGGUGUAUCAUGGCGACGCAGCAGGUCUCUGGAGGGACCUGCAAAGCUUCUGGAUGGGGUUCCUCCUCCACUUGGCGGCGCACACGAGGGCAGCCACGCACGCGAAGCAUCUCGCCGGCGACAGUGAGCUCAUCACACACCUGUGGGCGCUGCUUACGCACGCCGGCUUUUGUGAGAACCACCGCGAGGAGGCCGUAGACCAGGACGAGAUCGUCCCGGAUAUCAACCAGGAAGCCAGCCGAUGAAAAUCAAAUCAUUAUUCGAAUCCUUCGCGAGCUCGCAUCCAUGUCGCAUGUUUUUCUUCUGCUCUUGGUGUUUAAUUUGUUCCUACUGUUUUUUUUAAACUGUAUACUGGCAGAGAUUACCAGGUUUGUAUUAAUUAAUAGAGGAGAGAGUCCAUCUGUUCCUACUGUCAUUUUUACUGUAUAUAUAUGAAUGCGUGUGUCUACUUCAGAUUGCAAAUCCAGAUCGGUUUUAUUCAAUAAAGAUGUAAUCUUUAAAUGCCACUCUAAUUUCCCUGCUCUUUUUCUAGCUAUCUUACUUCUUAUGCUGAUUAGAAUUGGAGGCACGUUAGAAAAACGAUAUAAAUUCCAGUAAUUCUCAUAAAAAUCAUACACAUCCAAGUAUCCAACCAUCAAUUGGUAGACUGUAGCCAUUAAAUUAGAUUUUUUUUAAAAAAAAAGUUAUCCACCUCUAUCAUUAUAAAAUAGCCUACAAUAUAUAUAAAUUAUCCACGUCUACCGCUAUCAAAUAUCAUAAUGUGACCCCUAAAUUUAUAUCUAAAUUACCUACCUCUGUUAUUAUUAAAUAGCAUAAAGUGGUCCCUUAAUCUAUAUCUAAAUUAACUAACUCUACCAUUACAAUAACAAGCUAAAGUAACUCACGGGAUCCAUGUAUAAAUUACCCAAAUCUGUUAUUAUAAAUAACCUAAACUAGCUCCUUAAAUCUAUAUCUAAAUUUUCCAAAUUGCCAUUAUAAAAAUAGCCUAAAGUAACCUGUAAUCUUCAUCUAUAAUUCACCUUUUCCAGUAUAAAAAAUAUAAAAUAACCCUCUAAAUUUGCCUAUGAAUUAGCCAACUCUAACCUUGAAGAAUCCCCAAAUUCGCGUAUAAGUUGCAUACCCAUGUCAUUAUAAAAAAAUGUAAAAUAACCCUUAUCUCAAGUAACCCUCUAAAAGUUGUAUAAAUUAUCCACCUUCAUUAUUUAAAAAUAACAUAAAAGAAUGGUUAAAUUUACAUCUUAACUAUCUACCUCUUUUAUUAUAGACAACUGCAUGCUUAUUGGUGCACAUGCAUCGUUCGUCUCAUGAAAAAUGUAUUCCUACUUCAAGGAAGCUAGGCCGCAUGGCCGUGGUAAUAUAUACUGCAGCUGAGUUGAGAAAUGGCUGGGGGUAAUUCACAGUGAACGCCCAAAGUUUAUCGAUAGGUAGGACUUGUGAGAUGAUCGCUACAAUGACAGUAGGUCUGGUGAUAUUUUUUUGGGGGUGGUUAAAUUAAAGUGGGAAUCUUUUAGCGGGUUAGAACUAACCAAUAUAUAAGAAUUAUGCAUGCGCAUGUGGAUGGUUGCAUAUCUGUUGUUAUCUGAUGUGCUAUUCUGUUUCGUAACCAAUGGUAACAAUUAACUAAUGCAACCUUUCUUUAGUGCCUACGGAAUGCAAGAAACGCAACUAGCAAAUGCAGGUGAAAUGCACUACUUGGCAUGCGCUGAAAUUUGUCGCAGAGCUCAAUCUUAUGCUCAACAAGCUAUUGAUCAAUUCUAGGGAAGAAGCUGAAGCCAACUGAAUGAAAAGGCUAAGGAACCUGUGAAAUGGUCACCACCACAAACGGAUUUCUAAAGCUGAAUUUUGAUGCUGCAUAUACUACACUGAUACACAUUCAGGGUGCUGGGGUUUUAUCGCUCGAGACUCAUCAGGGAGUUCCCAAGCGGCAGGAGAGGGGAAAAUUCAGUCAGCAAGUGAUGCCUUUCAUGCAGAAGCUUUGGCCUGCAUCCAAACUCUGCAGUUUGCAGCUGAUGCAGGCAUGGGAAGAAUCGAGUUGGAAACAGAUGCCUUCCCUGCUGUGAAAAAUGAACUACACAAAAGCAGUUAUCUCUGAAAGCUAAGGAGUAUCCCUACCCAGAAAGCCAAACCAAAGGGAGCCUUAGCCCAUAGCCCCAUAUGUACAAACUCGAUUCUCUGCCGCCGACGGCGCGCCCCUCCUGGAUGAGCGCCGUCGCCUUUUGGAGCUUGAGCCACAGGAAGCGCCACCAGGCGGUUUAUCUGGGGAGCAAAGAGGCCAAGAGCGAGAGCAGCUGGGAGGGAGAAGCGGAGUGGAGCGGAGCCGGUUUGGGGCGGUGCCAAACGCACAAACCUCUCUAGAGCCCUGCGCCCGCCCCCAAUCACAAUGGCCAGCCCCGGCGGCACCGCGCUCCAGCGGCACGCAGCCGUGGCCGUCCUUCGCGCGGCGGCCGCCUCUGGCUAACUAUCCAAGGGGAAGGCUCUCCACGCCAGGAUCAUCAAAGCCGCUCAUUUUGAUGUGCUCCUGCGCAACAACCUCAUCUCCUACUACGCCGAGUGCGGCCAGGUUGGGCUCGCUCGUAAGGUGUUCGACGCAAUGCCCUACCGGAACGCCGUGUCCGGGAAUCUGCUCAUGUCCGGAUACGCUUCCGCUGGGCGCCAUAAGGACUCGCUUGCGCUGCUCAGGGUGGUCGACUUUGGCCUGAACGAGUAUAUUCUAUUUGCGGCAGUGGCUGCAAGCGCACAUGUCCGGAGCUAUGACAUUGGGAGGCAGUGCCAUGGAUAUGCUGUUAAGGCUGGUCUGGCGGAACAACCUUAUGUUCGCAACACAUUGCUGCAUAUGUACUGUCAGUGACUCAGUGUGCUCAUAUGGAGGAUGCGGUGAAGGUAUUUGAGAAUGUGUCUGGUUUUGAUGCAUUCGCGUUCAACUCGAUGAUAAAUGGGUUUCUUGAUUGGGGGCAGUUGGAUGGUUCGGUCAGGAUUGUAACAGAUAUGAUGGGAGAAAUUGAGAGGUGGGAUCAUGUGUCAUAUGUCGCAGUUCUUGGGCAUUGUGCUAGCAUGAAGGACAUGGUGCUUGGUGGUCAGGUGCAUGCCCAAGCUUUGAAGAGGAGGCUUCAACUGAAUGUUUUUGUGGGGAGUGCACUUGUUGAUAUGUAUGGGAAAUGUGACUGUGCCCAUGACGCUCAAUGCGCAUUCGAUGCCCUGCCAGAAAAGAAUUUCUUUUCUUGGACGGCUGUUAUGACUGCUUACUCUCAAAAUGAGCUGUAUGAAGAUGCAUUGCAAUUGUUCUUGGACAUGGAAAUGGAAGGAAUUAAGCCAAAUGAAUUCACUUAUGCUGUGGCUCUCAAUAGCUGUGCUGGUCUUGCAGCCUUGAGAAAUGGUAACGCCCUUAGUUCCUGUGCUUUGAAGACUGGGCACUGGGCCCAUUUGGUAGUCGGAAACGCCCUCAUGAACAUGUACUCAAAGAGUGGCAGCAUCGAGGAUGCAUGUAGAGUCUUCACUUCCAUGCCAUUAUGUGAUGUAAUCUCUUGGAAUUUGAUCAUCACAGGCUAUGCGCAUCAUGGUCUGCAGAAGAAGUCCCGUCUUAUGUUACUUCCAUUGGAGUGUUGUCAGCUUGUGCUCAGUUGGGUCUUGUUGAUGAAGGAUUCUACUACUUGAAUACGAUGAUGAAGGAAGUCGGAGUUACACCUGGAAACGAACAUUAUACUUGUAUGGUUGGUUUGUUAUGCAGAGCUGGACGGCUAGAUGAGGCUGAGCGGUUCAUAGUGGAUAAUGGCAUUGGCAUAGAUGUUGUUGCUUCGCGAUCACUGCUAAGUUCUUGCCAGAUAUAUAGAAAUUAUGGCCUGGGUCAUCGAGUAGCCGAACAGAUUCUUCAGUUGAAGCCCAAUGAUAUUGGAACCUAUGUUUUGCUCUCUAACAUGUAUGCAAAAGCCAACCGAUGGGAUGGUGUUGUGAAGUUACGGAAGCAGAUGAGAGACAGGGGCGUUAGGAAAGAACCUGGUGUUGGUUGGAUUCAAGUGGGAAGUGAUGUUCAUGUUUUCACAUCGGAGGACAAGGCACAUCCACAAAUUGACCAGAUCACUGUAAAACUUGAAGAGCUGAUCGACCAGAUAAAAGCAAUUGGAUAUGUUCCAAACUUUGCAGUGGUCCUACAUGAUAUUGAGGAUGAACAUAAAGAGGAGCACCUUAUGUAUCACAGUGAGAAAUUGGCUCUAGCAUUCGCCCUUAUUCACACCCCUAAGGGAGCAACAAUCCAUAUCAUGAAAAACCUCAGGAUCUGUGAUGAUUGCCAUGUUGCUAUCGAGCUCAUAUCAAUUGUCACUAGCAGAAAAAUAGUUGUAAGGGAUGCCGUUAGAUUUCAUUGUAUAGAAGGUGGGGUUUGCUCAUGUGAUGACUAUUGGUGAUUUGUGGUGCAACUGUCUUGAUAACACGUGCCUGUUUUGUUAGGUUAGUGAAGUUGUGCUCAAAUUCCUGAGCAUUCUCACUUAGUAAUUCACUAAAUGUCCAGAUAUGUCUGCGAAGUAGCGCUCCUGACAACAGGCAUUGAACAAAUUCAGUUGUUCAGCUUAUCGAAUUUGUACAGCGUCUGAGGAAGAGGGCCAAAGGGCAAGACGACCCAGUUCGAUGAUUGGCAGAGAAAGGACAUUCAUGCCUCAGCAAUUCACUUGACACAAUAGAGCUAUAUAAGACCAGAAUCCACUUGUAAAUAUAUGUAGAGGUUGGAGUUUGUUCAAGUGAUGAUUAUCGGAAUUAUGGUGCAAAUUUAUUGAUAACAUGAGGCCUGUUGAGUCAGUUUAGUGAAGCAACUGGUAGCAUUCCACCGCACAGGACUGUAUUGCCUAACCAUCAGAUAUCAUCAGUCAUCAUUACAGUAUGGCUAUCAUGCACAUCUUCUGUAUCAUAAUAUCAUACGCUGGUAUUUCUGAGCACAGGAGUGUUUGACUGGUGGCUGCAACUGACCGCAACAAGUAAAUUUUACCUUAAAAUCAGCAUUCCAAAGCAACACUGCAGGCUUGCAUCUUGUAUUAUCCUAGAUUCUUUCUAGAAAUCGAGUGAAGAGAGAGAUGCAUUUUCCGCAACGUCAUCAUCAUGCACGCAAGGAUUCUACAUCCCAUUUCCAUCCACAUACGUACGGAUUUUUUGCCUGCCAGAUCGGCAGAUCGCGAACACUUCUUCAGGGAGUUGAAUCCGUGUCUGAAAGGCUGGAACAACAAGAUGCAGAGCUCAGGUGGCGUGCAUAUCAUGGAUGUGAGCUUCUUUCUCUUCCAGUUGAUGCCAAGUUCUCGGUGUCCGUACUCUGCAGCACCAGCAUAGAAAUCCUCGUAUUCUUUUCAGAUGCUGCAACUUUUCACUUCCCACGCAACACUCGACGAAAUAUACAGAAAGCCCACCCAUCAGCACAAGUUAAGAAAAAGGGUCCAAAUCGACCAAAUCACAGAAACGGCCCACUCUCUCCUCACGUUCUCCCACCUCAGCUCAACCACAUGGUUUGCCAACUGGCAGGACACGCUGCUGCUGGUUAGUACCACACCGCCUGUUCGCAGAGCACAGCACCAAGUUAAAUAGCCGGUCCUCCGCGCCUCACUCGCCGAGCAGCUAGCGACUGCUUGUAACCCGAGCGGGGGCAUUAAGGUGGUGCGGAUGCCAAUUGUGGCACUUGGGCCUGGGUCUGCUGCCGCAAUCUGCGGCCCGCCCGUUUCAAGUUGCGUAGUGGGCCGUUGGGUGCUUCGGCGAAGGCCUUGGCGUCCCGGCACCUAGAGCGGCGGGCAAUGCGUGAGGCUGGCUUCACAGAGCAGCGAAUACCGCCCGCUUCCAACGGUGGAAGGAUAACGGGCCGCUGCGCUUCAGUCCCGCUUAGGCCCAUGUGCCCUCUCUGGCAGACCACCAUCUUUUUGCAAUGUUUUUCUUCCGUUGGCCUGGCGUCACGGCCCAUCAUGUCGAAGUAUCGGGGUAACAUUUGGCCCCAGCUAUGUACCCUCUCUGGUAGCUAGCGAUUGCCCGCUGGCCUCCGUGUAAACCAGGAAAGCUUGCCUUCCAUCCUAAAAAAAAAUUGGUGACGAGAGACAAGGCUCAACUUGAACCCUCUCUGGUAGCUAGCGAUCUGCAAGGUGGGGAGCUGCAUCAUGAACCCUCACGAUCCCAAAAUACUUGUUCAUACCACAAUUUUGCUAAGAAAUAUUUCCAACUCAAACUACAGAAACCUAUUUAAGGAAAUGCAGCAGGAAAUAGUAAAAUUCAUGCAGUGCUCUCAUGCAAGAAAAAUUGAGGCAAGACAAUCCGGUAUGAUUCAGGAUCACAAGGUCAGGAACUACUAACUAAGCAUGUCUUGCUCAAUUUCUAAAGUGUUGCAAUGCACAACUGAAACAGACACUUUGUUAAUUCAGAUCGUACUCAACAAGAAAUGACUAAUCAGCCGCACUAAUAUCAGUCAUUUGAACUGAAUCAAAGUAACUCUUCAGGACAACAAGCAGAUCGGACCGCCAAGGUCCAAUUUUUCACUGCGAGGCACAGACCCCGAUCGACCGGGCUGCAGUAUUACCUGUGGAGGGCAAAGGAGGCGGACACCGAACCGGUCGAGUGCGCGUGCGGCGAGGCCGUCAGGUGAGGUGUCCGCGUCACCGGUGAAGAUGGCGCAGGGAGGCCCGGGCGGAGCUCCUGCACGGCGCGCACCAGAGCACGCGCUCCCCGCCACCGCCGUCGUUGGUGUACGGUUGGAAGAACCCUGCGGCGGGGGUGGGCUGGCGGCCGAGGUGGAGGGGAAGGCGCCGGAGUGCGGCGGCGAGGAGGACGGAGAAGACGGCGGCGACUCUGGAAGCGCGCGGGAAGGGGCCGCGCGUGCAGGAAUCGGUAUUGGGGAAGACCCGAUGUCGCGAAUAUAUGCGGGUGAGGGAGAAUGUUUUCGCGUUAGGUGUACUGUUUGAGUUUGUUUUUUUCUUUUUUCCCUAAAAAAGAUAUUGGGAGUAAGAUUAACAGCCUUUUGGAGUUGGAAAGCACUAACCUUGUGGUAUAGGCUGAUAGCUGCCCGACGCGGCGGUGUAAUGGAUAAACUCACCGGCGACCGGCGACGAGGACCGGGCAGGAGACCGACCAGCAGGAGGGAAGCUGGCGCAGAACGGCAGGAAUGGAUGCGGCGCCGCUAAGGGGGAGGUGGUGGUUGCGGAACCCGCGUUCGGGUGCCGUACACGAGCGCCAUCGUCGCCGGCAUCUCCGGCGAGGUUGGAGAGGAGAAAGACAUAACUAAAUUAGGGGCCUUCUAGGGGGGUUUAUGUAAAAUAUUGGAUCGCGAUUCUUACUGCAAAUACGCACAGCCAUCCGGCCCUGCGCUUCGUCUUCUCCCGCGGGCCGCCGCAGGGCAAGCCAAGCGAUGCAGACCGCUGCGGCCGCCCGGAGGGGCGCCGCGGCGUGGGCCGCGUCGGCGUUCCACUCUUCCGCCGCAGCGCUCUCCAAAUCCACGGUAAUCCCCACCCGUACCUGUACACUGCCGGGUUUGCCUCGUCCUUCAGACGCAUUGCUCCACCAUCCAGUUCUGGCGCUGGCCGCCGGCGCUCCGCCCUUGUGCCCGAUGCGCAGCGCGUCCGAGCCCCUCCGCCCGACCCGGCCGCUGCACAAGCCCGCGACGGCGGCGCCCCCUCCGCACUCCACGCGAGGCGCGACGCGCCCGUCCGCCCGAUGCUGGCGCAGAUCCCUGCGAGGCUGCGACCUCACCUCAUGGCCCCUUCUUGCAUUGGCUGGCAGAUUCGUAAUCUCUAGAUAGGAAACGGGUUGCAAAAUGGUUCACAUGGUGAAUGCUCCGCUGAUUUGUGUUAAAAAAACACUUUCAGAGCAUCGUAGCAUAUGUUGAUUCUGUGUUUCUUCAAUCAUUUGGAAUCUAACAGUUAUUUUGCGCAGCCUCGUAUCCGGUUCGCUGUCCGUGAGAAGCGCAGGGAUGCAAAGAGUGCCCUUAAAAACAUUCUGCUCAAUGGCAGCCCGUGUCAGGUAACACUCACCAUUUUCCUAUUCUGCACUUUCUAAUCUCUGAGCUAUCUCUCAACAAUACCUCAAACUGACUCAGCUACUGGAGGCGCACUUUUAAUCCCGUUUUCAGUGUGUUAUCCUUGUUGAAGUGAUCUAUGUGGUUUCUUCUGACUCUAGUUGUACCAGAUGUGUGUUGGUGCUGAUGGGUAAAAUAGACGUGCCUUGAUAGUUCAGUUUAUACUAUACAUGGGGAAUGCUCUUUUUAAUUUCUUAUACUCCCCUGUGAAAAAGGAUUUACUUCAAAUUAUGUUUCAAUGUUCCCUACAGGAAAGCAUUAACAAGCAAAUGAGAAAGCAGAAAGGUAGUGGCAGACCAAAGGUCCAGCAUUCUUGUCCAGGGAAAAAUCCAUAUGGCAAAAAUAAGCGUAAGUUCUUUCAAAUCAUUUGCCGUGAACUGCUUUUGAAUUGAACUGCUUGUGUUCUUCUGUGUUUUUAAUUAACUAGAGUACAAGACUUUUGGAAUGAAUAUUUAAAUAUACAAAUUACAAGCACAGAAUGAAAACAUUUCCCUGAGUCUUACAUUGUUUUAUUAUGAAUGUUGCUCCAUUAUUUACUUCAAAUGUGAAUUUUGCAAGUUACAGUGACAUUAUUACACCUGGGUGAUCAUUCCUACCAUCUUCACUGUGUAAAUGUUUUAUUAUGAUAUAACUUUGCAUUUCACCAUCUACUGUUACCUCCAAAUUAUUUUCUGUAUAUUUGGAUGACAAGAAGUGCACACUAAUGUUUAACGUAGGUGGGCAGAACUGGAAAAGCUUUGAUGAUGAUGAAUGCACAGAUACACCAUAUGGUACCUUUGGUGGUAAGAGAUCCUUCACAUGGUACUGGCCCGGGGAGAAUGACGAGCUUGGUAGUUCUCCUAGCGGUUUUCAAUGGAGGGAUGAAUCUCAGUCUGCCAAAUCAAGGAAAAAGUUCUUGAAUGAAAGUGAUCUCGAUGAGGAAGAGGUGUCAGGGUCAGGCCAUGAUGAUUUGCGAAGCUAUAGGAUCUCUCUGGGGUUGCCAAUUUUAGGCCCCUUAAAACUGGCGCAUAUUAAGGCUGCGUGAGUCAUCUGAACAUUUCUUACAUCACCACAUCACAUUUGCAGGGUUCAGUGUCACAAGGUUACUAAUUGAUUAUCUUUCUCAAAAUGGUGCCUCUGCAGUUUUCGUGCUUCUGCUCUCAAGUGGCACCCGGACAAGCAUCAAGGACCUUCACAGGUUGGUGUCAUAGUAUGUGUUGUCCUUGCAUUUCACCAUUUUUUUUUCACUUGUGACUCUUUCAAGGAUUUUGUGAUAUGAUUCUGGAAUUUCUGGUAACUGGUGCAGAAGUCUUUAAGGAACUGUUUGUCAUGCAUAACCAAAUUGAAAUGCACAGCGUGCUGGAUACAUUGUAUCGAGUAGUAGAAUUGUGGAUUGAACAUUAAAAGUAGCAAAAAAUAAUAAUAACUCGGUUCUUUUUUUGUUGAUUUAUUGAGCUAUAUCCAAGUAGUUGAUCUGAAAACAUCUGUAUCCUCCAGGCUGAAGCAGAGGAAAAGUUCAGACGCUGUGUGGAAGCAUACAACGUAUUGACUUGUGCCUUCAAGUCAAGUGGCUAACUAUGGGCGCAUGCAAGUGCAAGGAAACUUUUUGAUGAUUUUUUGGGAACUUCAAAUUGAUACGUGGAGCUGCUGUAGUUUAAGGACACAGAGAAACUAGAAGAAAGUGAAGUUUAGAGUUUUGGCUUCAUGUUGAUAACGAAAUAUAAAGAAUAAUCUGUAUCAAAAACAUAGACUUGGGUCAGCCCAGCCAAAUCAAUUGAGGUGACGCAAAUUCCAGGGUUCAUUUGUAUGUUUGCUUCCACUGUCACUGUAAGAGUAAAUGUUGUUUCACAGCGAGUUUGUUGUAAAAUUUUACUCAGUAAUGCUGAAUAGAUCCAAAACAGUUGCAGUGUCAGCAAAUGCUUUGUUUGACAUAAAAGAGGACAGGGGCUAGUGUUGAUGUAAAAUCCAAGUUUAGAGGUGGCUAAACCACAUGAAUCCAUAUCAGGCUUCCCUGGUUGUAAGCUCUCCAGUUGGUUCAAUAUUCAGUAUCUGCAGUUCUGCACUACAUUCUUGUUUAACUGAAGUCUUGACAAAAUGGCGUUUGUCAAUGGGGCUUGGCAUAGCUGCAGCCAAAAGUUUAUUGUGCCUUAGUUUGUUAGUUUCGGCAAUGCAAAAGCUACUUGCAGUCCAUAUUUGCACGGAUGCUUACAGCGCUUUCAGAUAUAUAAGGCCGUAGAUGUAGCAGCACUGCAGCAGCAUAGUCCCAAGCAAUUUAUAGAACUAUCAGCUUACAGCUCCAACCAAGCCAAGCCAAGCAAGUUUUACAACAAACCAGGUGAUACAACACAACACGCUCGCACAUGAAGCCACAGCAUACAGGGGGCCUAUCCCAGAGAAGAAUCAUGGUCUGAAGAAAAUAGACAUAGUAUGCUGUUCUGCAGCACAUCUCUAAAUAAAUGAACCAGACAUAACGUGAGACUAGAUGACAGUGAUGAUGCAGUUGAGAAACCUAGAAGCACUUCCUGUGAACAAUUGCUGGGCCAGACUCAUCGUACUCAUCCUUCGAUAUCCACAUCUGGUACAUCAAUGCCAGAAUAUAACAGAAUUUAGAUGCUGCUUUAAUUUCACAUUGAUAAGUUAUAAGUUCAGUAACUGCAAUCAAACAAUAGGUACCUGUUGGAAAGUGCUGAGCGAGGCUAGGAUCGACCCUCCGAUCCAGACACUGUACUUCCGCUCAGGUGGUGCAACGACCUUGAUCUUCAUGCUGCUCGGAGCAAGGGCGGUGAUCUCCUUGCUCAUACGAUCAGCAAUGCCUGGGAACAUAGUUGUACCUCCACUGAGCACAAUGUUGCCAUACAGGUCCUUCCUGAUAUCCACGUCACACUUCAUGAUUGAAUUGUAGGUCGUCUCAUGGAUUCCAGCAGCCUCCAUACCAAUCAUGGAUGGCUGGAAGAGGACCUCAGGGCACCUGAAUCUCUCUGCACCAAUGGUGAUUACUUGACCAUCAGGUAGCUCAUAGCUCUUUUCAACUGAGGAGCUGUUCUUGGCAGUUUCCAACUCUUGCUCAUAGUCAAGGGCAAUAUAUGCAAGCUUCUCCUUGAUGUCCCUUACAAUUUCUCGCUCAGCAGAGGUUGUGAAGGAGUAACCCCUUUCAGUGAGAAUUUUCAUGAGGGAGUCUGUGAGAUCACGACCAGCCAGAUCCAAACGAAGAAUGGCAUGAGGAAGUGCAUAUCCUUCAUAAAUGGGCACAGUGUGGCUCACACCAUCACCAGAGUCAAGAACAAUACCUGCACAGAGAGAAAAACAGAAUCUUCAACCACAUAUUGUGUAACCAAAUAGUUCAGAUUUCCAUUACUUCUUGACUUAUUAGUAUUAGCUAUAGGUACUAGUAUUUAGUUUUGCCUGAAUUCAUAUCACCUCAUAGACAGCAGGUGGUAAUCACAUAGGAUAUACUGUACCUGAAUUAUGCCAACUCACAAACAUGAAUAGAUGAUCCAAUGGCUUAAUUAUGCAACUUUGAAAAUAACUUCAAACAGAUACUGGAGAACAGCAUAACGAAACCAUAAAUAUAUAACUGGGAGACUGAAUCAAAACUGCACUAAAAGGAAUAAAUUCAUACCAGUAGUACGUCCACUGGCAUAGAGGGAGAGCACAGCUUGAAUUGCAACAUACAUGGCAGGAACAUUGAAAGUCUCGAACAUAAUCUGGGUCAUCUUCUCCCUGUUAGCUUUAGGGUUUAAAGGAGCUUCAGUGAGCAGCACAGGGUGCUCCUCCGGUGCAACACGGAGCUCAUUGUAGAAAGUGUGAUGCCAUAUUUUCUCCAUGUCAUCCCAGUUGCUUACAAUACCAUGCUCAAUCGGGUACUUCAGUGUGAGGAUACCUCUCUUGGACUGUGCCUCGUCACCAACAUAUGCAUCUUUUUGUCCCAUCCCUACCAUGACACCAGUGUGGCGAGGACGGCCAACAAUGCUAGGGAAAACAGCCCUUGGUGCAUCAUCUCCAGCAAAACCAGCCUACAAGAUACGCAUAAUUAGUAGGAUAUUUUGGAAUGUGUCAGAUCAAAAGUGUGGCAGUAGAGAGGAAAUACACUUACCUUGACCAUUCCAGUCCCAUUGUCACAGACAAGAGGCUGGAUGUCCUCACCAUCAGCCAUUUCUACAGAAUAACUGCAAGUGGCAUAUGAAGAGAAUCAGUUUGUGAUGAAAGGUUUCCUUAGCUCAAUACAUGGUAUAAAGGAACAUUGAACAUGCAAAUGCAUUUUAAUUGAAAGCAUUAACUUGAUGCGUACAAGAAAAAAUGUCAGAAAACAAAGCAAUUUAUGCAAUACCCCUGGCACUGGUUAAGUUAUAUAGUUCCUAAACAACAACUUCUAACCCAUAAUGUCUGAAUUUCACAGCAGCCUACAAGAAAAAAUGUCAGAAAACAAAAGCAAUUUAUGUAAUACCCCUGGCACUGACUAAGUUAUAUAGUUCCCAGAGAACAAUUUCUGACCCAUAAAGUCUGAAUGAAUUUCACAGCAGCAUGUUUCCACUGUGUCAAUUUGUGGAACAAUCUAGGAGCAUCCUAGAGCAUGGAUUCCUUGAUCCUAAGGAGGAAAUGAACCGAUGAAAGAUACGAUUUUUGGCCCGAUCUUCGCCCAGGCUACUCAGAUCCGGGCCCGCAAGGUCGCAAGACCAAGCCUUGGAGUGAACGGAGAGCAAGAUCUAGAAGCUAACAAGAACAGAGAGCAGCGUCGUAGAGGACCAGAAGAGAGCGAGGGAGAGAGCGCUCGCUUACGGUGAAGCGUUUAUGCGGGGGCGGACCGGACGGGAUCGGAUGCGAUCGCCGCAGCAGAGGAGGACGAGCGGGGGUGGGCGGUGCUGCUGCGCUGCUACUGCCGCCCCUCCCUGUCCUGUCGUGUGGAACAGCCAGCAGCAACGAGAUGAAUUGAAGAAGCACGAGAAAAAUGGGGAAAAGGUUUUGCUAUUCCUGUUUUUUCCCCCCAAAGUCUUCUCCCGCACUUGAAUUUCACUUCACACAGAACGGCCCAGCCCGGCCUCACUCGUUGGUAGGCCUCCAUGUUGUGCAUCAAAUCCCGGCCCAUCAACCAAACUAAAUUCUUUUAAAAAAAAUUUAAAGGUUCUUUUGCUCAUUUUAUGCGGGCCCGCACCAUGUCCGCUUCAUCUUCAAAUUCACCACAUUUGCAGCGAUGUUAGAGUUUGGUCAGUAAUCACCGGACUUAGAGAGGAAAGCUCACUGUGCUGUCAGUCACUAGCAAGGGGUUGCAGGUGGAUACGUGAGGAAAAAACACCUGGAAGUUAAGGAAAAUGGGACUGUACACGGGAUCCCAUCAGUGCACGAUGGCUGUCGUUGCAUACGUUCUUUGCAUUGGACCAUGGAACAGGGCUAGCAUUCUCGCUCUUCUCUUGGCAUUUUCUUUGGUAACGGAAUCAUCACAUGGAUCAGAUACAUGCGCAGCAUGGGCUUAUAUUAUCAAAUCAUUGUGCCGUUAUUUAACUAGCUAGACAAAUUAAAGUAAGUAAUAAGCGAUGCUCCCCUAAAAAAUAAGUCAUUUUAAGAUUCAAAAUUUGCCAAAAAUUAAAUUAUUAUACUCAAUUUGGCAUGCAUGUGCAUGAGCAUGUGAGCAUGCGGCGGUCAAUUAGAGUUAACUGUGACUAAUAAAUAGGGGCAAUGGAUGUUAUUUUACCUGUUCUAAAAUUUCUAAGGUGACUUGUUUUUUGCGACGGAAGGAGUAUAUAAUUAAUCAACCAACCAGCUGGCAACAAAGCUCUCUUGUCGAUCGUCAGAUCAUUGAUCAUACAUGAUUCCAACAUAGUCGACGUGUUCAGGAGAACGACACUUCCUAUGCAUGUGUUGCAUUAGAGAUAGGAAAUUAAGUAAGUAGGGAGCUAUCGCUCUCGAUCUCGUAUCGCCCUUCCCGAUUCCCAUACUCUGUCCACCUCGCUGCCCAUACAUGGCCCUAUCUCCCUCCAUGCAUAGUAACAUAUGAUUGUCGUUUUCGUUAAGCAAGCAGAUACUCACUGGUACAACGAAUGUGCUCGUAUUUACUGGACUAUUUUAGGAAUUAAUGAUAUUAUUAUUUCGGCGGUAGGCGAUGUACUAGUCAUUGAUGUUGACUUUGUCAAUCUCAAUAUUCCACUGCGUUUCGGGAAAAAAAAAAGUUUUGCGCAUGUGGAUGUGGCAAAAGGGCAUAAGAUGGCAAAAAAUGAGCUUCGUCAAGCCACCAAGCUCAGCAAAGAAUACCAUUAAGUCGUAACGAGCUUUCAUAUAUCAUUGGGAAUACAUACUUCUCCUCAAAAGCAAAGUUUCACUUGGCGUAACCGUUUUAAUGCGUGGUUGGGUUUGAAUUAGUUUGGUGCACCAACACAACGUUAUACGUUUUCAAUGGAAAAUUGGUAAGUUCAUCGGCCAACGACCAAAGCUACUCGAUCUGUCGUCUUACUUAGUAGCGGUGAACCUCCUAUAGCUAGGGACGCAUGCAUGUCGUCAUCAAAUACUUGCCAUGUCUCAUGUGAACUCGAACAGCACCCAUUCAAUACCGAGCGAUAGGACAAGGCAUGUUUGCAGCACUAGAAUUAAAGUUGGGUGCGUUACAUGUUUCAUCCAAAUCUUGUGUUCCUUUGGACCACUUUUAAUACAUGCUAAAGUUUCUUGUAGCGUCUCCAGAGUAUACUGAUGUGAAAGCAAGUCUUUAAAAAACUUGACCUACAAUUUUCUUUGCAAUAUGUUAUCGAUUGCAAUAAAAUUAGCAUCUUAUAGAAAAUGCAGUUUCAAAAACCAUGAUAUUAAAAAAAUUGAGAUACGGAUCUAGUGGUACAACUUUGCAUAAUAUUCAUGCAUAUAAUUUGAGGUAAAAAUUUACAAACUUUGACUUGUUGCUUAUCAAAAACAUCUUACAAAAAUGAAAGGAGGCCGAGGGAGUAUUAGUAAACCUUGAUAAUUGAGUAGAUAUCAUAUCAUUACAUCAAUUUGAUUAGAUAUCAUAUCAUUCCAUUAAUUUGAUUAGAUAGCAUAUCAUUACAUUAACUGUGAUUGUAUAAGCAUAGUACUACUACCUCACUAUCAUAUCAUGCAAUUAGUUGCGUCAAUGUGCACUCAAUAUGUCGGCAAGUUCAUCAAGAAAUUAGAAUUCUAGAAAAUUAAAUGUCCCGUUGUGAUAUGAUUAGGAGGAAAACCAAUUAGAAGCAUAUGUAUACAAUAUAAUAGUAAUAGAAAACUAGAAAAGUUAGAAGGGAAAAUAAUGUUAGUUACUUAUUUUGCAUCCUUAUAGGCUUAAUUAGUCUAUGCUUGCAAACAUUCGCCUUCUGUGUUACAAGGAGACAAAUGUGCUGCAGCGGUACAGUUCAUUACAGGCUCCAAGAAGAGAAGUUUUUCGAAAAGCCACUCUUCAGAUGAUCUGCUGCGGUACACUAGGCAAAUUUGCUUCUACAUCAAGUUUGAAAAGCAUGGAGUAUUGUACACUCAAGUUGGUAUAAGUUUAAUGUGGUUUUGUCUGCAUUUCCAACCUAGAAUCCAGUAAUCUGUAGAGUUCCCCAACUUGAUCUUCUUAAAAGCAACACCAUAUCAGUUUACUAAUUAACUAAUUAGCUCUUUAUUAAUCCUUCUACAUUUCAACAAAAUUACCCAAUCACCAACCCGUGCUACUAGUACAUGUCAACGCAAUUUAUUUUUCUAUUUUUCCCUUUCUACAGAGGCUGCUAGAUCUUAUCAUCAGGCUAACUAGUACAAGUGUGCAACAGUUUCUUCACAAACAAAAGAAGCAUAUCUGUCUGUCUGUCAGUCAGAGAGCACAGGAGAGGAACAAGACCAUAUUAUCCAUUCAGAUCUGAGCAACAGUAACCAAACCCAUAAUCUAGUGCCAUCAGAGGAAUAAAAAUGCAUUACAGGAACAACAUUAAAAAAAUUUAACUACUAGACCCAAGACCAGCUGGCUAUUUCUGAGUAGAAGCCAGCAGAUACGGUCAAGUAACAGCCUUAGAAAACAAGUAAGCACAGUGAAGAGUCCAAAGCAAGAGCACAAGAUGGGCGUGGCCAUGGCCAUGUGAGGGAGAUGAGUACAUGCACAGACAUCACCGCGGGGUGAGCCGGAGUGCCCAAAAAGAGAAAGAAAGCAGCCGGGUGAGGCGAGUAAUGGAGGAGGCGGCGUAGAGAGAGAAAGAGCUGAGAGGGAAAGAACAAACAGGGGGAGCCCAUCCCUCGUGAUCAACAGCACACAAGCGGAGAAAGUGGGAGAGGAAAGAGGGAAGCUGGCGCAUUGACUCCAGCCUCCGGCGCACGCCAGCCGGCGACCUUCCGGCUUCCGGCGGCGCUCGAGCCGGGUGGAUCCCAUCUUGGAGGGAGUGCCGCAGGAGCAGGAGGAGAGAUUUCUUGGGCGCAUGGAGAGUUGAUGCUUCGUUCCCCCUGGAGCUCUGGUACGCGAAUCUUUCGCAUUCUUGCGCAAAUUUUGAUUCUUUCUGCGGCUUGAGGUUUGCCCUGGUCAGUUGGCGCCGGUAAGCCCGGAAAGGGGGCUUCUUCGCGCAUUUCUGAACGAAUCUAGUGUUUCUGUGGUCUUAUUUCCUGAUGGAAGACUCGAGUCUAGAUUUCCCCCCAUUUGUAGUGCCGGCGGUUUUGGUGUUGAUGGUUCUUGGCACCCCUGAUACUGAUUUGGGUUGAUAAUGUUGGGGGGAUGGUUGCCUGGACGCAGUUCGGGUCUGCAUUUCUAUGCCUUCACGGCUGAUGAUUUUAGCUGUGGUGCCAAUGUACUGGUUACUGGUAAUAUUGUGGACUGAUGGUGUUGAUUUACUUGUCAGUAAGCGAUGCCAGCAAAUUGCUCAUGCAAACAAACAAUGUGAUGCCCACGGCACAUCUCCAUUGGUGUUAGGCUGUUGGUGCGCAGAUUAUGAUUAUCUUGGGGGAAAUAAAAGGUUUUAAUGGAGUGUUUCAAGUUUCCAGCAUUAAUUCUUUGUGGUCAUACAUUGUGGGUUCACUCAAUUUUUUAUAUACAGAAUGCGGAACUAAUUGUCUGAUGCUAGUUAAUGCUUGCAUAGUUGCAUACAAGGAGUCAAGUUCAGUUAAAUAUCAGAGGAGCUCUUGUUAUAAUGAUAUAAAAUUUAGCAGACAUGUCCCAUUUUUGGUAAACCCUUCCAUCGUGGCUCUGGGCCAGGGCGUCAAAUUCUGGUUUUGCAAAUAUAUUGGUCCAAGGCGGUUUUUGGUUUCUGGCAAGUACCUGUUGGUAAUUGUUUUUUUUUUAAAUGAUGGUUUUGAUCUGUCCAAUGUAAAUGGAAUCACUGGCACUAUCCGAUCUAUCCAAUUUAAAUGUAAAUUUUAAUGUGACCCAUUCAUGCUAGGAUCUGGCAGUGAAUGGUGUGAACCUGGUGAACGUCUGCCCAGAAUCAUUGCUUAUCGAUUUUAAAUCAAUCUUUCAAUUUAUAUUUAAUUGCUUCAGAUUUGUGCUCCUAGUAUUGCCAAGAACUGGUUAUUCUUCUUUCCACUUAGUAAGAUUAGUACCAUAACUUCUAUUCUGCACAUAACUGUAACCUUGCUGCCCUUUUUCUCUUGCAUAAAGUUUCAUCUGGUUCUCCAAUCUCUUCUACAGCAUUUUUUAUUCUUUGCUGUUAAAUAUGUGCAGGUAUUUGGCAUGCCCACAUCGUUUGAACAUGUACCUCUCUCAUCAAUAUAGCACUCCUGUGACAGUAAUGAUUUUGUGUGUGUUGAUACUAUUCUCCUAGCUUUAUGGUCGCAUUGUGAUCAGAUACAAAAACAUGCUCAUGAAGGGGCCAUCUUCAGAUGUUCUCAGAGCAAGCAUUUCUAGUGCCCCAAGUACAUCUAGCCAUGGUUCUGCACAAGAUGAAUGUGAUUCCUUAGGGGAUGUCUAUGUGUGGGGUGAGGUUGUCUGCGAUAAUUCUGUACGAACUGGUUCCGAUACUGUAAUUAGAUCAACUGGAAGGUGUGACAUCCUACUGCCAAAGCCAUUGGAGUCCAGUUUAGUUCUUGAUGUGUAUCAUGUAGAUUGUGGGGUCAAGCAUGCUGCAUUGGUCACGAAAAGUGGUGAGGUUUUUACAUGGGGUGAAGAUUCUGGAGGCCGUCUUGGCCAUGGAACACGGGAAGAUUCUGUUCACCCUCGUCUGGUCGAGUCUUUGACAGUUUCAAACAUAGAUUUUGUUGCCUGUGGGGAGUUUCAUACUUGUGCUGUUACAACAACGGGUGAGCUUUAUACAUGGGGAGAUGGAACUCACAAUGUUGGACUUCUCGGACACGGCAAUGAUGUAGGACACUGGAUACCUAAGAGGAUUUCUGGAGCAUUGGAAAGUCUUCAAGUUGCUUAUGUUUCUUGUGGAACCUGGCAUACAGCCUUGAUUACAUCCAUGGGUCAACUAUUUACCUUUGGGGAUGGUUCAUUUGGAGUAUUAGGCCACGGAGAUAUGAAAAGCAUUUCUUACCCAAGGGAGGUAGAGUCACUAUCAGGGUUGAAAACAAUUGCAGUGGCAUGUGGUGUAUGGCACACUGCAGCUAUUGUGGAGGUUAUUGUCACUCGGUCCAGUUCAAGUGUAAAGCUAUCUGCUGGAAAGCUGUUCACAUGGGGAGAUGGUGACAAGCAUCGACUUGGUCAUGGUGACAAAGAAGCUCGACUUGAGCCAACUUGCGUGGCUACCCUUAUUGAUUAUGAUUUUUACAGGGUAGCAUGUGGUCACAGUCUUACUGUAGCCUUGACAACUUCUGGACAAGUCUUAAGCAUGGGUAAUGCUGUUUAUGGUCAGCUCGGAAAUCCUCAUUCAGAUGGAAGGAUUCCAUGUUUAGUUGAAGACAAGAUUGCGAGUGAACAUGUUCUCCAAAUUGCUUGUGGCUCCUACCAUGUUGCGGUUUUGACAAGCAGGAGUGAAAUUUUUACAUGGGGAAAGGGAGCUAAUGGCAGAUUGGGUCAUGGAGAUAUAGAGGAUCGGAAGGUACCUACACUGGUUGAAGCCUUGAAAGAUAGAGCUGUAAGGUACAUAGCAUGUGGUGCAAACUUCACUGCUGCUAUUUGCCAGCAUAAAUGGGUUUCUGGAGCUGACCAAGCACAGUGCUCCUCAUGUCGACAGCCAUUUGGGUUUACUCGAAAGAGGCGUAACUGCUAUAACUGUGGACUUGUCCAUUGUAAUGCCUGCACCUCAAGGAAGGCCUUGAGAGCAGCACUGGCUCCUAAUUCUGGGAAACCUUACCGUGUCUGUGAUUCAUGUUUCUUGAAGUUGGAUAGUGCCUCAGAUCCUAAUUCAGCUAACAGGAGGAAAGACCCUGUUCCCUACCAAUCUGGUGAAAGCAAUGGAGAUGCUAAAGCAACUAAAGCUGCUAUACCCAGUAAUAUGGAUAUGAUUAGAAGUUUGGAUAUCAAGGCAGCACGGCAAGGGAAGAAAACUGAUGGACUGUCAUUUCUCCGUAAUCCUCAAGUUAGUUCACUCCUGCAGCUGAGUGAUAUUGCUUUGUCUGGUGGCUUAGACAUGACCAGAUCAGCUCCGAGAGCAGUACGUAUAUCUGCAACUCGGUCAGUAACUACUUCAAGGGCUGUUUCCCCUUUCUCUCGCAAGCCCAGUCCACCACGUUCUACCACACCAGUUCCAACCGCCCAUGGUCUUUCUCUCUCAAAAAGUGCUACUGAUAAUAUCGUUAAAGCAAAUGAGCUCUUAAACCAGGAAGUUGAGAGGCUGCGUGCACAGGUGUGUAUUCUUCAUUAUUCAGUAGAACCUUGCUUUUCAUGUUUAUGAUGUAGCAAGAAUUGCUAAUUUUACACAUUUAGGUUGAUAACCUGAGAAACCGGUGUGAGCUUCAAGACCUUGACCUGCAAAAAUCAGCCAAGAAAGUACAAGAGGCUAUGACACUGGUGGCAGAAGAAUCUGCAAAAUCUAAAGCUGCAAAAGAAGUUAUAAAAUCUUUAACCGCUCAGGUAAUCUUCAAUCUCUUAGUUCUCAUGGUUUGUGUGAUGUUUUACUGAGUCGAGUAACAAAAUGCUCAACUUGUAAAGUUUUUCAUUGUUUGGAAUCACUUUCUAGGUAACACAUUGCCUUUUUAUUUCUGGCGAAAACACUGUCAGAUGUGUGAUUUCUGUUGUCUCAGUAUCUGUCACAAUCAUCUUUGCUUAUUCCCUACAUUUAAGAAUACUAAAGACAGGAGUAGGCAUAUUAUUUUUAACCAGAAAUAAAUGUUGAAGCCUUAUGGCUGUGUACCUUUUUCUCUUGACUUGUCUAGCUGAAGGACAUGGCUGAAAGAUUACCACCAGAUCACUGCGCCUACAAUGUCAAUGAGACAAAGCAAGCACAUAUUCCAAAUGGCAUCGAGUCACAUGUUGCUAGCUACUCUAGCAUGAAUGGAAUUCACCCGCCACGUAAUGAGUUGCUGAAUGCUUCAAUUGCACAUAGUCCAAACUCUGGACGGUCAUCGCAUUCCAAUGGAAUCUCAGGCCAGCAUAAAUUACUGGGCAAUGUCAGUGAAAAUAGUGAUUGCAGCACUCACAGCCUAAGAAUUACCAGUCCUCUCGAUUCAGAGCUUCCCAGUCGAAGAGCACGCAGCAGCAGUGAUGAGAUGCUGACAGCAGGUAGUAGAGUGGAUGAUAAUUUGAGCAUGGAUGCUAGGUCCCUUCAAAAUGGUGAGGAUGGCUACAAGCCUCGAGGCGCAAUAUCAUUACCCAGCAACCAAGUUCAGGCUGAAUGGAUCGAACAGUACGAACCUGGUGUGUACAUAACACUCACAACCCUCCGUGAUGGGACUCGGGAUCUAAAGAGGGUUCGUUUCAGGUGAUUUACGCUCUAUUUUAUCUUUGUUUUGCUGCAUUACUCCCUUGUUUAAUUUAUUUUCAUAUACACCUUACAAAAGACGUUUGCAUCGUCUUAGUUGCUUUAUUAUUAAUUAGCACUCCACAUCACUUCACCUUUCCUGACAUUAUACAAUAACUGGGCACUUCAGCACACGCAGCCAAACAGGAAUGAAGUGUUCUUGAAAUUCUAGAGCAUGAAAGGUUCCAUGCUGCACACUUUUUGAGAAACGAAGGCUGCACUAUUCUGUGACUGAGCAGGCGAACCAGCACUUUCAGCAUAUCUUGUAGGAGCGAGUAGCUGUAUAUAGCUAUCCUGGGCUGUUGUAUUGACUGACAAGCCAGCAAUUCUUUGCAAAUUCUAACUUAUUUUAAAUUCUUGCUUCUUCCAAACUUUACCUUUUGCAGUCGAAGACGAUUUGGUGAGCAUCAGGCAGAAAAUUGGUGGAAUGAGAACCGUGAAAAGGUUUAUGAGCGAUACAAUGUGAAGAGCUCUGAGCGUGUGUCAUCAGCGGCCUCAACCCGGUCCGCAUAUUGACUUGAGGAUGGCCUGUGGCAUCAUGGAACUUUGCCCCACUGCACAAAACAGAAGAACUCCAAGAUCAUUUGCCACCAGUAAAUUAUGAGAUCCGAGGGCUUAUAUACUGUGGUGUGCCAAAAGCCUGCGGCAAUUAUUUUGGUUAGCACGAUAAUGCUUUAUAGAACGAUAGUUGAUUUUUGUUUUGUUUGAGUCACCCAAGGCUAUGUCACCAGCCUGUUUUGGCAUAAUGUACAUAGACGAUGCAAGUACAUCAGGGAAAGGGGAAUCUUGUUGUUAAGUCACAACCAUUCAUCAGUAGGGAAUGCAGGAACGUUCUUUGAUCACCAGAUGGAGUAAUAUGCUUAUGCGUGUUUCCAGUAACAAUAUUUAUAUGGUAUAAAGUUAUAUAACUCCGAUACCAAUACCAGCUUAAUUGCUUAAAUGUAGUUGCCGCAGUUUAUGAUUACUCCUUCCAUUCCAAAUUGUAAGUCUUUUGAUUUUUUUUAAAUUCAUAACUUUUGUUAUGCAUUUAGAUAUACAUUGUCUAGAUACAUAGCAAAAAUUAUGUAUUAAAAAUGUCAAAAUGAUAUACAAUUUAAUUUUAAAGGCAGUAGAUCAUAACGAUCCCUUUCGAUAAUUUUCAUCUCUAUGUGCAAAAGCAAUUCCAAAUAAACCUACGAGAUGUGUCUUAGUCUCUGUUUAUUCUGGUGCGAGAGGAGCUUUAUGCACGUUUACUCAUAUCUUGGAUCGGAGGGAUGUGCUGCAAAAAAAGCACAGCUUCGAAGUCCAACACGAGACGCAAAUUCAGGACGUUAGCAUUACUUUGCUUUCAAAGAUUAAACAGCCCAGAAUAAAGUCUCUUUUGACAUUUCCUCUUAACUUUCACAGUGAGAUAGUGUAGUAAUGAAUCAAAGAUGUAUUCAUCCGCGGAAGCAAAAGGCCGGAACUCCUUUUUCCAUUAUUAAAAAACAAUAAAUUAAGGUCAUCUGGCAUAUUAUACAUAGCUGAUAGAAGGCAUUCUCACAACACCCCUCAGCAUCGAAACAACCGGAGCUGGAGAUACUAGGCUUACAAUUAUUUGUUGGGAUGAUGAGAGAACCAUGUCAUCCUAUGCUUAUUUCAACAGGAGAGGAGAAGCCAUCUACAAGUUGCUGCCUUAUUGCAUUCUUCUCUUCUUCCUCUGCUGGAAAUCUCCAUCUGGUCGGGGACAGAGGCUGCCCAUUGUUCAUGGCAUUGCACCUAGCACACGGCUCUUGAUCAAGCAAACGAAUCCUCUUCAAGCCCAUGGCGAGAUCCAUGAUAAGCCUUAUGUAUUUUGUCAGCUUCUCAUCCACCACAAAGCCCACUAUCUCUAGCAGGCUCAACCAACGGUGCUUGAAGUCAGGUGAUGUUUGAUCCCAUGGCACGUUCACCUUCGUAGCACUGUCCUCGCACCUGCUUCUUUCGCAUGGAUGCCGAGAUAACUUCAUAAAAAGAGAAGAUAAAUAGAUAAACAUCAAUCUGAUAUUGGCAUGAAUCACCUAGCCUGAAUUUUAUCCUAAAUUUAGUACCAAGAAGUGGCAUGUGAACUUUUGGCUGUAAAGCCAGUGGCCUUUUGAAGUAGUGAUGAUUUCAACUGUAUCAUUAAUACAUUACAGCCUUGUUUUAAAUAUGCUACGAAGAUCCAAAAAUUUAUAAGUAAAAGAUAGUAUCUACAAUUAACUUGAUUCCAUGAUAUAUAAUAUCAUGAUGGAAGAAACAUCUAAAGGAAAUGGACUGAAAUAACACCUUAAGAUAAAAAUUUGACAAGGAAGGUGCGGCUUCAAGAACAAACAUAGUCCAGUUUAGGUCACAUUCAUAGAAAAUAUUGUAAAGAUAUACAUCUCUCAGGUGACUGAAUAUAGGGGACAGAUGCUUUGGAUCUUCUGGUUCAAUCCAAAUCUGCAGCAAAACAAAAACAAAAUCACCCACCAAACUAGACCAGUUACUACUUAUUGAUAAGCUAAAUAGAUUUAAACAUUAAAAUGAUACCAGUAGGAAACCUUUGCAGGUGGCAACGUACCAUUUGAUCAGCGAAAUUAAGGUACAUAAUUGAUAAGCUUGUGGUAUUAGAGAAGCAGUGGCUCAACGGGAAUGGUCUCUGCCAAUGAAGAGCAGCAUGACGGAGGGUAAUACUCUGAAGGUGGGGCACAUUGCCAAAGCGCAGCGGGGGAUUCGCACCAAUCCAGUUAGCACAGACCAGCCUCUGAAGUUUCGGUGCCUGGAUCAGGUCUACCCCUGCAUACCCACAGGUGGUGAUCUCAAGGGCAACGAGUGCAGAGUGCGGUACAUCUAUUGUUAGGACCACAUCAUCGCCGGUGGCCGGGUCAAUGACAGAGUCACAGUAGGUCAAUGAGAGAAACUCCAGCUUGGUGCAGGCAUUGAGGAUUUUGGAUAUAUCAGUCUCUCCAAAUGUGAUGUUUUGCAAGAUAAGAUUAGUGAGCCAUCUGAAAGCGGAGGGACAAGCGUGGAAGAAGGACAUGAACCGUUGUCCAAGCAACACACAGUGCUCGUAGCUUGGAUGAUGAGUAUCUGCCCAGAUUGUGAACUGGAGGCUCUUGGUGUUGCCACGUUCCAUGACAUUACCAACAGCACGGCCGAUGGAGAGCAGGUGAGGAUCUGCCAGAUAGAAGCUGAGCUGCAGUCGUUCAAUGGCUCGGUUGUCAGAGGAAGGCGACAGCAGCAACCCCCUCACCACUUCUGUGUAUGUGGUCAUAAUCUGAUCCACAGUGCAAUUUUCCCUCUUGUUUUUGUCACGAGGCAAGAAGUGUGACACGUCUAUGAGCAGGCGAGUGAGCAAGCGAGGGAGGUGUGCCCAUCGCUUGGAGAGUGUGCUGGCCUGGAUCACUACAGGCAGUUUGAGGCGAUCAAGGAUGGCGAGCAAAAUAUGAUCAGGUAGCACACUAAUUCUGUCUUCAUCUUGGUUCUGCGAAACAAUACAUUUACAAGAGCACUAUUAUUAAUACGAGAUUCUUUUUUCUCGGACAGUUAUUAAUAAGAGUGAUAGCAACAAAAAAUAAUAGCAAGGAAAAAAAAAAGUAAACAGAAACUACAUGGAUUGGUUCCCUGGCUUGACUGCUCUAUGGCUUUCCCAUCAAGCAAUCUGUAGUUGAUAGCCAAGGUCAACAAUGACAGAGUUGAAAAUUAACGCAGAUGUUGUGCCAAGUAUGGUUUACUAAAUGGGCUCUUAAGGAUUCAGAUCAUUUAAAUUGAAUUGUGUGCUAAUUAACUGAAAAAUUGUUUCCCCAAAAAAAAAUAACUGAAACAGAGAGAACAGAGACCCACUUCAUAGGUUUUGCCAUUGGGCCCCAGUAAAGAGACAGUGAACCUGUCAAAAGAUCUCCUAAAAGUAAUGUGAAGUCAAAGGCCAUUUUGAAGCUCCGAUUUAGCUGUGUUAUAAUUAGCUGAAUACCUCUAUAAUAAUUUGUAUGUGUGAAUGCGCAAUCUUGGUCGUGAAAAGUGUGUAGUAUGUUGUAGAACUCGUUUGGAAGCUGUGAAUUCCUAAUAUUGUUUCAGAAUUUGACAGAUGAAACACGAGAAAUUUCUGUGUUUUUCUUUUUGUGUGGAACGUGCUUGUUUGUACCACGUAACUGAGAAGGGAAACCCUGUGCGAAAAGAGAAGUCAAAGUGAACGGAAAAAUCACGAUGCUUACAGAUGUUUGGCAUGGAGGACUAAUCGGAUUCAUCGGAGGAGACGAAUGGGAGGGGCAAUCAUCCAUCAUCAAUCGCGGUGGGGUGCGGUGCCCUGCCCUGGAGGUGAUGAUGCGACUAACCAUUACACACAUGCUCUAGAUUAGAUAGGGGAAGGGAGACGACGAGAGGCACAAGAGGAACGAACCUGCAACUAGGCAGGUGCGACAGCGUCGCGGCGGACUCCGACGGGGGGCGGCGCAGGCGGCAGCGGGCGAGGGAGACGGUCUGGCUGAAGCCUGGUGGCGGGCGGAGAUCGGCCGGCGGCGAAGUUUAUGGACAUAGGCCGGGUGGAGGGUGGAUCUGGAUUCUUCUCCUUUUCUUCCCCAAAUGGCUGUCGGGGGAUUUGUUUUGUAUGGGGUACAAUAUAUUCUGGUAAAAAGUGAGCAAAUGGAUGGAUACCACCGAUUCGAUUUUUGGGAUGGCUGCUAAAACCAAACCAAAACCAAAUCAAACCAACAGAGUUUGCUGAAGAAUAAGAAGAUGACGAGGCAGAGUGUUGAGAAAUACUAAUAAAUGAAGAAAGAGUAGUAUUCAAGCAAAAGGGGAAAAGGAAUCCAGAGAUUGAGCGGUUGAAGGCGAGGAAACAGCAAAAUCCUCACCACAACUCCAUGGGAUUCGGAUCGAGGUGCGAACAAACUUUUACCGAACAGACGACAAGAUGGCAGCUGCUUCAGUCGUGGCAUGCCACCAUCUUCGUCUUCUUCUUCUUACAUGUCCAAAUCAGUACCAAAGGUAGAGCAAGACGAACAUGAUCUUAUUGCAAACCAUGGCAGAAACCCGGUACCGAGAUUCAUUAGCUACCUGGAACUCGAGCUCGCGGCAGAAAUCAGACCAGACCAAACAGAACGGGAAAAAAUACUAAAAAAAAUAGAGAGGAGAUAUCGACUGAUCAACCAACAGGCCUGCGGACUCGGGAGGAUCAAUUGAGCAUCAAACCGUGCCACGGGCAGAUCAAGAUCACGGGUGCAUGUGCGUCGGCAGCACGACCACGAAAAAGGGACAAGUUGCGUGUGAAAGGGGGAUCCAGGGAUUAUCAUGUGCUCCCCCUCGUUGCUUGCGCCCGCCGCGUAGUGGGUGUGGGUCCACCUCCGCCUAAAAUUUUCCUUCCGCUUGUGUCAUCGGAUGGGAUAAUGCGGAUGCCUUUGUCUUGUUUCUUUCCCCUUCCAUUUUCCUACCAUGCCCCCCUUUCUCGGCUUCUCGCUCUCCUCGCCUCCCCGUUUGUCAUCCGUUGACUGAUCUAUCUCGAGCCUGCCAAGGGCAUUUUAGUCUUUACAGCCUAAGUGGCAGCCAACCACUGUGGCAUCACCUUCACGCGAAUCUAUAAACCGGAGUGCACGAGUAUCAAAACUUAGGGUGCGUUUGGUUGGGAGACAAUGUAGAACGGGACGGUCCCGUCCUAGUUUUUCGGGAUGGGAUGGGAUGAUCCCAUUCUUGUUUGGUUGAAUGGGAUGGGUUCGUCCUAAUUUUUUGUUUGGUUGGAGAGAUUGCUAUAGACGGGACGAGCACCGUUUUCUUCUUCUGUUAACACCGUUCGUGGGGCCCACCUGUCAUACUAACCGUCAUCUUCUUCCUCCACACCGGUUCCACUCUUGGCACUGUUCUUGGGCUCGCCGUUGCGCCGCCGGCGGAGCUUGCCCCGGGCGCGCCGCCCGUGAAUCGGGCCUCGCCAGCCUCGAGCCGCCGCCCGCCGAAUCUCAAGGGCCGUGGGGGAGCUCGCGCGCGCCGACCGCGGCGGAGCUCGCGCCCGCCGGCCCUACUCGCCCGCGCCGGCCGCGGCUGCGCUCGCCCGCGCCCGCCGGCCGCGCUCGCCCGCGCCGGCCGCGGUGACCGCGCUCGCCCGCCCGCGCCCGCCAGCCCUGCUCGCCCGCGCCGGCCCCUCCGCCGGCGGCUCCACCCCGCCCAACCUCACCCCCUCCACCAGUGCGGACGGACGGCGCGUGACGGGGGCGAAGUGGGAUGCCCCCGUUCGCUCGUUUUGGUGGGAUGGGGGCAUCCCGCAUCUGGAGGGUAUAUUCCCUCGUAGGGAUGUCCCCAUCCCACCUGUCUCCAAACCAAACACGAGACGAAGUGGGAUCGUCCCGUCCCGUCCCACUUCGUCCCUCAAACCAAACGCACCCUUAGAAAACAGAAGAAAAACAAAGGAUUAGAGAGCCCAUAUAAUUCAAAUCAAUCUAUAACAAAAAAAAAUCAUAUGUUUGGGUGCUACGCAGAAAGAAUGUAGGAGUCAUAAGGCAAAGAAACAAAAACAUGAGGUCGUACUUAUUUUCAUACAAAAUUCCCACGGAAGAGUCAAUUCCAUAGAAAUUUCAAAAGAAUUGUUAGGAUUCAAUUAUUUGUUCCAAAGACUUGUAGGAAAAAUUUCCUUUACAAAUUGUAUCCGCUAAAUUUCAUUUUUCCUCCAUUCCAAAGGGGACUAACUCUACAUGUUCCAGAAUAGCCAAAAUGUUGUGAUCGUUGGUGGAGAGAAAUGAAAACUCGACUGGAAGCUACGAUAGACACCCAAAACUUUUGACAUCACUGAAAUUUCCGGUCAAGCAACUUAAAACAGGAAUUUUUUUUUUCAUCCGAACCCGAAAAAUCCCAACCAGCACGGAAGCUGCAGAUCUGGUAUCUAUUUUGCAAUGUUCGCGGCUACAAACUUGAGUACCACCAUUUAGAAGAUACUUACCACAACUAGUUUGCCAACUCAUCAAUCCCUAUCAUGAGAUUGUCCACUUAUCAAGUUAUCAAAGAACUAAGAGAAUAUUGAAUCAAGAGUGGAAAACCACAAUUUACGCGUGGGAAGAACUCCGUGCAACUAUAGCAAUCCACUAUGAGAUGAACCAAUAAAAGAUGUGAAAGCCUUGCUCCAAGCCUCAAAAUCCUCCACAAAUCUCUAUCUUUUGGUGGCGAGUUUAGUGGAUCAAUCAAGUACUCCGCUCUCUCCCCUUAACCCGCUCUAACGAACUCCCAAGAACAUGAACAGAGUCACACAAAAAGAGAAAAGCUCGGGUGCCCUUCUGGUGCUGGUUUGGCCACUGUGUGAAAUAACCCUUAAAAUUUUAUACUCCCUCUGUUUUUAUUUAUAAGUCACACACACAUAUCAAGAUUCAAACUUUACAAUCUUUAACUAAUAAUUUUAUUAUUAAUUUUUUUAUUUUUAUAAUGUAAACUUUAUAUGGUUGAUUCGUAAUCAAAUAUACUCUACAAUAAUUAUAAGUUUAGAACCAUAAAUAAUAUAAUAUAAGAUAAAUGAAUGAUCAAAGUGUUAAUUGAAAGACUGUAUCAAGUCAUACCAUGCCUUAUAAACAUAGAUGGAGGGAGUAUUAUUAUAAAUAAGCCUCCAGCCAAACGAAAAACAUGCAAGCCUCAACUUACAUGAGAGAGAGUUUCCUUCACGCUUCACGAGUGUUUGGGGUUCGAAAGUUUUGAUCUAUGUUGACAUACAUAAUUGUCCCAUCCUAUAUAUAUAUAUAUAUAUAUAUAUAUAACUAAAAACAUAUUUCCAAAAUCCUUAACCUGACCAGACCAAAACUCAAAUCAAACCCAGCUCAACCAAGCUCAGGUGCAAAAACGAAAUUCUGCAAAAAGAGCUAUAGCAUCCUUCGGAUAUAUAUGGUGUAUAGUCUUUCAGAUAGAUAUACUCCAUCGUUUUGACUUUUUAAAAUUUAUAGAUUUUAUUACGUAAGAUAUACCAUAUAAUUAUGAAUAGAUGCAUAAUAAUACCUAUAAAUUUAGAAAAAUCAAAACGGCCUAUGAUUUGGAGCGGUAAGAGUACUUAUCCGAGAAUAACAUGGUAAUAUCCAAACAGAUACGAAGUCACGGAACGAUUUGUUAAAGAAGUGGACUAGUACAUACAGGGAGGGAAGGGGGCCCUCGUUUAUGAGCAAAAUAGACGAAGGGCGUUUAUUGGGGUGCGGCUGCCGCUGUCUCUCCUUGAAAUCUAAUCAACCCAUGAGACCUCUCCUGGCAGCCUUCUUCCGGGACCUCAUCUCGCUAAGGGAGGGCCCCUCGUGCACCUCGUAGCCCCAGUCUCCCGGAUUUUUGAAACUGAUGGGCGCCACUGCAGGAACUGUAUUGUAUACAUACAUCGAGGUGAGACCAUGAGAGAUCGAGAACCGGCCAGCAAGCAGUGAGAAGUACAAGUGCACGGACGCACACUUACCAGAGUCUGGAACGACUGGAGGAGGCGGCGAGCCUUUAGGUGCUGUCCCGAGCGAAACCUUGAAGGUAUUCUCAGGGUCUGCAGAUACACCAGCAAAAACUAAAACAUGUUCGUCAUGGUAGACAACGAUGCAGCACAACUUGAAGGAUGGCAGCAGCAUGAUUGUUGAUCUUACCUUUACCUUUGGGAUCACUCCACAGUUUCAUAUUUUCCUCGAUGAGCCUCACUAUCUCAGCGCUGUCUCUGUAAGAUUCUUCAUCGAGUAAAACAAGCUCUGGGGCUGCCUCUUCUAGUGCUCGCUUCCCCAGAGCAAUUGCCCUGAGGAUCCAAUCAGACGACUCGAAAUCAUAUACUAACCAUACCAUUUGGCAAGUAACCAUAGCAUGCUAAUUAAUGAUGUGCCAUAUAACAGAGUGGAAGGGGGAUUGCCGUACCGUUCAGGCCAUUCCAUGACGUCAUGGUAAAAGGCCGUCUUCGUAAAGAGCAGAGCAAGCCGCGGGGGAUGCGCUGGGGGCAGGCUCUCGGCUGCCUUGGAAGCAGCCUGCACAACCCAAGGAAUCAGAUCAUGCAUGUUGUGGGAACUGCUAAAUUAAUCAAGCAGUAGUCAAAUGAAAAUGAAGGAUGGUUGUAAGGAAGCAGUGAGGUAUAGAUGAAGAAAAAGAGAAGUUAUCAGCAUAUCGUGCAUUAAGUAAUUAGCUAUGUAUAAUCUAUCUGUUUAUGAACACCAACCUCAAUAAGGAGCAGUCAGGUAGCGGGCACUGUACCUCAAUAGCUGCUAAUGCACUGUCAAUGAGCGGUUGUCUGUCUUCCUCCUUCAGCAUAGCCAAGAAACCGUACUUAUCACCUUUCCUGAAACCAAUUAAAGGGUGUAAAUAUGUAGCAGACAGUGUCACAAUUUCCUAACUAGAAACAACAACAGGAGAAGAGUAUCACAUCUUAGUGUACAGGGCAUCAUUCUCUGCGACGCUGAAGAAUGGCAGGACGUGCUUUUCAAUGAUUUUGAGUCUGUCCUUGACCACCACAAGCAUGUCUGCACAACAGCACAAGCACGUCAGAUAAAAUGGUAGUAUCAGAGGGAUCUAGGCAAAGAAGGCAGGUACGAGGAAAAAACAGUUCAAGAUAUCACUGACGAGUAUUGAUUGGCACUAGCAGUAGCAGUUCUCAGCAGCUAAAAACAAGGCAUCCCACCAACCAACAGAAUGGGAAUCAGAAUCUCUUAUCUGAACACUUUGCUGUUGGUUCAAUUCUCAACAACAGGAAUCCUCCACGGUCCGCAGAUCAGUUCAGGUACACUCAAAAGUCUCCAGCAACUAGAGCACCAAACAAAAGAAGCAACAUGAUAUACCACCUGUAAUCUGAAUGAUGUGAUCCGAUUGGCGUUCUAGAAAGAAUAAGCAGCCUAACGGUUCACGCCUACUGUUGCUCAUGAAGCUGCACCGCCGCACGAAACUGUCGAUCAUGGAACCAAAUUGCGGGGGGGGGGGGGGGGGGGGGGGGGGGGGGGGGGGGGGGGCGAUGCUGCUGCUACAGUAGAUCCAAGGAUUCAGAACAGGCAUUGGUGCCUGUCGCUGCAUUGAUUGAGCAACCCAAGUACAUUCCGAGUAAGGACGAGUCGACUGCUUGCACUUAUUCAGAAGCUAGUGGAGACCAAUCCAAUAAUGGGACGGGACAAAUAUCUGACUCCCCCAACUAAAAUCCAAGAGCCGGACAUCUUUGCUUCUGGUAAUACAAUUGACGAGAAUAGAGGUCAAAAUUGAGCAGCGAGAGGACCAAGAAAUCAGCAAGCCAAACCCCUAUGACAAAUUAACACGAUAUCGCCUCCGUAGAGGAGGUGGAUGGGAACCAUGAACCGCAUGAAUCUCCCAUUCCGCAAAAUUGUCAACCAAACCAAGCAAGCAAGCACACGCCGCGGAUCGAUCGCAGCAACCAGGGCAGAGAGACCGGGAGGGAGGGAGGGAGGGAGGGGGAUCGCCGAUCGCGCGCGUACCAGAGCGGAGGUCGAGCUUGAGCGGAAAGCCGGCGGUGAAGACCGCCUCCACCGGCCGCACGAACGCCGCCGCCAUGGCCUGCUUCUCUGUCAUCGCGGAUUCCGUUGCUGCGCUGCGGCGGCGAUGCUGAGCUAGAAGAGAAGCUGGCACAAGUCACUGCGUGGGACGACCUGUCAGAUCGGGUCCCAUCUGUAAGAGAGUAAAGCGAAAACAAAAACAGAUGGCGUCUGCCGACUUGCCGAGGCGACAAGUGGAUGUUUCAAUACGGUUACGGUCUUUCGGAUUGGUGCCGCUAGGACACGAACUCGCAUUUGCAGAUACUAACGGUAGGUGGACUAAAGGUUGUUUGGAUACUUAGUUGCUUUAGCAGUGUCACAUCAAUUCGGGAGCUAAUUAGGAGAACUAAAUAUAAGCUAAUUAUAAAACUAAUUGCAGAACCCUGUGCUAAUUCGCGAGACGAAUCUAUUAAGUCUAAUAAUCCAUCAUUAGCAAAUGGUUACUGUAGCACCACAUUAUCAAAUCAUGGACUAAUUAGGCUUUAAUAGAUUCAUCUCACGAAUUAGACUUCAUCUGUGCAAUUAGUUUUUGUACUUAGCCUAUAUUUAAUACUCCUAAUUAGCAUCCAAACAACCAAUGUGACAGGUGCCAAACUUUAGCAUGGAGUAUCCAAAAGGGGCCUAAGGGGGUGUUUGGCUCUAAGUUUAGCCCGGGUCACAUCGGAUGUUUAGAUGCUAAUUAGAGUAUUAAACAAGACUAAUGAUAAAAAUAAUUGUAUAAAUGAGGGCUAAUUCACGAUAUGAAUCCAUUUAAGCCUAAUUAGUACAUGAGUAGCACAUGUGAUGCUACAGUAACAUGUGCUAAUCAUGGAUUAAUUAGACUUAAUAGAUUCGUCUCGUGAAUUAGCCCUCAUUUAUGCAAUUAUUUUACUCAUUAGCCUAUGUUUAAUACUCCUAAUUAGCAUCCAAAUAUCUAAUAUGACCCGAGCUAAACUUUAGCCUAAGGAUCCAAACACCCCUAACUAAUAACUAAUGACAUUCAGUAUGCUAACAUUGGGGACCCCACCCGGCUGCCCCUGCGUCACCGCCGGCCACCCUUCCUCCUCAUCCUCGUCGGCCGCCCUUCCUCCUCGUCACCGCUGGCUGCCCUUCCUCCUUGUCGGCCGAGCUUGGUCACGACCCUCGUCCCCGCUGCUCCCGCUAGCGAUGAAAAUGGAUGGGAACGGACGGGAAAAUCUCUUAACCAUAUCCCGUCCCAUAUUUUUUUCACAAGGAACAGGCAGCCGAGAGCGGAACGGGAACCGGGAUACAUAGGUAUACGAAAACAAACAAAUACGGGUAGAAAUACGACGGAAACGGACGGGAACCGGAGCCAUGCACCGGGAUGACCUGUUCCAAAAAGUACAUUACUACACUAGCAGUCCUCCGUCCUGUUGCAUUGCAUAUUUGCACUUGCACCACCAGAUGAUCACGAGGUCCAGGCGACCAGGCGCCAGCCACAGCUAGGCCUAGGCAGUCAGCAACAAGCUAGUAAUAGCGUAGUUCACAAAUCAAGACUACAAGGCAGUUUCAUUUAAAAAAUAAAGACUACAAGGCAGCAGUAGUACUAGUUCAGCGGGAGUGCUGGCAUCAACCAGCCCAAGCCCAAGCAUAGCUUCUCCAGCACCGGCGACUUUUUACGUCCUCGCUCGGUCACUCCUCGCCUCUUGGCUGAACAGCUAAGACCUGAGGGGUAGCAGGCCUAUCCUCAUAAAUUAGAAACGGGAUGAAUAAGGGAUCAUCCCGGCUUAAAACGGUAUCCCGCAAAUACGGGCGGAAUACCCCGUCAACUGUAUCCUGUCCCGCUCCCAGAUACUCCCGUCCCAUUUUCAUGUAGCACAAAAUAUGGGAUAAAUAUAGAAAAGCGGGCAGGUGAGAACGGGAUUUUGUCCGUUCGUUUUCGUCCCUAGCCCCCGCAUCACUGCCAGUCACCCUUCGUCUUCGUCACCGCUGGCCGCCCUUUCUCCUCGUCGGCCGAGGCUGGUCCUGGCCCUCAUCCCCGCCACCUUGCCUCCCCCGCGACCCCCUCGCCCAGCCGGUCGCCCUCACGAUGCGCUCCGUUGGCCCCCACGCGCCACCGGCCGCCCUCGCCCAGAGAGAGGUGAGGCCACACACCUCGUCCUGUCGCACCGCUACCCCUCAGAUCCCGCCGCCCCUACCGUGCCUCCGUGCUCUCCCACCGCGCCGGCUGCAAAUCUGCGCCGCGCUGCAGAUCCCACUACUCCACGAGCCACUGCCCGCUGCUGCUCCACGCGUCAUCACACGCUGCAUCCCCUCGCGCCAUCGCCCGCCACUCCACCUCUGCGCUCCCCCACCGUCAUGCUGUCGCCUCACCUCACCCCGCCGCCGCUCCUCACCGGCGUCGCAGUGACGGGCGCACGGAGGGGAGAGGGGAGGGGAGGGGUGCCUUGAAUGGGAUCCGGUGAGGAGUGGACUGGGGGAAGAAGGGAUCGGGGGAAGAGAAGGGACCGGGGGAGAAGGGAGAGAGAGGGAGGCUGCUUAGGAGAAAGAGGGAGAGUCAUGAGCGGAUGCGUGCGGACUUCAAUCCAGUGGAGUCCAAAUUUCGGGUCCCCACCCACCCAAUUAGUAUCCGGGUGGAGCCUACAUUCGGUACUAAAGGCUCUCAGGUACAUUAGUACCAGUUGGAGGCUUCAAUCGGUACUAAUUUGUGACCUUUAAUACCGGGUGAAGCCUCCACCCGGUACUAAAGGGGGUCACGGAGGGCUCCUCAGAGACAAGCCGUUAGGCCCGGUACUAAUGCUCACAUUAGUACCGGGCCAAUACACAACCGGUACUGAGCCUCGGGACGAAUGCUCAGUUUUUCGGUAGGGUAAAUUUUGUAUUCUAUAACUGAUAAUCACUUCAAAUGCCUGUUUAGUCUACAAUUAUAUCCAGAUUUUAUGAUAUUUUUGCACUAUGUUUUAUACUUUUAUAUCUUCAAAUGAUAUAUUUCCUGGAAGAAAAACAAGGGAGCUUCUCCUUGAUCGGGGAACCCACACCUUAAUUUUUAUUACACUGUCAUUAUAAAAGUUGCUUAUAAUAUGUAUAAACUAACUAUAAUUCUAAUACACAUCAACCACAAGGUAUAAACAAAAAAUCCACUGUGCAACACCGAUACGGGUACGCGGAUACGUCAAUUUUAUAGAAAAAUUAAGGGUGCAAAGCUGUAUCGAACUAUCGAAGUAUCGGAUACGGAUACGUGGAUACAUAUCGGAUAUGUGAUAUGGGAUCAUGUUGAAAUAUCAGGCUAACAUAGGAAAUUCAUGUACCUGGAGGAUAUAAGAUAUUUGAAAAUUCUCGUUAACUCAUAUACUCACCAUUCUAUAGCAUAAAAUAUUGGCAUCAAUUUGACACUAAAAUCCAGAUGUUGGAUCCCUCCAAAAAAACUCUCACAUGGGAUUUAUCGUUUCCUAAUAACAGUGGUCAAAUUGUAACUCUAUAGACAUGUUCAAAAUAAAACAAAAGGGUAUCUAGAUUGCGGUCUCACUCAUAUACUCCUAUUUCUUGCUUGCUUGCGAGAUCUCCCUAGCCUGUAUGUUACUUCGUAUUUAAUUAUUAGUCAUUAUUAUGUACAAGCUUUUCUUCGUACAGUAUUGCAUCGCUAACCAAUAAACUGACUGAAUUUGCUCGCACUAACAAAGUCAGUAGUUGUUAUUAUCACUAACACAUCAAUGAUUAAUAGAAAAGCCUAACAAAAGGGGCCUCUCCGCUUCCUCUCCAGGGUUUACAAGCUAAUCAGAUCACAUAGUAUUAAUUACUGAAAAAAUUUAAAAAAUACUCACUUAUUGAAGUCCAACCCUAACUAAUUCAGGGACUUCCCAAGCCAUAAGCAUGAGAGCCUUUUGCCAUCAGCAUAUAUCCGUGACAAAAAUAUGUAUCCACCAUGGUUCGUAAUACGAUGCAUCGCAAAAACAUCCUUGGACCCGAUACCUUCCAUUUGACCCUCUGAUGAUGUAGUACUCCAUUUCUAGUGAGAUCGACCCAUUGGAGUACCUUUUUUUUUCCAGUACAAGCAUUGUUUGAUUUGUUCAGUUCCUCAUCGAUUUGUUCAAUUCCUCGUCAAUUUGGCAGUGACCUGACAAUGAAUGAAAUUGUUUGUCUGCAGCUUCCUAGGAUGAAGGAUUUCCCUUCCAGUCUAGUUCUAAGGCUGCUAACUUAUUUACUAGUCCAUGAAUGUUUGGAUUUAACUGAUGUACUUCUGGUUCUAAGGAGCAUAUGAAUUGCCCAAGAUGCAUCCUGUUUGAAAAUGGACUUUUUGCCCACCUUCUUACCUGCCUUUGUUUGAGCAAUCGUAUGAACUUACUGACUUCGUCACAUAUGGUUUCUGUAGCUUCUAGUACUGCAGCAGUAAAUGAUAACUUAAUAGAGUGUUAGAUUUAUGGUAAAAAUUAUUGGCUCCCAACAUAAUUUUGGAUUUGUAACCAAAAAUUAUAUGGCAUAGGUUUGAUGUAUUCAGAUAUGAGGAAUUGCAAUUGAAAUGCAUAGGCUUAGUGUCUGAGCUGUGUCCGUUUUGAAAUUCAUAUAUGGCUGCAAAUUCACUUGAAGUUCUAGUAUUUAGGAGCUGCAAUUGCUGCUGACCUUAAAAUAGUUCUACCUCUAUAUGCACUACAAGAACUAGAUGAUGGUAUUUCCUUACAUACUCUGAAUUGUUUAUAUACUCUUGCCAUACAUUCAAUCAUCCAGCAAGUUGUGUGAUAAUCAAUGGUGAUUGUUUAUGCUCUGCGUGCAGCUCAGCUUUGCAGAUCAGCAACAAAACCUUGCAAGAUGAGCAGUGAGUUAUCCUUUUACCUCUCUUGAACUAGCAGAAGCAGAACCAUGCCAUAACUCGUCAGUCUUGUAGGAAUAAAAUUCGUGGUUAUAAGCUUCAACUCCAAUGUUGUUAUAGAAAUUAUCUGGGAUAUUGAUGCUUAUGAAGUGAAAAUAAGUAAUUACCGCUAGAAUGAGUGUAGAAUUUCAAAUAUUAAUGUACACCAAAAUAUUUGUUGGGAAAAUUACUUAUCAUUUGAUCAUCGAUAGAACUCAAUAGUGCAGACUUUUUAUUGCUCCAGUCCUUAGGUGGAUAGGCAAUUGGAGUGAUAAUUAAUCACCACUAUCUCACUGAUUGCUGAUUGCGAGGAAAGUCCUUGAGAGAAUCAAGAUUGUGUAAGAACCUAGAACAACUAUUCCUGUAGCUCACCAAACAUUUAGUGGUUGUUCUUUUUCUUCCUUUCAACUUAUUUUUUUCUUCUAUUUGUUUCAUGCUAAUGGAUAUACCUGGAGAUAUUUAUUCCAGGUCACUUGCCAUUCAAAGUUACCAUGUAUUCUUUGAAAUCUUUUAUCACUGAUUCAGCUCUUAAAUAUCCAGUUUGAUUAGCGAGAGUGGCCAAGUAGGAAUACAUUUGUUUGUUUGCAGUUUAACACUGCCUUUGCCGGUCCCAAGCCCGGAUGUGAAAAUGUGGAGGGAACUGCAAGUAGCUUAGCUGCUUAAUGUUGUGUAUGUUCAGAAUAAAUUUUAUUAACCGGAAUUCAUGAAUCUGGAUAGCAAGCUACUUCAUGUUCUGAUUUUUUUGCUCUGAAUGUGCUAACUACAAUUUCUGGCCCCAUAAUUAAACUCCACAAUUUCAGAAAGCAUCACAUAAUUCAUUACAAUGAGUAGUUACAAAACAAGCAGGGCAAGACAGCAAGUUAUCUCAGCCACCAAGGAUGGUAGACUGGUAGUCAUGCACAACACUUCAGAAUCACUAAGACAGCAAAUUCUCUUCAGUGUUGUCCAUACAAAGAUAGAAUGUGAACUGAACAUUCAGCAAUCAACCAAAACAUUGAGUGCUCCUGUCACUGUCAGCAAGGGGCCUGAAUAUUCAGAGUCAAUUCUGAACAUUCCACAAAUUCACAAUCUGAAUAUUCACCAAGGCAUUGGGUCUUCAGAAUAACUGCCGUAUAAACUUGGAUUGCCCUACAGUAUCACCUUGGAAUGCCAGUCUGGUAUCUACACGUGACAAACCAUGAAGAGAGUGUAUCAUCAGGAAAGUUCAGGACUAUGGUGAAGUACCUAACAAUAAGCUCUUCUACUUCAUGUGCAGGAGAGAGUCCUGUGCUAAAAAAAUAUUAAAACAACAUCUCCAAAGUCCAAUACACCAUAUGAUUUUCAUACAGCUGUUGAACCUGAUCACAUCUGACAGUGAGCAAGUCUAUCUUACUAUUCCUAAACAGGACACCAGGCCUCUCUUACUAUCUACACUUCAAAUAAGUGCACUGGUACAUCGUCCAAGGAUAACUGUUGUCCAAGAACAAGUUGCACAUGAGUAAUUGACUGCAAGAUCCAUAAGUUACAUGUGUUUACAAAGCUACUCGGGCCUAUUCCCAGCUGUCAAAAAGCGGGUUUAUAAUCGCAAAGCUUUCACACCCCUUCUGCUGCGAAGUCCGCUGGAGCGUGUGGCGACUGGCGAGAGGAAGAGCACGGCAGGAGAUGGAGGGAGGCGCAGGGCCCUACCGCCGAGCAAGGCUACAUUGCUAAGCACGUCGGAGUCCAACGCUAUGCUCGUGCAACUCUUUCCCCCCUACACGGCAGUGCCGAUCCCUGCGCCCACUCCCAGUCUCGUUCCAAUCAGACGCAGUGUGAUGUGCUGUUCUGUUCUGUUCUCGCAUUGCAGCUGCAGGCCUUGCAAAGCUGAAGCCUGAUGAGUGCCCGUGGUGGUACCGGAGUACACGUGUGCGUAGGCAUAGUGGUGUGCAUGUGAAAAUUUUUGAAUAGGAAACAAGUUGUUAAAUUCAAUACUAGUCCACAUUACUUACCAUGCACCCAAAGCUACGCCGCGCACCUUGGUGUUUGUCAGAGCUGCCAAAACCGCAAUAGCAUUCCAAGCAGAAAUAUUUAGGAUAGGGUGUUCAAAACUGUGGGGUUCGAAUAUAUGCACUCGUAGUUUGGAAACACUGUACGCAAUAUCCAACCAGACAGCAGACCACAGAUCCAACCAGACAGACUGACAGCAGAGUCUCGAUCGAGGUGAUCUCGUUAACGUUUUCACCGUGGACUAGCAUAAGGUGGCCCUUAUCAGCAAAACAGAGACAACGUGUGCUUGUUGGUGCCGCCGCAUCUUAGAACUCAGCCCAUGCGACCUUUCCUCAUCAUGGAAGCCUUCUUCCGGCGCCUGAUUUCCAUCGCCGAGAGCCCCUCGAGCACAUCGUCCUCCCAAUCUCCCCGAUUUAUGAAAUUGUCGGGUGCUGCUGCAGGAACUGCAUCCAUGUGUGGAGAUGAUCAUGAGAAAUGAGAUCCACAACCACCUAGCGGCGCAACACAAUUAGUAGCAUUUCCAGUUCUCAGGUGCAGGGAUACUUACCAGAGGGUGGAACCUCCGGACAUGGAUAACCUGUGGAGGAAGAAGAUGCUGUCUGGAGCUCCUUGAAACUCAAGGUGUCCUCAGGGUCUGUAUAGUUAGGCCAGCAAAUUAAAUGAGUCGAUGGCAACGCAGCACCACCAGACCAUUCUUGAAGGGUGGCAAAAAUGCUGUUAAAUUAGCAUACCUUUGCCUAAUGCAGUUCGCCACUUUUCCAGAUUAUCAACCAUCAGCUUCACAUACACAGUGCUCUCUUUGUAAGAUUCUUCAUCCAGCAGAACAAGCGCUGGGCGUGCCUCUACCAGUGCCUUCUUCGCAAGAUCAUAUGCACUGAGGAUCCAAUCAGCCUCAAGGUUAUUCCAUCUUGCUACUAGCCAAUACACUAGGCACAUUGUACCGGAUGUUUCAUGUACACUAGGCAAAUGAGAGGAAGGGAAGCUAUUACCGUUCAGGCCACUUCAUAACGUCAUAAUGGAAGGCCGUCUCUGUCAUGUGCACAGAAAGCCGCAGAGGAUUUGCCGGAGAUAGGAUCUUGGCUUUCUCGGAAGCAGUCUGCACAAGGACAUGAUCCGGUGAUCAGCUAUGCAUUUGUACAUUCACACAACACAUGUGGUUAUAAAUGAAGAAUGGGCACAAUUCAAGCAGUGUGGUUCCGGCGCAAAUCUUGUCUGCAGUUCUCUCACCAAUGUUACAAUACAAACAAUAAUACAGGAGAAGCAAUCACAAUCAGCAUAUCGUUAAGUAGCUAGGUAUCUGUCUGUCAAUCAGAUCAUUGAGACACUACAGUAUAGCUGUUGUGGACUCUUUCAUUGGAAGGUGUACAGCAGGAGGAAGAAGGCGCCAGCUAGUGGCUGAUUAGGCGCCUAAUUCCCCUGUUUUGUAGCUGGGUCAGUAGUUAGUUGGGCCAGGAUAGAGAUAAGAUAAGGAGAGUUAGUUGAGAUUUGUUAGUAGCCGGCACUUAUACAAGCCGAGCUACAGUAGUUCUUAGGCAGGCAGAAGUAGGAUCAAUUGUUCAGAGCCUCCUAGGGAGGGUGAACUAGUCCUGCUGCUGCGCCAUUGCUAUUCAAUAAAGCCCCAGCUUCUGUCGCUUAUCAAUAACACUGCAGAUUAGCGUUCCCUGGGAAUCCUGGGGGUGGGAGUUUCUCUAGUUUAUCUCCCCAAAUCAGGAUAGAUAGACUAGAAUGGUAGGCUCCUAAUCUUUCCCUUUUCAUGUAACAGACCUGUGGAAUUUCCGUUCUAUGAAUGGAAAUGGGGUGAGCCUCGUAUCAAAAAAAAAAUAACACAAGAAAAUUGAAGAAUAGCCAGCCAGAUAAGAGGGUAGGGACCUCAUAAGCCGUUAAUGCCUUCUGAAGAAACGGUUCUUUAUCCUCCACCUUCUUCAACAUGGCCAGGUACCAGCAAGUGUCACCUAUCCUGAAAUAAAUCAAAAGGAAGAAUGUAAAUACGCAGCAGACAGUACAGUGUCACAACUUCCUAACAAAAACCAACAACAGGAGAAGCAUAUCACAUCUUAUUGUAGAGUGUAGCAUUCUCCGCAUCAUGACAGAAUGGAAGGAGAUGGUUGUGAACAAUGUCGAGUGUACUGCUGCACGUUGCUUGCAUGUCAGCCUCUAGUACCCCGCGGUACCAUGCGAUACACUCGAUCUUCUUAGGGUCGUCUUCUUGUUGCUCCAUAACAGAGAUGGUACGCAGUGCUUUAUGCUUGUCAGAGAAAUCAAUUCUGUAGGCGGUGAUGAGCUGCUUCCUCUGGUCCACACUGAGCUCAAAGUGCUCCUCUGCCAUCAUGUUGACCGCUUGAAGCAUGUCUGCAUAAGCACUAUAGCACGUCAGUGAAAAUGGUGACAUCAGGCAUGACUAUGUUUUGUUUGUUGUAACCUGAUAGGCAAUGAUCGGUUAUUGUAUAUACUGGAUAUUGUAGAACAAAAAAUGCAAUUUAACAUGAUAAGAACAGAGGCACGUAUUUGCAGCAGGCAGAAGCAACAAGCAAGCAACCAACAGAGAAUGGGAAUCAGCAGAAUCUCUAAUCUUAACACUUUGCUGUGCAGAGAUGUCCCAGGAAUCUUGGACUGCAGAUCAGGUCCAUGUAAAAGUCUCUGGGAAAGCAGAGAGCGAAACAAAGCAAGCAACAGGGCAGGCAAGCUCUCAAAACAUAAUGUGGUUAUUUUCUAAUAAAACAUAAUGGAUCCUGAUUAGGCAAUUAUCGAUCAUGGAACAAAAUUGCAGAGAAAGACCCUGGUUUUGUGGGACAAGCUACUCCUACAGUGUGACAGCGAUCCAAAUGAAUGAGAACAUACGGAGAGACCACAGCACAGCGAAAAUGGUGGCGUCAGGCAUGCGCAUAUUUUGUUUGUUAUAGCCUGAUAGGCAGUGAUCGAUUACAGUAUAUGCAUUUUCAGCAAGCAUAAGAAAGCAAGCAAGAAACAGAAUGGGAAGCACCAGAAUCUCUAAUUUAAACACUUUGAUGUACAGAGAUGUCACAGGUGAAUCAGAGGCGGGAAAGGAUGGAACGUCAACGCGCUAUCUUGGGUCAAUUACGGCUUCGUGUUAAUAGAUGCAUCAAACAUGUAGGAAACUAUGAAUAAAACCGCACGGGAAGACCCAGCUAAUCCUACAGCAUAUCGGUUAAUCCAAAUGAUUCAGAACAUAUAUAUACAGGGUAACAGUGAGGGGCUGAGCGAAGCUACUCCCCUCCAAGGACGACUGUUUGUGCUAGCAACCAAAAGAGAUCUGCCUGCGAGGGGGGGGGGGGGGGGGGGGUGGCGGGUUCGUCGCGAGCGUACCACGGUCUCGGCCGACCUUGAGUGUUAUGGCGGCGAUGAAGGCCAUCUCCUCCCCCCGAGCCGGCACGGACGACGACGGCGCCAUGAAAGGUAACUUGACGCUGACGGACAAAGCAGAGAGCUCUGUGGUGAGCGGGGGCCUCUCUGCAGAGCGGGGUCGGGAGGCCCACUACUAGUACUACUACUGUGUCGCCGCGUGGUCGCGUGGGGAUCCCGCUACGGACAUACGGUAUGAUACCAACAUGUUUUGUGACAAAUACAUUACACAAGCUAGCAAGAUUUCGAUCUCUGUCCUAUAAAUUAGGCACUGUAGUAUUAUUGAACAAAUGAUGUAGCCAGGAGCGAAAUAAAUUAGGCACUGUAGUAUUAUUGAACGGCGGUAAUACUAGCUAGCAAGAUUUCGAUCCCUGUCCAAUAAAUGGUUCUAUCAAUAAUUAUUUACUGUUGCUUGUUAGUAUAUACUACAAGCUUUCUUAUUGGACAACAUUAAUACCCAAUAAUUGGCAUGCCAUCUGCUCGAUCACACAAACAAAAUUAGUCGCUAUCAUUGGCGCAUCCCCCUUGAUAUAAUAAGCCCUUUGGUAGUGACGGAGCUUGAGACUUGAGAGGAGGUCAGGCUAUCUAGCUUUUUCUUCUUCUUCUUUUUCCCUUUUGCAGGAAAGCUAGGUAGCUAAUUGAGCUCUAAAUAUCAACAGGAGUACUUAAUAAACGAUAUAAAAUUCAUUUUUGAACCCGAUGAAAAUAGUUCUCAGUUUGUUCCUCUUCAAAUUCAUAUAUAUACUUAUAAAGCGCAAUAUAGCAGACUGUCAAGUGAAUAGCUAGCACGGAAUGUCAACAGCUCGAAUCACCAGCACACCUUCUGCUUUGUUCUUCUGUCCACCAAGACAGCAGCAGCAACCACCUACCAGUAGGUCUUCCUUCUUCCUACCGGCAAGCACCAGGAGCAGAUCAUGCACCCAGCUAGCUUUCUUCCCUGCAAGUGCAGCAGGAGGAGAACCCUUAGAAAUCCAUGGACUAAUUUUUAAUUCAAAUCACAUCGGAUAUUUGAUACCAAUUAGAAGGAUUAAACGUUAACUAAUUAUAAAACUAAUUGCAUAAGUCAUGGCUAAUUCGUGAGACAAGUUUUUUAAACCUAAUUCAUCCAUGAUUAGCACAUAUUUACUGUAGCAUCACAUGGUCAAAUCAUGAACUAAUUAUGAUUAAUAGAUUCAUCUCGCGAAUUAGUCUUGAUUUAUGUAAUUGGUUUUGUAAUUAACCUAUAUUUAAUACUUCUAAUUAGUAUCUAAACAUUCGACGUGACAGGGACUAACUUCCCUGGAACCAAACACCCCCUAAAUCUAUCUCAAAAAGAACCAUUUGUUAUAAAGAUAUCUGCAGGCUUCAGCUUAUCGGGGCUCCUCACUCCUCUAUACCUGCAGGAUAAAAAGAUCAAUUUGUUAGAAAAGUCAAUGGGAAAAAAGUUGCUACCUCGGACUAAACUUUAGUUCCGAUCACAUCGGAUAUUUGCACACUAAUUAGGAGUAUUAAAUAUAAUCUAAUAAUAAAACUAAUUGCAUAAAUGAGGGCUAAUUCACGAGAUGAAUCUAUUAAACUUAAUUAGUCCAUGAUUAGCCCAUGUGAUGCUACAGUAAACAUGUGCUAAUUAUGGAUUAAUUAGGCUUAAUAGAUUCAUCUCGCGAAUUAGUCCUCAUUUAUGCAAUUAGUUUUAUAAUUAGUUCACAUUAAAUGAGUAUCAAACAUCCGAUGUGACCUGAACUAAUUAGUUCACGUUAAAUUGGUAUCAAACAUCCGAUAUAAUUAGUUCACGUUAAAUUGCAUAGUGGCGUGUCAAACCGACAUAAUUAAAUACAUGUUGCAAAAGCCUAUUUUAAGUGGUAGAAUCGACAAAUGGGCUUACGCUCUCAUUGAAUAUGAUCUGGUUUGUGAACAGUUGAAAUCAAUGAAAGGUCAAAUUGUAGCCGAUUUUAUCGUCGAGCAUAGAAUUGAUGAGCAACUUGAUUUAAAUGUCGGUUAUAUCACUGUUACCCCUUGGAAAUUGCACUUUGAUGGAUCGGUUUGCAAGAAUGGCUGCGGUGUUGGUGUGGUUCUUAUUUCACCGGACAGAGCUGUUUUUGAAUUUCUUAGCCAAUUGAAUCACAAGUGUACAAAUAAUCAAACCGAGUAUGAGGCUUUAUUAUUCGGUUUGGAGAUUUUACAAGAGAUGAGGGUAAAACAUGUUGAAGUUUAUGAAGGUUCUUUACUAGUGGUACAACAAAUGUCCAAGGUAUGCCAAUAUUUGGAUGGGUUUUUAAAUGCUUAUCUCGAUAAAUGUCCGGACAUCAUAUCUUGUAUGGAUGAAUUUACUAUUUAUCAUGUAGUAAGGGAAGAGAACCUAAGGGCUAACGCUCUGGCACAACAGGCGUAUGGGAGAAGAAUCUUUCACGAGAGAAAGCCGACGCUUUACGACGCUGAGGGUUAUGUCCUGAAGGAACCGGUUAAAUCGGCCUCCAAAACCGGUUUGACCGAUCCGACCGCCCAGACUGCAGGUCCGACUGGUUUAUCUGAUGAGAUUCCCGCUUCGGCCGAGGAGCAUUCUGAAAUUGCUAAGGACGAAGUGGAGAUUGGAGAAAACCUCUGAUUAUAGGAAAGUCCGACGAUAGGCACUCAAGUUCACUUUGGUUGAUGGUGAAUUGUAUCGUCGGACGAUCGAUGGGUUUACUUUUAAAAUGCUUGGAUUCUGAUCAGUCCAAAGUAGCCAUGGCAGAGGUGCACGAAGGAAUUUGUGGUACACAUCAACGGCUCGUGUGAUGAAAUGGCUUCUUAGGUGGGCUUACUUUUAUUGGCCUAAUAUGAUAGCUGAUUGUUUUCGUUACUACAAAGGUUGCGAGGAGUGUCAGAAAUUCAGGGAUAUUCAGUUGGUGCCUGCUUCAUUGAUGCACCCAAUUAUCAAACCGUGGCCGUUUAGAGGGUGGGGAUUGAAUUUUGUUGGCAAGAUUCAUCCUUCGUCAUCAAAGGGAUAUUAUUUUAUGAUUGUGGCUACUAAUUAUUUCAUCUUCAUCAAAAGGACAUUGUUUUGUGAUUGGGGCUAUUGAUUAUUUCACCAAGUGGACUGGCGGAGCAUCACCCAAUCGACAAACCUAUCUUUUACACUUUUAUCUCUAAAAUCUAGCUUUUCCAACCCCUUGCUUUCCUCCUCCGUCUCAACGGCGGUUGAGGACAUUCUGAGUGGCCUGCCAAUCUCAGAGCAACCCUAAGUUCACCAUCUCCGACGGGGUCCCUCUCGAGGUGGUAGACGUAGAUUUUCACGACGCUCCUAUGCUAGACCGGCCUGACCGGCCACCUGACCGGUCUGACAGGCCAGGAGCAAGAGCCCCGACACGAAGACUUCUGAUCUACGCGUGAACUAGCACACUCGUGUGUUGGGGAAAAAAGCACCAACACUGCCCAACAAGCCAGCGGACGCUCCUGCAACUCAACGCCCUCCCACCAAAACGAAUCGCCCUAAGCGAUUGAAUCGAAAACCAUCCGCACAAACAAAACGACUACAGCGCGAAUUGGAGGUGGUCGCGCUCGGCGCGCUCUAAGAGCAUUGGAACGAAAGGAUCGGAGGAUUGGAAUCAUGACUCGAACUAACCCGCGCGAGCAAUUGAGGGAGCGAGCCAGCGAGGUGACGGGGAGUGGGGGAGGCGGAGGUGGGCGGCGUACCGGGAAACCUGCCGAGACGAAGAGCAGUGCGGGCGCGGAAGGCCAGUCCCUCCCGCGUCCGGUGGGGCGGCGGCGCGAUCUCCGUCGCCAUCGCCGCUGCUUGAUCGCCUCGCGCUCGCGCUCGCCUGCGCUGCCUUUGGUUUCGAAUUUCGAACAAGCGUGUGGCUACGCUGGUGGACGGGAGGGGGGGUUUUGAGCGGGCUUAGGGACGGUUGCGCGGGGAACUCUGUCUGGGGCCACUUGAAAACACGUGAAAUGCAACACAAUUCAAUCCCAAUAAUGGAAAUGUGUAGGCGUGUAGCAGAAAUCAAAUUAGCACCCAGCGAUUUUCAAGCAGAGUGGGCAACUGAUCUCAAUCCAGUGAACGGGACGAAUCCAUCAGCACAAAUUAAAUGAAAUCGAAGCAUUACAGAUCGCGCUGCGACGCUGGCUGGUCGGCGGUCGCUGGUAGUAGCAUCCCUGACGAAAUCUCAAAUUUUCCUGCCACCAGAAGACAACACCACGACACUCAAAUCUCCUGAAAAAAACACGGUAGCCUACUGUUUCACACAAAUGAGGGCACUGCCUGACAUGUCAUUGCAAUCAACAAUUAAGCACAAUAAGUUAUGGUUGCCUGGAAAAUAACAAUUAUUUGCUAUUAUACUACACGAUUACAAUGCAAGCCAUGAUCUAAUAACAGUGCUCCCGGAAAAAGCUAGAGCUGGAAUUACAAUUAUCUGUUGGGAUGAUGGGAGACCCAUGUCAUCCGAUGCUUAUUUCAACGGAAGAAGAGGAGAAGCCAUCUACAAGCUGAUGCCUCAUUACUUCCUUCUCCUCUUCCUCAACCGGGAAUCUCCAUCUGUUCCGUGAUGGAGACUGAGUAUCGUCCAUGGCAUCACACCUAGCGCAGGGCUGUUGGUCAAGCAAGCAGAUCCUCUUCAAGCCCGAGGCUCUUCUGCCCCUUUCGACCGGUGGUAUAGAUAACCUAAGGGUAAUUUAGUAAUUAUUACGCAGUUAUUAUUUUUUCCGCAUCGUUCCUGUUUUCCGCGCAUCUUCCCCGCGGCGACCCCACCGGCCGCAGCCCGCAUGGAUCGUUCUUACUAGGCGCGGUUCACCGGCCGGCGUCCCAGGGUGCUUGGUUCCCGUGCAGCCCCUGCCCAGCCGCCGCCCCAGGGCCACUGCGGCGCUGGCCCAGAGUGCCUGGCCGCCUGCAUCCCGUUCCGCCGCCGUCCUAGGGUGCCUCCUCCACGUGCCACCGUAGCCUCGCGGGGCGCUUGCAUCCAGUUCAGUCGCCGCCCCCGGCACCGGCACGCCUGCUCCUCGUCGGCGCCGUGAGGCUGAGACCUUCCUGUGACAGGAUUGGUACAGAGACAGGAUUGGUGUAGUUUAGAGCUGACUGUUCGUCUGUUCCCUUUCUGAUCAUAGCCUGAAGUUGAAAGAUGCUUCUGUUCUCCGCCAAAUGCCAUUAUGGCAUCAUAUUUGUGAUGAAAUUCUGUCGAGAGAAAUGUUUGAGAAUUCUUUGAGUUUGUUUAGUCUAACAUGUAUUGCUUGCAUCAGAAGCCCGAUGUCUGGAAUACAAAAACCAAUAAACAAUGGGAUUACAGUUACUGACAGCAUAUCUAGUAUCUACAAGAAACCUACCUCUGUACGGCUUAUCUAGUGUCCACAAGGAACCUACUUCUAGUGUUUACAUGCAUCCGCAUGAUCAAAAGCCACUGAGCGAGGGAUCUAAGGCAACAUAGAACAAGCAAAUCUCUAGAAAUUGCAUCCAACUUUGCUUGAGAAGGACCAAGUGCCUAUGGAGCUAGUCUUUAAUAAUAGCUAUGAGCAGGUAAUAGCUAGGGGGGGGGGGGGGGGUGCGCCAAUCCAGUUAGCGCAGACCAGCCUCCUAAGGUUUGGCACCUGGAUCAGGUCAAUCCUUGCAUACCGACAGGUGAUGACCUCAAGGACGAGGAGCUCCCGAGUGUGGCGCAUCUAUUGUGAGGAUGGCAUCCUCGCCGGUGACGGGAUUGAUGACAGCAUCGCAGUAGGUCAAGGAGAGGAGCUCCAGCUUGUUGCAGAUGCUGAGGAGAUUGUGGAUGUCAGAGUCUCCAAAUGUGAUGUUCUGCAGGGUGAACCUGGUAAGCCAUUUGAAUGCAGCAGGACAAGAUUGGGAGAAUGACAUGAGACGCUCUCCAAACAACAAACACUGCUCGUAUCCUGGAUGAGCAACAUCUGUCCAGAUUGUGAAGUCAAGGCGGUUGUUCUUGCCACUCUCCAUGACAUUGCCAACAGCAUGGCCGAUGGACUGCAGGUAAGGUUCCGUCAGGUAGAAGCUGAGCUGCAGGUGCUUGAUGGCUCGGUCAUUGGUGGGAGACGACCGCAGCAAACUCCUCACAGCCACUGUGUAGGCAGUCAUGACUUGAUCCACUGUCCAGUGCUCCCCCUUUUUUCUGUCACGAGGCAAGAAGUGUGAUACGUGUAUGAGCAGGCGAGAGAGUGAGGGAGGGAGGUGCGCCCAUCGCCUGGAGAGCGUGCUAGCUUGGAUAGCAGUGUGCAGAUCAAGGCGUUCUAGUAUGUCGAGCAGAAUGUGAUCAGGGAGUGCGCUGAUUCUAUCUUCAUCUUUGUUCUGCUAAACAAUCCAUUGGAAAGAAUGACAUCAGAAUACAAUUGUAGCAUUUUAUUUUAUAUUAAAAAAAUUGAAAACAUUUUGCAGGAGGUGCUGACUGGGGACAAGAAGGAUUCAGCUCUGACAGUCUUGGCUUCUCUAACCUUUGCAUCAACCAAGUUUUAGUUUAUCUCUCUUUAGAGGGUACAAGGCAGACUCACCACAGCAUACCUCUAGCUGAAGUUGAUAUUACUUAUUAGGCGAAAGAUGGAAUUUUUGUAGCAAAAGGGUAGGUGAGCGUUUACUGCAUUCUGUUGCAUUAUGUGAUAGCUACACUGAAGUGAAAGGUCGGCAAUCGAAGGGGAACUGCCCUGAAACAAUAAAGGAAAACAAGAAACAUGGAAGAAAUGGAGACUUACAGGCACAGAUUGCGUGGUUGCAGAUGUGUGGGAGGGGGGACGAAAAUCAAUCAGAUCGUCCAGGUGCGACGACGAAUCGGAGGGGCAAUCCACCAUCACCAUCGAUCGCCCUGCUUGCCAGGUUGCCGUGCAAAAGUGUUAGGAAACCAGAGCUGCCAGUGUAUGCAGGCAUGCGCGUGGAUUCAGAUUGUAACUGCGACGGCGGAAGAGGAACUGAACCAACCUGUACGUAUGAAAUUGGGAAAUUUUGCUCCUGGACACUUUUCAAUGUUGGUUUUAGCUGCAGGAUAUUACUCCGAAUUCAUCUUUGCUACUGGACACUCUUCAAUUGUUGUGAUAAUUUGCUCAUGGACACCAGGACUGAUAAAAUAUUAUUUUUUGUGUGAGAACAGUAAGAAAUAUGGUGAAUGGACUAGAAUGCCCAUCAAUUCGGUGGGGCCCAUGUGUCAGAUUGGAGAGGGAGAUUUUGGACGUGUUUUUACUGAGGCAGGUAGCCUUUGGCUUGCUGGCUUGCUCAACUUGCCGAUAUGCCGAGCAUAGAGUGGAUAGAUAAUGUUUGGCAAGCUCGAUUGUGGGCGGAGGAGGUCAAUUAGAUCCUCGUCAGGCUCGAUUUUGGGAGAGGGGCUCGAUUUGGCUGCCGCUGAGUUAGAUUCUGAGGUGUAGAAAUUGGAUUUUGCCACGCCAAGCUCGAUCUAGCCACACUCUGGCCGAGGGGGGACUUGUGUUCCCUUGCGCCGCCGUCGACCGGAUUGGUGUGGGGAGUGGGCGUCGAGUGCCCACUGGACACGGUGGCAGUCCCCGCGGCGACGGCGCAGCCGGCCGCGACGGCCGAGAAGUGCUAGCAGCAGGCAAGCGCCGGGCACCCCAUUUCGCCGUCGGCCGGUCCUUGGCUCUUUGCGUCAUGGGCGGGCGGGCGGGCGGCGUUGGGGUAGUGAGCGCGGCCGAGAAGUUCCGGCAGCGGACAAGCGCCAGGCACCCCACUUCGCCGUCGGUCGGUCCUUGGCUCCUUGCAUCAGGGGCGGCGUUGCGGUAAGAGAGCGGGUGUGGCGGCGCCGCGGCGGUGCGGGACUGCGGGGUGGGGAGAGUCGAGCGAAGAAAUCCCCCUCUCGUCCUCUCCAAUCUCACGCUCAGCCCACUCAAUUGAUGGGCAUUUUAGUCCAUUCACUACAUCUCUCUCUCUUCUCACACAAAAAAUAAUAUUUUAUUGAUCCUGUGUCCACCAGCAAAUUAUCACAAUUGAAGAGUGUCCAUAAAGACCAACAAUUAAGAGUGUCUAGGAGCAAAAUUACCCGUAUGAUAACUGGGGCUCGAUGAAGGGCGGCGCAAUCACGUGCGGAAGGUGGGCGACUAGGCAGUGGGGCCCGUGGCCGGAGAAGGGAGGGACCCGUCGGCUAAGGACCAAAUCGAAGCCGGCACGGACAAACUCCAAGGCCGAGGGGAGUCACCGUCAGCGGCUAUAAAACAACCAACAACCUCGUGGGAUUAAAGCUCAUAGAGGAUCCAGUGCCACCUCCACCAUCAUCAAGGAAAGAGCCGCGAUGGCGCGUCGAUCUGACUCGGUGCCACGUCGACUGCAGAGGAUCUCGAUCAGAUUCUUGGAUGGCUUCUCCUCUGAGAUAGUUGGCAUCAUCCCGAGCGUUCCUUAGAUUCCUUUUUUCAUUUUAGCCAUUUUCGAUUGAUGAUUUUUUAGUUUUAGCCCUAAGUAAUUGUCAAUUGACCCGUAAUUCCAUCUACUUUUUUGGAAUCAUAAUUCCAUGUGCCUAACAACGUAACAACUCAGCUAGCGAGAAUCAUGUUUGAAACUGGAAUGAAUACUCCACUUAGAGCAAUUGGCUUAAUCUCGCGCCUUUUGUCGAUCCAAUAGAGCCAUGACAAGUAUGCUAGUAUCUAAUUUAAAUAAAAGUGAAAGUGAACAUAAUUCGAUGACACAUUUUCAUCUUAACACCAUGUAAAAAGUGAAAGGUCCCUAAGGGGCGUUCCUGCAAAAUAAAACGUAAAGUGCAGCGGAUAGUUGAAAGCCGGCUCACCCGAGAUGCACUCGGGUCAGCCGGCCAGAACCGGUCAGCCGACUUUCAAAAAUAAAUUGAAUUUAUGCACAAAUCUAGCCAACCAAAUUUAGUUCCAGAUGAUUCCACAGAAAGAAGGUAUACUAACAGAUCUAGGGAGCACUUUAGCUAGAAACACAAAGAAUAAAUUGAUCAGCCCUAGCGCGUGAAAGUCAACUAUCACAAGAACAUAGAAUACGAAGAACACAAGAACACAAGGAGACACGAGGUUUAAAUCCGAAGUUCACUCCUACAAAGGAAGCUACGUCUCGGUUGAGGAGCUCACAAAGAGCCGGGUCGUUCACUAACCCUUUACCUCUCCCAAUCAACUACAAAAGAGGAUUGAGUCGAUUACUAUGAAUCCUUAACGAGGAUGGAUAAUACAAACUUUCCUGAGCACACCACAAGAGAAGAGGGCGCUCAAACGGGAGACGCCUAGCCGGCUAGGAGCUUAAACUCCGAGAGUAACAAAUCCAAGGCGAUGCUUGACCGGUGACUUCAAAGCUCAAGAAGAUGGUGAACACAGCUUUCUCUCAAGGUCUCUCACAAGCUCCACUCAAAUCUUAGGCACUAAAUCCACUAGAGUGGCUUCAGAGAGGUGGAGUAAGUGCUAAAGAAGCCUUUGUCCACAGGUCGGUCGGGAUGACCAAGAGAGUUAUGAGGAGGAAGGUGAAAGGGUAUUUAUACCCGACCCCCGAAACUAGCCGUUGGUAUACAAACCCAUCUGACCCGACUAAGUCGGCUGACUCGACCUGCACAAGUUAACUAAAGUCAAAGCCAACUUCAAAAAUAUCUUCUAAGAUGAACUAGUCAAUAGUCAAUUCAAAACCGACUCACCCGACAAAGUCGGCUGACCCGGGUUUGAAUGGAUGCCCGUGCAACCAGGGUAGCGCACAAUCCAACUCACCCAAGCCCAACCUGGCUCACCGGUUAAAGUCGGCUGACCCGACUUUCAACGUAAAAACUGGUUAUGUUAGAGAGGUUGUGCAAGGGUUGUGUAAGUGUGUUUGUAGGUGGUUAGUCAUCUUUUUGAGCUUUUGAUCACCUGCAAAGCAUACACAUUGGAUCCCCCUUGAUAGUGUGGCAUCCUAUACUUAAGAUUUAAAAUCAAAAUGAAUGUAAGUCUUCAUGUUUGAACCAUAUGCCGUCACUCUUUAUCUUUGAAUUUGGGAGGGGUCGCUAGUGAUUCAUAUUCACUUGCAAUUUAUGUAAACCUGCUCAUACACUUUGUAAAUUUGUUAGAACUUUAAUUAGAUUGUCAUUAAUCCACCGAAACCCACUAGGAAGGAUGAAUGCACUUUCAAAAAGUAAAUGUUAUGGCUAGCAAGCGUACGAAACUAUGUAUCAUGGGGUUUAUUUCAUUCAUCAAUCUAAGCAUCUAAAGAUGAUGUAGUGCUGUUACCGACUAUAUAGUUUAAAUUUACAAGUAAUUAUUUUUGUUUGACGUUUGUGAUCAAAAUAUGCUAGCAUUUAUAACUACUCCAUUAGCCCCUGUGCCCCUAGCGGACCUACCUUAGUCCAAAGUCGGCACCCCUCCCCCAAAAAAAAACUUCUGAAGGUCUUAGGGUAGUGUUGGUCUAUAUGCCAGUGCACCAUAGCAUUAUUUAGAAGAUCAGCAACAAAUCUUUUGUUCAGCCGCAGCAGUUGUAGUCCUAUUAGAGAAUUUAUGAAGCAAACAUAUUUUACUAAUCCACGCAUCUAUCUUCAUCCUCAUUCUUUGUCUAGCUGUGUUCACUACAGUGAUCCAUGCUCGUCCAUUCUUCGCGGAAUCAUUGCAUUAGAAGUAUGUGUUUUGGAUCCCUCUCUCCUCCUUAGUAUAAGGGUCAUGCUCCAUCGUUGCAUUCUACUAUCAUAUGAGUUAUUGUCGCCAUACAACUCAUAAUAUUUUAUUUUGUAUAUAUACAUUAAAAAAAAGCGUAGAGUUACUAUUGCAGUUAUUCUUGGAGGUUAUUCUUGGAGGAUUAAACUGGAUCGACAGGUCUUGGUGACAGUUUGCCGUAAAUAAUUGUAAGCACUUAGCACCACGGUCGACGGUCGCGUGCUAUGGCAGGGCCAUGCAAGCGCGGAAAUGUUGCCUCGUUUCGUGCCGUCUAUCUUGGCAUCGAACGAUGGUGUCUUGGGUCUUGCACAUCACGAGGCAGGCACCACGAACACUACGCCAAGAGGAAAAACAAAUGGAAGAUCGACAAAACAACAUGCUACGUCUUGGUAUCUUCCUUGCACUCUUGGCAAAGGAGAAAGAAGAAAGAGGCCACCAGGGGCACGUAUAGCUAUAGGUGUUACACGUACGUAACGUGAGAUACAUGUGCGUGCCUUGAGGCGGUUGAUCGCGAUGAGUGCGGAGAAGUAGCGCGCGCGUCGAGCCGGGCGGCUGGCUGGCUGUGAUCGCGACGCGUCGUCCGUGCCGGAUCGAACGGCUACAAGUUGCUGAUUGGUGGAGCGUGGGUCAUGCACAUGCAUGGCGUACGUCGCAAUUGGCGUGCGUUGACCUGCUACCUGUGCUUCAAGGGGAAGUGACGCGUCCGUCCUUCAUGUUCAUCCCAGGUAGAUCAUAUCGAUCGAUCAGGUAGCUUAGUACUGGGAAGUUGGAAAUGCGUACGAAUCAUGGCACGCACAUCCAGCUACGUGGAUCCAUGCAUAAUCUUUCUUUCACCUCUCCAAGCUAUGCAUACACAUUCACAUGACCAUUAACUUAAUUAUGUUAGGUGUGUGUAGUCGACACUCAACCCCAGUCCACUAACUCAUAUGUUUUUUGUUUUGUUUUCACAUGAAAAAACAAAAUUGCAUGCGUUCAGCAUAAAGAAUAAUGGAUCGAAGCUAAGCUAGGCUUGGGCUUCGUUCAACGUAUACUAGCUCCCAUGGAAAAGAAAAGCAUUGCAUUGCUGAUCCGGCACGUACUCUCCCUCCCCCAGCUAUUACUACAGCCCCCCUGCCUUCUGCCCCUGGUCAACGCCAGCCGGCCAUGCAUGCAUGCUUAAUUACUUGGCAAUCGCUAUACUGCUUUAAUAUAAGACAGCCUCAUUUCCCUUUUACCCCCUUCAAUCCAUCAGCCACAAACAAACACAGCCAGCAGCAGCAGCAGCAGCAGCAAUCAAGAGAGCCAUCCAUCGAUCAAUAAUGGCCCGGUGGUCGGCGUCGACCGCCGCCGCGGUGGCCACCGUGCUGGGCGCAAGCCUUCUGUACAUGGCGCUGGUGGCGUCGGCUCAGCCGCCGCUGCCGGGCAACAUGCAGGUCGUCACCAUUAACGGCAAGCGCAACAGCAAGUUCACCUGCACCGACACCAGGAAGAACUCAAAACGCCCCGGGUGCACGGCCACCUGCCCCAACCGCUGCCCCAAGAAGUGCCUCGUCCUCUGCCCCACGUGCAAGACCUUCUGCCGUGAGUAGUGUACAUAUACAUAUGUGUAUCUUCUUUCAUCUAUAUAUGCACGCGCCUCAUACAAAUGGAAUAUGCUCCUCCCAUACAUCAUACAUGUACAGUGUGCGACUUCUACCCCGGCGUGUCGUGCGGCGACCCGCGCUUCACCGGCGCCGACGGCAACAACUUCUACUUCCACGGCAAGAAGGACCAGGACUUCUGCAUCCUCUCCGACGCCGGCCUCCACAUCAACGCGCACUUCAUCGGCAAGCGCAACCCGGCCAUGAGCCGCGACUUCACCUGGAUCCAGGCGCUGGGCAUCCGCUUCGCGCACCACCACCUCUACGUCGGCGCCGCCCGCACCGUCCGCUGGGACGCCGCCGCCGACCACCUCUCCCUGUCCUUGGACGACGAGGCCGUCCCCCUGCCGGCGUUUACCGGCGCCCGGUGGUCCCCGCCCACCGCCCCCGCGCUCUCCGUCACCAGGACCGCGCAGGCCAACACCGUCGUCGUCGAGCUCAGGGGCGUCUUCCGCAUAAUGGCCAACGUCGUGCCCAUCACCGCCGAGGACUCGCGCGUCCACGGCUACGGCGUCACCGACGACGACAGCCUCGCGCACCUCGACCUCGGCUUCAAGUUCUACGACCUCACCGACGACGUCCACGGCGUGCUCGGACAGACCUACCGCACCGACUACGUCAACAGGCUCAACGUCACCGCCAAGAUGCCCGUCAUGGGAGGCGCCGACAACUUCGUCUCCUCGGGCCUCUUCGAAACCGACUGCGCGGUCGCAAGGUUCGGACGCGGCAGCACCGCCACCGCUUCCGCGGCCGCCGGCGCCGGCAACGGCAUCGCCAUGGUCACGGACGCCAAGUAACUGUAGAUCGAUCUCUAUCGAUCGAGCUACGAAUGAUGAGACGAACGUUUGUUAAUUGUUUAAUCGCCGUAAGGAUAUGGGGUAUGUAUGUGUGUCCCGAUCUAAUUAAUUAAUUGUUGGUGUUGUAUUGGUUAGUAUUCAAAUAUCAACGUAUAUCUAUAUAAAAGAUAAAUAAUUCAGGAGCAUGCAUGCAUCUAAGUGAAGAAUAUGUAUACCCUGAAUCCCUGAUGAAGUGAUGAUGUCUGAUGAGAGCUAGUAAAAGCCGUUGCACCCUACCCGUGUGAUUGUUUUGCUGAGCACAUGGUAAAUUGUUUACCUGCAUAUGGAUGUAUUAGCAAGAAUUUGUCCUUUUGCGUGCUUAAGCAUAAGUGCAUGUUUUGAACUAGUAAUAACAAAUGAAACUAUAGAAUUGGGAAAAUUAACUGGCAUUUUUAGAAGAUAUAUAAUAGUAUAAUCUGAUAGUCAGGAGAACAUCAAUUUGCACUCCUGUCAAUAUCAAAAUAAGAAAACAUCUAGAUUUGUGUGGUUAAAUUAUCUCGAAUUUGUCUAUUAAUUUUGAUUUUUAAACUAGACGUGUGCAUAUAUAUAUAUAACUCGAUUCAGAUUUGUUUCAUGAUAAUUAAAUAUGUUUUUAGAGGUCAUAUAGAUAUUGAAAAAAUACUGAGUUUAUCACUUUAUCUCAAGAUGGAGAUAGAGAGGUCCAGUGGCUUGAGCCAUGAUAUCCACCAUCGACGUAUCCGUAGCUCGAGAUCCACCGUUCUCCAAGGGAAGAAAGAGGGGAGGGAGAGGAAAUGAAGAGUAGGAAGAUAACAUGUGGGCUCGGAUCGAAUGCAACAAGGGCAGAAGUGUCCAUUCACUGCCUAUUUUCUCUCUCUCUCUCUAGGUGAAAAUGAUUAUUUUAAUGUGUGGAGUAUUGUGGACAACCGAGCCAUGUUUCGCGGUAUGCUAGAGAUAAAAAAAAAUGAGUGUAGUCUUGACCAAUUUAUACUUUACCGUGUGUUUGAUUACGGGGUCGAAGUGGGUUGGGUUGGAGCCAACCCACUUCGACCCAUGUUUGGUUGGAGAGGGUGGGGGUUGGGUCCAACACAGUAGAGGAAUAUUCCUCUAAGAUCCGGGUCGAGAUGGUCCACUCGAUUUCGAGGGAUCAUCUUGACCCACUUGCACGGCGUCGGUCUCCGUCCGUGGGCGACGCGCGCCUGGAUGCCGCCGCGGCCGCUCGAGCUCUGUGGGAGAGGAGGAGGCGUGGUGCUCUGGCCGACGGCAAGGAGGGGGCGCGGGGAGGAGCUGGGUCGGGCAGCUGCCGUGGGGAGGAGCCGGGGUAGGGCUCCAGCCGGCGGCGGGGGCGCAAGCCGGCGGCGGGGAGAGUAGGGGCCGGCGGCGCGGGGCUCGAGCCGGCGGCAGGGGGCGCUAGUGGACGGCCGCGAGGCUCGGGCCGGCACGGGGCUCCGGCUAGCGGCGGGGGGCGCUGGCGGCCGGCCGUGGGGCGCAGGCCGGCGGCGGGGAGGGGGCGCAGGCCGGCGGCCGGCAGCGGGGAGAGUAGGGGCCGGCGGCCGGGCAGGAGGAGCGCGCCAGGAGGAUGAGCAGGAGCGGACCGUGAGGGAGGAGGAAGAAGAUAAGGAGAAGAAGGUAAGGAAAAAAAGAGAGGCUGACAGGUGGGCCCCGCAGCUGGCAGGUGGGGCCCACAACUAACGGUGUUAAAAAGACAUCCAUCCAAUCCUCUCAAUCUCUCCAACCAAACAAAAGACUGGGUUGGCUCCAACCCAGUCAUCCAAACACGGGAUGGGUCGGCUCCAACCCAUAAAAGUGGGUCGGCUCUAACCCAACCCACAUCAUCUCAAAACCAAACCCAUGCUUAUUAUCGUCUCUAAGAUAAAAAAAAACUAAUAUAAUGCGAUCUUAGAGGGGUAUCCACACCCACAAGCUUUCUAUGCAUGAAUGAACUAAAGCCGCCUUUGAAAAAUGAGUGGAGGAGUUGGGCGGUUUUUUAUUUUUAAAAAGGAAAUAGACAGAAAAAAUCCCACCUGCAACAUCCUAUACUUUAUUAAUCUGUACCUCCCCUUAAUUUACCCGCACAAAGUUAGUAUGGCGAGAACCUUUCAUUUAGCAUCGAUCAAAAAAACACCAGCUUCAUACCUUUCUUAUCAACAAAUUAAUAAGGCUUCUGGCAAGACUUGCGAACAAUAGGUUGCUAUUGUCAAUCAAAUUAUAUGGAAUAUGCGGAAAUGAAGGGUGGCAGAUAAGCCCAAAGAGGAUAUCUAGCAACAUAGGCGUGCUUGCCUAGGCGAGGUGCAGUGUGAUUCUCGGUAGCUGGUUGGUGUACAUCCACUUUGCACAAAUAGUCUCGAGGGUGUUUAGUUCCACGAACUAAAGUUUAGUCCUGUCACAUCAAAUGUUUAGAUACUAAUUAGGAGAAUUAAAUAUGAGCUAAUUAUAAAACCAAUUGCAUAGAUGGAGGUUAAUUCGCGAGACGAAUCUAUUAAGUCCAAUUAGUUCAUGAUUUGACAAUGUGAUGCUACAGUAAAUAUAUGCUAAUCAUGAAUUAAUUAGGCUUAAUAGAUUCGUCUAGCGAAUUAGCCUCCAUCUGUUCAAUUGGUUUUGUAAUUAAUCUAUACUUAAUACUCCUAAUUGAUAUCUAAAUAUUUAAUGUGACAGGGGCUAAACUUUAGUCUGUGAAACCAAACACCCUCUUAUUUUCAAUCUUUGUAACUCUCUCUGCCGUCAUACAAUUUCUCUAAAAAAAAUAGCUUUUGCCUUAUUCACGUAUCCAUCACUUUCACCACUUGGGCCCCCAGAGCAUGAGAUCGAGCAGUAUCUCAAUUAUCCCACAUCUUAGGAAAGUUAAUUGGCCUCUUAAGAGAACAUGUUUUGAGAGUAUAUAUAGCUUAAUAUAUAAAUCGAGCAGCAGUUCACUAGUAUGGCCACUGGAGGAGGAGACAUUAACAUUACCGGAUUGGGCCAAUCAGAGGCUCCGUUGACCAGUGUGCGGCAAAAAGUUGACUCCAAAUUCCCCUCCUGCUCUCCUCUCUCUCUCUCUUGUGAGCCUGCCCGUCCCCGCAUCCCCUCCCGUCUCCCCCUUCCUCCUCUCCACCCCUCUUCGAUCGGACCAAGCCUGCGACGACGUCAGCAACCCCGCCGACUACCUCGGCCUCCUCCCCCUCCCCUUCCCCCUCCUCCCGCCGCCGCCCCCUCUCGCCGCCGAGCAAUUCCGCCCCCAAUCGCCCGCGCCGCAGCAUUCGAUGCGCCGCGCCGCGCGCAAUUAGCCUACGAGGAGGAGCCCAGCUAGCCCUAAUCCUCCUCCUCCUCCCCCUCCCCAUGGCGGGGAGCUUCCGCGAGGGCGCGGGGCCGGGGGACGCGCACGCCCCCCCGCCCACGCCCACCCCGCCGCUCUCUCAGUACAUCUCCCUCGACUCGCCCGCCUGGGGGCCCGACCCCAAGCAGCAGCAGCAGCAGCACUGGCGCCACCCCGAGCUCAGGCGGGCGCUCGCCGCCGACGACCAGGCAGACGAGCUCAGGCGGAUCCGCGCCAGCGUCCAGGACUCCACGGGCAAGGCCAAGUACGUACCCUUCCCAGCUCUCCCCCCUCCUGCCUGUUAUCCCCUCCCCUCCCCGCCGCCGCCGCAUUGCUAACUCUGCUGCACCUCCCCCCCUCGCCCUAGGGAGAAGGUCAGGUCGCUGCACGACGCCAUCCAGAAGCUCGACAAGUUCAAGAACAUUGUCACCCGCAAGCGCCAGAGGACCGCCGACGCGGGCCCCGACAAGCUCGGCUCCUCAUCCGGUGCGCUCAGGAUGGGGGCGCAGAACAGCUCUGCCGUCAUGAGCAAGCGCGUGCGCUCCUCCCUCGCCGAUGGCCGGGUUCGUCAUUCAUCCCUUGCUGGCUCACUCUUUGUUUCAGAACAAUCCUAUACUGUACAGCGGUUGCUUAAGUUUACACUGCCCGUACACAAUCCUGACCCUGCCAUGAUUUUGGUGACCAGCUACCAAAUCUACGAAAGUUCCAAGCUUUGCAAUCUCAGGACUCUUCUUUAUUGUUAGUUGUAGCUAUUGAGCUGAUCCGGUUAUUUCAUCAUAGUUAAAUGUAACAGUGUAGCAUUUGCAUUUCUAAUUUUUCUUAGUUUGUUAUGGUUAGGUUUCUAAUUUCUUAAUGGUUACUGAGAUUCUGGGACAACAACAGUUCAGAAAAGCUGUGGCUUUUCAAUCCUUACAACUAAUUAUAACUCAAGCAAGUGUCCUUACCUCCUCAUAUUGUCGGUUACUUGUGGAUGGAAACCAGUUGAGUUCCAGAAAACUCGUUAUUCUUUUGUAAGUUGAAUUGUCUCGGUUAAAUUGCCCAAUGCUAUAAAAUUUUCUUUUCGACCACUCAUACUCCGUACUGUACCCAGUCUUAUCAUUUCGUAACUCAACUUCCUAGUUCCACCUGGUAACUGGCUAGCAACCUGUUUUCUUGGAUUUGGAAACUAUUACUCUUGUUGACCUUGUUUCAAUUCUAGACCAUGAAAAUUUGUCAUUUUAAGGUGUGUGUGUAUGACGUGUUCUUCUAAACUUCUAUCACUAAUUUUACAAUGAUAAUGUUUUCAUAUUCCUUGUAAUUUUCCUGUGUUACCAUUUUUCACUUAAAAAAACUUUUCCACUGUUUGUACAUAUUUCAGGUGGAAGGACGUACUAGUGUUCCUACAAGGCAAGGCCCUUUGGUUAGUAAUGAGAAAAAUUCACCUGUGGAGAAGGAAAAGAGCUGUACAAGAAUGUCUGCUACAGUCUCAGUGCUUUCUGAAGACAAAUUGCGAGGUUUAUCUACUGGUGGUGAAGGAUGGGAAAAAAAGAUGAAGCGCAAGCGCUCUGUUGGAACGAUGCUCGGCAGAGGCAGUGAUGCUGAUCGAGAUGUCAAAUCUGUUGGUCAACAUAGACCAGCCAACGAAGUACGUCCACGAUCCAGUGAUGGCCUUGCGUACAGGUAAACCAUGGGCUUACAAUUAUUUUGUUUUUAAAGUUAGAAUUUUGCUUGUUUGUGAUUGGUCGCUUCCUGAAAUGAUUGUCUGAUUGAGCAUCAUGCUGAACUGAAGCCCAUAACUUGGGACAACUCAAACAUCGAAAACAUAUACAUGAUAUGUUGACAAAUUGACAUCAUGCGCUAACAUGAAAUAGAGAUGUAAGGGUUGACAUAAACUGUCUUUGUUUAAGUCCAACAUCACGAGAGAGUUGAACGAUUUUACUGUAUAUGCGCAUUAUUAGAAGGUUGGUGUUUGACGGUUUGUGUUUCUAGCAGAAUCUAGCUAUUGUUGCUUGGGCUAAGCUGCAUUUUAUUUCUUUGAUCAAUACAGUUUUUCACCUUCUGCAAAUCUGCAAUCAAUCUUGCUAUCUAUGGUUCCACUGGAUCCUCUCCAUAUCCUUGUUAGAGCUCACCCUUCUUAAUUCUUGCAUCUACAGACAUGGAGCUUCCGCUGGAGCAUUAGCAGGUAACAAGUUGGAUGGCACUUCUCAGCAGAACAAUAUUGUAUCCCGUAUUCAAUCCAAGACAGAUGUGGAUUAUGCCACUCAGCCAAAUGAAAGAAGAGAACGUCAUACUGGAGUCGAUAAAGAAAGGACUACGGUAAAAGGAAACAAGUAAGCUAAGAUACUUCUGUGCUCCUGAUAAUUCACAUUUUGUCUUUGCUACAUAUAUGUGAAUGAUCAGUGCAACAUUGCCAUCCCUUUGAUGAUAUGUUAAUUGUUAUCUAGGGCAAAUACUUCUGAGGAUAUGCAGAAUGGAAGCUUAAGCCCCUUGCCCAAGGCUAAAGCAUGCAGGGCACCAAGAACCAGUUCGCUUGUUAUGAAUUCGUCUUCUAAUUUCCAACGUUCAACUGGAGGAAAUGAUGAAUGGGAAGAAGCAGCCCCUUACACAAAUAAAGCCUCGCCUUUGGGAGGCAUGACAAAUCGCAAACGUUCCACACAUUCGAAUGCUUCUUCACCUCCUAUUGCUUGGGUUGGGCAACGUCCACAGAAAAUGUCACGGACAAGAAGAGCAAAUGUUGUUUCUCCAGUAUCAAAUUUUGAUGAAGUGUUAUCUGAAGGAUCACCACUUGAUACUGCUGCUAGAUCAACACCUAUAGAGUCUGGCAGUGUGCUGACAAAGAACACACCAACAACCAAAAUGGAUAGCAUCUCAUCUCCUGCUGGGUUGUCAGAAAGUGAGGGAUCGGUUGCAACCGAAAGCAAGUCCAAGGAGAAAGCUAUGCAUAGUGGUGAAGUGGGGAAUGAGGGUGCAAAUGCAGCCCAUAACGCAAUGGGACUGAUAUUUUCAUCAAAUAAAAAUAGGAUUCCUUUGAAAGAAGAGCUUGAGGAUGGUGGUGUUCGCCGUCAAGGGAGGAGUGGAAGAGGUACUAUGCAUGUUAAGGGGUGUUCUUCCAUACCAAAAGAAAAACUGGACACUGCAGAAACAAGAAAACCAAUAAAAGGUGGAAGGCCUGGAUCUGAAAAGAACGAGAGGUACUAGAUGGUUAUUUCUUUUUUUUUUUGGUGGCAUUGUGGAUCUUAGUUUGUUAUAUGAAUCUUGAUUUGAUCUUUCAAUCAUCUGUGCAGUAAGUUGGGGCGGCCCCCAAUGAAGAAAGGCUCUGACCGCAAAGCUUCAUCUUGGCAUUCACAGGCUCUAAAUUGUGAACCUACAGAUAUAACAGGUUUUCUGAAAGAUACUUCAUGUUUCACCUUUAUACUCAUCAACUCUAGUCAUUAUUCUUUCUCUUAGUAACUAAUUAUGCAUUGUAGGUGAACCAGAAGAUGACCAAGAGGAACUUUUAGCUGCUGUUAAUGCUGCUCGCAGCGCUAUUGGUGUGUAUACGGUCUUAUUAUUUUUGCCUGGUGAUUUCUGUUAGACGCCCCUUUGGGUUGAUGUUUAUAACUUCCUUUUCUUUUUUCUGCAGUUGGUGCAUAUUCUGGCCCUUUUUGGAAGAAAAUGGAACCCAUGCUAACUUUCAUAAGCUCUGAAAAUUUAUCUUUCUUGAAAAACCAGGUUGGUGUCAUGGUUUCUUUAGUUGUCAUGAUUGAAUGUGCUUUCAUUGUUGGGUUGGGAUGGAUUCUAAUUUGUUGGAGUUUGUGGUCAGAUCAACCUUGUUGAAGAGCUUGAGAUGAGCAUGUCAUGCAUGUCUGAUGGUGAACAUGAUAUAAUAGCAUUAAGUGAUUACAGAAGAAUGCAAAAGAUGGUAUGUGACUUCAUGCUGUAAAUAAUUCCGACAAAAGAGUUCCCAUUUCAUGAAAACUUGUUGUCUCUAUGUAUCCUUGCUUCAUCUGUCUGAAAAAUCUGCAGGAGGAGCAUUCAUCUCAGGUGUUGGCUCCAUCCAAUUUUUCUCCCCCAUCCCAGCAAAGCAAAACCAAUGGAGUUGGAGCGAAAGGAUCUAUCGGCUGUUUUUCUCCUGGUGAUGAAAACCACACUGUACCACAAAAGCUGGAGGCUGACAAAUGGUUUAAUGAAAUGGCUCCAAUGGCACACAGACUCCUUUCAGCUUUAAUUAUAGAAGAUGACUUACCUGAUUCCAAUGGUGUGCAAAGAGAUAUACUUGUUGAGUUUCCAAAUAGCCACAAUCCUUACACUAUUAACAGAUACUUAGAAAAUGAACUUCAAGCUAGUGCCAUAACAUCUAAUUUCGGGUUGAGUGUGGAUUUCACGCACUCAAACAGUACUUCCAUGGUACACCAGAGCAUGUGCAAUGGUUUUACAGCUUCAAGCAACUUCAUCAAUUCAAAUAGUGAAAGUUCAGUUCAUAGUGAGCAUUUAUCAGAUGGAGUCAAUUUUACUGUAUACCCAGAAAGUGGCUCUUUGCAUGACUUGAUGCCACAGAUUUCAAGGCAAUGUCAAAAUCCAGUGAAAGAUUUCCCUUGUUCUCCAUAUGAGUAUCAAUAUGGGCAGAUGUCAGUGGAAGAUAAGAUUUUGAUUGAGCUGCAAAGUAUUGGCAUUUGUCCAGAGACAGUGGUAUGAUCCCUUAAACUCUGCAUUUUUCUAACUUCAGUGUUGCUUUAUGCAGUUCUUUUUUACAAGAUGUUAUUAUGCCCACCAGAAAACAUGUCAAAUAAUAGUAACACUUCUUGAUAUAAUGACAUGCAGCUCACCUGCAUUCAAGAAAAGCUUUAUGCAAUUCUUUUUCACAAGUUGUAGUAUGCCUUGAACAUACCAAAAAGUAGGAACACUUCUUAAUGUAAUGACAUGCAGCUCGUCUGCAUGUUCAAGGAAAAAAAUAUGAGCAGUAUAGUUGGCAAAUUUUGGGCAACCUGAUCCGUUUGUUAAGAUGAUAGCUGUUAAGGGCUUGUCUUUCUUGAACUGUUUUGUGGCAUACAGUAAAAUGGAUGAGUCAAGUGCUGAAGUUGGCCAGUUGGGGAUUUUGUCAUAUGGUUGGAUGUUUUUCAUAGUUUGAGGUGUUUCCAAAGUUUUUUUUCCUCGAAUACGUAGGAGAGCUCCGCAUUGUUGCAUUAAUGAGAAGAAAGUAUUUAGGAUACAAUCCACACAAACAUUCACACUCUUCCUAUCCUCCCCUCCCCUCUUCAGUCUUCACAUCUCGUCCCCAUCCUGAUAAGAAGAGGGGAGCUUCUACUUCCCCAGUUCCCCUCCUAUCCUCCUGCUCCUCUACUUCAGUUCCUCACCUUGGCAAAAAUCUGUGAGCUCUGAUCAAAGAUGUUUUCAAAGUGCCCUAUGUUCUCUUUUGUUUGGUGUUUUGACCCAACACUUACUAAAGAAAUGCACAAGAUGAUCACUUGCCCUUUGUGUCUCUUGCCACCUCAUUGUUUUCUUAUUAGCACACCUCUAUCUUAGUGAUCAAAUAGCAUCUAGCAUGGAUUGAAUGAGAUAGAUGCAAUAUACGCAGAUGUAGCUGUCUAUGUUCUUGACAGCUUAAAGAGUUCUCUUCACUCCUGAAACAUCACACUCACGAAAGGAAGGAGCGAGUGAGAAAGUAUUUGAUGUGCCCGAAAAUUAGUAGUCAUCCAAUGGCAUAUACAUUUAUAUGUUAUCAUUUCUGAAUUCUUAUAUUUAUGAUAUUUUCUGUCUGUUGCAAUAACCAGAAAGUCAAAGAUUAUGUAGUAACCUGAAAUUAUGUAUUCCCCCUCUGACAUUCUAGUUGUGAUUCUUGCCUCAUCUUUGCAACACUACCCUUUUCAGCCAAAGCUGGAAGAUGGAGAAGACGAGGACAUUAAUAAAAUGAUUUCAGAGUUGAGGAAAAGGCUGCAUGAUCAGGUUACAUGAACACCCCCUUAUAACAUGUCUUCAGUUUUGAUUAAAUUUGGAUGGGUACACCAUUACUCAAUAUACUAUUUUCAAUGUAUUGAUAUGACUUCACCAGAUUCAUGUAAAUUGUUAUUACGUUUAUCGAGUUUUGGAACUUGGGUUGUCUAAGGAUUCCUUGUUCUAAAUAUUUUGUUUUUAAAAUGUUAUAAUGUAAGCAUACACAAAGUUGGGCUUGCCUAUCUGGCAUCAGUAUGUGCUUAAACUGCAGGGUUCGUGGGAGCUACAUAAGUGGUAUCCUGGCAAAUAAGGACUCAAGAGAGGACCAAUAUAGUUUCUUCGGGGAAAACACUGCCAUUUUGCACCCCUCUUUAUGAUGAUUUGUAUACAAGUCUGAAAUCAUCAAAAUUAGAUAUUUAUCCUAUUUUUAUGCUAGGAUCUGUAUCUAGUAAAAGUCUGUAGGUGAAAUUUGAAUGUUAUGGAUUAGGAUGGGUUGCUGCCUGUAUCACUAGGUGGAACAACCAAAUGCGAGGUGGCCCAGUUAUGUGUCCUUUGAAAAGUUUCUGUGGUUCAAGUGGUUUAUUUGAGCCAUCUACAUUCAACCUAAUGGCCAAGACAAGUACUUCUUGUUGUGCUAUUUUAAGACUAUUUAUCGUUGAUACUUUCAUCGGAUGCUUGCUAUAACUUUACAUACAUAUGUUGAAAGAUAGAAUUGGUUUCCUUCUCACUGGGCUUGCAACAAUACAUAUUAAAAUGGUACCAUUCUUGUUUUGCAGGUGAAUCAAAAGAAAUGCAGAUUACAUAAGCUAGAUAAAUCAAUUCAAGAUACAAAGGAUCUUGAGGAGAGGUACCGGUGAAUUAUAUUUCUGGAUUAUAUCUUAAAGAUUAGUAUGUGAGGUUACUUCAAUGGCUAACUUUAAGAUUACCUGACAGGAGCUUGGAGCGACAUGCCAUGAACAAACUAGUUGAAAGAGCAUACAGAAAACUCAAGGUAGUUGAGAUUCCUAUUUACAUGAUUGCUUUUUCUUAUAUUGCUGUUGGUGCUUCAUGAGAUUAUGGGUGCGUUUGGCAGAGCUCCCAGAGCUGAUUCUCAGCUGAAUCCAGCAGGAGCUCUGCCAAACAAUUUUCCAGAGAGAAGUGAUUCUCUGCUGAUUCUGUGAAGUGAUUCUCUGAAAUGAACUAAGAGGCUGGGAGCGGAAAAAAGUAGCUUCUCCUGAUCCUGUGAAGUGAUUCUCCAUCCUGAUUUUAAGAGUUUAUGCUAAAGAAUUGAAGAGAAUCACUUUCAGCCAUAGAAUCACUUCUCUCAGAGAAUCAGCUCCCAUAGAGAAUCAGAAUCAGAUGGAGCUCUACCAAACAGACCCUAUAAGUGCCAUGGCUCUGCUAUGGUAGUUGUGCUCUGUAGAGAUAUUCACCCUUCAUUGCUUCAACAAGACAUUGUUUAUUUCUUUUAAAAAUUACUGUGGGGGCAGUAGGUCUCUGCAUGUUGGAUGGUGCUUGCCCCUUUAAGCUUAAUGUUUUGUUGUCUGUCAAAAACGGGGUAAUGUGGGUUAGCUGUGAUUAACCUUGAUCCUCAAUAUUGAUUGUAUAUCUUUAUGAUAUGUAGGGUGGGCGAGUUGGCUCUAGCCACAAGGCUGGUGUCAGUAAGUCUGCCAAUAAGGCUGCAAAACAGCUUGCAUUGGCUUUUGCCAAGCGUACACUUGCUCGGUGCCAGAAAUUUGAUGAAACAGGAAAGAGCUGCUUCAGUGAGCCAUCUCUUUGGAGUGUGCUAUCUGCGCCCUUGCCUAGCAGUGAUGCAAAAUCCACAGAAGGUAAUUUAUGUGCAACUGUUUCUGCUAAGAGAGAAAUUUCUGUUUUUGUUUGUGUACUUAAGAGAGGACUGUACACUGCAGCAUGCCCAUUUUCCUUGUCAUAUCAAAUCAUUUUGCCAAAAAAUAACUUCCUGCCUACUUUUCUUUUGGCUUCAGGUGUAGAGAGACUGAAGCAUCAAAAGCUUGACAGAACUCCAUUUGAUCAAGGUAACUUAGCUAUCCUGGUGAUGAUUGUACUGGGUGAUGUUAGAAGACCAUUCGUGUUUGAUUAAGUAUAUCGAUUUGUUGCUGAUACAUUAGCAGGUGGCACAAAAUGGAAAAAGGGCGAGAGGGAAAGGGAUCACAACAGGGAUGCAUCUGCAAAGGGCUCUGGUUUGAAGUCAGGGCGCCACUCAUCAGGCGGCAGCGGGAGGAGCGGCGAGCGCAAAAAUAAGACAAAGCCAAAGCAAAAGCUGGCGCAGCUAUCAACUUCUGGAAACGUGCUGGGUAGAGUGGUGGAGCCAUUGUCAUCGCCGGCAGUGCAAGAGCCCCCACCCGAGCCACCAAGUGAGAGAAAGACUCAGCAUCCAACAAGGAAUACUUCCAGCAACGCUGCCCAGCGCGGUACCACGGAUGCUGCCCUGCCAGUCUUGCCUGGACUAGACGACAUAUUGGAUGUUCCAGGAGGGCUUGAUGGGCAGGGCAACGAUAUUAGCUCAUGGUUUACGGAUGGGCUUGAUGACUCGUUGCAAGAUAUUGAUCUUUCAGGCGCCCUGGAAAUCCCAGAUGAUGACCUCACCCAGCUGGGAUUUAUAUAAAUGAGACGAGACGAAACGAAGCGAUUGUUGUUUAUCCUGUGCAUAUGUUUGGGAGUAGUGUGGAUGUCAUGUUUUCCCCCUUCCUUACCUGAUGAUGUAUGUUAGAGCUAAUCCAUUAAUCUCCCUGCCACAACCUGGUGGGGCAGAGGUUGUAAUUUGUAAUUAGGCCGGUGGAUUCGUGUCCAUGUCCUGAAUCUGCUGGCAUGGAGUUGAACUAUUGCAGAUGAGAUACUCGAUUCUUGUAGCAGCAAAGAACAUGGUGAAAGUGUUAAUGGUAUUAUGUUGGUAGCUUGUCCUUGCGUCUCCUCUUGAUGCUGUCACAGUCACAAUCCAACACGGCCGUUUCUCUUGCCACAGUAUGUUUCCAUGGAGAACGAUAGCCUGUGGCUCAAUUCGAAGUGCUUGCGAAAAGUUGAUGCCAGCUAAAAAGUGCCUUUUCAUGUCAGCUGUAUGUUUCUGUCAGCAGUUCUGCUAAGUUUAAGGUUGAAACGUAGGCUCUAGGUUAAUGUAUUACAAAGUACUUAUAUUUAAAGAAGAACAAACACGGGUCCAUAGCUCAGUGGUAGAGCAAUUGACUGCAGAUCAAUAGGUCUCCGGUUCGAACCCGGAUGGGCCCUUCUCUUUUCUAUUUUUCCCCAUUUUUAUGCAAGGUUUCUUGUUUGCAACUUUACCCGUACAGAAGUAUGUGAUGAUUUUGGUAUUUUUAAUAGUGAUGUUAAACUUCAGUGAUUAAUCACUGCUCGAUGUUUAACAAGUUAAAACCUAUGGACUAGACAUAUCGCCGUGCUGAAUUUUUUCGGGAAUCACCAACGUAUGCAUAUUUUGUACUUAGAAACCAUAUGACUACGGUUUCUAGGAGUGACAUUUCUGGGUUACAAACUUCAUCACAACUUACAAUUAACAAGUUGAUCUUCCGCGGACACUACACAAAACAUGGCUCUGCGAGUUUCAGACUUCCAGUAGCAGCUAUUACUCCUACUAAACAGCAACGAAGCUGCUCCGGCUUGUACGUACGUACAUCCUUGCCACUUUGGCAGGUUAGCCACUGAAGGGACGGAAAACCUUGAACGCACUGACGAGGUCGGCGACCGACAGGAUGAGGCUCACGACGGCGAGCGCCUCCACUUGGCGCUAAUGCGUUUGGGACACUGACUGCAUUUAUUAGUACUUAAAUUUUUCGUUAUGGUGAGUGCAACAACGACAGUUUGGCCGAGUGGUCUAAGGCGCCAGAUUUAGGCUCUGGUCCGAAAGGGCGUGGGUUCAAAUCCCACAGCUGUCAGUGUUUUUUUUCAUAAUAUGUCUCUGUAUAUUUUUCGCGGAUAAUAUAUCUGCGUAUCAUCAAUUCAUCAUCACCUUUUUAGGUGGACUAAUUCUUCGCUUUGGAGUUCACCUCGAUUCAUACGCACGGAGUUCCUGCUCUCUAAAAAAAAUGCAGCACAUAUUUCCAGUCACAAGAAAUAAACCAAGCAUGCAUGGAUUGCAAAUUUCCUUUUCUUAAAAAAAGAUGGACAAAAAGGAACGACACUUUUACAAAUUAUUGUCAUUUACAGUACAGCCUCUGCUCUAAAAUGCCGCUAGCCCUUGCAGCGUCCACAUUAUUUAUUGCUUUGCCUGCGAUAGCAUAUAUAUAUCUACUACACUACACAUAAUCUAAUACAAUGAAUCAGUAGGUAUCUGCUAAUUUACAUGUUCUCUUCUGCUCUGCAGCUGUCCAACUACUGCAACUCUGAAACACCUCUACAAGUGAAACCUCGCCACACAUCAUUCAUGGAUCACAAUCACGCACCACCCUUCUCCUUGAUGUAAGCUAAACUACGAGUGAUUUGUUGUUCUACGCCAAGCAGAUUCUGACAAGAAUAUAGCUGUCUUUCAGGACACCAACACUGCCACUGUCUAUUAUCAUACACAAUGGCAAUGCGAUAGCUGCUUGCUUUUGUACAUGCAGCUGACGGCGCAUAUGAUAGCAUCAGCUCAGGUGUGGCAUCACUCACUGGCGGAUUGAACAUAGCUCCCAGUUCCCUUCGCCAUCAAUGAGCUUCAGCUCCAAGGCAUGGAAGGGUAUCAGAGCUGGCCUCUGUAAACAUGGAAAUGUUUCAGUCUUUCAGCAAAACUCUAAUUUCAUUCCUGAGAGCAAGGUAUGAAUUUUGGGCGAUAACAGACAACAGUUCACCAUCUUUUUUUUUUCCUUAAUACGAACAGUUCACCAAUAUAAGAAUUUUUUGUGUUGUCGCAGGGAUUAUCCAAGCACUUACUUGUGAGGAAGUGAUCACAGUUAUGCCCAUGUUAGUUGCAAGCCUGUACAGAUGUUCUUCAACAUCAACACUAGUAGCACUGCAAUCAAGAAAAAUUUUAGGACCCGCAGUAAUUAAUUAGCAAAAAGUUUUUUAAAAAAAAAUGGAAAAGUCAAAAGAGCAUCGUGACAGAAAGCGUACUUGGUACACUCGUCGAGGAUGCCAUACUUAGGAUGAUGGAAAAACAAACGGGCCUAGAACAACGAUGAGAGAGUUACUUCCAAUAAAUUCAACUACAUAUAAAAUGAAAGAACAAAUAAAGGUGGCCUGACAGUUAAUACUGACCAUCCCAAGCCUCUGUUGUUCUCCUAGUGACAGAACAUCUUCCCAGUUUGGUGUAGAAUCCCACCCUUCUCUUUCUAGAAGAUACACCAGCCGCACAUUCUCUAGAAUUGUCUUCAGGUGAUCAUCAAGCAGGAUGGAAGCACUAGAUCUGUUUCCUAUAUUGCCAGAGUUUUCCCAUUAUCAGGACAAGCAACAAAAUAAUUUAGUACGUCCUUUUAACCAGCAUCCUCCUAGCAAAUCAUAAAACUAUGUUCACACUUUCAAACACAUGGUUUCUUACUAAUUCAAUAGACACAUAUACCAAAAAGUAAGUGGGCCUACCAGCUUGAUGUAACGAGAGAACUUUCAUCUCUGCUUCCUCCCUUGAGAGAGGGUAUAUGAUCUGAUCCCGCAGAGUACCUAGGCUGGUAUAUGGACGCUGAGGGACAUGAAACAUCCCUUCAGAGGGCUUGAUAACUCUCCCAGAGAAGGUGGGCCACAAAUCUCUGAGCACUCUAAAUAUAGAACUCUUUCCACUACCAUUGGGACCUUCAGUAAAGGUAAAAUGAAUCCUGUUAAUAUAAGGUCACUGCAGAUAAGAAAAUAAUGAAGAUUGCCUGCAGGAAGAUUGCAUACCAGUCAGAAGAAGGCUUUUCCCUUGUACCACAUUGCAUGACAGUUUGCUAGCCAAUAGCUUCUGUGAUGGUGUUACAAUGUCCACUUCAUGAAAUGAAAUAAUAUCUUCUGAGGAUGCACUGAUGGCAUUGGAAGACACCACGGUAUCUGGAGUAAUUUUAAAAGCAUGUUCAGAAUCGAAAGCUUAACUAAUGACAGAACAUGAACACUAAACUUCAACCCGGCCCAAUUAUCGAAGUUUUCAACCUUUUCAGGGUGGCAGCUAUUAAAUUUUCUGCCAACUAUUGGCAAUUUUGCAAACACACAACUGUUGACAAAACAUAUAAAGACCACCGCACCAUUUUCAGUACACUGCUAGAGACUUACUAUUUAACUUGGCAUGGUAAAAGAAUUGCUAUAAGAAUGUUGUUUCAUAGAUUUCACGUGCCAAACUCUUAGGAGGUGGCAAGCUCAACCAUAACAUGCUGAGCAGGAUUCUUCACAAUAUGUGCUGUAUAAAACACCACUAGAUUCUGUAGAGCCAGAAUUAUGCAAGCUGACAGGUCAAUAACAGGAUCAAUUACUACCCUAAUAUAUUGUGUUUUAGUGUUAUAUUAUGCACACUUAAAAUGGGCUAUAUAAUUCCUUACUGAAAAAUCCAAUUAGAGAAUUUAACAUGAUUGUUAUUGUCUGUUAGAAAGCCAACGUAAUAGUGAGCGAGUGUGGUAAUGAACAGGUUUUUAUCUAAACCUGUGUAUUCUGUUCGUGUUCUACACCCUUUCUUCUUAAUAUAUUGAUACGCAGGUCUCCUGCAUGUUCGAGUAAAAAAAAAAGGUUUGAACUUACUCCUUUGAGCGGCACAUAUAAUCUCCUCAAGCUCAAAGAUCCGGUUAAUCCCACCAGAGAGUUCAAGGAACUUCUUAUGUAACUCAAGAAUGUCGCCAAAGGCUAUGAAGCUCUGUGACACCACUGAAGCCAAGAAUCGUAGAGCAUGUGCCAGCUCUCCUGUUACACAAACCAAAGGAACAAUGUAUUUCGGGAUGUUUAAGACGAAAAAUAAUGUAGAAUGGAAGAGUUGUGAAGAUUAGUAACCUUGAGUUGAGGUCAAAGCUCUGUCUCCCUUGUGCUCCAAAGCAUAUAAUAGACUAAGACCCCAUGUCACAUUGUGAGGAAGUUGCUUUGUAACAAAAUCAUCAACAAUACCGUAAAGCCACUGUUUCCUCAAGAGAAUCUUUGAGUGGUUAAGUAACUUUACGAAUUUAGCAUCAACCAUCUGAUAUAUGAAAAGAAUGAUAAGCAGAAAAGUCAGGUUCAUGUCAUCUAACACAAUAAGGGUAGCAGAAGAGCUACUGGGGGGGAAAACCUUUAUCAGUUAGAGUUCAUAAACAUAACAUGUCUGUUAGAACUGCAAAUACAAUUAAAAAAGAACCCCACAAGAACAGUUUCUAAAGUCUAAACACUUAAUGGUCUCUACAAAUGCCAUAUAGAAGCAUCAGAAAAUGGAACUGCUGGGUCUCCACAUUAUAUUAUCCUAGCUCUUCAAUAUUCCAUCUCAUGUACAUGGCUACACGCAAUGUGUAUAAAUAAGCCACACUGCCUGGGAUAAUGAUAACAGUUUUAUCUCAUAAUCUCUAAAUCUAACACAUUGAAAAAACUGAAUCAGGCUGCUACAAGCACUCUUAAGAAUAAAACAAGCAAACAUUAACUUUGCUAGGAAGGUGCAACAAGGUACGGAAAGCAAACUAUCUCAGGCAGAACUAAAUAUAGAGUAAUAAACACAAUAAAGCAGUAAGGAAGCAAUAUCUAGUUUCAUAAAGCUACAAAGUGAGAAUGUAGUUACAUGUUCAACAGAGUUUCUGAGUCAAAAAUAUGCUUUUUAAGGUAAAAAAAUCCAGCUACCUUUCAACAACCCACUAUUUACCUAGCGUUGCACUUCACAACUGAGGCUAAAAUAAUCAAACAAGCAUUUAAUUAAUUGAUGGUAUUAAACACAUAUCAUUUGUAUGAACUUGAGUAUUAUCCGUGUAAUGCAAUGGAACUCACAGCUUUUUCUCUUGAACCACCACCAAAAAAAGCAAUUGAUUCAGCAUGUGUCCGCAGUCUUGAGUGCAUGAACCUUGCAAAAGCUCAUCAGAUUAGCGCUUCAAAUUCUUUAAAUGGCACGUUGGCUCUACCAAGACGCAACAACAUAUGCAGUAUUUACCUGAAUGUUCCUUCAAGUUCUUGUUCUUGGCCUGAGAGACGACCAAAGUCAGGGGAUACUGCUCUCAGGAAGCCCAAACCCAGUAACAUGUAAGCAUAUAGUAUAGCAACUCCUCUUCGUCCAGACAAGAGCUUCAUUCUCCAUGUAAACCUGGUGAAUUUGGCUAGAAUUAUCACAAUGAAUUCUAGGGUAACUUUAAACCAAGUUCAUAAUUAGCGAUAGAUGCAAGGAUAACUCACCAAAGAAUGUCAACUACUGGUUUUACCAUUCCAGUAACUAGGCCAGCAAGAUCAGUGGUCAACUUGUCUACAUCAAGUGUUAAUCUUUGGUCCGCAUCAAUACUUUUACCUGACAUGUUGAAUACCUGAAAACAUAUACCAGGAUAACUUGUUACUUUUCCUGUCCAUCUCAACCCUAAAACAAUUGCCAUGCCACCACUAGACAGCAUGAUGGCUAGGCCAUCUCCAGUCUCAGCACUCAGGUUCUUCAUCUUCACAAAAAACUAGGAACAAAUAAAUGCAUUGGAGUCAAUAGAAAAGGACAUGGGGGCUACGUCCCAGGUCAAACCUAUUCCCUUAUCGUUUUUUAUCCCUCUCCAAAUUUCCAGCCUGGGUCAAUACACACAAAGUUGAUGCCCACUGGAGUGCUGGAGGUACCAGACUCCAGCAUCUUGUUCCAUCAUGUAGACUGGAGCAUCCACAUUAGAACCUCUAAAGUAAUUUGAAUUUUUGAGAAGGCACAACUUCUAACUUGGGAGUAUUUCUGCCUUAUGAUUUAACUAAAAAGAACAUUUUGACUAGCUCAAACGUGUAUUGGGUACGUUUUAGGCAGCGGCUCAAGUAUUAGUUUACCUUUGCCAUUAAAAGCCCAUAAUUCAAAUUUCAAACAGCUGGCUCUGUGAGGCACACCCGUACAAUUACAUAAGCAAGUGUCCAACAAAGCAACAACCCCAGCAUUUCACACUGAACAAAAUAGUGUCCAACUCUCCACUAGUACAGACUGUCACAUAAAUGAUGCAUUCAAAUGAAUAUCAGAACAGCUAUAACACCACCUACAAAGUCCCGUCAUACCAUAACUAGAAUAUCGAGAAGCUAUAAUGUGCAACAGGUAACCAGUAAAGGAAACUAAAGAAAUAAUGUGUUUGUGUGUUUUUGCUCGAGGAGAUACCUUGUAGAAUGCAUUUCUUUUCAAAUAAUAUCGAAGCAAAUGAUUGGUCAUGCGAAUCCGCCAUCCAAGGGCAAGUUUAGCGGUAAGGGUCCUGUACAGAUACAUGUAAAAGUUUCAAUCCUACGUUAAAUACUCCCACUAUAGAAACUUUGAUGAUGAUGAUGAUGAUGUAGCAUGCAAUUCACUGAUGAUAACAUUGCAUGUUCUUCACUAAAAUUUCUUAGCGAGAUGUGCAUGCAAUUAACACCAAACCCUGAUACAUUGUCAAAUAAUGCAGCUUCCUAAUGUUAAGAUAAGACAGAGCAUCGAAACAACUAACAAUGUGCUGUCCUCAUCUAUUGCGAUGGAAGCUGCUGCUAUCUUGCUGCGUGGCUUCCAUGCAGGCUAUGUCUCUUUGGUGCUUGCAGCCAUAUCUAUAGCUGUUGCCCUAUGUGCACUACAGCUGCAGCAACAAGCCCUAUGGCGUCCAUGUGUAACAAUUACCUAGUGAUAAAUCUUUUAAAUGGAGUUAACCAAUGAUUACCUAAGAGAUGGUGCCACAAAAGAAUUUGCAGCACUUUGUAGAAUACUGACACCAAUCAAGCGAAUAAAGGCAACUUUAUCCUGCUCCAAGACGAACUUCACAGUUGUCCCUGGCAAGAUGAGACAUAUCAUAUGAGAAAUUUACUUGCAGCUUUUCUAACUAUGAAAGAUAUCCAAGGGUGAAAAAGAAGAACCAUUCAAUGAAGCAAUACGAUCAGAGAUCCAUGUACGAGAGAAAACAAGUACAGCAACAGCAAGCAACUGCCCGCCUUGUUUAUCAAGUAGUUUAGGAACCUGGGGAGUGAAGGAAAUGAGUAGCAUAAGAAUUUCAGGGUGUAUCAACAUCGAGAAUAAAGUUCCUAGAGCUAGUUCAAGAGGCUUCAUCCGAUCUAUGUGUAGAAUCUUCUCCUUUUUUUAAUAAUUCCUUAGUUUGUAGAGCAUUAGUAUACUCGAAAGGUUAUUAGUUAUUACAUCACAUUAGAUGUUUUUGUUCAAACAAAGGAGCAACCAACAAGCAAAGAUAUCUAAAUUCUAAAGUAGGGGCUGAAUAUGAAUUAUUGGAGAACACGAAUCUAAAGAGGAACUGUGAGGCACCAAGGAGAACAGCAUACUAGUAUUUUGAGCAUUGCAGCUACUCUGAGAGGCAAAGGUCUUGGGUGGCAUCGCAAAUGUGGAACCCGAGAUGUCCGUACUGCAUGUUCUAUUUCCACCUUAGGGGAUGUUGCUAUGACCUCUGUAGAGUACGAAUGGUCCUUGGACCCCAACGAAGCAUUGCUCUGGUGAGGAAACCCAUAAAACAGAAACAUACGAUAAGCUGUGCCUGUUAAUGAUGAUGGAACAGAAAUCCAGUAGACAAAAAUCAUAUACCUUUGCCCUGCUCAUAAAAGCCCUUUGAACAGUCAGUGCAUCAGAUUUACGAUCAGUUUCUAAUGAUGAAAAAUCAGACUCUUCAGUGGAAAAGGAAGAGUCCUCCCUGCAAAAUUAGUAUAUUACUAAAACUUUAGUGAAUUAAUUCAGAGAACAUACAUUUAACAACUUAUUUAAAGGGUUUCAACCUUCUAUGCUGAACAUUCCAGCCGCCUUCACCGUCCAAGGACAAAACAAUAUCAUGAAAUGCAACUAAAGCUGGGCGAUGAGAUAUUGUUAUGCAGGAUGUACCCAUAGCUCGAACCUUCUUGCAAAAACGUUCUUCCAUAUCAGUCGUUACGGCACUAGUGCACUCAUCAAGGAUGGCAAACUUUGGCUUAUGGUAGAAUAACCUGGCCAUUCCCAAUCUUUGUUGCUCACCAAGGGACAGCUCAUCACCCCAGUUAAUUUCCUUAUCAAGAGGGUAGCGUUCUAGCAAGUAUUCCAGGUCAACCUGUGAAACGGGCAUGGUUAGAAAUCCAGCAGGUUCAUGUGCUAAGUUGCACCUCAAGCCUCAAGAAGCCACAAUACCAAUGCAAAUAUCCAACUUAGAAAGCAUUACAUUCUUUAGAAGGUCCACCAUGCCAUCAUAGGUAAGACGUUCAAUCUCCUGAUCUUCUGUAAGAGGAUAGAUUAGUUGUUCACGUAGUGUUCCAACAGCCGUGUAAGGUCUUUGCGGGACAUAAAAGAUCUCCUUAUUCAGAUCUGAACCAACACCAGGUUUAACAAUGUGGCCAGAUACCAGUGGCCAUAGACCCCCAAGGACCCGGAAAAGGGAGCUUUUUCCGCUACCAUUGGGACCUGGAAGAAGAAUAAAUCCGUAAAAUUGUGAAUAUAUUGAGACAUAGGCUUAUGAAAACAGAUGUUUUGUGCAAAGAUGUAUAUACACUGAGAGUUUGAGAUCAUAAUGAGACAUACAAAAAGGAAUCUAAAAUCAUCCAAGAAUACAUGCAGAACAUUUCAACACUAUCCUUCAAGUGGGUGUCAAGACUGUACAGACUUCCUUAUCACACAAUCAAAUAGCUGUUGAUUUACAAAUGGUCUACAGUGUAUAAAAUAGAAAUGCACAUCAAGCUAAGGAAACAUAGUAACAUACAUUUGCAUAUCAGCCCAUAUAUGUGGGGGACUACACUUCAAAUCAAUUUAAUUUUCAUCGCAGAAAGCAGUGUGCCAGUCACGUCAUAAGUCUAAAUUCACAAUAGCAAAUGUUUGGUAGAAGAAGAUUACCAGUGAUCAAAAGAUUCGAACCAGUUUCUACCCGGAGAGUCAAAUCGUUAACCAAGAUAUUACCUGCAGGUGUGACUACCUGCAAUCACUUCAAAUCAGAAACUUGAAAAUAAAGCACAUAAAAAAUGAAUAUGAUACUCCAACCAGCAUGUUAUUAUUACCUUAACGUCAGAAAAUUCUAUAUGGUUUGCUUCACUGAUAUAAUUUCCAGAAGAAGAAUUGUGAUUCAAUGAUUUAUCACGAAUACCAGACAACUCACGUGAAACAUCCAAUAACUCACGAAUCCGGUCUGCAUAGCCACUGUGAAAUUACAUUGAAAGUCCAUAGGCAUCACAAUCAUGAUGGUGCAAAGUUUCAAACUCAAAAGCAGCAGAUGAGCAGAAAACGCAUCUGGAACACAAAAGGGGCAAGGAAGGACCCCACCAAAGUUUUCCAAACAGAAAUCAAAGUCACUGUGUUUUGCAAGUAAGCUGACAUUGUCCAGCUGUAUUCUGCAUAAAGUAUGGUCUAUCGAAAUAAUCAUAAAGUUACUGUGUGUGUUUUUUUAUGGACACCAGUUCAAAACUUUAAUGGCUCUGCCAAUUUUCAUGAUCUCAUAUACUAGAAUAUAGAAAGGUCACCUAACACAAAAUGCAACAGGUCAAAUCAAUAGAGAAUAACGUCAUAAGCUGCACAAAUUGAAAAGUACUUCUGAAUUAAAUAUUAUCUAAAUCACAAGUUGGCAGCAUAUCAUGAACAGGAUGUAACAAUUUCCAGUUAUGCUCUGUCCAAGCACUACACAAAAUGACAUAGUGUCUUUGGCUUGGAAAAAUAUUAAACCACUAAACAACAAAAAGCAAAAGUGAGAUUCUUCCCUCUUCACAAAAUAUGUGGAUCAUAGCACUAAAACAGUUUCAUGAAAAAAAGAAGUUAUUUUCAGUCUGCAUGUCAGAAAUGGAACAGGAAGUAUCACUAUUGUCAAAUUGCAAGGGCAUAAAAAAAAGUAGAUUUAAUUAGAUAGAAUGCACCACUGUUCAGUAACUUUUGGAGCAAAGGUUCACCUUCCAUGAUUCAGACCUAUGGGGUAAUGAUGUAAUGUUAACAAUUCGUAAAAUAGAUGGAAAACUGUACCUCAGGAUAUUUAAACGUCUUGAACUGAUAGAAAGAAUUCCAAGGGACUGAAACAAUGAUAUGAUCACACUUGUGUGAUAUCGAAGAUUGCUCAACAUUUCAGCCCUUCCAAGGGUUGAUGAAUCAGGUCUAAGGUUGCCAGAGAAGAAUGGUUCAAUGAUAAGGACAACUGCCACAGUGGCACCAAAAUACUUCAGAAAGAAAUCUUGAAUCAUGCCGAACCACCAGUUUUCAUGACGCACAAGAUUCAGAUGCCCAACAAGAGCAUCAAACCUCUGCAUAAUAUGAGAUGCUUCUCUGUUCUCACCACCAUAAAAUGCCACACUCUCAGCAUGUGUUCUUAAUCGUGAAUGCAGUUGACGAUAGUCUCCUUCUAGUUGUUGUUCCGUGGAUUUCAGUUUUCCAAAAGCAGGAGAAAAUUUCCUUAUUGCCCCACCAGCAACUAGUACAUAUGCCUGAAAGCAUUUAAAUAUUAUAAUAUUACCAAGUAAUGAGUGGGGGAAGAAACUGGCUGUCAUUACAAAAUACUAAUAGCUUUCAUAGAGGUUAUUAUAGGCUAUCACAUCCUAUAUAAGUAAAUAAAGCAUCACUACCAAGAUUUUGUAUCAAGAAUUUACCAUAAUCCAGAACACGUAUUUUGGACUAGCAUACGAACAGAGACGCCAGGUGUAUAUUAGCCCUUCUGCAACCGCAGCCAGAUCAUCCUGUACAAGCUCACUUAGUUCAGAAGAGAACUUUGGGAUAUCACUAGCAAUCCUUUGCUCCGGAUUUGAUACUCGAUGAUCCACAUGUGACAUUUUGUAGUAAACCAUAUUCUGGACAUAAAGCAAAAAAGAGUGCGAAAAUGUCUUGUCAAAAUUGUAUUUCAAAAGGAGAAGUGUUAAAUUAAUGAAAAAAUAGCUGCUAGCAUGUGUACUAAAAGCGCAAGCAUGAAUAAAAGCAACUGCAUUCUCCUAAUAAGACAUGAAGGAAAACAGGAAAAAAUAGCUUCUAAAACCAAAAUCAAAUAUAAUCUUAACAACCUUACUGAAAAAGUAAUCAAUGCUAGCAUAAAUUAAAAACUGGCAGGAAAAUUCAACUAGCAUAAAGAAAAUGGGAGCACUAGAAAGGGUAAGGUAAAAAAAUUACUGGUAAACAGCACUAGAAAAAAAAUAGUAAGCACAUUUCUUCAUGCACCAACCCAAUACUAUAAUUGACUAUCACAGAAACGAUAUUCAUCUCUAAAUUGUAGGAGAAUAGCACAUGAUGAAACAUAGUUCCCCAUUUUAUGGAAUUUCUUUUUUUUUCUAUGACAUAACAGCUACAGUGUUUUAUCGUAUGCGAUCUUUGCUGCACUGAUCACUAGUUUUAUAAAUGGUCCCUAUAAUCUAUGACAUAAUACCAACAAGAACAAAAUUAAUCUGUUGAUAGAUAAGAACUUAGAAAAUACUCUUUAUUGGCAUUCAAACUCUAUAAUACUCUUCCUGGUAUUCUGAGGAAAUAAUGCAGGUGAGAAAUGUGUGCACUAGGGAGUAAAACAAAAUGGAACCAAUGCAGAAACAAAUUGCAGUAGAAGUACCUCAAAGUAAUCAGCAUGAGCGAUAUCGGUUAAAAUUUUCUUGAAACGCAAACUUAAAGACCCUGUCAAGUAUUUUGAUGUCUGAUAUAAUGUGGAUUGGAGGAAACAUAAUAUAAGGUUUUCUAUGAUCAAGCGUGUAAAUGUUGGGACACGCCGAAGAAAUGCUGCUUUAAACAAAAAGCCUUGAACUUUUGCCAAUCUAUGCCCCACAGCAGUACGCAGCACCUGCAAAAAAGAAUGUGGUGCUGUAGAUCAUUAGUAAAGCUUCCCAUACUGUCUAAAACUCCCAAAGGUAGACAUCUGAAAAACGGAAACUUCUAGCAAUAGUAAAAAAAAAAAGAAGUUUCUAGCAAUGGUAGUAACAUUUUAUUAAAUAGUCAGGAUAAAAUGUUUUUAGACAUUCGAAAUUUUGCCAUCAAAACAUAUGGAAAAUGCAUUAGACAUAGAUUGUUUCUUUUCUAUUUUUCAGGAAAAUUUUUUUGCUAACUUUCUUCAUUGACAUGGGAUUGUUAGGUUGCUUUCCUUGUUAAGAAACUAGGAUGAGUAAUACAGAUUUAUUCACAAAUUAUUCCUUUAUAUGCUAGCAGCAGUAGGCCAGUUGCAACAUUGGAAUCACUUGUGACAAGCCAAAAGUUCCAAAAUAGAAUACAUUCAUCAUAGAAAAUGGUGGAACUUACCGCUGUUAAUACCAAGCCUAGAAGGUAGCGUGUGCCAUUGGGACCAAUCUUCUUGAGCAGGAUAGCAGUUAGGAAAUGCAAAGAUUUAAGCCCACUCUUUUUCUGCUUUGUUGCAGCCAAUCUACAAUUUUGACUCAACCCAUCCCCAUUGGUGGCCAAUUCACUGGCUUCGCUGCCAUAAUUUGCCUCCGAACGCCUGCUCCGCUGGCUUUGACUUGACCGGGCAUAGGCCAAAGCUCCACCAGCAAUCAGCGCGCCAGAAACAACCGCGAGAGUCCUCCUGAUUCCACACGAGAGACGGUAAGGAGACAAACACCGCAUUCCACAACGCAAUUGGGAAGAAUGGCAAGAAAAAAAGGAGCAAACUUUGUGAGCAAUCGGAGCAGACCUCCUGGAAGCCAGAAGCCCCCGUCCGCGGUCCGUCAACUGCAGCAGCUGCAGAGACGGCAUGUCGCCGCCGCGAGAUGGCCACCCCGAGAUCUCACGUACGGCAACAGCGCGGAAUCAGGGCGUCCUCACCUCGCCACGGAGCAUCGCUGCAACCGAAUUGGACACAAGAAAAGAAGAAUUUUUAAGGCCAGGUCAAGUGAGUGAGGCGCCAUCAGGACGGGAGAGGAGAGGAGAGUAGGAAUGGGCGAAUUCUGGGGCGGAAUCAGGCCAGCGGCGGGGCCUGUAGCGGGAGAUGAGAGCAGGCGGCGAAGUCAAGGGUUACCUCGAUCUCGGCGGAGGGGGGCUGAUCGGAGAGAUCGCCCGCCGGAGACGAGGUGGGAGGAGUAGUAGUAGAUGCCGCGAAGCAGGGGAGACGAAGGAGAGUAAAAAUAAUAUUGAUGAGAUUUAAGAGAGAGAGAGGGACGAGCACUGUGCUGAAAAGAGAGACUGACAGCGCGACGUGAUAGAGAGAGAAUCCUCCAUGAAUCCCCAAACAAAACUCUUGUACGUCGAGGCAGGUGCCAGAAAUUUUGCUAAAAGAGUCCUAUGUUUUUUCAUAUUUUAAGUCUGUUUACUCUCCUUUUCUUCCUUGACGUGUAGAAGCUUCAAAAUUCUUAUUUGUUCAGUUCCCUUUAUUGGCAUUAUUACACAAGAAACAAUCCAUGAAAUGCAUGUAUCUGGACAAACCUUUGUUUCCUUCUCCUCGAAAAAAAAGAGAUCCUUUGUCAACCAAACAUGCAUGAGCAUAUAUUCUCUAUUAUGGCUCAAGAUUCAAAUGAAAUUGCAUUUCCUCAUGUUCCAAAAGUCAACCAGCCAAGUACCAUAACAUUAUUACAACUUGCAACACGACUAGUACAGUGAUGUAGACAAAUCAUCUAGAUUGGAUCUUGCCAUGUCUAAAAAAAGAGGCUUCACUUUGAAGAUUUGUCUUUGAGAACCUCACUUUAAGGAUUUAUCUUCACAUAAAUUACCUAAAAGAAAAGAAAGAUUCGCAUGAAUCAUGCAUUAACCAUUAAUUGGUGUUAUUUUUAAUGUGAAGUUAUAAUUAAGGAAAUAGAAACUAGCAAGGCAUUUUUCAAUAAAAUAUAAAAGUAAAACUUUCUUAUUAGAAUUCAGGCACUAAGAAGAGCUAUACACUAAAAGUAAUGAAAUCAAGUUAUGGGAAUAGGAUUUCGCCUCUAAAAAAGAAUAGGAUUUCACCAAAAAAAAAUAGGAGUUAUUAAACAAAUCCAUUCGAUAAAAAUGGCAGCUCUCCUUAGAAGGUAACAUUCCAACCGCGCAUAUAUAUAUAUACAAUACACACUGUGGUUUAUAAUACGUCAACCAAGUAUUGUAGCGGGUGGAGUAUACGUGCCGUAACAAUGCUAAACAGGAACAUUUGGAGGACUACGAUGCAAAUGUAUCGUGUUAGUUGUUGUGUCAAUUUUUUAAGGGAAGGACUUCCCUUUCUUGUGCUUCCAAGCAUUAUUCAAUGCUGUUGGGCCGUUAAGUUGAGGAGCUUACACGGCAAGGCUGCUGCUGAGAGCUGCUGACCCGGCCAACCAGCUCAAUAUUUGCACUUGCAGAACGUGCUGGGCACUUUGCAUAUACAGUUUCAGUUUCACACCUCUCUACAAGCACACGAACUUAACCGUGGACAUUUUCUAGAAGCGGUUUAUUUGUUAUGGCUUGUGGUUAAAAUCAAGUUACAGUGCCCUGAUAUCCGUUGCCCAUGUUGCAUAAUGAAUCAUGUCGUCACACGCAUGCUUGCAAACGCUGAUGGGUUAUUUAUUAUUUGGUCUGCUAGACGAGCUAGCUGAUGAAUGAUGAUACUCCUGAUUGACGAUUAAGAUGCAAACCAUAGGAUUGAUGUUCGUGGAGGUCCUUGUCGGGUCAUCCAUACAAAUAGGUGUAUGGCUGGAACUAAACCAACAACCGAGAAUCAAUGCCUCUCAGGUGCAAGUGCCUAUCGUAUGCAUGCCAGCACUAAUGCUGCUCUGUUUUUAAACUGCUGACAUAAGUUUAGGCGGACAUACAGCAACUUGGUCCUCACGACGGCGGCGUUUCAUCAUCAAGUUAGCUGCAAACAAGUAAAUUUUAUCGAUGCAUUGGGUGAAGUAUAAUCCAGUUUAAACGAGUCGUGUAUAUACUACCUCCGUUCUAAAUUACUAUUCUUUUUUACUUUUAUAAAUACAUAACUUUUGCUAUGAAGCUAGAUAUAUGUAUGUCUAGAUACGUAGCAAAAAUUAUGUAUCAAGAAAAACUAAAACGAAUAGUAAUUUGGGACGGAGGGAGUAGAUGGUAAUGGAUUUAAACAAAACUACAAUAUUUCUAACGACCAAGACAUUUUUAUCCUAAGCAAAGCAUGCACAUUCUUUUUUUUUCUCAUGCAUCGGCUUUUUUAGGUAAAAGACGAAUACACGCAACACACAACCAUGUGAACAUGUCCUCACUAAUAUUAUAAUUUGUUGUCUUCUCUGUACCAUCUCGUGACCUAUAGAUGUUUGGUAUCUUCCUCAUUCAUUACAACACGGUUCUUUCUUGUAAAUAAGCAUCAAACACAUGACAAUCAAAACCAUACCUCCUUCAAUCAUGAAAAUAAAUCGUUUUGUGUUUGUCCUAAUUCAAACAUUAAUUUUGUAGCUUUCAGCACCAAAGCUGCCAUAGUUAAAAACUCUUACGAUUGAUAAUAUAAGGUUAAUAUGAAGCACACUUUCAUUAUUAGGGAUGCAGGUUUUCUUUUCUCGAAGCCAUUAAGUAACCAAAACUCAUGGAAACUAAUUAAACUUUCAACCAGUGAACUGAAGGAGUGACCACGAACCAUCUGUCGAUUACCCACCUCUAUAAUAUACAGCUCUUUUUAUUUGAAGUAUUUUUCCUAAAUAUUUUGUAAUAAUCUAAGUGGUACAUUGGAGGUCAUGUCAACGCUCUAAUGAACUUAGUAUUGGUCAUAUGAGAAAGUAGUUCCUCAAAAUAAAACAUGAACAAUAUAUAUACUUACACAGAACGCAUGUCCGAAUUAAAAAUGCUCGUCGAAAACUAAAUAGCAAGAGGCUAAUAUGUAAAAAAGAUAUAAAAAUUUGUGAACAAAGGUGGAGUAGUAAAUAUCACAUUUAAAAGUAGACCCGUUACCUUCAGUCACCCAUUUAAAUCCCCAAUCAAUCGCCUUAAAGUUUUAAAUCGCAGCCAAAGUGAAGGGUAGUAAAUAUUACGAAUACGCAAGCCAAUCGGGGGUGCGGCCGUACAAACUUCUUUCUGAGUCAAAUGACCAAAUGAAAUUAUGCUCUCUCUUGGAUGACUGAGCUUGAAAUGAAUCAUUUACCUGUGCGUAUGAGCUGAUCCGACGAAGUGGCAAAUUUAAGCAGGAGAGCCCCGUGACACGUUGGAGAAGAGAGUCCAUCUCUGCUGUAGCAGGAGAAACUCUACGGUUGUUUUUGGAUGUUGGGCAGGGCAACCUUUAUAAGCGGUGGAUAUGGAUUUGGCAUUGUAGACCCCCCGCUGACUCGACUACUGGACUCCCUCCCUUCAUUCCUUCCUUCCCCCUCGCACCCUUCCAUUCCUCUCUUCGGUUACUGCCCCGCCGCCGCUCCGACGAGAUCCAGCCACCCCUUCCCCUUCCAUCCCGACCUCCCGCGUCGCCAUCCUCCUCUCCUGUUUCGGAGCCGGCGUGGGGCGGAGAUCCAUCUCUGCGCAGCUCGGGUUGAUCUCGUCAUCCGUUGUUGGUAAGGAACCCUAGCUUGCCUACCUGCUUUGCUCCCCGCGAUGGAUUGCUCCCUCCUAUAUUUCCUUUCGCUGCGACUCGUGAGAGCGUGAGGUGAGGGUGGCGCCCGAAUUUCGUAAAUUCCUUCCGCCUCACACCAAUCCGUCCAGUCCCCCGGUGAAUUCGCCCGCACCAAAACUCCAAAAGGGGAAAGGAGUCUCCGCUUCUCUUCUGAGGUUUGCGCUCGUUGCUCUUGCAGGCGGCGGCCAUGGCCACCUUCGAGCUCUACCGGAGGUCCACCAUCGGCAUGUGCCUCACCGAGACGCUCGACGAGAUGGUCUCCAGCGGCACCCUCAGCCCGGAGCUCGCCAUUCAGGUCCUUGUCCAGUUUGACAAGGUGAAACGCACACCUCCUUGCCUGUGGAUCAUGUUAUUCCUGUCUAGUCUCCUGCGGGAAACCUAUGACCUUUGCUUUUCUGUGCCUCUUUUAGUCUAUGACGGAUGCUCUGGAGAACCAGGUGAAGAGCAAGGUUAACAUCAAGGUAUGUUCAUGCUCUAGCGAUGUUAUAUCAAGUAGAUCGUCUAGUGUGCACAACUUCACUUGUUCCUCUUGGGUUGUGAGGGAACGACGAGAUGGCAGCCCCUGUUCAUGUCAUUUAGAAAUUGGAUUACAGACUUGUAUUGUGUGUGACACAACAUCGGAAAGCUAAUGGCCCCAUCCAAUUGGACCAGUGCAGCUGUUCCCUAAUGCUGUUGUUAUUAAUUCCAGACUCAUGAUUAACAUGCUCGAUAAAUUAGAUACCUAUAUUUUGUGCCCACAUCUUGGUAAAGGAAUGCCUUCAAUUUUCCCCUUCACAUACUAAGGACUCUACUCGGUAAUCGCUAUUGGUAAUUUUGAAAUUGCACUUGGAGUCUGCCUUGCAUCUGAUGCUCCGAGUUCUUGACAAUACUGCAUAAGUAAGGGAACUGUAGAAUUUAUGGAAAAGGAUAGCGAAUGCUGGCAAGGUGUGAAUAUGGCAUAUGGGCACAGCUACAUGAGAGCCUUUUGAAGCACAAUUUCAGUUUGCUUAAUUGGCAUCGCAUCAAUAACCUUGUAUGCAAAAAGUGGAUAGUAGAAUGUAGAUAAGUGAACAUUUUGUUCUGGUCAUUUUUUCUUCUACAAAUGAAACUUUACACUAGCAAUAGGGUCAAAUGCCAUCUGUUGUCUAGUCAGAUAGCUGACUCUUAAAUGGCAAGUGUAGUGGCAAUUUGAAUUUCCUUUUCCCAUGUCUAAAUUGUAGUCGAACCGGAUAGAAAACUAUUGAGGUUGGAAUCUUGGCUAAUCUGGAGCAUGGAGUAACAAAACUACUGUUGUUCCUAUGAAUUACAUGUUCUUACAGCAGAACAUGGUUUGACAAGCUUGAAAAUACCAAACAUGCUAGGUGCUCGGUGCUGUGCAGAUUUACACAUGUCAUGGAGACAUCAUAGGUCACAGCCACCACAUGUUGCUGUCACUGAACUGUGAGAGCCUUUUAGAUUUCAGCUGCCGCGCCCUCUGUGAAUCAAUCCCUGCUCACCCAUGUUUGUAGGAUGUCUCAAGGUACAGUAGAUUCCAUAGGUGGAUAACUUGGUCAACCGUACCAUUUGCACAUUUCCAAAAUGACAAGCCUAGGGCUCGUGCAACAAUCCUGGCAUUUCUUCUGUUCUCGAUUGCUGCCCUGGACAAGCUUCAGUUGAUUCAUGUUCUAACUUGGAUUGCUAAAUUCCCUGUUUGCAUUAGGCAUUUUAAUGGAUAUAAUUACCAAUCCUUGUUUAUGGGCUUAGCUGAUAGCAUGCAGGAGUUGGAAUCCAUGGGAUCAUUCCUGCUGCAUGUUACGUGGUUAUAAAAACUUGAGUGGAUCUGAGAAAACCUUUUUUUUUCUUCCAUAAUAUUCCUCACUGCAGUUGCACCCUUGGAAGGAAUUCUUCCAUAGUCCCCUGCCGUACAGUCUAGGAUCCAGCAUCUACGUGGCCGUAAGUGGUGGGAACUUGAGAAACUGUCCAGCGCUACUUUUUUGCCCUAACCAUUCUGUCAUUUUGGACGUAAUCCUGAUAAGCCUGUGUAUACUGAUAUCUUGUAUAAAUUGUUGUUCUGGUGAUUGCAUUAGAGGGCAUUAUGGUUGUGAUGUUUCCCAGACUGCAAUACUGGCAGUUUGCCACAAAACACCCAAGUUCCAAUUGUUGAUGUUUUAUUCGAAAGGGUCAGACUCAUAUAUAAAGAAAGUAAUCCAGUUUUGAUUCUUGUGUUUGUUAUAAGAAAGAAAAAUGGGAAAAAAGAAAUAGUUUUUUAUUUAUUGCAACAUGCUCGUUGAUUCCCACCACUUAAUCUUAAUUUAUUGUAUCUUCCCGGAGUUGCCUCUCCGGGAAUUCAUUUUUAAUUAUUCCUGUAUAUUACUUUUUUAUCCCUUUACUUGAUGGUCCUUAUUUUAUUGGAAAUCGUGUAAAGAUUAGCUCUAGUUUGCCCGGGGUUUCUCCUCAUUUGGCAUGUUUGUCAUUGUGCUUGUAUUUGCACUGCCACCUUGCACAGUUACUAAUGCCUGGUCCUGUGUAUCUCCAGGGCCAUCUGCACACAUACAGGUUCUGCGAUAAUGUGUGGACCUUCAUCUUGACGGACGCACAGUUCAAGAACGAUGACAACACCGAGCAGGUGGGCAAAGUGAAGAUUGUGGCCUGCGACUCCAAACUGCUCAGCCAAUAGAGCCCCCCCUGCUUGUGGUGUGGGUGGGGUUUGUCUGGGCACCACAGCGACAGUGCUCUCUACUGUACCUGGCUCCCGCCCGCAUUUGCAUUGCCGUUAGUGAUGUAUCUUGUAUACAAUCUGCUGGUGUUAUACCACCAACCAGAGGAUGGUACAGCGUGGUAUGACAGCAAGCAGCUCCAAACCUUUUUGUUUGAGUUGGUAGCCCGUGUAACAAUUUUCGUCUGUGCUUGGAUUUAUGUGUUGUUGAUAAUAUGGCACUCUAAUUCAUCAAAUGACUUGCAAUGAAUAGUAGUAGCUGGUUGACGUUGUGCGGAAUCAUCAUGCUUUGCUCGCCUGCUGAAGAGGAUUCCAUCCAUUACUUUUGGUUCUGUACAACUCCUUUGCUUGUUAUUUGUUAGCAAGGAAAAACGGAGAUGUGAGAUGAGAGGGACAGGGAGAAGGAAACCAAACCAGAUUGAGAUGUAUUCUUCACAUGAAAGGAGUAUACGUACUUCAGAAAAGAUGUAACAGCACUGCAUUCCAUAUAUACAGUAUUUCAAGCAAGUUUAUAUCUGUUCACCAUCAUCUGACCUGGCUAACAAUGGCACAGCCUGACACACAGCUACCACAAUAGUUGGCAACGAUUACAGACUCGGCCAGAUUUUAUAGUAAGUGGCUGUAGGGAAGAGCAUUCACUGUCUGAAUGUGCAAGGCUGAAUCUGAAAUUCUGAAUGCUCGCAUUUUCAACAUCUCACUCAUCUCUCCCCCCUCUGCUCGGGUGUGAGGCCUCCUUUGCCGCAGCUGGGGCAGCUCUUGAGCCCAAAUCCUUGGCACUCGAAACACCUGAAGAAACAAUCAGGAUACACACAUAUGACCGACUGAUUCCUCUUAAAUCCGGUACACGUAUUAACAAACAUAUGCAGUAGAAUGCAAUGCAUAAUGGAUGGGUCCUACUUCCAUCUCUCGAAAAUGUUGCCGUUCUUCUUGUUCUUGCCGGUCCCCUGCAUCACAUCAGCCAGUUCCAUUUUUGGAAAGUUAGAGAACGUCAAAAGGAAAAAAUUAAUGGUAGCAUAUUCAUCGAACUGGAUCAUGCAUAGGAUAGGAGUACCUUGCACCCUGGGCACUCUACUGCACCCUUUCCUUUGCAUGUCUUGCAACCUGCUGCAGAGACCUGCAAGGGUAAAAGAAUCACUCUCUGCAUCUUUCAAUCCAGACAGUGAGACAGGUAGGAGCACAGGUGACCUGGAGUAGAUAUGUAUAGGCAAAGAGCAGAGAUUCAAUUGAAGAAAAUAAAUAAUCAUAUGCAGCUGACGAUAUGGGUCACAUGAUGCUUGUGAAAUCUGCGAUACCAUCAGCCUGGCUCCACGCUUGGAUGGCAUCGCCCUCCUCCUGCAUAGCCUGGCCGUGGAAGUCCUCCCUGGCCAUGCGACGGCAGCAGAGCCUGUCGUCCUGCACCUCAAGCCGGUGACCAAGCUGCUGCUGGCGGUGGCAAUGGCGAGCUCCAUGGUAAUUGCUAGCCUCAACAGCAAGCUCAGAUCUUCUUUGGCUUCUGAAGAUUAUAUUCAGUUGGUUCCAAUCACAACACAACGCACACAGAUGGCGAGAUGGAGCAACCUGCAGCAAAAAGCUAAAGCCAGCAAGCAAGGAAGAAAGCGACUGCGAAUUUUCUCUAGCCACGGAGUCAAAUACGUAUAGUUUUUUUUCUCUUUCUUUUUGUCUAGCUUGCUACCAGCACAAACUGGAAACUCUACAGCAUUUUUGUGUCUGGUCCCUCUUCUGUGUGAGUUUGUAUGGCCACCAUACGAUGAGGAUAGGCUUCCUCAAAGCCGCGAUGUGGAUGGGUGCUUGGGAUUUGAUGGAACGAACUUCACCGCGGCCAUUGCCGUAGCCGCCCGUGGAUGGCCCAGCAGCAGCAGCUCGCUCUCCCUCCUUUGUUUUCCUUCACGGUAAAACGAGCAACCAGCUUCCCUCGUCUCUCCAAUCAGAAGCCGCUAGCAACAGCAACGCAUGCCACAUUGAUCCAUCAUUCCAUCCCCUCUCCAAGAAUCCAAGCACCCAGCAUCGCUUUCCCCGUCCCCGGUGCCCAAUUGGAAACAGGAGGGUGCCACGUCGUGGCUGCAGACGGCGUAGUGGGGACCAGGAGGCGUCGGGGCUUGCGGAUGGCGACGUCGAGGGCCUCCGGCGUGCUGCGACGGGGACAGGGGGCUUGCGGUGCUCAUCGGUGGGUGCCUGCGCGGCCGCGGCGUCGGGGUGCCGCAGCAUCGGCGGCGGGAAUGGCGGUGCGUGGGGCGCACGGCGGCACGGGGCUAGCAGAGGUCACCGGCGGCUACAGCGCGGGGUCGCCGCCUGCUCACCGGCGCCGCCCCCGGAACAUUUUCGACAAGGCCCCUGGUCCAAAACCGGGGUCCUUUUGUAACUUGUUUGGAUCGCAAUUAUUGGUCGCGAUCCGAUUUAGGGGUGUUUUGUAAAAUAUCGGAAGGAAUGUUUCAAAACGACCCCUGAUUUGGAUCGCGAUAAAUAAUCGCGAUCCGAUUUUGAGGUCCUUUUGUAAAUACUUCUGGAUCCAGUAUUUGCGGAAGCCCCCCUUCUCCACCUGCGGUGGCGCCAAGCUCGCCUCCUGCCCCGCGGCCGGCGCCAGGCCACGCCGGGUCCCUUCAGCUGACGGUCCCGCGCCACCGCCGCCGCCGGAACGCGUCGCCAUCGACAUCCCUGCCACCGCCGUCACGCCGCCCGUCGUCCUCAUCCUUGGAGGCGUUCCUUCGCCGCCGUGGACAUCCCCGCCGCCGGCACGCGGCCCGUCGUCGUCGGUCCCAAGAACCCGACGCGCGUCGGUGCCUUCGUCAGGGCGCUGGUCAAGGACCUGUGGAUCGCGUACAUGCUGCUGGCCGCGCCGGCGCUGGUGGCGGCAGCGCUGGUCUGGGGCGCGUCCCCGUUCGUGCAGCUCAUCAUGGUGUUCUUCGCCGGCGUGUUCACGCCGGCGCUGUUCCUCGUCCGGGAAGCGGAGGAGGAGCAGGCGCAGACGGAGGUGAAGGGUUAGCUCUCUGGCUAUUAUCUCGGCGCUAGCUCCAAGAACAAUUGGCUAGUUUUAUGUUGUUAUAGUUUUUUGUUUGUUUAGGCUUGACAUGCUGAAGCAUGUGUGUUUGUUCCUUUGUAAAUUAAAAUUUCUAAGGCUGCUUGAUGCUUGUGGAAAGAAAAACAGUCAAGUAAAGCAGUCAUGUUUCGUUUAGGCUUCAGAUGCUGAGCGACGUGUGCUUGUUUGUUUUUGAAAUAUUUGUUUUUUUUGCAAAAGGAAAUGUUUGUUGAUUGCUAGACACUUAGGUCCUUAGGUCCAAUUUGUUUGAGCUUUUGCUUUCCAAAAGCUGACUUUUAGCUUCUCGUCCUGAAAUGCUAGCUUUCUGAAAGCUGGGAUCCGUUUGGCAACCCAACUUCUCCGAGGACGAGCAGAGGCCGGACGAGCAGAGCUGGAUGAGCAACGGCCCGAUGCGGAGGGUGGACAGCGGCCGCCGAUGAGGACGAGCAGGGGUAGAGGGAGGGCGGCGCGACGCAACGUAGGAUGCGGAGGGCGGACGGCGGACGGCGGUUGGCGAUGAGGACGAAGAGGAGCGGAUGGAGGGCGGCACGACGCGGGGUGUGGAGGGAGGAGGGCGGCAAGCGACGAGGAUGAGCAGGGGUGGAGGGAGGAUGGCGACGAGGAUGAGGUGAGGCCAGGCGACGAGCAGGGGCCGGGUGGAGGGAGGAGGGCGGCGGCCCGAUGCAGUGCGGAGGGAGGACGGCAAGGGCGGAGGGAGGAAAAAGAAACGUACCGUUUCGGUACUUUACCGAUGGCAGACGGGUAAAUACUGCCAGAAGCUCAUUUUUCCCUCCUUUCAAGCUUUCCAUUGUAUCGUGGAAAGUUAGAACUUUUGGUUCACGAAAAGCUAGGCUCGAAAGUUUGCCGUUUGCCUCAACUUUCGUCUUCCGGGAGCGAGAAGCUGGCUGAAAGCCUAAACAAGGCUAAAGUUUUUCUACAGUAAUAGGUUGCUGAUCAUGCCAUGGUAUUCGAUUCAGUAGUUUUGGAUACCUGGUAGAAUUUUGUGAUCGGAAAUUGCGAAGCAAUGCGGUGAUCGAUCUGCACUGUUCUUGACUUCUUGUGAAUCUGCGCGUCCGACUGUCCGAGUUGAGCCAGCGAUGAGGGAAGGAACUCGCUUUCGUCGGCGUCUGGUUUUUCGAUUCCGGCUCGAGUCGACGGAGCACCGACCCACAGACCUGUACAAGUAUCCGCCGGCGCCGCCUGCUCCUACCCAUCUCCGCCACGCGCCUACUCCUCUCGCUUCGCCAGGCCGGAGGAAGAACAUGCCGCCCCUCCCGGCUCCCUUCUCCACCGGCGCCUCGGCAGAAAAUCAGCCGAAGCCGGGGCACGUCGCCGUGAACAUCCCGUGCGCCGUCGCCGUCCGGGACGGCGCUACUGCGGCGCCACCGCUGCCACAGGGCCCCCACGUCGUCGUCCUCACCAUCCCAGCCACGACGGAGGCGCCGGCGCCCGUCGGCACCACGGCGAGGGCGCUGGUGAGGGGCCUUGGGUCGCGUGCAUGGCGCUGGCCGUGCCAGCGCUGAUCCUGCUGUAGGCCGUGUCCGAGGCGAGCGGCGCGCCGUUCCUCAUGGCCGCGAUGCUCCUCGCCGGCGUGUUCACGGCCGCGCACGAUUAGCAGCUACGAUCUUCACAUGUUGUCUAGGUUGUAAGGUUGUACUAAUUUUUUUUGGUUUGAUGAGAUGCCGAAGUGAAGCAAAUGUGUGCACAGCAACACAGAUAUAUUACCUAUGUAAAAAUUCCCUAUGCGUGCUUGAUGCUUGGCAAAAAAAAAAUUUUAAAAAAGGUUUAUACAUUCAUAUGUGUUCCACUUCCACCAGGAGCUUGGUCCAGUUGCGAGCCUCUCCUGUUUACGCACUCGAGUGGUCCAAGAGCCCAUUUCAGCUACACAUCUAGCUGAGGAUGCAGAGUGGCAUGCAGGCCUGUCCAUGUCAUUGCACUGGUCUCUAUGUCAUGCAUGUAUGCAAGGAGCACGAAAUUCUGCAUGCAGCCUGUUCGUGCUAAUAACUGACACCAAAUCAUCAGUUGAAUGCUCCAACCUGUUGUUGGAUCCAGUCGAAAUUGUCAAGCCUAACUUGCAAGUAUUAUUACAAAGUAGGCAAUUUAUCUUAAAAAAAGAGUCACCAACUCACCAUAGAAGUACAAUGUUUUUAGCAUCCUCACCUUCGUCUGUUUCGUAUGCUCCACCAGCAUUCCGUCGUCAACGUUGUCGGCGUCAUCGUCCACGUGGAGGUACGAUCCAGAUAUGCUUUUCUCGUGUUCAUAGAGUGGAGAUUUAAGGGUAGAUGCGGUGGCUUUGGAUCCUCUUCAAAGGAUCUAGCUUAAUGCAUACUCAAUUUAUCGUGCUUCGAGGGGGAUUCGGUUUCCUACGACGGAUUACAGGCAAUGGUGAAGGGGAUCGAUCCAUCUUAUCUCAACUUUUAUGGGUAGGAGGGAGUUCUGUGAUAUAUUGUUGUUUUCCACAUAUAGGUUUUGUGUUUCGGUGUUGUUGAAUUGAUUUAUGCGGCUCGAUGCUAGGAUUCUCGACGGAUGUUAUGUUUGGUGUAGAUCUAUGUGGCUAGGAAGGGGUCCGUUGAUUUACCUAUGGCUUGUGACGAAAUGUUGCUAUUUUCGACGAGUUCUUUACCCCUUUUUCUAUUUGUGUACUUUAUGUUGCGAUCUCGUGAUUAUUAUUUGUCGGUGAUGUUGAUGUGGAGGUGCUAGAGGCUAUUUUCAGUAGUAGGUGCCUUUUUUUACUGUUAAUAUAUUUUGCCACAUCAUAUAUCUUUUUACAUUCCAUUCCUAUACUAUAUAUUUUAUAAUAGAAUUGCAUGAGCAACGACAAGACCCGCCUCCCAAGCUCUUGACAUGUUAGUCACAUGCAUUGCAUUUUGUGGUUGCUAGGCAUGAGGAGGGUUGAUCAGUAUUUAGGAAGAAAAGAGAACCUAAUCAGGUUCCUAGAUUAGCGGUUGAUGGUGAGGGACUUGUAAAUUUAGAUAGGAUGUACAGUUGUACCAAUCAACAUGUUAAGGUAGAGGAGUGCUCUUUUUUCUAUUUGAUGAACCUUUCUAUGGAGAGAGACUUAUAGAUUUCUUACGAAUAAAUACACAAUAUUUACUGUAGAACUGGUAGCCAUGCAUGUUUUUCGUACUAUGGGUCAUAACCAGAGUUUUAAGGUUACUUAUCCCAUAUGUGGAAACUAUUAUAAGUUAUUUUGGUCAAAUGUUGUAUACUAUUAGAACCCAUGUAUCAUAAUCAUAGUGCGGAUCAGAACCUGUGGUAGUACCAUGCACCAAAAAAUGCUUGGAUUCCACUUAAGCGGUCGCCGAGGAGACGAGGUGGAAGAGGAGGGUCACUGGCCCCACCUGUCAGUGACCGGGCUCGAACCUGACGUCAUAUAUAGGGUGCACUGACGUAAGUUAUUAAGCAAAACCUCGUGCUCUUGAUUUUUUUAUUUUAACCCUUUUAAAUCUAAAUUUUUAAUAAUAAUCUGUAUUGAACUAAUUUUUCAGAACUAGCCUUUUUGGUCGCGCUAAAUAUUUUGGCGCGACAAAUACUUGAGUCGCGCCAUCUAGUUUGGCAUGACCAAACGUAUGCUGACAUGGAACGGUCGCGCCACGUGCUGUGGCGUGACUCCAGUCGUGGCACGACCACCUCGACACGCUAGCCGCUCGCUCUGUACUCUAGUCAUAGUGUCAUAGUACCGACACCGGCUUCCGAGGCAAAAAGGCAGUGCCAAUUGCCAAGUUCAUGCAUGUGAUGAUGACCAUGCAGUAGCACUAGUACCAAUGAUUAAACAAAAUGCUAGGCUCAUUGUACGCAUAGAGCUGCAUCCAAGAAAAUAUUUUGUUUUGCAUGUAGUUGCGAUAGUAUUAAUGACUAGUACUUUUCUUAUAAAUAUAUAUAUAUAUAUAUAAAAAAAACAUAUAUGUACGUACGAACUAUGAAUCUCAAUAUAUUAAUAAAAUGACACCAUAUGCGCGUGUGUGUAUAUAUAUGUAAAUUGCUUUGACUCUUGUCAAGAGAUAAGUACAGUUUAUUUUUUUUAUCUUUGGAUUGUUAUACGCAUGUGUUAUGUCCAGCAUCACCUUCCAUCGACUUAGGUUGUGUUUGGAUCCAUCCACUAAAGUUUAGCUAGCUAAAGUUUAGGAAUUUUGUUUUAGUUAGCUAAAGUUUAGCUAGCUAUGUUUGAUCCUCCAGCUAAAUGAUAGUUGAAAAUGUAUUUUUGUAUUCUAUCCCUCACUCCUACUUUAAAUACUUUUCCUAAGGAAGGUGGAGAGGCAGUUUGGUCUUUUACUUAUCUCUUAAGAGGAGUUAAAGCAAUUUAGAUAAAAAAAAUAAGCUGACAACUAGGCUCGGCUCCGAGAGCUUCUUCCGUUCGCAGUAGCAGAUUGGAUUUGUUCGUGAGAUUAGUUAGGAGAUUUGCUAUUCGGUUGUUUUGAUAUUUUGUAAGAGAUUAGUUAGGAGAUUUGCUAUUCGGUUUGUUAGUUGAGGAUUCGAUUAUAUAAGCUAGAAUGAUUGUCAUUAUAUUCCAAGUAGCAAUGGGAAGCAAAAUGAUUAAGCUCCAAAAGGCUGCACGCCAGCUUCCAAUUAAUCAUGUGAGGAAAAACUAGACUUGCUAGUUAAAGCAGCCAAGAACUCCUGCAAGGCUAAGUUAAUUAACCACUAAGAGCAACUCUAAAUUUUUUUUUAGAACUCUUGGAGUUGCUCUAAUCCUAGAACUGUCAUGUUACCAUGCAUGCAUCGGCCACAUAUCAAAAAUCAUCUCAAGCACAAUGAAAAUAUUGACGAAGUACAGGGAAAUAAAAUAUUGCUAUGAAUAGUAGAGCCACUGUUGCAAGCAAGCGACAUUCUGCAAUUCAAAAGCGAGAGCUUGACCAGAACAUUGCCCAUAAGUAAUUACUAGCAAAUAUGCUCGUGCGUUGCUAUGGGUAAAUAUUAUAUACUAUUUAGGAUCUAUCAUAGAAUACAAUCUUAUCUCUAAUUUUAGUCUCUUAUCUAAAUUGAUGAGAAUUUUGUGUGACAUGUCACUGGUCCGACAAGUUUAUCUAAGUGAAGCGUCAUACUCUAAAAGUCGUAGUCCUGUUGUUCAACCCAAAUAUCAGGCAAUGUGCGGGUGACCCAUAUCAACUCUCCUCUACAUAUGUCGAUUGCAAAGUCUACUUCUGAUUCUAAUGACCGACCCACAUAGGCAUAGGUGGUAUAUGAGACUAUUCUCGUGUGGCAACAUGUCUUGCUUUGCUUUUGAAUUUCAUGGCAUAAAACUUAAAAUACAUCAUGACCUGCUCACAAUUGUCUUUUUAAGCUCUAAAUGACUUUGUUGUAUCCUCAAGUCACUGUUAGCAUGAAUUGAUCCCUUAUCGUUAGAGAGAUAUUAUCGUAUCGGUAUUGAAUAACAGAACCACUAGUUUCUUGCACUGACUGACUUUGUAUUUGAUUGGGAGAUUAGUCUAUUCUAAUUCUUUUGAUCCAGAGAUGAAUUUUUAACAUAGUUAAUCCACUGAAACUCCGUGCUAUUCUUUUUCUUUUUAAUAGCGUCAUGCCUAUAUAUUUUAUACAUGUUGCGUCGCUCCUCAACUCCUUCCACCUGUGCAGUAAAAAAAUCUGUCACCCGUGCCUUAUUAUCCAGCCCACCUUGCUAUCGUUUCCAGCUCGCGUCGACGCAAGCGCAGCCGCUAAGGGACGGAGGAAGCUCGCCCCGCAGAAUGAAUUCGUCCCGACAUUGGAGCUCACCCGAUUGAAGGAGUUUACCCCGCCAGAGGACCUCGUGUGGCCGGUGGAACUCGAGUUCCUCGCCCACAACGCCACCUGACCUCCCCGCGUCACCUUGGUCUUCUCUUCCCCGGAUCCAUCUGCCCUUAGCGCUGUCGCCUACAACACCGCUUGGCCUACCAAGCCUCCUCUAGUGUUUCAUGGACACAUAUUUUCUAUCUCGCACGCUAGCCUUUACUUCUCACUAGCCUGACAUCCUGACACAUCCCGGUUGGUGGCCGUUGCCGGAAAAGCUCAGUCGUGACGUCACGCUCGGAGUAACUGGACCCAACUUGUCAGUUAGCAACCAGUCAUGCCAAAUUAGAUGGUGCGACUCAAGUAUUUGUCGUGACCAAAAUGACUAGUUUAGAUUAUUAUUAAAAAUUUAGAUUUAAAAGAUUAAAUUAAAAAAUCCGUGCUCUCAUACGCCAUGCCCAACCGUUCGGUGGUGUGGCUCUAAGAGCAACUUCAAAAACUCUCUUAAAAUUAAAAUUAGCUCUCCUAUCGUUCUCGUAACAUUAAGCAGACGCUAAAACCACCUCCGGUGCCCCGCGCGGGGGACCGGUCCUUCCCCGCGCCCGCGCGCUCUAUUUUUCUCUUCCCCGACGCCUCCUCUCGGUCAGUUCCCCCCGACGCCGCCUCUCCGCCUGCCGCACGCCGCAACCAGGGUUCCGGCGGCGGCGUCCGGCCCUGCCCUCCGGCGGCGCGACGAGCCACGCCGGCGGCGCCCCUCCUCCGCCUCCCAUCGAGCCGGCGGCGCUCUCCUUCGCCUCCCCUCGAGCCGGCCGCCCCUCCCCGGCGACCACCCCUUCGGGCCCCUCUUCUCCUCCGGGCGCAAGGAGCUUCCUCGCCGGCGCCAGGAGGUCCCCUUCGGCGGCGACCUUCUCUAUCCGCGCUAGCGCCGUCUCCCCUGGCCGCUUUGCACCCCGUCCGCCUCCCCUGCGAGAUCUUGCAUCCCUGCCUCCCCCGUCUGAUCUGCAGGUAAUCUCCCCCAACUGCCUUGCGUCAGGUCCAGCACGGUGCACGACGAUGCAGCUGCCAAUCUCGCGCGCCCUCCCUCAACGGCGACGAUCCCUUGCGCUCCCGCCACUCCCUGUCGCUUCCAUAGCCGUGGGCUGCUGCAAAGCUUGUUUCUUCUUUUCCCAACAGAGGGGUCCACGUGCUGACGUGGUCAGAGGGGUCCACGUGCUGAGCGUUGGGAAGUUUUUAUUAUUGGAAAUUUGCCGUGAUGACAUUUGGGAGGAAUUUUUUUUUUUAGCGGGAUGACACUUGGGAGAAAGAAAUUUUAGCGGGGGUGCACGGUUAGACCUUCGGGCUUCUUUCUCCUCUCCCACGCCUUCCCGUCUCUCUGCCUUCCUUUCCUAGCGGCGGCGACAGGGCGAUUGGCGCCGCCCUUGCCAGUUUCGCCGGGCGCUUCGCCGGCGACGAGCAUCCGACAGGGGUAUACCCGCUCAUUCCCUUCCCUUCCCUUCCCGCUGCGCAGAAUCGAACACCCAAAACCCUAAUGUAUCUGUUGGGUUACAUUUUGCUUUUUUUUUUAAUUCUAUUUUGGCAUGCAUUGGUGUAUUGGUGUCUAUGUAGACAGGGCACAUCAUAAAGGGCAAGUAUGAAUUUCAUGUCCUUUUCUGCCCUCACUUGCAAUACGAAGAGAAUGCAUAACUGGUUCCCUACGGGUAAUACAAUUUGGAGUUUUACAUAAAAGUUUCUUGAAUAGGCAGCUGCGUAUUAUUUUAUUAAAUAAGAAAUGUUCUUUUUACAUAAAAGUUGGCCAUGUAGGAGAAUCUGUUACACUUACUGCAUUUAUAUUUUAUUAAAAGACCAAACAAAAGACGCCUUUUAAUAAAGGGCUACUUAUUUGCUAGUAACUGUUAUAUUUGUCAUGUCUUGAGGUCUGUCCAUCCUCCCUGCCUCACUGACCAGUGGAGUGAUGGGCUCUGCAGUUAACGGUAUUAAAACAAUCCCCAACCCGUGUCUUUCCAUUUCCCUCUCAUAAUUCUCUAGCUCCGCACUCCAGAUAACAGAUAACCGCGUAAACCCACAAAGGAAAUUUAUUUAGGCAGUCAUAACAACUUAAGGGCCAGCAAGUAGCUUUUUUGUGGGUACAAAAAACUUCCAUAGCACAUUAGAUACAUUUGAUGCAUGGAUUUUGAGGGAAAAGUCACCUUAGUGAUCCAUUUUAUGGAAUCCGCGGAUAUUAUAUUUUGUUGACUGAAACCUUGCCUUUUUUUGGAUAAAACAUCUGGUGGAUUCUGCAUAGGAAAUCAGGUAUAUGGCCGCAACCACAGGAGUAGCAAUUGCAUGGAAUGCAUGUGCAUGGACAGCUUUGGGAGGAAAAAAACUGGCCAUCCUCUGCGGCAACAUUGAGACCCCUUUUGUUAGAGCUUCAGCUCCUGCUCAUCAUGUUACUUCUCGAGGGGCUCUACCAAGCUUCAAACAUACAAGCUGCUACACUGGAGGAGCAGGGGAAGCGCUUCCGAGCUCUUGUAAUUUGUACUAGAAGGCUCGUAGCGGAAAUGACCUGCUCCCCAUCGGCAUCUCCCUUCGUUUCCCCCUCACACCUAUCUCAGCACUCCACGUACCUGUGGUUUCAAAUCUUCCACACAGAGGCGGCUAGGGUUCGUCUUCACCUCCCCAACCUGCCCCUGCAUCGCUUUUCCAACCUAUCGGGAUCCUGACCUCCAUUGCCCUCCCCCCGCCUUCCCUGCCUGCAGGAUCUUGACACCCCCCUGCUGUGUCCACCUGGUCGCUGCCGGAUCCUGAUGUCCUCCUUUCACCUCCCCGCAUGGAAACUGACUGCAAGCCGCCCAGCACCGGAACAGGUAGCCGAUCCUGCCUGAGACCUGAGUCAUCCACACCUGUUGCUGCCUUCUUCUUCUGGUAGGUCCCACUGAUGCUCAAGUUCAUGCCCUAUCUGUUCAUGUGCCACCGUUUUUCAACCAUGCCCAGAUCUGUCAUUUUUAGUUGUUAGAAUUGAUUGUCGAUCAGUGUGUGCUUGUGCUAAUCCCUGUGCAGCAGUUCUUGUUUGUAAUCAACCUGUGCUGCAAUGCGUGAGUUUUGUUUGAUCUUUUCUAUCAUCUGUUAGCAAAUUUGCAGAACUGCUUCCAGUUUGAUUUGCGCAGUUCAAUCAUACCUGUGGUACUUGUCUCAAUCUUUUCUUUUGCAUAUUGCCAAACGAUUUAAGGAACUGCUCCUGCUCCACCAGGGGAGCAGGAGCCGGAGCUCUACCAAAGGGGCCCUGACUUCAGCUUAUGAAAUAUUAAUAUUUUGACCUUAAAUUUUGUCUCUGAUCAUUGAGAAAUAGUAGCACAGUCUGGACUAGCCAUUUUAUUUGUCGGUUCUCACAUUUAUUUCAUGUCUUUUGCUUGACGGAUGCAGGAAGUUUUUAAUCCACCAGAAAUGGAAGGGGAAACAGAAGCAAAAAAUGGUCCUUGUACUUCCAUUAGAAAUGAUGUGGUUUUCGAACAAGAUUUGGGUUCUUCGUAUCAAUUAUGUAUGUGUCCUGGUACUUUCCAGAAAACCAAAUUCUAAAUGAGCAAGGUUACGUUGGAUCUGUGUUUAUUUUCCAGCCAAUUCUGUAGGGGGCAAUAUGAAGUUUGAGGAACAUGGCCAGUUGCUAUCUCAGGCAAAAAGGGAUUUGUCGUGUGUGGUACAGGCUUUCUCUUGAUAACAUUCAUCCUUUCGUUUUUUCCAACACCCUUAUGAUAUCUUGUUUAACCAUACAAAUUAUAAUUGAUAAACAAUUAGUGCUUUACAUGCCAAAUAAUUCAGCAAUAAAACCGAAUAAAACAUUUACUAAAUUAGUUCGAAAUGGGUUCAGACAUUCCAACUUGUUUGCAUGAGCUCAAAAUAUCAGUUUGUUUUAAGAAAAACCAUAAGCAGUUACUUUCGCACGUGAAAUGUAUGUUCACUUGUUGACUAUCUUGCCUUAAUAAUUGCAUUUUCUAUGUCACAUGUCCAGACUACUGACUACCCAGCCAAUAUGUGUAGUUUAGAUAGGUCAGCGAAUGAAAUUGUUACUCUGGCACUAUGUGUCAAGAAAUGUAUGUUUUAAAUCAGUUACGCAAUUUUUGGAUAAAGCUCUCUGCAUCCAUAUUAAGCUCUCUUUCACUCUGCUUGAACAAAUCCCCCCUUGUCAGGAUUAUCAAGCACGGCCUGUGGAGUCCAACUAUGUUACUGACCUUAGAUCACAUGCAUAUUCUGAGGAUCCAUCGCCACUGGGAAGAGAAUAUCAUAGGCAGAAGUCAUGUCUUCCUACUUCAAGCUGUUCUUGUGAAAAAUCUUCUGCAUUAGAAGCAGCACCAAGUAGCCCAGAUGCAUUAGGGCAUGCAUUGGGGAAAAUGAGAACCAAAAUCAACACCCUCAGUGCAAGGCCAGAUUAUUUUUCUUCAUAUCCUACUACUGCUUCUCACGUGAGAAAGCAUCGAGAAGUUGAACUCGAUUAUGGUUUAGAUCAUUCAGAACAUUGUUACAGAAGAUCAGGCCGAGUUACUGCCUUUUCAAGCCACAACGGUCAAUCUGCAGGACAUUGCAAUGAGGUAUAUCUUUUUAUCAUUCUGACUACUAAAAUGGUGACUUGUAGUCUGAUGCAUGCAUAACAGCUAACCUUUUUCUGUAUGGAAAUAUUUCAUCGUGACAAGUUAUCGUUGAAACAGAUGGUCGAUUAUGCCAGAGGACACCACUAUGUAGAUGAUAUCAAUCCUGUUUCACGUCAAUGGUGCUUUGAUGAUGGAGGCCCUUCGCUACCAAGAGGGCUGCAGUAUGGGGAUGAGAUCCCUUCUUUGUCUAGUAAGAAGUAUGCACCUUCACGCUCAAGCCAAUGGCACUAUGGUCCUCAAACCCCAUUGUUCUCAAGAAGAUAUGAGUAUGGUGAUGAGAUCCCGUCACUUUCUCCAAAUUGGCGCUACCGAGAUAAGAUCCCUUCGUGCUCUGGUCAUUGGUGCCAUGAUGUUGGGCCACAUGCGCCAUCAAGGUACCGGCAAGGUGCUUCUCAUCGGAAUGGUCAUUCAAGACAAAAUUUUUCCAGGAUUAAUACCAAUGAGCAAGCCAAAGUUACCACAAGCAAACAUGCUUUUAUAAAACCUAGGAUGGUCAACAGAGUUGCAAACAGUAGUGACCACUAUAGGACCAAUAUGAAAGAUAAUCGCUGCAGAAAUCCAGAGGCUGUAAUGGACCAAGUUCGUGGGCCAAGAGCAAAUAAAUUGAAUGAUGCUUCAGCAUCAUCCCCUGUGAAAGAUAUCAUGAGUCCAUUGGUCUGUAGGGAACAAUUCAAUAGAUCGGACUUUUCAGUUCAGUAUAAACAGGCCAAGUUUUUCAUGAUAAAAUCAUAUAGUGAAGAUGAUAUUCAUAAAGGUAUCAAAUACAAUGUUUGGGCAAGUACACCAAACGGGAACAAUAAGCUGGAUGCUGCUUACCAUGAUGCUCAAAUUUUAAUGAAAGAGAAUGGGGAAAAGUGUCCUGUGUUCCUAUUCUUCUCGGUAAGUAAGGAUCAAAUGCUUCCUUCUAAUUAUUUAUCUUCUUGCCUGUUCAUAACAGCACAAGUAAAUGACAGUUUAUAUUAUAGCAGCAAAGACUAUUCUUCCUUGUAUUUUUUGGGAGGUCAGUGGUCCUAGUAUCUGAUAAGAUCAAUGUUUGAGCAAGAUAGUUAAGUGAGACAUCACUGGUUUUCUAAAAGGGUAUUCAAGUGGUUUUGUCUUAAGUUACAAAGUUUUAGAUGAAUGGUUGUAAAUGACUAGUGAUAGAAACCCUGGAUCCAGCUUCAAUAGACAGCCUACUUCAGGGUUUUUUAUUCAUUUGAAUUUGCACCUUAUUAAAGGCUUCUUUAGAUAAACAUUUCAGCCUCCUUUGUUUUAGGAUUUAUUUUUCACAUAAACAACUCAAAAUGUUGUAAUGAACACCUGAUCAUGAACACUGACUUGGUCAAGACAUGUAUGUGGUGAUGCUUGCUUCUUUACCUGUGUGAUUUGAGUUCUAAUUUCCUCAAAAAAAAAGAGGACUAAUUAAAGAAAAAGUGAAUGUAGUUGCCUAUUUGCUAUUUCCUAGCAUAAAAAAAUUGCUGCAUGCUAUAUUUUGAUGAUUUUUCGUGAUUUCUGCUGUUUACUUGUUUUUGUUUCUGUAUUAAGUGUUUCAUUGUUUUAAAUGUGUAAUUGAUUUCCAUAUAGGACAGUUUUAACCUGAUUCUGGUCAAGAUAUGCCUGCCAAUAGAAUAAGUAAUGUUUUUUCAAUUAAGAAUACAUUUAUCUAAUCCAGUAAAUUUCUUUUCGAAACUUGACUGAAGCAGUUCCCUGGCAAUUGUAGAAACUUGAAAUUUCAAUGCACUCAUGUUCCUCAUGUUUCCUUUUUCAGGUUAACACCAGCGGACAGUUUGUAGGGUUGGCUGAAAUGUUAGGCCCUGUUGAUUUCAAGAAGACCAUGGAUUUUUGGAAAGACGAUAGAUGGAGUGGUUUUUUCCCUAUAAUAUGGCAUAUUAUAAAGGACAUUCCAAAUCGGCUGUUCAGGCAUAUAAUUCUUGAAUACAAUGAUAACAGACCAGUUACAUUUAGUAGGGACACUCAGGAGGUACCAUCCCAAAUCUGUUAUAAGAAAAACAAUAGGUUAAAAAUGAAGUUAUUUACUUUUAUAGACUCACUGGAGGACAUCGAAGCUAAAGAAAUCUUUUAUAUUAAAACAAAGUGGGUUAUUUAGUGAUCCUACAGUUAAGGCAUUAACUAAUAUGUUUUGAAGCAGGAUACUAGCAGGUUUAAUAUAAGUUCGUCUUAAGAUUUUCCCAAUAUGAAUGCUCAAAUAGACAUUAGAAGUUCCCUCGUCGUUUGUUCUGUUAACGCACAAUUUUGGAUCAUUUUAUCUAAUAUCAUUCUUGUUAUGCAGAUUGGGUUGCUGCAAGGUGUGCAAAUGUUGAAAAUUUUCAAGGAUCAUCCUCAGGGAGCAUCAAUUCUGGAUGAUUUUGAUUUUUAUGAAGAAAAAGAUAGUGCACGCGGUGCUCAAAAGAGAGAAAAUCCAGAGUCAACACAUCAAGCUAGAUUCUCUGAAGACUUGGAGCCGAUGGUAUGUACAUUUCUGUUUAGAUCUGUGAUACUGCUGAUUGGCCAUAUUUUCAAGAACAGAGCUGUGUCUUUUAUUGUAUCUGGAGCCUCUUUGUUACCUGAAGUUUAUAGAUAUGCCAUGCAUGUAGCUGCUGGUAAUGAACCCAAAAUAAAGAAAACAAGCAUGCAGGUUCAAACUCUGUUUGGAAUCAUCAUGGAAUCAACUGUGUUUGCAUGCCAUCUGUGUGUGCCACAUGUAUUUUUUUGUGUGCAUGUUAGUUUCUGAUAUGCUUGUUUCAUUGUUUGCAUCUGUAGGGAAGUUUGGAGGCAAGCAUGGAGAGCUGGAGUUUGUACAACAAUUGGGACUAAUACACAGAUCGCCGAACAACUGAAAUAAAGAGCAUUAUGAGUUAGUGAAGUAGCUGAAGGAACUGACGCUCCUUUGGAGAACAAUUCCAAACAACAUUUGUCUAUACGGGUCAACUGUAACUGAUUUAUUGUUAUACAGUGUGUAGAAGCACAUGUGUAAUUUGUUGGUCAACACCGGUAUAUUUAAUUAUUUGGCAAGGAUUAAUUAUUUGCCAUCCUUGCCAUGGCAGCCAAGAAGAGAUUUUAGCACUCGGGAUGUCCCGAAACCUGGUUACUUGGAUAUUUCCUGAAAUCCAGUUACUUGUCAAAUUUGAGUUUCACAGCCUUGUUGUUUGUUACUACCAGUGUCCUAAAUGCGACCGUAGCUAGGGGUAACUGUUGCUGUAAAUCAAAAUCGUAGUCUCCCAAGGCGGAGUCACAGCGGCAGCAAUUGGUACUUUAUUGUUGUUUCGAAAUGCUAGGAUAGGAAAAGAAUGUUGGUCAAAAGAAUGCCAGAUCUGGUAAGACAAUGUUCAGAAAAGAUGGGAGCAGAAUAGCAGGUGCCAUCUUCCCCUCGUUGGAGGUAGAAACAUCAUGUAUAUACAAAGAAUGUUAUACACUUCACCCUCUGCGAAAACAUUGAACUACAGACAGCACACUCUGCUCAGAAAUAGGCAGAAUUGAACGACAGGCGAUGUACAUGUUGGAAAGCCUUCCUAAGCACAUUGAAAACCUUUACUUGCCAUGCACCAUACGAUUAAAUGCACACUAGCCCAUCCAAAUAAUGAGUUUCAACUAUGUUCAUCAAGUGGAUACUCAUCAUCAGGUACCAUGGCUGUCAAGAGCGAGUACUUCACCCGCAGCGACAGCUUGCCCCUCUCAAGCUGCAGUUUUGCACCAGAGACCACCCAGUAUCCCGGUGUGUCCUGUGGUCCCCGUAACAUCUCUGCUGUGUCCACAAACUUGAGGAGCUUUGGUGCCUGCACAGGCACAGGUGGACCGCCAGGGUACACAGCCGAGUUGAUGAUCACAUCAGCUGGGCGAGGGGCAGGCUUCUGAGCCGCUGUCGAGAAAUGAGUGCUAAUUAGAGUCGAGAUGAGUCCGGACUUCUGGCCCAGAUUCGGCGAUCCUUCCCAUUCGGGAUUCUUGACCGAUGCAGCAUUGAUAACUUUGGAGAAAUGGAGGCGGAGGAAGAGGAUUUUCCUCAACCCAUGGCUGCUGACCUGUAACUGUGCCCCGGUCACGAUUGAGGAGUCGUCAUCAGACUCCACUGGUUCCGUGUAGACAUGAGAGAACCGCUUCCAGGAUCCAAAUGGUUCUAAGUACUUGCUGUCAUAUGGUUCUGGUGUUCGGUGGUUGUAUGGGUCAUCCUGAAGCUGCAGAAUCUGAGGAAGGGAGCAUAGAUGCUGAAGAUGGAUAGCCAACAUGUUGCUUUUCUUUCCUUCAAGAUACAACCGCAGUCCAGUAACAGGUCUUUCACCCACAUCAACCUGUAUCAAAUACCACAAUACAUGUUAUUUAAGGAAACAACGUGAAUACAAAUUCUCUUCAAACACAGUGCCUUUUUCAAUUAGUCUGUAACAACUGACUGGGUAGACUCACUCAACGACCCAUGAGAACAUAUAUUAAGUAUAAACACACAAACUCUCUAUGGCUACUUGCUUGUAAACCAACAAAAUUAUGAAGAUCACAAGAACACACAUACCAUAUUCGUGCAGACAUAUAGCCUUGGUCCCAUGAAACUUAAGGACAAAGAUGCACUACUCUGUCUCUUCCUCUGAGGGCCAAGGGGGAGGUCACUGUACACAGGUGCCCACUGCCUUGGUAGCUGGAACUCCAAAAAUUGGUGAAGUUCUUCAAUUGGAGGCUUAUCUGCAAUUAAUGGAAUAAAUCAAUCACCUGGUUUUAGGACACUUCUACAUCAGCUGUUCCCAGUGACAUAGCGUAAACCAACUAGACAAAUUCCUGUAUAACCUAUUGAAUUCACCAUUUGUUUCUUUCAUAGACAUUUGCAGUGUUUCGAGCACGUACUAUGUCAUAACUGCCAGCUAUUCAGGGUGCCUAGUGACACGCUAAACAAAAGGUACCUAUAAACAACAAGACAAUCUAUGGAUUGGAGAGUAUGCAUAGCAACAUAUCCAUUGCAAAAUAGUUUAGGACGCCUCAAUUAAGUGUUGUACAGUGUGCUGAAUACGAGUAGCAAUGUUAUAGCAUGACUAACAAGCAGCUUAGAAAAUGAAAUAAAAAUGGGAUGCUCUGUCACAUGAAAUGAAGAGUGAGAUACGAACUUACAGCGUAGGUACAGAUUAAUUGCAUGAUUCAGAAACCCACAGCCAGGUACUCCAUUCAAUAAUGAAGUAAUAGGUAGAAAGGUCAUCGAGAUGACAUCAGGUUCUAAUUGAACAGUGUUUAUCCAUUCACUGUGAGGCAUCUCUUUGUCCCAUUCCCUUCCACCUCUCCGCUUAACCACCAUCACCAAGUCCUGGAUAAUGUAUAAAAAAAUUAAAUGUUGUAUGAACAGGAAAAAAUAUUAAGCAUACUUCCUAGGGGGGAAAAUCAAUACCUCCUUCGAGCAGUAAGAACUUGAUGGGCUUGAUUGCACAAAUCUUAGCCGCUGCUCUCUUGCAUCACUCUGCACAGGAUAUUGCACCAGAUUAUUGAAAAAAACUCACCUUUAAAAGAUAGCUAAAAUUGAUCGGCAUGCAGUUUUCACAUACCCAACAGGGUCAUUUAUCAAUACUUCAGUUUAAAUAUUUAAUAGUAAGGUUCACAAGCAGAUUUUUGUAUAUUGUUCCAUUCUGAUUACUUGAAAUUCAGCAUCAAAUAAUCCCCGUCUAACAACAAGAAAGGGCCAAAAACCACAGAAUUUUUUAAUGCAGAGUACGAAAGCACCUUAUCCUUCCCAUAUGCAUCCUUGAUACUCAUAUCAUAGUGUCCAUUUGCAUCCAGAAAUCUCCUGUCUGACAUGUCCUUGAGUCGUUUCUGAACAACAGCUGGUUGCAGGCUUGACGAAUGCUGUUGUUUCAAAUAAAUAACAUCUUUCCCUCCCAUUUUUAUACCAACAACUAAGUGGGUUCCAAACUUUUCAAUGAACCUGAAAUUUGAAGCAACCAAAAUCAAGGUUGAGGAACAACAUCAACUCAUAUCUUCCAUAGUGAUAUCACCAUUUAUACAAUACUGAGAAACUCAAAAGAAAAAAAUAUGUGUCGGCAAAGCAGCAUCCAUCAACCUCAUGACAUAAAUAAGGGUCAACAGUAGCAUUAAGCUAGAAACACAAAUUGCUGCUCCAACCUACUAGUUUUCCAAUAAUAUGAAUUUCCUGACCAAGAAUCCAAGCUACUAAAACUUUUUUACAACAGAAAUGAUCACAGUUUGGUCUUAUGGCAGCACACGAGAAGAAGUUGUCUGACCUUGCCAGAGCAGCAGGAUCCCAGGUUGAAGGCACUGCUUGAGUAACAUGAUCACGCAGUAGAAUACGAGACUUGGAUAGCGCAACCUUAUACAGCGAAAUGUACCAGCCAUCGAAAGCAAGCGACUUGGUGGCAGCCGCAUCUUUCUGCCAGCAGCCAGAAAAAUCAAACAUGCUAUUGAACAUGCCACAUGGAAUUUUCCCAGUCAACGAAAGCUCCCGGUUGAACAGCUCAGACAUCUGCAAGAAUACAUUUCUUGGCUCAAAAACUAGCAACUAGGCAUCCAACAAACUAACGACGGUAGACUAGAACAACCAACUAGCUAAUACUAGUAGCAAACAGGAACCGAAGCUGCGUACGCAAGUAAAGGGAGGGACCUGCUGAAAGGAGAGGACAUCGGAGCGGAAGCGCGUCCGCUCGCCCUUGUCGCACUUGAUGGACUUGGGGACGGCGUCGACCUUGAUCCCGCCGGGGAGCACGACGUCCUGGACCUCAUCGCGGCUGAGGUCAAUGAGGCGCGCGUCCGGGUCCGCGAGCUUGCCCUUGCAGUACUUGAGGCGGACGUCCGAGACGACAUCGUAGCCGCGGCCGAUGGCCGCUAUGGCCGCCUCCGCGGCGCCCUGAGCCGAGGCCUUAAGCGCCAUUUCCGACCAUCACACAGCUCGGAAACCCUAAGGGGAAUGCUGCCGACUCUCCGAUUGCCUCGAUCUUGAGGAGCCCGGAGCAGCUCCGAGCGGCCAAAGACUUGAAAUUUCAAGAAGCCCUGUCCUCCGGGGAUUCAGAGGCCGAAACGAUGGAGGGAGCUCUGGAAGCUUUCUGCAGCUCGCCUUCCUGCAACCUCUUGAGAGGGGAUUCGUCGAUUCGAGGCGGGGCAGUCGAACGGAACUCAGCAGCCAGGUAUGGCGAGCUCGAUGCAAUUCAGCGACCCCUGAGCUGAAAAAUUGAGGAUGCGUGAGCCGAUUUCGCGCGCGGGAGCAGAUUGCGGCGGGAUUGCGGUUGGAAUUUGGUGGCGGCGACGCGGAAGCGGGGGAGGGAGGAGGAGGAGGUGCGUGUGGCAGUAGGACAAGCAGCAAUAAAGUUUGGCCGGCCUGCUGUGUCCUCUUGCUCUUCUUCCAUCCAUCUGGUUUUGGGAUUUGUUGGGGUCAAACACACACGCAGAGACUGAGAUGGGUUGGUUUUGUUUGGUCAUCACCCAGUCACACAUUUUUCCUUGCCUUCUCUCGGUUGUUCUUCUUGGCGCCUUUUGUGCUGGUUUUAGCAAGCAAACUUGUCAAAGGUGUCACUUUUCGUUUUGUUGUUUACUCCAAGCUAAUAUAAGGGCCUGUUUAGUUCCCCGAACUCCUAAUUUUGACACUAUGUAAAAAAAGAUUUUCCAUCACAUCAAACUUGCGGUACAUGCAUGGAGUACUAAAUGUAGACGAAAUAAAAAACUAAUUGCACAGUUUUGUUGUACUUUGCGAGACGAAUCUUUUGAGCCUAAUUAGUCAAUACUUGGACAAUAAUUCACAAAUACAAACGAAACGCUACAGUAUGCUACAGUACUACAACAGUGAUUUUGCAAGUUGGAAAGAUGGAACUGCUGACUUGUUUUCAUCAGCUGAAAUUUGUACUGCUUGCUGGUUUUUGAGCUUGGGCUAUGGCCCACUGCUUCAUUUUCAUUCUUUAUUAUUGUAGACGCCAUUUGGAACGCAGGAAUUUUUCAAUGAGAUGCUACUUGUUUCCUCUGAAUUCCUACAAACAAACAUGUGCAGUGUCUAGGGAAAAUUUACCUGGUCCCGGCCCACGGCUGCAGUACAUCACGGCUCCAUGGCCCUAGUGCUUCCAAACUUUAUUUAUCCAGACUUCGCGAAUUCAGGAAUACAUAUCUCACUACAUGAUCGUGAAGCCAGCAUACAGAAUUACAGUGGGGAUAUAACAUGUGAUAGCUCAAGGUCUAAUUAUUCGCCAGUUUCUGGGAUGGAUGGCCGAGCAACAUGACGCCGUAACCCAUCUCAACCCGCUGGCAUAGCAAAGAAUUGGUUGUACACACAGCUUCAGGAGCACUGGGCAUGCCACACUAGCUACACCGCCUUGAUCGGCGUCCUGGGGCUCGAAGGGAUGCCGCCAAACCUAUCCGCCAGGAUCUUGAAACACGGGACCGAGAUGGUGUACAACACGCCCAGUACAAAUGGCGCGGCAAUCAGCCAACCUAGCAUCUGUUAUCAACAAUGGCAGUGCUCCUAUGUCAGCGUUGCUACAAACGAAUAGUAAACCAGUGCUUCUAUCCUACGAAUGAGUAGAACUGAUGGCUGAGAAGUAGUUUACUAACCGCAUGGACUAUGCUCAUCAGCACAUCCUUUGAGGCAUGGCCGGUGAGGACGUUCUUCAAUGCGUCGGCCGUCAAGGGGAAGUGCCCGCUGCCCGUGACUGCUUCUCCCAAACGCAGGAAAGGGAUGAUCAAACUGCAGACAUGGAAUAAGAAAUUAGCACUGCCAAUCACAUCAAGACCAGUCUGAAAAAAUCAUGGGGUAGCUACAAAUCAACUAGAAUGUGACAAAUCUACACCGUGGUGCUUGGUGCAUUUACAUCCGAAACAUAUAUCCUGAUAGAAGCUUAAACAGGGUAAGCAGAUGAUUGAUCCAGCACAGUAUUUGAUGUGCAUAGUAUGACAGUAAGAACUGAUUUCAGAUGUCUGAUGCUCUUGUAAACAAGCAGCUACAGCUAUGCAAAGAUUGUUUCUUGAAUCAGUCACAAGCCUACUAUUUGCAAGGCGAUGAUCUUGUAGGGAAUCAGAACUCAGAAGACAGGAGAGUGACUGUGUGUACCUUAGCUCAAUAGGAGUGGCGGCCAAAUUUAGAACCAUAAGAGUAACAGCAUUGCAACGGCUUCCCAACAUUGCUACAGCAACGCCACCAAGAAUAACAGUGGUCCCUGCAGUAACAGAACGCUCAAGGAUAAACAAUGAUGCUUUGACAAACAUAUGGUAGGAUCGCCGAUAGAUGUAAUAAUGACUAUUGUUGCGCAAACGCAGUGAUAUGUGCCAAAAAGUUUCAGUUCCAGGAUCCGUGCACGCAUGAUUAAGCAGCAGUACCAUUCAAAACUUGUGAAAUUUUUGGACUCCACUCAAUAGCCAAUAGCCAUUUCAUGUCAGUACUUAUAGUUAUAGGUGCUCCAAUGCAGAGGUUUCUUUUUUCUUCCCGAUACUGCUAAAAUGAUGGUUGGGAUAACCAAGAAUACGAAAACUGCUGAAAGCUCUGAACCACAGGAAACUUGAGAGAUGGCAAGGAUGGAUCAUCUUUCCAGUUGUACGAGAAGAAAUUGGGGGAAUGAAAUGCAGGCCGAGAAGCUCCUUACCACAUAUUGGAAAGAUUCCAAUGGUGACUCCAAGGGCAGCAGAGAAGGCCAGUUGCUUGGGUUCUGCUCCCCUGCACGGAAUGCCAACAGAAGCUUGUCAUGUCAGCAACUUCAAGAGCGGGUGAAAUGGAUGCGGAUGAAGCAGAUGGGCAAGACGCCCACAGAUGCAGAGAUAAUGGGGACAGGUGCUGAACUGAACUGAAUUUAAAGGCAGCAGCAAACGAAAUGGAUGCAAGCGCAUGUAUUUAUUCAGGCAGCAGCUUCUCCACUGCAGCACGUAUCGGCUAUUGCAACUAAAACAAGUGAAAGAAGAAGCGCAGAAGAUGCAGAGUACCUUCUGAUGACCUGCAGCACGGGAUCAACAAUCUUGCUCUGGAGCCAUGGCAGGACGCCGGUCCUAGUGAGAAGAGACCCCAUUCGAUUCAGGGGUACCCUUGAUUAAGCUGGGGGCAUCCCCUAUUCCCCUGGCCCCUGCCCUGUUCACGUUCAGCUGAGGGGUGGGAGCAGCCCCAGAGAUGGUUCGAAUCGAAAGCACUCCACCACGCAGGAAUCGGCGGAGGACGAUUCCGGCGAUGGGCGGACGGCGGGGGAGAUGGAAGGAAGAGAGGAGGAGGAGGGAGGAUCGGAACGGAGGAGGAGGGCGUGCGUCCGGAAUGGAUCUGGUCGUGGCAACCAAGAGUUGCGGGGAAAGGAACCUCGGGUGGAGUGAAGAUCCUGCAAACAAAAUUUUAAAAACAAAAAACGAAAAAUUGGGUAUGCAGUUUGGACUUUGGGAGCCGUCCACCCUUUCCAGGCAAUCAGCAGGCGACACGUGUACCCAUCAGGGUUCCUACGAGGACGACAUGCUCAUUAAUGAUUUUUUGCUUUUUCUAUGACCAUGGUGUAUGGUUGAAAAGGCAUGUGUUUGGUUUCUCGAGCUAAAGUUUAGUCCGUGUUAUAUCGAAUAUUUGGAGGCUAAUUAGGAGAACUAAAUAUAAGUUAAUUGUAAAACUAAUUGCACAUAUAGAGGCUAAACGACGAGACGAAUCUAUUAAGCCUAAUUAAUCCAUCAUUAGUAAAUAUUUAUUAUAGCAACACAUUGUCAAAUCAUGGACUAAUUAGGCUUAAUAGAUUCGUCUCGCCGUUUAGCCUCCACUUAUGUAAUGAGUUUUGUAAAUGUCUACAUUUAAUACUUCUAAUUAGUAUCUAAACAUUCGAUGUGAUGGGGGCUAAAGUUUAGGGGGAGGAACCAAACACCCUCUGAACGGGAGGAGCCUGCCUUAAAAAAGUUGCAAAAACAUUAACGGGUGGGUUUAGAUGGGCUAAACUUUAGUAAUAGCACAUCUAAAUAUGCCCUAAUUCAUUUUAACAUCAGCAACAGCAUCUUUCCAUGAUUUAGACAUUGAUGAUGAUACAGUGUUUAAUACGGACUUUCUGCCCUUAAUAAAUUGAAGGGGAAAAAGGGAAAACAAACCAUUGUCUUGGCAGUGUUGUUACAAUAUAAUGCUGAUGCGUUUUUCAGCCAUACACGUACACAGCAAGAUUCACCAAGUGGCAAGUGCACAUUUGCUCAAGAAAAAAUAUACAGGACAAUGAAGAUCAAUCAGUUUGCGUGACAGAGUAGCUGGGUUCCCUGCUCUGAUGGCGAUGACGACCGGCUAGCUCUCUUCGUCCACAACAACGCUUGCUCCCGAACCGAUCCCAAGCUCCAUCAGAGAAGCCGUGUCCUCCUCCAGGAGUUGCGGCAGGGGGCAUCCCUGUUCCAAUAUAGCAGUGAUCAUACAAGACUUCUAUGCAUGAAAGGUACAGCUCCAAACAGUUGCGGUUGCAGUUCAUACCUCUUCCUCGACAAAUAGUUUUACCCUUAUGUCUUUCAGUUUAAAGAAGCUCUCGCACAGCGAUUUCAACUUCCCAACCUGUAACGCACACACUAAACGACUUCAGACAUUGCUUCAUCUAGAUGCGCUGAAGAAACAAUCAAGGAUCUCGAAUUACUAGGCACCACAGUUCAUUGUACUACUUCACAGCAGCCUAAUUCACACAUUGAUAGUUGAAUUGCUAAAGGACAGGUCGAGCAACAACCAGAAACCAUGUUCCACCACCAUUGCAAGAUGUGACUAAAACAUCCCAAGAGAAAGCAAACGACAACCCUGAUAAAUUGAGGAUAGGCAAGUGGUACCAACAAGUACUCACAGUUGUCGUAGCAGGCAGCUUCUUUGUCAAUGGUUGCUUUUCACCCAUAGACGGCCCCACACAUUUCAAGGUGAUGCCUGCAUGCAAAGUAUACAAAAAAAAUGACCCACUUCUUCCCUGCUGACUUAUCAACAAUGUAAAUGUCUUGUCUAAAUUAUAGUUCAAGGACACUACUUAUAAGACCAGAAGCCAUCUUUUGCGGGCCCGAUGUGCUUGAAGUUGGCUUCUCAUCUUCGAUACCAUGAAAGGCCUUGAGUUCAGCAAAUCUGCAUCGACAAUUUUUUGCUACCUCUGUAAUUCAAUUAAUCACUGGUGAUGCAAAAAUCAGGUAUCUGUUACAUGAACAUUAAAAUGACAAAUGAAGCCAGGCAGCUCAAACACAUAUCUACAAUGAACGUAAUCGAUCCUGAUUGGAUAAAUGACAUCCAUAAAAUCCUCAGUCGCACAUUACAUAGGCUAUACAUGACCAACUGGUGCUCUCAUUGUUAGAAAGAUCAUUGCAUUUGCAUGACACACAGGAUCAUGGAUAUCGAUUCCAUUGAAUUGAUGGAUGCGCUAUGCCAUGAUGCAUUAACUGAAUUUGCUCUUCUCAGCAAAAGAACUAAAUCAUAAAAAUCAAUGGAUUAUUUCUUCUCUAGGUCAUGUUGUAUGAGAAUAUAAGAUUAAAAAACCUGAGGACGAGAAAAACUCCCACAAACCUACCUAGGGUGUAGCCGUUUGAUCUCUUCUGUGUCAUUUGAUUGUGUUUUUCCCAUAACAAGGCGAACAUAUCUGCAUGUCACAUUGCACCACAAGUAUCAGAACUGAAAAAUUCUACUUUAGGAAAUGCUAUUGGACAUGUUUAUUAUAAAAAAAGAAAUAAAAGUAUUUAGUAACACUUUCUCUGAAAACCCAGAGAAAAAUCUGCAGUUCACAUAGAGGGGGAAAGCAACUUUAGAUUGUCAUUUAUCCGAUCUGAUCCCCCAACCAGGGUUGACCAGCCAUAUAAAUCAAAGAGGCCCUAAAUACCAUACAACAGGAAAUCAUCUACCGGAACGAAAGGAUUAACUGACCGUAUUUCUGAUUCCCUCCGUUCACGUGGGCUUACCUGGAUAUGCAAGGAUUAAGAACAUCAAAUAUCUGCACAACAUAUCGUACCCUCUCAAAAAAGCAUCCAGGGAGUUGCGCCUACCUCACUGCCAUUAAGUAUUUUAACUUUUCCUAGUCGAGCAAUAAGCACAAAUCGGGGAGCACCACCCUUGGCAGGAUCGGCUAUAGGAUUAUCAGAAAGCCUGACGUCCUUUAAAUAAUAGAAAUCAGUAUGGUCAUAUCAAACAAGAAGAUUCCAAACAAUAAGGGUAAAUCUUUGAAACCAGCUCACCCUUAAACUUGGGAAGAGGUUAAGAGAAUCAACUGAAGAGAAGUCAUCGAUCUCAUUAGAUCCUGAGGCACAUAAAAGUCAGCAUUAGCCAGCAUAUUCUGUUUUUUUCAGAAAAUCAACGUAGUACAUAAGUCAAAGGACAACAAAAACACCCCCACAACAGGCAUACCUAACAAAAGGACUUGUAGAUUUUCAAAUGGCACGGCAGAUGCAUCAUCAAGAGCUGAUGGAAGAUUAGAUGGAUACUUUACAUGCUUGAUCCUGUUUUUGUUCAAAUGGAGUUGUUCCAAACUGGAAAAAUAGGGGGAAGAGAUGAUCAAUAUCCAUAUUUCAUAUAACUGAAAUCAAAUGCAAAAGUAUAAAUCAAAUUACAGGAAAAAACUUCAUUAUUUCAAUUUUUACCUUUUUAAAUAAGACAGUUUCACAAUUUCAUCCCAUGAAUCAAUAUGAUUAUCUUCCAAAUUUAAGAGCCGCAAUGUAUUGAAACCUUGCACAAAAUUUCCAUCUGGAGUCUGGUGAAAGGGGAAACACAGUUAGUGGUACAAAAUCAUAAAGUAAGUGUACACUUUGCUGAAACAAGAAAAGCAUGCACACAAAAACUUGAAAAGGAUAAUCCAUUUAAAAUAGAUUGCACAUUGGCAGUGAACCAGGCACAAGCCUCCAACAACAUCUACAAUACAGUUUUCUAUUGCCACUGGACGCAGCUGAGAUGAAAUACAAGAAAUGUAGCAAUAGACAUGGAGCACAUGGAAACAGAGGUUUAAUAGGAAAUACUGACCAUGAUCGUCUUCAGCUUAUUCGACAUCAGAUGGAGUUCGUUGAGACAUGUAAAUGAGACUUUGAUUUUUUCAACCUGUUACACGUCAAAUAACUUCUAAUGUGAUUGGCACCAACUAAGAAAGCUUCAAAGUGACAGGAAUGGGUAUAUACCAGUUCCCAUGUUACUCCGCAGUUGUUGAGAACCAAAAUAUGGAUAUUCUCUAGCAUUGGACUUUCUAUGACAUCAUUCUCCAUGGUGUUGUUUGUCAGAUUAAGAACUUCCAGAGAUGCCAGAGCGUGACAAAGAGCCGAUAUAUCCUGAGAGGGAGGGAGGGCCCAAAAUGUUUAGGUACAUAGCAAAAGAAGAAAAGAAGUAGCACAGAGGACAUACUGCAAACAUUUGGCAGUAUUAAUAACAUUAUUUAUCUGGCUGUUCCUAUCUAUAGAGCCAAAUGCAUUGUAUCUACAGUAAUUGAAAUUACAAGAACCAACCAGUGAGAGUACAUACUUGCCAUUGAGAGAACAGAUUUCCAGUUAAAUCAAGAAGCCUGAGAUCUGAAGCAAGUGAAACAGACAUCAGAGCUAAUGAAAACGUAGACUCUAGCACAAUGGUAGACCAACUAGCAAGUCUCUAAACAAAAACUGGAUGAAGAACUGUCAGCUCCAGUUGGUACAGUGCAGUGUGGCUUAUUGAACAAGAGCAAGUAAAAUGAACAAGAAGAGUACAGUAUCACAAACAGUAUUUACUUGGAACCAAAUUCUUGAGUUCAUCCAGUGGUCCGAUUGAGCUUACUCCCAUGUAGGAAACUGAUGCACUGGUGAGAUCGUUGAAGUUCUUGAGCUUCUCCUGAACCUUGUUCUGGCCAACGAAUUCAACUGACACACGCUUCUGGCUUGUUGAGAAGACAUACAUUUCAUCUGAACAGUAAGCCAUGCAAUCAGCGAUCAUUGCCAACGAAGUCAACAAAUCGCGAUGAUGCUCUGGAAGAGAAAAAUGUGAAGGCAAAUUGAGGGAGGGCGUCGGCACGCACUACACUAACCCUGUUCCUCCUUGGUGAAGUCCUCGACGCGGUAGCGGAGGCGGAGCGCCUCCGGGAGCGAGAUCCCUUGGCUGAGCGCUGUGGGGCGCGCGAAGGAUGCCGAGCGCUCCCCCGCGGCGACGAAGUAUCUGCGGCCGGCGACCGAGCCGUCGUGCCGGCCGCCGGCGCCGUCGUCCCAGUCUACGCCGACCCAGUCGCCGGAGUGACCCUCGAUGGGGCCCAGGUAGCGCACCGUGCCGACGCGGCGGGGGUCACCGGAAGCGUGCACGCGCUGGCCCAGGCGGAAUCCGCCGCCGCCGGCGGCCAUGGCUGGGAUCACUGGUUGGUGUGGCAGCGGAGGAGCAAGCCGACGGUGACGGUCGUGGGCGUUGGGCCGUCGGUUGCAUUUCAUCAUGAUGGAUGAGUGGUGGAGGCCCGGCCCAUUGGGCCCAACUGUUUGUUUGCUUUUCUCGGCCCAAACCCAAGCAAACAGGCGGGUGGGCCAUGGUGCAGGCGCCCCUGCCAUAGCCAAACCUUGCCAACUCUUCACUUCCAACCGCGCCUCCUCUUCGCUUCCUCACCUACCUCUAUCUCUGUUCUUCCUCUUCACCUGUGCUUCUCGAUGGGUCCGGUAUAGGAGCUCACCUCUGAAUCCCCCGUUGGCUCGUUGUGGAACUCCACUCCGCAGUGCGGCUGGCAUCGCCAUCCUCCGGCGCUCGGCGCCGACGAAAGAUGGGAGCAAGUCGGCGGGCCCCAAAGUGCAAGGCGGCGGAGCAACGACUGCGCCACACGGGCCAUGACAGGAGCGGGAGGAGGCGGCGCGGCCGGCGGCCGAGCUCACGCUGAGAUGCGACACCACGGCGAGCGCAGUAGUGUUUGCACGGCCAUGUACUCUGCAGAUCCAUUUCUAGAAAAUUGAAGCGGAAGCGGUAGUAAUCAAGAACCCCAUUUGCAUAUGCUCAUUCCAAUCUGAUUUUCAUGCGCCCUCCCAUAAGCUAGCAGAGCCAUUGUGCUGAUGUCCACUCAUCUCAUUCUUCACGUACACGGCUAGCGUCCAUGGCUCCACGCUGCUCUAAGCCUCGAGCUCGCCGGGGACCAGCAGAUGGCGCAUGGUCACCAAGUGCAUGACAUAGCAACGCUGCAUGCGCGGGCUGCGGGCGGCCGCGAAGCAGCAGCACGAGGAGGUGAGCCACCGGGAGCUGCUCAUGAAAUUUAUGGAGUGUGGUAUUGUGAACUCGGCCAUGUGAUAGGGAGGAGGUUAGGGAUGACGAGUGGAGCGCACGUCGGAGAAAGGGAGGUAGCAGGGAGUGGACUGGCAGGGGCAAAAGAGCCCUUUCGCAUUGCUCAUUCAUGCUGGCAUGCCUACGUGGCUUGCCACAUCAGCAGAAGGGUGGCCAUCCGUAACGAUCUGACCACCAUGCCUGCUCCGCGGCUCUGCCUUUGCGCUGCUCCUCCGCCUGCAGUUUCCUUCCUCUCUGCACUUCUUCUUCCUCCUCCAAACUGCAUCAACGAACUCUAAUCGAAGCCGGCCGCCAUGAGCAGCAUCGAGUAGUAAGUCCCUACCUCCCGCCUUCCCCGCUCUUCUUUCUCGGUUGGGAUUUGGGAAGAUAGUGAUAUUUGCCCACCAAAUAAUAAAAAAAAAAAAACUCGUCCCCUCUUGCUGCUUGAUGCGAGAACGCUAUGUACAAACCCAAAAGGUUCACAUCCUGCACUAAAAUUAUAUCAGUGGUGGGAAUAGUUACAGACCAUAACAAUCGAGUAACGCGGUGUCUAUAGAACUAUGAUGGAUCUAAAUCUUACAACUACCCUGAUUUUUGUCAGUAGGAAAUUGGCCACGAAAAAGAAAAAGGAAACUAGUCAUUGGCGUUACUUUAUUGGCAUUGGCAUCGCCACGCACUAGCGAAAUCCCAUUAUCCGUAAUGGAUAUAUGCUAGGUUUCUUUUCCAACAGGAGCUGAUUUGUAUGAUGAUAAGACAGAUCCUCAUGGUCUACACAUCUCAUGUAAUUUACAUCACAUAAUUUAGAAUGGAUAAGCAUACAUGGCAGGUAGCAGAUUUCUAAUACUAAUGGUUUGCAUACAUCAGAUAACUUCGAUAGUUAGAUUGCUCAUGCUUGGGAAGCAGCUAGAAACUGGAAUUUUUGUUAUUUAUUACUAAUUAUUUGGUGAGAUAGGAUGAGUUGGAUCGCACAUUGCUUUACAAAUUCUACUCAUUUUUGUUCAGCCACCAGUUGUUGAUACUGAUGUCAGCGUUUCUUGUUCAGUGGGACACAGCAGGCCAGGAAAGGUUCAGAACAAUUACAAGCAGUUACUACCGAGGAGCUCAUGGAAUCAUUGUAAUUCCUUUUAAACGCCGAUCGUUUACAGUUUGCGAUGAUACCUGUUUACACACGAUCAUUUCUUUUCAGCUUUCUUGUUUUAGUUAUUGGCAGUUAAUUUCCCUUUUUCAACUUUUAUACACAAUGUGCCAGUCUUGGAACGUAAUUGAUAUUGCGCACUACUCUUUUCAGAUCGUACAUGACGUGACAGACAUGGAGAGCUUCAAUAACAUCAAGCAGUGUCUGAGUGAGAUUGAUAGGUAUGCCAGUGACAAUGUAUGCAAGCUUCUUGUUGGGAACAAGUGUGAUUUGGUCGACAGUAAGGUUGUUGAUACUGAAAAAGCAAAGGUAAAGAUCCUUUUUCUUUCUGAUGCUGGCUAACAGCUGGCUGCACAACUUUUAAAUGUAGGGGAAAAAAUAAUGAACACAAUAGAAGAAUGCAUCUCUUACCAUUACGAAAAUCCAGAAACCACUGUGAUUCUAUUUUAUUCUCGAUAAACAUACAUACUUAUAGGUUCUUCCGAAACCUCACAAUCAGAUCAAUUGCAGGCAUUUGCGGAUUCGUUAGGAAUUCCCUUUAUCGAGACAAGUGCAAAGGAAUCCAUCAAUGUGGAGGAAGCUUUCCUAACCAUGUCAUCAGAAAUCAAGAAAAGGUAGUUUGAAAAAUAAAACUUUUCAGAAGCCAUUUUGUCCCGCAUUUAUCUGUCAUGCUCGACACUGCAACAUUAUUGAACUCUCAGCAUGCCACAGAAAUGAAAGCUGCAUAAAACUCUGUUAGUAGAUUUGGCACUCUUUCUUUGGUGGGAAAUAAUGCACAACUGAAUGCUCCUAUUUUUCCUCUUCCACUCUUUACCCUUUUUUAAGAUGAAGUUCAUGAUUACAUAUAUAUUCCUCCAGACCCAUUUAGAAUUUUACGGAAUUUGAGUGGUUCUCACACAACCUGCUCGAGCUCCAUUCAUACUCAUUCCCCAUCGCUAAAAGGCAUUCGCAGGGCAAAACGAUAGGGGAACUGAAACUAUGCUGAUGCGUUUUCUCUUACCAUUUUCUCAUCAAUUUACAGUUACAGAUUUUUUAGCGAUCUACUCGACCGACUCCUGAGCACUCUGGAGGGGCGACCCGGGAGGCGAUAGCACCCGCACCCAACCACCCGCCUACCUGCCCGACUCCGGCAGCGGCGGCGCCGAAGCCAGCCCCCCGCAUCACGCUCUCUCCCUCUCCACUCCCACUCCAUAAACCCUAGCACUGCCGGUAGCCUGGAUCUGCCGCCGGUCACCAGCCGCCGACCGCUGCUGGCAGAUCCACCUCCCCUGAGCCCGAAUCUACUCAUUCCGGGCGCAGGGGUCCCUUCCCCAAUGAUGGCCGCCACAUUCCCCCCUUCCGCCGCCCGGAGGACAGGGGGCCACGGCCGGAUCUGUGUUCUCCCUCCCCUUGCUACCCCUUCCGCUACCGGAGGGCGGGCGGCGAGGGUGGCCGCGUCCCUCCCCGGCUGUCGGGUCCGCUAGGGGGCAUUUCCGCCGGCCGGGGGGUCAGACAACUGGUUAUGUGGCGGCAUUCUUCGGCUCCUUGGCGCCCGGCGGUCCCCGUGCUCCUGGUGGCGGUGGUGAUUUCUGAGGAAGGAACGGGGGUAGGCGAAAGCCUUGUGCCUACUUGCGGGUCGAUGACAGCGACUCCCCCGGGCGCCGCUUCCCUUCUUGAAGGUGUCAUUCAUUCUCUUUUUCCUCCCCUACGGCAAGUUUCUGGGUGAAAACCUUGACCGUGUUGGUCAGACGACGGCGGCGCCAGUGGCGUCACCCCUCCCUUGAGGCGUCGUUUUUGAAGCUCAGCGGGCUCUUGCUACCGUCACUGCUGGAUCGUUGCUGAACGCCGCCCCCGGUCGUCUCCGGCUGAUCAGGGUCCUCGUGGUGGUCGUCUUGGGAAGUGUCUUCUUCUGCACCUGCCCUCGCUUCGAUUCGUCCACCUCGCCCGGGUUGCUUAGGUCAUCGUCAUCUAGUGGAUGCUUUGCCGUCGCGGUUGUGCUGGUUGGGUAGAUGCUUUGCCACUGUUGUUGUGUUCGGGCGGAUGCUUUGCCGCCGUGACCUUUAGCAUCCUUGACGAUGUUGUAUCUUUUGGCAAGUUCAGGAGAGUGGCUGUGUCUAGGUACGUGGGUUCGAGUGUGCUUCCUCUUUGUUGUUUCACGUCGUGUGGUGGUUGUUUGUGUGUUUCUUCGAUGUUUUUUUUCUUUGAUCCUUUGUGCUCUCGUGCUAGAGCUGGUCAAACUCUGCUCGGCUUCAUCAAAAUUGUGUCUGUAAACUGUUUUCUUCUUAAUCGAAAAGUGCUUGGGCACUCUAGAAAAAAUAAUUACAUAUAUGCGAGCUAGCCAAAUGAUGAAAAUUUUCUCAGAAUUUAACACGUACCUUUCUGGCUACUUGAAAUCAAGUUUUUAACUUUUGCUUUCUUAGGUAAAUAAUUCAGGGCAUCCUCUUGACAUUAAUGUUUGCUUUUCUGAGUGCUGUGGGCGGAUCAAUGUGCUUUAUGUCUCUUUUCGGUGCCUCUCCAGUAAUACGGAGUGUGCAUGCUGCCCUUUUGAUAGUUGUAUCCGUGAUGGCACGCCUCUGCGUGCUGUUCUGAGGUGGAUUUUAGAUUGGGACCCUGCCUGCCUGAUGAUUUUUUUACUUGCCGUGCUACUGCCGCAGGAUGGCAACCCAGACCCAACCUAGCGUGGAGAGGAGACCCACCGUCCACGUUCACAUGAAAGGGCAGCCAAUACAGUAGGAGAGCAGCUGCUGCUCGUCAUAGUCACGGGCUUUGUCAAAAGCAAGCAAGGAAGGGUAUACCUGCAGUGCUCCGUUCCUAUCAUCAGGGAGCACUUCAGUUUUGGUGAGUGGUUGGAGGGAUGUUGCAAGACUUUGUCCGAUCAAGAUUAUUGGAAGAAUGCACUGGAUGGAAUGGAGGAUACUAAAAACGUGUGUUGUUUUAGCUUUAUAGAUGUCCAUCUUUUAUACAGAUUAGAAUCAACUGCCACAGUUUGUAUUAGUGUUAUGCAGCAAAAUGUACCAUCUAUUAAUCUUAAAACCUGCAGUUAAGUGCAUGAUAUACGGUGUGAGUGCUGGUUGCUGAUUGUUUGAACAUGAUAAUUAAGCUUACCUAUCUCAUCUUUUUGUCAGCCGGAAUGCUGGGCUUCGUUUUUUUGUUAUAUGUAGGAUUGCUGAUACUUGAUAAAACAAUUGGCUCGAUGAUUUUGAUAUACAAUCAUAUAUAAGAAAACAAUUGACUUGAUGAUUCGAUAUAAUCAUAUAUAACUGCUUGCUUUAGAGAAAAUGUGAACAUGAGGUCCAACAAAGGUACUAUCUGACAAAAUGAAUCAACAAACUUUGGACUCAAAAUGGCCAUUACAACAGCAUACACGCCUCUGAAAUAUCUCAGCAGGACGCACCACCCAUACUAAGUUGAGCAGCAUUGCUUCUUUUCAGCAGCAGCGUCAGCUGCAACAUUGAUCGUCUUACCUUCCUUGACGCCUCCGGCUGCCCCUGCCCCAGACUCGUCUGACGCCACGGGCUUCUUGCUGAUGGCACGGUAAAUGUCGCCCAGAAUGAGCUGGAACGCCUCCUCCACGUUUGUCGCCUCCAGCGCGGAGGUCUCGAUGUAGGAUAGGCCUUCUGCCUCUGCAAAGUUCUGGGCGUCCUCCGUGGCAACAGCCCGGAGGUGUCUCAGGUCGGUCUUGUUGCCGACGAGCAUGAUUCUGAUGUUGGAGUCAGCAUGGUCGCGCAGCUCCUUGAGCCACCGGCUGAUGUUCUCAAAGGUGGUGGGCUUGCUCACAUCAUAGACAAGGACAGCGCCAAGGGCUCCACGAUAGUAGGCGCUCGUGAUUGCCCGGUACCGCUCUUGACCUGCCGUGUCCCAGAUCUGCGCCUUGAUGAUCUUGCCCUCAACCUGCAAUAUCAAGUCAACAUUAGGCACAGGCAAGGAUUUGCAUGGUUAGAAGAAUCAAUAACACAUUCAGCAACACUGCAAGCUGCAUAAUUUCUUGGUUAACUUUUUUUUUUUGAGUAAUCAAUUUCUUGGUUAACUGUGAAUCUUCCUGUGACAAGUUUGUAAGAGGUGCAGUUUUGACUGCAUCGAGUAGUUCGUAACAGCACUCGAUUUCUUGGUUGGGACUGGGAGGGCUAAGGAAUAAACUUAGUUGGGCAGGAACCCCAUUCAGGGCUUGCAGUUGGAACUCUACUCUUUGGAUCUCAGCAGGCAAGGCAACAAGCAAACAAAAAACAGAUCAGUCUGGUAGGUACCUGCACUACAGGCAGGGUAGUUAAGCUCUGCACUAGGGGCAAAGAUACUUGCCACUUGCGGAGCUGAGAGCGACAAUGAUUAAGGCUAACGUUUAUCUACAGGUAAUUAACAUACACCGCUGUACCCCACUAGUGGUGGUGCAGGUGGAAGAUCACUACAUCAUCAAAUAAUCCAAUGAGAUGAGCGCGUCUGGUGUGACACUGCUGAGCUGAGCUGGAGCCGAGUCAUGCAUCGAUCUACUACUGUGACACCCGCGUGUAGUUAAUUUGCACGAAGAUGCGGAACGGUCACUCAUGGUUUGUUUGCUUUGCUUUGCAGGAAAGACAGCAACUUUUAAGCCUGCUGGCAGCUUCUUUCCUUUUCUCUGUUUGUUGCAAACUAGUAGCAACGAACCAAUGAAACUAGCCAUGAGGUGAAGAUUCGGAUCAAUGGUUUCUUUCCUUUACUAGCGUUGAGCUGAGCUAGCUGCGGAAUCAAUGGAUGUAUCAAAUGAACAGAUUCGGAUCCUCCAUUCAACAGGCAAGGGGAGCAGCCAGCUUGAUAGAUUGCUUAAAAAACAUUCUUUUUGCACGGAUGGGGGAGGGAGACAGGAUCUGGAGUCUGAUCCGGUCUAUGAGAGAGGGAGAUCUGAUGAUCUGAUGCAGCAAGGUACUAGCAAUAGAAAGAGAGAGCAGGAUGGUGGACUGACAUGGAGCGUUCGCGUUGCGAACUCGACGCCGAUCGUGGACUUGGACUCGAGGCAGAACUCGUUGCGGGUGAAGCGGGAGAGGAGGUUGGACUUGCCGACGCCGGAGUCCCCGAUGAGCACCACCUUGAAGAGGUAGUCGUACUCCUCUUCCGCACGCCGCCCAGCCAUUGGAAUGGAUUGGAUCUCCCCUCUCUUUCCGCUCGCUUCUCACUCGCUCGCUCCCAAUCUCGGCAGUCGAGAGGAGGGGAGAGACCUGACCGAGCAGAGUGGCAGACUGAAGCAAAAGCAAAGCGAGGCCAAGGAAGCAAGGAUGAAGGCCGCUGGAUCUAUUGCUCUGCUCGGCUGGUUCUCACCCACUCUGCAGUCUGCCCUUGCGGAGCAGCUGCCAGCUGCGGCUGAUCCUCCUCGCUCCCUCGGUCUCCCCACUAGGAGUGCACGUAAUUAAUCGCGACCGGAAAACAGAACUGAAUUAUCCGCUAACUAAAAAUAGCUGACCAAAAGAACCGGUCCUCGAUUUUCGGUCCUAGUUCUCACCGGAUUCCGGUUGAGGGAAUAGUCGCCCUCAAACUCCUAACUUUGAAACUAUGCAAAAGAAGAUUUCUCAUCACAUCAAACUUGUGGUACAUGUAUGAAGUACUAAAUGUAGACGAAAUCAAAAACUAAUUGCACAAUUUUGUUGUACUUUGCGAGACGAAUCUUUUGAGCCUAAUUAGUCAAUAUUUGGAUAAUAAUUCACAAAUACAAACGAAAUGCUACAGUGUGAUACAGUGCUACAACAGUGAUUUUGCAUCUCCAAAGUUGGGCAACUAAACAAGGCCUAAUUUGGUCUUGGACCCGGUUAAACAAAAAAAACUAUGAUAUAUAAGGAUAUGGGCCCACCAAAACAUUUAGCCUAGGCCCAUUAUCACUUCAACCCUAAGUAUAUAAUCGUGAAAGCGCCUUUCUUACUCAUUUCCCUUUCUCCCGACGUGCACCCCUUCCCUAACAAACCCUAACAGCCCUCGAGGCCAACGAGUCCAACGGCGACGGCUGCUGCAGCGCGAUCCUCCUAGGCGACUUCGUCUGUUUCAUAUACUUCACCGGCAUUCCGUCGACAAUGUUGUCAGCAUCAUCGUCCGCGUCGAGGUAUGAUCCAGAUCUACUUUUCUCGUGUUUGUAGAGUGGGCGUCAUCGUCCGCGUGGAGGUAUGAUCCAGAUCUACUUUUCUCGUGUUCGAAGAGUGGGGAUUCAAGGGUAGAUGCGAUGGCUUUGGGUCCUCUUCGAAGAAUCUAGCUUAAUGCAUACUCGAUUUGUCAUGCUUCGAGGGGGAUUUGGUUUCCUGCGACGGAUUACGGGCAAUGGUGAAGGGGAUUGAUCCAUUUGAUCUCAACUUUUACGGUUAGGAGGGAGUUCUGUGAUAUAUUGUUGUUUUCCGCGUAUAGGUUUUGUGUUUCGGUGAUGUUGAGUUGAUUUAUGCCGCUCGAUGCUGGAAUUCUCGACGGAUGUUAUGGUUUGGUGUUGAUCUAUGUGGCUAGGAAGGGGUCCGUUGAUUUACCUAUGGCUUUGUGACGAAAUGUUGCUAUUUUCAACGAGUUCUUUACCCCUUUUUCCCAUUUGUGUACUUUAUGUUGCGAUCCCAUGAUUAUUAUUAUCGGUGAUGUUGAUGUGGAACCGCUAGAGGCUAUUUUCAGUAGUAGGUUGCCAUGUCAUAGAGUCCUUUAUAUUCCAUUCCUAUACUAUAUAUUUUAUAAUAGAAUUGCAUGAGCAUCGACUAGACCCGCUUCCCAAGCUCUUGACAUGUUAGUCACAUGCAUUGAAUUUUGUGGUUGCUAGGCAUGAGGAGGGUUGAUUAGUAUUUAGGGAGAAAAGAGAAACUAAUCAGGUUGCACUUAAGUUGUGCCAAUCAACAUGUUAAUGUUAAGGUUGAGGAGUGCUCUUUUUUGUAUUUGAUGAACAUUUUUAUGGAGGUAGACUCAUAGAUCAUCUCAUGAAUAAAUACACAACAUUUACUGCAGAACUGGUAGCCACGCAUGUUUUUCGUAUUAUGGGUCAUAACUAGAGUUUUAAGGUUAUUUAUAAGAGUCUUAGGACGUAUGUGGAAACUAUUAGUAGUUAUUUUGGUCAAAUAUUGUAUACUAUUAGAGUCCGUGUAUCAUAAUCAUAGUGCGGAUCAGAGCCUGUGGUAGUACCAUGCACAAAAAAUGCUUGGAUUCCACUUAAGCUGUCGCUGAGGAGACGAGGUGGAAGAGAAGGUUCACUGCCCACCUGAUAGUGACUGGGCUCGAACUUGACAUCAUGUAUAGGGUGCGCUGACGUAAGUUAUUAAGGAAAACCUCGUGCUCUCGAAUUUUUUUUAUUUUAACCUUUUUAAAUCUAAAUUUUUAAUAAUAAUCCGUACUAAAGGAACUAGCCUUUUUUGUCGCGCCAACUAUUCUAGCACGACAAAUACUUGAGUCGUACCAUCAAAUUUGGCGUGACCAAAUGCCACGCUGGAACGAAUGCUGACAUGGAACGGUCGCGCCACGUGCUGCGGUGUGACUCCAGUCGCGCGUGCGUCCAUGCACCGUGACGCACUAGCGGCUCGCUCCGUCUAGUACUCUAGUCAUAGUGUCAGCAGUACCGACACCGGCUUCCAAGGCAAAAAGGCAGUGCCAAUUGCUAAGUUCAUGCAUGUGAUGGUGACCAUGCAGUAGCACUAGUAUCGAUAAGUAAACAAAAUGGUAGGCUCACUACACACAUAGAGCUGCAUCAAAGAAAAUAUUUUAUUUUGCAUGUCGUUAUGAUAAUAUUAAUGUCAUGAUAAUAUUAAUGAGUAGUACUUUUCUUAUAAACAUAUAUGUACGUACGAAGCUCAAUAUAUUAAUAAAAUGACACCACGUGCUUAUAAGUUAUAAGUAAAUAUAUAUAUCUAAAUUGCUUUGACUCAUAUCAAGAGAUAAGUACAGCUUAUUUUUUUUAUUUUUGGAUUAUCACACGCAUGUGUUAUGUCCGGCAUCAUCUUCCAUUGACUUAGGUCUUGUUUGGAUCCACCCAACUUUCUUUUAGUUAGCUAAAGUUUUGCUAGGGGUGUUUGGAUCUAACUAAAGUUUAGCUAGGGGUGUGUGGAUCCUCCAGCUAAAUGAUGUUGAAAAGGUAUUUUUCUAUUUUAUUCCUCACUCCUACUAUAAAUACUUUUCCUGCAGAAAGUGGAGGGGUAGUUUGAUCUUUUUUCACUUUAGUUGGGUUCAACUAGCUAAAGAAAUCUUUAGAUAGCUAAAAUUUAACUGGUCCUAUUUGGAUACAUAGCAACUAAAUUUAGAUAAGAAAACUAAACUGUAGAUAGGAGCCAAAGCAAUUUAGAUAAAAAAAUAAGCUGACAACUAGACUAGGCGCCGAGAGCUUCUUCUGUUUCAAGUAGGAGAUUGUAUUUGUUCGGUUGUUUUGAUAUUUUGUAAGAGAUUAGUUAGGAGAUUUGCUAUUCGGGUUAUUAGCUAGGGAUUCAGUUAUAUAAACUAGAGAGUGAGGGCUAGUUUGGCAGGGCUUCGACUCCUUAAAAAAUAGCUCCAGCUCUGGCUCCUACGGUGGAGCGGCUUCUGCAGUGAAUGUGGAGCUAAUUUGGGAAAUGUUUGGCAAAACGGCUUCACCUGUUUUUUUAUGAUGAAUUGGAGAUGUUAAAUGUCCAAUAUGCCUCUUGAUAUAUGACUUGGUUGUUAAGAUGAAUUGUAUGGUUGUCCUCAGUUUAUAAUUUUUAUUCAUAUAAGAUAAAAAGAAAAAUGAAAAAAAAUAUUUCUUAACCAAUAUUCGUGCUUGCUAAAAAAAACUGAUGUCAUUUUUCCAUUUUUAACGCAUCUGUUUUCCUCCUAUCCUUUCUUUAUUCCGAUUUCUUUCUUAUAGUUUCGUUUUAGACCUUAUCUUUUCCUCUCUUUCCUACUCGUUAGCUCUUUCCUGCCGCCGCAAUCCGACAAUCUCGCUGCGCCGCCGUCCUCCCGUAGUCCUGCUCCAUCCUCGCAUCCGCGCUGCUCCCUUGCAGCCACGCUUCGACCUCGCAGCAUCGCUGCCCCAGCGCCUUGCUCUUCCCCCGCUGCGCCGACGCCGGCAAGGACUCGAACGAGGCAGGGGAUGCCUCCGGGGCAGCCGCGCGGUGGUCGUCCCAGCUGCAUACGGCCACGCCGACGGUAGGAGAGUGGGGGCGCUGUUGAGGGGCAAUUUCGUUCUUUUGUGUGUAGAGAAGGGGAGGAGCCGGUAGGAGCUACAUUUUUUUGACUCCACCAGCCGGCAGGAGCUACAUUUUUUUACUCCACCCCUCUAGUUCAUUUUGAGAACGGUUCUGGGGUUGGCUUCGACACUGAAGCCGUUUUCUCAGAGGGGCUCCGGUAGAAGCCGCAACAGGAGCCGGUGUUGGAGCCCUGCCAAAGGGACGGACCCUGGUUGGCAUUAUAGAGAGGCCGGAUCAGCGGGGGCCGGGGGUGCACGGUUAGACCUUCGGGUUUCUUUCUCCUCUCCCACGCCUUCCCGUCUCUCUGCCUUCCUUUCUUAGCGGCGGCGACAGAGCGAUUGGCGCCGCCCUUGCCAGUUUCGCCGGGCGCUUCGCCGGCGACGAGCAUCCGACAGGGGUAUGCCCGCUCAUUCCCUUCCCUUCCCGCUGUGCAGAAUCGAACACCCAAAACCCUAAUGUGUCCUAUUUGUCUUCGGAUCUGACCAUGAAUUUUACCUAGUAACUUCGUUUUUUCUUUUGCAAAAAUUACUGGGUGUGCAUGUGCACACCCAUGUCGCGCCCCCCUGAUUUUACUCGCGUCCCCGCCUCUGAUUCCCUAACAAUUCAUGGGUGAAUUUGUUGCUACUAGAUUGAUCGAGAUAUGUUGUUAAAUCGUAACAUCAGACCAAUAGCCAGAAACGUAAGAUUUAAAACACCCCAAGGACUCUUCAUCAAUUGAGUACUUGGUGUAGGUGCACUUCUACAUAUCUCUCAUGUGAUAAUUUCUUGUUGAUCGUUGCGCGCUUCUUGUGGUUCUGCUAUUGUAUUUCUAGGCUAUAGUCAAGCCGUCUGACACAAGUUCAUUUUGACUCAAAGUACACUACUGUCGUUGUGUGUUCCUGCAAUGUGUGUAUCACAUACCCAGCUGUCGUUGUCUUUGUAUCACCGAUAUGACUUUGAAAAACAACAGUGGUGGUAUAGAGAGAGUGUCGGAGUAUCGAUGUAUCAAAGUAUCGGACACGCAAGUAUCGGGUAUGGGUACGGCUGAGCUAGUGAAGUACCGGUGAUUCAUAGGUCGUUGUGUGUUCCUGCAAUGUGUGUAUCACAUGCCUGCUGUUGACAUGUGUUUCUGCAAUGCGUGUGUCGCAUACCCUUGCAGCCAUUGUGUGUUCCUGCAAUGUGUGUACCACAUACCCUGCUGUGGUUGUGUGUCCUGCAAUGUGUGUGUCACCUAACCUGCUGUCAUUGUGUGUGUGUAUCACAUACAUCAUUUUUUCAUGCACUACUAAUCUAUUUUUGAUGCUCUUGUAUCUGUCAUGCCAGGGUCCAUCAUGGUGAGGAAGAAAAGAACUGGCCCUGGAGAGAGUUCUGGGGAGGCUCCUGGAGUGCCUGGACAGGGCUCCUCACAGCGACCUGAGACAACUCAACAGCAUGGGGGAGGACGUGGUUUACUGCCUCAACAAGGUGCCCGUGGUGCAGGGCAACACCAGGGUCGUGGUGGAUAUCAGGGCCGUGGAGGGCCACCUGAGUCUCAACCGCGUGACUACCAGGGCCGCGGUGGAUAUCAGGGCCGUGGAGGCCCACCUUCACAACAUCCAGGUGGGCCACCUGAGGUUCAACUGCGUGGUUACCAGGGCCGUGGAGGCCCACCUUCACAGCAUCCUGGUGGUGGACCACCUGAGUACCAGGGACGUGGUGGUCCGCGCCCCAGAGGGGGAUUGCCUCAGCCACACUAUGGCAGGCGUGGGGGAGGUAGUGUUGGACCAAGUGUUCCUCCAGGUCCAUCGAGAUCAGUUCCCGAGCUGCACCAAGCCCCAUAUGUCCAAUAUCAAGCCCCUGUGGCGGUAUCACCAUCCACACCGGGAGCUAGCUCAUCCUCGCAGCCUGCAGAGGCCGAGGUGAGCACUGGGCAAGUCCAGCAACAGUUUCAGGAACUUGCUAUUCGUGGUCAGAGUUCAACUAGCCAAGCCGUUCAGAUGGCACCAGCAUCAAGCAAAUCAGUUAAAUUCCCAUUGCGCCCUGGCAAGGGUACUUAUGGUUCCAGGUGCAUCGUGAAGGCAAACCAUUUCUUUGCUGAGCUGCCUGAUAAAGACCUUCAUCACUACGAUGUAAGCCCGUAAUAAGAAGACAUAAUUCUGCGCCAUAGUUCUUAUAUGUUUCUGACAACCAGCCUUUUGUCAUCAGGUUUCUAUAACGCCCGAGGUUACAUCACGUGGCGUCAAUCGUGCUGUUAUGGGAGAGCUUGUAACUCUUUAUAGACAGUCUCAUUUGGAUGGGCGUCUACCUGCAUACGAUGGAAGGAAGAGCCUUUAUACAGCAGGGCCAUUGCCAUUUACUUCUAGGACAUUUGAAAUUACACUGCAAGAUGAGGAAGAUAGUCUUGGUGGAGGACAAGGAGGCCAAAGGUAUUGCUGUUUCUAUCGUAAUUGUUCUUAAAACACAUCCACAAUUUUAUACUGACAUUCUUUAUGUUUUAACGUAUUUGUGCUUGAAACACAUCCAAAAUUCCGUACUGACAUUUUAUGCUUAACGUAUUUGUGCUUAAAACACAUCUAGUGUUUCGUACUGACAUUCUUAACAUACUUGUGCUUAAAACACACCCAAAUUUCGUACUGCAUUCUUUAUGUUUAAUGUGUUUGUGCUUAAAACACAUCCAAAAUUUCAUACCAACAUUCUUUAAUGUAUUUGUGCUUGCGACACAUCCAAAAUUUUGUAUUGACAUUCUGUAUGUUUUCAGGCGCCAGAGGGUAUUUAAGGUGGUGAUCAAAUUUGCUAACCGUGCUGAUCUCCACCAUUUGGCUAUGUUUCUAUCUGGGAGGCAACCAGAUGCUCCUCAAGAGGCUCUUCAAGUACUUGACAUUGUACUACGUGAAUUGCCUACUGCCAGGUAAUCUUUGAGAUAAUGGUAUUUUGUUAAGAGUUAUUUUCCUAUGGCAAAGUCUCCAAUGUCUUUUUAUUUCCUGUGUAGGUAUUGCCCUGUUGGCAGGUCAUUUUAUUCUCCCAAUUUAGGGAGACGCCAGCAACUUGGUGACGGUUUGGAAACUUGGCGUGGUUUCUACCAAAGCAUAAGGCCCACACAGAUGGGCCUUUCUCUGAAUAUUGGUUAGAUACCACCUUCUCAUGUUGAUUCCUUUUGUCGUGUAGCUUUCAGUUUGGACACUUGAUACAUUACCAAGACCAGUAGGAGCACACUUCAUACACAAUACACUGCAUUCUAGAUUACAAAGCCUUGAUGGAGCACAAACACACGCACACAAUGAGCAAGAACACAGGUUUUGCGGCACUGCACACCAGUGCCUUUUCUCCCUUUUCUUUCACUAGAACACACUGAUUCCACCAGUUUAAAAAUAACUGUUAGCCUCUAGCACCUCCCAGGAUCUCGCACAAUGUUUAGCACAUUCUACAAGAAAGCUCUCACUGAUAAGGAACGCACACACAAUUUUGUGGCACUACACACCAGCACCCUUUUUUGCACUAAAAUUCACUGCACUUUAACAUGACAUGCACUGAUUUUACACAUCACAAACACACAUGCACUAAGCUGUGACUUAGCCGCACAACCCGGCCAAGAACACUCACACAGCUAGCUCACUAACACAGGCACACAAACUCCACAUAGCACGCAGCCACACACUACAUGCACGAACUCCACAUAGCACGCACUCCAUGCUCCACGAACUGAUCAAUUUGCUUCACUCGCAAACUGAUCAACACUACACCACCAUCACCACUCUCUUUCUCACACUAUCACUCACACUCACACCACCACUCCUUUUAUAGCACAAGACAGCCCUAAUGCCUUACUCUUGAAGACUCAAGUCUUGACUUACACACUAAGGCAAAGACUUGACUUGCACCCUAAGGCAAAGACUUGACUUGCACUAAUAAAAGACUUGACUCAAACUAACAUCCAACAAGGAUUACACUAACAAUAACAAAAAAAAAAGCACACCCUGCAUCGCUGCUCAAGCCACUAAUUUAGCCGCAGAACUCAGCCAAUCACUCACGCAUAGGUGAACUAAUAGACCUGCAUGCAGGAUCACCCCACUAAUUCCUGCAUGCCAAACUCUCUCCACAAGCAGAGCACGCAGGAUCACCUCUACUAAUUCCUGCAUGCAUGCUCGGAUCUGUUGACUACGCACACUCUGCUUUACACACAAAAAAGCUUAAACAACAAAAUUAACACAACAAACCUUUUGGUGUAGUUUAUGGCAUCACUGUCUUAUCUGAAAUGUUGUGGUUGCUUGAUUUUUGUUGUUGCAGAUAUGUCCUCUACUGCAUUUAUUGAGCCCCUCCCUGUGAUUGAUUUCGUUGCUGAGCUUCUUAACAGAGAUGUCUCAGUUAGACCAUUAUCUGAUUCUGAUCGUGUGAAGGUUUGAUUAAUUGCCUUAAAUUUCCUGAUAGAAGCUUUGGUUUAUGCUUCAGUACUUUCAUUGUUAUAAUGCUCCCUUUGUAGAUUAAAAAGGCCUUACGAGGUGUAAAAAUUGAAGUCACACACCGAGGAAACAUGCGAAGGAAAUAUCGUAUAUCUGGCCUCACUUCACAAGCAACAAGGGAGUUGUCGUACGUGCAUGUUCCCUAGCUUUGUAUGGAUUGAUAGUGCAAGGUAUAAGGUGCUGACAUGAUUUUGUUGAUUUCCCUGCUAUAGAUUCCCUAUUGAUGAUCGUGGUACCGUGAAGACUGUGGUGCAAUACUUCCUGGAGACUUAUGGCUUCAGUAUUCAGCACACCAGUUUGCCUUGCUUGCAAGUGGGCAAUCAACAAAGACCAAAUUAUCUGCCUAUGGAGGUUACUGUCUUAAACUAGCUCUAUUGCAAUUGAUGUAUUAUACUAUGUUUAUCUAUCCAUAUGAUUUCUAAUUGCUAUAUCCAGCUUCAGCAUGUUUUCAUAAAUCUCAUGGUUUGAAAUACCAGGUCUGUAAGAUAGUUGAGGGACAGCGUUACUCAAAACGACUGAACGAGAAACAGAUCACUGCUCUACUGAAAGUGACUUGCCAGCGUCCUCAAGAGCGCGAGAAAGACAUCCUGCAGGUGAUUGCAGAUCAUAUUUCUUGGUUUGACUUAGGCAUAGGAGUAGCAUCAGCACUAGCAAUAGCAGUACAUUUAUACAUAUACAUUUUACGAAAACUUGAUUAGUAAGUUAUUCAUGCAAAGCAAACUUGUAUAUUUUGGUGAAAAGUACCAUCUAUUAUUAAGAAUUGUUGUAUAUAUAACCAUUAAGUGAUAUUAGUGAUCCGGUCAUCUAAUUUGUGAGUGUGGCGAGUCUGUAGCAAUCCCAUUUUUUUUUGUGUGUGAGACACGUCAAGGAAAAAAAGAUUAAAUGACAUGGAAUAUUUUGUUGCUUUUGUUCAUUUAAUUAGCUUUUGCCUUCAUGAAGGUUGAUAAAUUUGAACUGAUGAUUCUAAAUCUCUUGUUUUCCUUACCUAUUUUAAUCAGACUGUGCAUCACAAUGCGUACUUCGAAGAUCCAUAUGCACAGGAAUUUGGCAUAAAGAUUGAUGAGCGUCUUGCAGCUGUCGAAGCUCGUGUUCUGCCUCCCCCAAGGGUCAGUGAAUUUUCAUCUCUGGGUUAGCAGUUGAUUUGCAUCUUUGGGCAUACUUUGACCUGGCAUUCUACUUUAUGUGUAAUAGCUGAAGUACCAUGAUAGUGGCAGAGAGAAGGAUGUGUUGCCAAGAGUCGGUCAGUGGAACAUGAUGAAUAAGGUAUGCCUUGUUAUGCAAUUCCUGAUAAAUCAAGAUAAAAUCACCUUUUCAUGUGAAUUCCGUCAGGCGUACUCAGUUUUUCCCCUUAUGAAAAUAUUAGAGGAGAAAGUUAAACAUGAUAUAGCUGCAACUGUUUUUGUAAUCUUAUAUUUACAAAAGGUAGGAAGUUGGCCCAGCAGCCAUGAUAUAACUGCCACCAAGCAUGACAGCAUGCUUUCAAGCCGUAGCCUGAGCAUUGCGUGAAUGAUACAAUAAUGAGAUUCUUUAUAUAAAGCUUGAUAGCUCCUAAUGACUAGUGAACUCCUCUGGGUUUUGGCACACAGCUACAUAUUGUUUCUGUAAUCCCACAAUUCCAUGUGCUCGUGUAGUUUUAUAUGGAAAUUUUCUUGAGGAAUUUUGCAUGAUUUACCUGCAAAACUCUAUAGUGAGUGUGUAACUUAUUUGAAAUUUUGCUCUUGUUUUACCUUUUUCAUGCAACUACCCGGUUAUUAAUUUGCGACUAAUAUUUAUAACAUUUGCCACUGAAAUUGACCAUUAAAUAAAAAACUCAACCAACCAAGGAUUGAAGUUCCUUUAGGUUAUACUCGUAUUCCUAUUCACAUUAUUUUAGUCAGAUAUAAUCUAUUUUCAACCUGUAGCUUGCCUUUUGUUUUCCUCUGUUUGAUGAUCAUUAAAUUUUUGUAACUUGUGUCUUGCUUAUUAUUUUCUAUUCUUUUUUUAUGGUAGAAAAUGGUCAAUGGUGGUAGAGUUAGCAGCUGGGCAUGCAUUAACUUCUCACGAAAUGUGCAAGAUAAUGCUGCCAGGAUGUUCUGUCAAGAGCUGGCUCAGAUGUGCCAAGUAUCUGGAAUGGUAUGUGUGUCAUUCAGAUAGAACUUCAAUACAAUUAUCUGUUUGUCAUUUUGGUAUUUAUUUGUCUGUGUUAUUUUCCUUUCGUAUCCUGUUCUUGUAGGACUUUGCACUUGAACCUGUGCUUCCCCCAUCGUAUGCGAGGCCUGAACAUGUCGAAAGAGCACUUAAGGGAUGCUAUCAAGAUGCCAUGAACAUACUCAGACCUCAGGGCCGAGAACUGGACCUACUGAUUGUAAUACUGCCCGACAAUAACGGUUCACUUUAUGGUAUGUUCUCUUUCAAAAGUUUCUCAAGCAAUUUGCCCAAUGUAUAAUCUUAUUAGUAUUCUUUUCAUUCUUUAGGGGAUCUUAAAAGGAUCUGUGAGACUGAUCUUGGAUUGGUCUCCCAAUGUUGUCUGACUAAACAUGUUUUCAAGGCGAACAAGCAGCAGUAUCUUGCAAAUGUUGCCCUUAAAAUAAAUGUGAAGGUAUAUCAUUUCACCCGAUCUGUUCUAAUUUUUUACUUAAACACUAGACUCGUCUCUUACAGUUUUCCUACUUUUCAGGUUGGAGGAAGGAAUACUGUGCUUGUAGAUGCUUUGGCAAGGAGAAUCCCCCUUGUCAGUGACAGACCAACCAUUAUAUUUGGUGCUGAUGUUACCCAUCCCCAUCCUGGAGAAGAUUCCAGUCCUUCCAUUGCAGCUGUAAGUGUGGCAUUAUUGUGACAAGACAGAGAAAGCCCAGAAGAUCUGUUCUCUUUUCUCAGUUGAAAGUUUCACUAUUUUUUUUUAUUCACUAUGUUCCUCCCUACCUAGGUGGUUGCUUCUCAAGACUGGCCUGAGGUCACCAAGUAUGCAGGAUUAGUGAGUGCCCAAGCCCAUCGCCAAGAGUUGAUACAGGAUCUUUUCAAAGUAUGGCAAGAUCCCCAAAGAGGGACUGUCACUGGUGGCAUGGUCAAGUAUGAUAUUUAUUGAGAUACAUGAGAUGCAUUCACUUCUCCAUGUUUGGAUGCUGCUGUAUGUAUAACUUUUGUUGAUUGUGCAGGGAACUUCUCAUUUCUUUCAGGAGGGCAACGGGACAGAAACCCCAGAGGAUCAUAUUCUACAGGUUCAUAUCCUUGCACAUGGGCACCUUUUCUGACUAGGAUUCCCCUGUAUGUUAAACCAUUUAUCACUUUCAGGGAUGGUGUUAGUGAGGGACAGUUCUAUCAAGUUUUGUUGUAUGAACUUGAUGCCAUUAGAAAGGUGAACUUAAUUUAAGGGCAUUUGUUUGGUGAUGUUCUUCACCUCUAAUUUUUCUCUGACCACCCUUGUGAAACUACGGAUACAGGCCUGUGCAUCAUUGGAGCCCAAUUACCAGCCUCCAGUUACUUUUGUAGUGGUCCAGAAGCGUCAUCACACUAGGUUGUUUGCUAACAACCAUAAAGAUCAGCGUUCUGUUGAUAGAAGUGGAAACAUACUGCCUGGUUAGUUCUCGAUGCUUCUCUUAUUAUACCUUGGGCUUAGCUUGUAUAAUCCUUUCAUUUUGAGGGAUAGGUUAGCUUGCCUAAUCUGAAUGUCGUUAAACUGUUUUCUUACUAUAAAUAUAGGCACUGUUGUGGAUUCAAAGAUUUGCCAUCCGACUGAGUUCGAUUUCUACCUGUGUAGCCAUGCUGGCAUUCAGGUUGGGUUUUCCUAUCUGAUUGCUGAAUUCUGUUUAUUGCUUUACUCUACAUGAUGAAAUAAGUUGAUUGCUGAUUUGGGUUCCCUUCAGGGAACAAGCCGCCCCGCGCAUUAUCAUGUUUUGUGGGAUGAGAACAAAUUCACAGCUGAUGGGUUACAAUCUCUCACCAACAACUUGUGCUACACGUAACAUUUACUGCUCCGUCCAUCUGUUCAUCUUUUAAAUUGAACUCUUUUUAACUGCCUAUUAACUAAAAACAAUAUCAAUAUUUGCAGGUAUGCUAGGUGCACGCGCUCAGUAUCAGUUGGUAAGUGCAACUUGCCCUUGCACCCACCUUUGACGUGGGGUAGUAAUGCAAAAGAGAAUGCUGACGGUUCUGCUCGAUUGCUUUGCAGUGCCUCCUGCAUACUAUGCUCACCUGGCAGCCUUCCGAGCUCGCUUCUACUUGGAGCCAGAUACCUCUGACAGUGGGUCGAUGGUGAGCGGUGCUACGAUGAGCCGUGGUCCUCAACCAGGGACUUCUCGCAGCUCCAGGGCUGUUGGAAAUGUUGCUGUGAGGCCUCUACCUGCCCUCAAGGAAAAUGUGAAGCGCGUCAUGUUUUACUGCUAAGAUGGAUGCUGUGGCCUGCUGCUCUGAGAGAGCAGUAUCCUCCUACCUUGCCUACCUAUUGCGUAUAUUUCGAGUACUUGCACUCUUAUGGUGAUGCUGGAACACCGUUGCACCUCCAAAGUUAAUUUCCUGAGUUUCAAAUCUGUGGUACUCUCUAUACUAUUGUAAACUGCUUGUGGUAACAUUGUACUGAUGAAGAUUGGUUUGCAGUGGACUUAUUUGGACAUGGUUUGUAGUGGAAUUAUUUGAACCUGUAUGUGUCUGCAAAAGUUACUGGUCUGAUGACUGAUGGUGAUUGGUCACUGCUGGUUUGUCAAGUAACUUUUGAUCCUGCAGGCUGCAGUGUGGGUGGGAUACCCUGUGGUCUUGCUGAUUGCAUGUGGAUUUCAAUUCUUCAUCCGGCAACUUAGACGCCAUAGGGUGGGAGGGACACGAUGGACAUACGCUUUCAUGGUUUUUCAUCCAAACUUGUUAUUGCUUAUGUUAUGUAGGAGAGAGGAAGGAAACUUCCUACUCUGGACUUGAAUGCCACAGAAAGUGACUUUGCUGCACUGGACUGGGGACCGCUGGACCUAUUGAUUUUUAGUUAAAAGAAAUCCUAGUGAUAUAAAGCUGUACUUUGACAAUCAACUUCCUACUCCCUAGCUUUUUUUAGUUGAUAGAUAUUAUUUUUUAGUUGAUAGAUAUUAUUAUUCAUUUAGAUAUAGUGUAUAUCUAGGUGUAUAAUAAUAUCUAUGAACCUAGAAAAAUCAAAAUGAUCUGCAAUUUGAAUUGCGGAGGAAGUAAUAUGUAUAAAAUAGUGCAUUUGUGAAACCACUUGCCUAGGCUUCUUCCUGUCUGUAACGUUAAAUAAUCAAGCCCUGAACCGCCUUGACAUUGUCCGAUACAAUGUUGCUGUUUUGAAGAGGCAAUCAAAAUUUAAGGUCUAACAUCUCGGAUUUAUAAAAAAAAAAACCCUGCCUAUACAGAGAGGUAGUCUUACAAUACCUGAGCAGUGUGGCUUUGGAGCAACCGUCUCAACCAUUCCGUGCCAUAAUGCUCGUCUCCUACUUGUUACGGCCGAGACAAUUGAGUUUGAUAGCGAGAAACAGCUAGGCUCGAACUCAGGUGUGUGCGAUGCGAUGCCAUGGUACAGAUUAUUGCUGCAUAAUAAGGAACAGAAGAAAGAUGUGAUGGGGUCAAAGGUGGGCCACCCGACGGAGGAAGGAAGCGUCGGUUGUUUCGAGUUGCAUCGGUCAGGGGUGACGUCAGCGUCUCAAUUGUUUAUACAUAUACAUACAUGCAUCAUCUCCGGUGUAUACGCUGCACCGUGUUCUACUUCAGCGGCAGUAAGCAGCUACCGAGCUACUCCCUCCCUCCGUGAUCAUUUUGAUUUUUUUAAUCUAAAUACUGUGCAUGUCUAAUUUAGAAAAGUCAAAAAAUGACUAAACUAUUAGGAUGGAGGAAGUACCGGCAAGAAGCUAGUGUCCCAAAAAUAUCUCAUCCGUCGUGAGAUGACAUGAGACUAUGCGUUUAGUUGUUGUCCAUAGCCUUGACACUUUGACUCACGACCUUGCCCAUAGCCGCCGGGCAUGGCCCAUGGGAGCUGCUGCCUUCUUCCUUCCUCCUGCCGACUGCCGCCGCUUUUUCGCUUCCAAUCUCCUGUUGCCCUUCUUUCGAAAUACAACGAGGGGGGCUGCAAAGAAGAUUGGAGCAUUAUUCAGGAUUUUCCAUAUUUUCUUUUUUUUCGAGGAAGAUUUUCCAUAUUUUCUGGCAAGAUCACAAGACGAUGCAUAUAGUAGCCUUUUUAAAUAAAUUGUUAUUAAAUCGGAGGUGUGGUUUCGCAAUCCCUGCUUACAAUAAGGUCAAAAAAGUGCGAAGCAAAAUCAGCGCAUUCCCAUUUCUAGAUCAGGCCUCAUGGAAAGUCAGAAGUGAAUUAUUCCUAAAGUGGCAAAACUUUCAAAUGCAGGAUGGUUCACAAAUAAUAUUUGCCUUAAUUAUUACUAGCACCACUUAACAUUUUCAGAAAAGUGGAGAAAGAGAUUACAAUGACAUCUGUGUAACUAACUUCAAUAUCAAAGGGUACCGAGUUAUACCAUGAUAGACCAUCUAGGGGCCACAUUAUAUUGGCGGCUAACCAAAAGCCAAUCGGAAGAUCUGCCCUGCCAAUCGGAAGAUCUGCCGCCUGAAGGAUAACCGGCGCUUAAGCUUAUUCAACCGGCUUAUCAGCCACCAAAUAGUGUUUCUUCUCAUAACAAAUCAGCCGUUUCAGCUUUUCAGCCGGCUUAUAAGCUGAAGCUGAAGCAUGUUGUUCAGGGCAUCUAUUGGUUCAAUACUCUGAAGAAUGAAGAUUGCUGCCAAAGGAGGAGCAGGACAUAAAGCAUAGCAUAGCAAGCGUUGGAGGUGGCGGCUAUGGAUUUCUCCGUGAAGAAUGAGUUGCUAUGAUUUAGUAAUUAGUAUUAGAAAAUUGUUUUAGUAUUACAAUAAACUUAAGAGACUCAUAUAUAGGUUGGAACAGCUUCCAUUAUCUAAAGCUGAUGUAACUGCUGGCUGCAUAUCUCUCCGCACAAUAAUCAUACAAUAUGCUAGCGGCCCGGCUAUCCUGAGAAUAAACUAGUUGCAGUAUUCAGCUACUACCAACUUUCCUGGAUGCUAUAUAAAUGGACGCUGCAAGUUUCUGCGCAGCUCACUGCACUGCAAGCUGCCAUUGUCAGAUCUUUAGAACAAGAGCAAGGAGCGAUCGACCGGAGUUGAGAGAGAUGGAGGCCGUUCCUCUGCUGACGCCGUACAAGAUGGGCCAGUUCGAGCUGUCGCACCGGGUGGUGCUUGCGCCGCUGACGAGGCAGCGCUCCUACGGCAACGUGCCGCAGCCGCACGCCGCCGUCUACUACUCGCAGCGCGCCACCAGCGGCGGCCUCAUGAUCACCGAGGCCACGGGCGUCUCCGACACGGCGCAGGGCUACGCCGACACCCCGGGGGUCUGGACGGCGGAGCAGGUGGCCGCGUGGCGGCCCAUCGUGGACGCCGUCCACGCCAGGGGCGCCGUCUUCUUCUGCCAGCUCUGGCACGUCGGCCGCGUCUCCACCACCGCCUUCCAGCCCGGCGGCGCCGCCCCGAUCUCCAGCACCGACCGCGCGGUGCCCCCGCAGAUGAGCUUCGACGGCCAUAUGGAGGAGUUCUCCCCGCCGCGGCGGCUGGAGACGCACGAGAUCCCCGCCGUCGUCGACGACUUCCGCAGAGCCGCGCGCAACGCGAUCGACGCCGGGUUCGACGGCGUCGAGAUCCACGGCGCCAACGGCUACAUCAUCGAGCAGUUCCUCAAGGACGCCGCCAACGACCGGGACGACGAGUACGGCGGGUCCAUGGAGAACCGUUGCCGCUUCGCGCUCGAGGUGGUCCGCGCCGUCGCCGGCGAGGUCGGCGCGGGCCGCGUGGGCGUCCGCCUCUCGCCGUUCACGGACUACAUGGGCUGCCACGACUCCGACCCGGAGGCCCUGGCGGCGCACCUCGUCCGCGAGCUGAGCGCCGCCGGCGUGCUCUACUGCCACAUGAUCGAGCCGCGGAUGGCGCUGGUGGAUGGGCGCCGCCGCAUCCCGCACCGGCUUCGGCCGUACAGGGAGGCGUUCAGGGGCACCUUCAUCGCCGCCGGCGGGUACGACAGGGAGGAGGGGAACAAGGUGGUCGGCGAGGGGUACACGGACCUCGUCUCCUUCGGGCGGCUGUUCCUGGCGAACCCGGACCUGCCCAGGAGGUUCGAGCUCCCCGACGCGCCGCUCAACAAGUACGACCGCACCACCUUCUACACCUCCGACCCCGUCGUCGGAUACACCGACUACCCGUUCCUCGCCGGCGACGUCCAGGCCGCCUGAUCGUUCGUCGUCGUGUUGUCAGUUGUGCUCUGCUCGUCCAUGGUCACCGUCUCGUCGACCACCUUGUACUCUGCUCGGGUGGUUCUGUACGCAUGCUAUAUACGUCAUCUUUCCCAGUGGCAGGAGGUGCAAAAUAAACCAAGUUUGAUCCGUAAUUUUACAGCACAAUUGGACUGUCUAACAUGAAUGGCAAAGUAAACUGAGUUUGAUGCUGAUGCUAUAAGGUGUGUGUUUGGAAUUUGAAGUUUGAACUAGCAGGAGGAAUAAAGAAACAAAGAAGGCGAUUUUCUGUGAUGCAAUGCCUGGGUCCUUUUGGUGUUGGCACACUUUACUCUCCAGAAAAAAAAAUGACUGGAACUUCUGCAAGAGAAAAUGAUUCUCACUUUGUAGUUAACUAGCAAUUAUGCCCAUGUGUUGCAACGGGAUUCGUUCUGAUGUAAAAAAGAUAUUGAUCUAAAAUUCAUGUGAUGAGCAUAAAUGAAAAAAAAUAUGUUGCAGGGAACAAACGUGGUCUAUUUGUUAUUUGGGCUGUUAAACCCUAAAGCCCAAAUUAGUUGCAUAUAUGAACCCAAUCCAAAGAGAAAAUAAACACCGGCAACUUGACCUCACCGGCAGGAUGUUGCGGUGGUUCCUCGCGCCGCCACCGCCGUCUUGCGUGCAUUGCAGUGGUUCUUUACUGGAGCCUCGCCGGGACAAAGACUCCAGCCACCAAUUUCAUAUAUGAGGGUACCGGGAGAGAGAGGAGAUUAUGUGGAUUUCAUGGUGGUUUUGGACGAUGAUUAUUAAAGUGUGAAUGACCAUUAUUGUUGUUGUUUUGAAGCUCGUGAGGACAUGGCGUAGUGUAGAGGAAAGAUGAAGUGGCUAGGAAGAGGGAGUUGGUGGAGAAGAAGCUUGCUAGGGUCUAAUCUUGAUUGAUUGCUACUUGGAGAAGGAGAUUGAUGGAGCCAUGCUUUCGUGGAGAGAAACAACGACAAGGGAGGAGGCGAGCAGUGCCGCUGGACGGCUCGGCAGUCUCGUCAUGGUAGAGUAGAGGUGGUCGGUAGGAGCCCCAGGGCUAUAGACAUCAGGCAACGCCGACCUUUGCUGGCUUGAUCAGAUGGAGGAUCAAGGAUGGUAGUAGCACGUAGAAGCUGAGAUGGAGAGCUGUUGGGCAGAACCGUGAAGAACUCGGACAGAGAUGACGGAAAAAAAACCAAAGAAUUAAAGGAUUUGUCCUGUACUUUAAUAAGGUAGGAAUAGAGAUAGAGAUUUGGCCUAGUCAGACAAUGGCUGGGCUUCUGGGCCCAUUUUCUACUUGGGCUAAGCAAGAACUAAUCCAAGACGAGGAGUUCAUGGAACUGGCAGGAAGCAGGGAUGACACCGUCGACGCCAGGCCAGAGCAGCCACUGAUUCUGUUACCAUGGUUGAUUCCAUGUUUACGUUGUUGCAAAGCUUCGAGCCAAACACCACCUUAGUUAGCGGUGGAAGAGAUUACUAGUUUACUAGUACUACUGAUCCCGGAUGUGUUGGGGACUAAUCCGAGAAAACUGUCUCAUCCAUUUCCUGGACAUUCAGGUCUUGCAGUCGAGGUUGUUUCAUGCCUUUUACUCCAGCAGAAAUAGCUGACCAGCUCUUUCUUCCAGCAGAAGUGCAGUUCAGGCGACGAAUGCAUUGGCCGAAGCAUGCCGUCCUCUUCAGGAACAUUAGAAUGCGUCAGUAUCUGCAGCGGUAGAAACGGGGGCGUUGCAACUUUUCCUUCCCGGCGUCCCAGAACAGGUGCCAGCCGUCGGCGACGGCGGACAGCAUGAGAGGCUCUCCAAUCUCUGCAACUACAGGACGGGACGGCUGGCACGACCUCCGUCGGCUGUGAACGAGCUCGAUGAGAGCAUCCCACACGCACGCCGCGCCAUGGCCGCCGCCUCCUCCGCCGGAGCCGACGCGCGCUGCCCCUCACGCGGCGGCCGCACGGUCUCCGACGACGCACCGACACCGCACAGCGAUCCCUCCGAUCCCGCCCGGUCGGAGAUGAGAUCGGCCGGCCAUUACGACGACGCCACUUGCCGCCGGGGGUGUCCGACAGGGCGAACGAGACGGUUCCAAGCUUGAAGCGCGCGGAACGCGGCGGCACUACGGUGGGAUAGCGACCCCGGGGUGGACGGUAAAUGAAAUACCGUCCACCCCUGGGUGGUUCUUAGCCGUCGGAUCGCACAUGUACGGACCAUAUUAGCGUCCCGGGUAAUUGCCAGGGAGGACCUUUUGACCUUUUCCCCUUCCUGGACCCACCGCACCGCGCGGGCGUUCCGUGCCGUCUCCCGAGCGCCGAAGCUUCUAGAACUUUCGCGGCGGUACGCGCUCGAGGUAGAUGGUGGUGCCCUGCUGCACGUGAAGCCGGCGGCGCCCGCAGCCUCCUCGCCGUCGGCGGACGCGAACGAGGAGACGGAGUUCCUGUACGAGUGCGACGCCGCCGCGGCCAUUGCCGACGUAGCUGCCGCGCUCGCCGGCCUACAGCGUACAGGCCCGGGCCUCCUCUCCCUCCCUCUCUCUCUCUGCCGCUCGACGAGCUGAUUAUUCUCCACAACAAUAUAAAGUAGGGCUAAUUUAUUAUCUAUACUAAACCAUUUUAAACAUUUUAAUGGUAUAAAGUAUGGGCUAAUUUGGGUUCUGACAACCAUUUCGACAAACAAUGGUCUUGAGCUGUUGUUGCUCAGCACUGAUCAGCAAAACGCUAUGACAUGUAUGGUGAAAGGUGAAUGCCUGCUGCCCAGCUCGAUCAGUUGCUUUAGGUUGAGGGAGAGCAGAGCAGUUGCCGUGGAGCCGAUCCAUAGAUGAACAAGUGAACAGCAAGGUGAUGCGAGAGAGGAGCAAACGAUCCGUGUGUCGUGUGCAGCAUCGUCAUUGAUAGAUGAGCUUGGUGCGUCUUGUGGUCGGAGGUGCAAACGAUCUUAAAUUUGGAUACAUUGAACAGCGAGUCCUUUUCUCGUCAAUAUAUACAUAUAACUUUACCUGGAUCACAUUCACAUGUACAAGAUUCCUGCAGAAGAAACAUUAACUAGCACAAGCAACUGUAGCAGCAUGCUGUAGCCGUCCAUUGGUCUUGAAAAACUGCGGUGGCUUUUGAUUCCCUUUGCUUAUUUUUAGCACGUGUCACAUCGAAUGUUUAGAUACUAAUUAGGGAUAUUAAACGUAGACUAUUUACAAAACUCAUUACAUAAGUGGAGGCUAAACGGCGAGACGAAUCUAUUAAGCCUAAUUAAUCCAUCAUUAGCAAAUGUUUACUGUAGCAACACAUUGUCAAAUCAUGGACUAAUUAGGCUUAAUAGAUUUGUCUCGUCGUUUAGCCUCCACUUAUGUAAUCGGUUUUGUAAAUAGUCUACGUUUAAUACUCUGAAUUAGUAUCUAAACAUUCGAUGUGACGGGUACUUAAAAAUAAGCAAUGAACCAAACCAGGCCUAGCCGUCCAGAUCCAGUCCCAAAAAAUGUUUUAAGAAUAUACAAAAAAAAAAUGUAGGUAUCCGCACACACUCUGGGUGGGGAGCAUUGGAAGUUGAAGAGAAGGCGUGUGCUAGUAGCCAGGCAGGCAGGCACAUCAUUAUUUAGCACGUUUAAUAAGUUUCUGCCAAAAUGAAUUUAGUUUAGUGGUAGAAUAAGCGCGGGCGGGGCACACAUAUACAUACAUGAUGAUCUGAAUAUGAUGUUUGUCUAGCGCCGCUGCAAGUUGUUGUUAGUUGUUACAACUACAGAGUGUUUGGCUUAAGCAGAGGACGACUGGAGGAGAAACAAACACGUGCGCGCAUACGCAUUUUAGGGUAGCCGCGCAUGUAUUUUUUUCAAGACGUACGGCGACCCUGUCUCCCUAAAGCCCGAGCACGAUGCCCCAGCUAUCAUGUUUGGUGAGAUUCCACGAGCUCUCAGCACGUGAUGGAAAUCAUAGAAAUCCAGUGUGUGUGGGUGUGUGGCAGUAGGUGGAUCGUCGUCGUGGAUAGCACUGUGCUCCUAUCAUUCAUUUUUCGAGAGUUUUAGCUGACCACUAGCUACUUUUGUAGGAGAUGUCGUUCCAAAGACAGAUGUAUUAACCAUGAUCGUCCAUUAUUACAUUACUCUGCUCAACUGCUCUUACUUGCAUUGGGUCGUAAAACCCAGCAGAAAGCCAGAGGGCAACACGAUUAUUAAUUUAUUGUGGUUGUGGCCUUAAUUUAUUGUGAUUAUUAAUUUAGCUGCACCUGGACCCAUCGGUGCUCUCUGUAUGCACAUUCAUCACAUGCAUGUCGAUCGCUAACAGAUCGAGACGAGAGACCAAAGAAAAUUCACCGUUACUCAUUCCAACUUUCUUAAAAAAUCAAAUUAUUUUAUGUUUCAUCAAAAUUAUAAAGAGGAUCACAAAGUUUUAUAGCAUUGAAUAGAUAUACUAUGAAAAUAUAUUUAAUGAAGACAUUAAUGGUAUUUAUUUGAUAUCAUGAAUGUUAGUACUUUACUGUAUAAAUUUAGUCAAACUUGAAAUGUUUUAAGUCUCCGAGAAAGUUAGAAUAAUUUAUAAUUUGAAACGAAGAGCAGCUGAAGAUGAACGACCACCGGAUCAUCAGUUAGAGACAACUCUCCCUCGAGCGCCCCGGUUAAUUAUACAGAGAUUCUAGAAAACGACCAUCAGCCGACCUGCCGACUUGCGAAGACAGCCUCUCUCCUUUUGUAUUAUUACAAGAAUUACGUACAGCUCCUUUUUAAAUAAGGAGAGAGCGAGAGAGAGUUCAACCAAUGUUGGGCUCGCAUCAAAUAGUAUAUAAUGUGCGAGGAUAGUCCUUGUGUGCUUAGAAUGAAUUCUAGCGGGCGCGCUUCGAAUACGCUAAACUGUGAUGUAUCAAUGAAAUAAAGCGGGGAGAUCUAGUUAGAGAGAGAGAGAGAGAGAGUGUUACGUACAGUUACAUGCACGCCACAAUCAUACGCCCAUAAAUUAAAUAAAAUUGCUGAAAACAACUCAGCGUAUAUAUGUAAGUCAAAGUUCGUGUGAAGUUGCAUUACUGCAUACAUAACUCCACACAUAAUUAUAUCCUAAGUCUUUUGGAGCGAGCCAGGCUCCUGUUAGGUCAGCCUUAGUGGAGUUUCAUGAGCCUAACAGUCUUAGUGGAGUUUCAUGAGAAAAGGCAACCUCAUUAUGAGUAGAGAGAAGAGGAGAGUUUUAUCCCCAUGAAACCUAUUACCUAGUCCCAUGAAACCUAAUGAAACUUGCAUCGAGGAUAUUAUAGUUUCAUUGCAUGAUACAAUUGAUCAUAAGUCUAUGUAAAAAUUAAUUGCUGCAUGUUAUUAUGAAACUGUAUAUUGAGAGUGAUAGUUUUAUUCCAUUAAAAAGAUGGUACGGCAGUUUUGAUAACAGACGAAACCAUGAUCAAGAAGUCUUGCCCUUCUUUUGCUUUCCAUGGAUUUCCACGACCACAGAACGUUCGUGCAUCGUGCCUUUCCCAUCCAUGUCGGCACAUCACAUCAAACUUUCCACAAGAAUUUUUAUAAGUCCAAUUCGCUGGGCAGGGUAUAUACACAAAUUAAGUUAUUAACUACUCCCAUUUCAAAAAAAAAACUGUACAUCGCUUUGACAGAAAAAUCCAAAAUAAUCUACAAUUUAAAAUAAGAGUGUAGAUUCAUUGAACCGCACGACUAACAUGCUAAAAUAGGAUUAUAUGAGUAGAAGAUGCUCGCAGAAAAAACAUUAAUUAAUUAUCAUGAAUGAACACUGCAUUUAGAUCCUAUUUAGAUUCAGGGCUAAACUUUAGUUAGCUAAAAAUUAGUCUCCGAUGAUCCAAACAGGGGAGGUUAAAGAUGGGCAAAAAUUAGCCAACCUCUCAACUAAUAAACUUUACUUCAUUAGCCCUCCAACAAGAAUGGUAAAAGACAAAAAUAUCCUCCCACUAAAUGGACUUUUAUCAAUAAAUAAGCUAAAAAUUAGCACCGGCUCCAAACAUGACUGGACUAAUUUAGCCAAAUAAAGUUUAGAUGUUUAAACCUUAGUCAGGGCUGAACUUUAGUUUUAGUACAUCAAAACGUACCCUUAGCAAAUUGGUCUCGCAAAAGGGGAGAAAUACUGUAGCAACAAUAUAUUAGCUUGGAUACAAUGCGCGCACGCUAAGGAAUAUUAUUGGAGUGGACAUUAUUGAACAAGAAAAGGUACGUGUCGGCACAUUUAGCAUGUUUUACACAAAAUUGAUGUGCCAGUAGUUAAAUAAUUAAAGAGACACGCAGGCCUGCGAAUUAGCUGGACCAGGUUGCGACAAGUGUCCCGGCCAGUAAUGUUUUGGCUUGUAUUGCUAUGAGAGGCACGCGUAUUAUAGUCUAGUACUCCGGUGGAGGGAAACUAACAAUCACGUGCGUACAUGUGAGGAGAUGCUCAAAAUUCAAAUGAUAUAUCGGCUGGCCGCGGCCCUAUUUGCAUGCAUGCUGGUAUAACAAAAGUACGUGUAUACACACACCCCAAUUAUACUGCGUUUCAUGGGCACUGUAUAUGUAUAAUAUUUCUAUGAAAAUAGUUCAUUCUUGAUCUAUCAAAUGAAUGUAGAUUUGACAUACUUAAAUUCUAUUAUAAUAUAAAGUAUUACGUCAUCUAGGUAUACAAACCAAAUAAAUACUAUGAAAUGGUGGAGGGAUUAUGUGUAAUGAAUGCAUCGGCACCCUUGGCGACAAAGAAUACUCCAUUCGAAUCAAAAUAUUUGUCGCUGCUGACUUUUUUUCCUUUCAACGUUUGACCAUUCGUCUUAUUCAAAAAUUAAUUACAAAUGUACAAAAAGAUAAAUUAUACUUAAAAUACCUAUAAUUGUAAAGUAAGCAACAAUCAAAAUAAAUGAUACUUACGGAAUUUUUUGAAUAAGAUGAAUGAUCAAACAUCGUGAUAAAAAAUCAACAGCGAUAAAUAUUUGGAUACGGAGGUAGUAUAUGUGUAAGCUACCUGCAAACAAGUAGGAAUCUCUACAUAGACAAAGGCAACUUGCAACCGGCCGUAGGUAUGUGUGGUGCAGUGAAAAAAAUCAACAGUGAUAAAUAUUGGAUACGGAGGCUACCUGCAACAAGCAGGAAGCAUUGUAAAAGUUUAAGAGAAUUCCAAUGAGAUAUAUAAGGUUUUGUACCAUGGAAGAAGAUAAGAUGGCUCUUGGUUAUGGUCACCGGUCGCUUGUAUAAAAAAAGUUCGUUACAUUUUCUAAAGCGAGAGUGUAUAUACAACCGGAGAUAUCUACAUCAUCAGCUGAUGGAUGAAAAUAGAGGGCUAAACAGUGACAGAAAAUUAGAAAAAGCAUGUCCAUGUAUAUAUUUUACAUAAUACAAGUCGCCAUGGGUGGCGUGGAUGCCAAGCCAUAUAAAUCGAGGCAGCAGCCCAAGGCCCAAGCCGAGCGCAGGCUGCCUCUCCAACGCAACGCAGGCACCGUACCUUACCACGAUCAUCCCUCUCUGACCACAUCAUGGGCAGCGUGGGCUUGGAGGAGGACGCCGGCGCCGUCAAGGCCGCCGUGGAGGCCUUCCUGGAGCGGUGCGCGCCCUCCGGCGACGCCGCCUACGGCGAGCUCAGGGUCCUGCUCGCGCGCCUCCACGACCCCGCCACCAGGCGCCAGGCGCGCGUCUUCCUCGCCGAGCUCCGCCGCCGGCAGCAGUCGUCGUCGGACGACGACGACAGCGGAGACUUCUUCCGGCGGUUCGGCUUCCGCAUCCAGGAGCUGUUCCUGCACGGCAACCCCUUCCUCUCCGCGUCGUCGUCUCCAGGUAUCGAUCCAUGCCCAUCCCAUCCACCGAUCAUUCAUUCACUAGCUGCCAGUGCACGGCCAUCUAUCAUUGUCGUGAGCCAAUCAGCGCGCGCUCUGCCGACCGACCAUUUGCAACUUGGUACUGAAAAGGAGAGCUAGCUAAUGAUUUUUCUAUAAUAUAAUAAUUUUUAAAAGGAGAUCGAUGGAUGACGACACAGCUCGUAAGAAUCACUUUAACGUUAUAAAUCGUCGUUUGGUUAGAUCUGAAAUCACACUCUGUAAGAUCUGCCGAAUAUCCUCAAGCUUUUUUGAGCCAGGAGCCAGAGUCAACUACAAGGUCUACAGAGACUGAAAGGACGAUGAGCACACGCACACGUUCCAUUUUUCGGUGCAUAUAAGCUAGUAAUUCAAAGCUGCUUAAUUGUAUUUCUUUGUGAAGAGGACAGACACAAACUACGCUGUCAAAUGUCAAUGUCAUCAAAAGUAAACAAAUCUUGCAUGGCACCAGUAGGAUCCAUCGGAAGUUUAUUACUAGUUGCUUUAGUUAAUGAAUUUAACACACAACUCAAGUACCGUUUCCCUGCAUGCAUAAAAAACAAUCAAUCAAAAUCAGCAAGAAACACUACAAGCAAGCAAGAAAGAGGGAAAGAAAGAAUGCUGUCGACGACGACAGAGACAGCCGAUCGAUCGACAUAUAGCUGCAUCUAUAAUUAUUCUAUACACAACACAUGGAUCACACCUACGAACCUUUCACCGGCCGGCCGGAUCAGUCAAAGUCAACUACCGGCUCGAUUCUACAUCAACUACUGCACAGCGCAUGGCUCACCACUAGAAUCACCAAUUUCGAGUGCGUCUCUUGACUUGGCACAUCUCAUUCGCGCUUUCGUUCGUUUGCCUGCGCCGGUGCCUGUACGUUACGACGCUUAAUUUUCUUUGAUCACGACAGGUUGAUCGAUGAACAGUUUACGCAAAAGGUUUUACUCCCUACUCGAAACAAAACCCAAAAAAAAAUAUACAAUUAAAUCCAAUCCACAACUAACCAAUGGCCAAUCCGUGCUUCUCCUUGUCACCGUCGAUGCUGUUGCUGUUAGAGGAAACACUACAAGAUUCAGCACUUCUGCCGAGAGUUUGUGUUGAGCGGCCGACGGUGACCUGUUGUUGUAUUCUCUUUGGUCAGCAAAUUAAUGUCGGUCGGUGAUUCGUUCUCUGGAAAUCAUCUGUACUCUCGGAGAUUAGUUCCAUAAAACCCACACGCUCUCGACUACUAGUACAGAAAUAUAAUAAGCAAAUCAAUAUAAUCCCCCUCAGCCACUCAACGCAAACUCUCAGCAGGAAAAGUGCUGAACCUUGUAGUGAAAGGAAACCCAGACAACCAAGCAAGAUAUGGAUGAACCUCGAUCGCAAAGUGGCUUUCAGUUGUGAAUCACCGGUUGGGACAGGGCCUUCAAUGCAACCUCAUCCCUACAAACAACAUACUAACUGUAACUGGUCCUCCAUUUAGUCCUAUUAGGUUACCGUUGCUUUUGCCACACAAGGCUGAUUAAAAGCAUAUAUUGGAAGCUCCGCACCUGAAUAGGAUCCAUCAAGAUAAUACUUAGGGCAAGUACAUUGGUGUUGUUUAAUAGUCGGUAUCAUGCAUUGACAUGUAAUCAUGAGACAAUUUAACAAACAACUUAUACAAUAGGUUAUCUUUUUAAGUUGUCUCAUAGUAAUUCUAUUCUUCUUAAUUUGUGCAUAGAAAAAAAAGAAAUAUUAUGAGUUGCAUGCAACCACAACUCGUACAAUGAUAGAGUAGUCGUCUCGUAGUCCUAAAAUCUAGCCUAUGAGGCGGUUGUUUCGUGAAACAACGGCCUCUUUCUCUCUCAUCACCCUCUCUCCUCACAUCAGCAAAAAUCCUACGACCUAUAAUACUGCUGAGGUGUAGCAAUAUACUUACCCUUAAGUCGAACCUAAAGAUACGACUAUAGUUGUCAAAAUCCCGAUUCUAUCAUCCGAUUUUACAACUUUACGAUAUUUGUUUAUCGGAUUGAUUCUAUGAUUCUACUAAGAGCAAGUACAUUGCUACACCUCAGCAGUCUCAUAGGUCGUCUUAUGCAAUGCCACGUAGAAUUUUCGCUGAUGUGGAGGAUAGAGGGUGAGGAAAGAGAAAAAGGUUGUUGUUUUAUGAAACAACCGCCUCGUAGGCUAAAUUUUUCUAUACACCAAUUAAGGAAAUAGAAUUACAACGAGAUAACUUAAAAUGACAAUACAUUGUACCUGUUAUUUGUUAAGUCAUCUUAAGAUUACGUGUCAAUGCAUGAGACCGCCUAUUAGACAACACCAAUGUCCUAAGUAGAAUCUACAAAUUUAGUAGGUCUGAUCCUACAAUUUGCUACUUUACUAUUGGAGUUCCAAUCCGAUUCAGGAUCACGAUUUUGACAAAGCUUGACAUGACGAUCGGACACAUGUCCUUUGAGGAUAAAAGGUGGAACAUUGCCGAGACACGUGCACGUAGAGAGAAACCAAUAUUUGAAUUUACCAUUUUACCAAAUCAUUCUACUCAGAAAAAUGGUGCAUUACCACUAGAAAAAAGGGGGAUUGGAUUUUCAUUGAUUGGCCACCUGUUCAUUUAUUGCCCUUUGAUCCACGCGAACUCAAAAGAAGUAUGGGAGGAAGAAGAGGAAUAUUUCUUUUAAUAAAAAGCUAGAUACGGAUCCCGGUGAAAAAGAAAGAUGGCUACCCCUCGUCGGGACUUUGGCAACUCACCUAACCCACGUGUAUGCCCCUGUGAGGCUGUGAGUAUCAGGCCCUCGUUUUCCCUUAUUUUCUACAUUGUGGAGCACAAGUAUCUGAACUUUUGUGUCACGAGUUUCAUCACAAAGAAACACACAGACACCUUUGUGCAAUUCCUCGCAGAAGGGAAAAAGAUUUCUGUGCAGUUGUAUACUUGUAUUAUUUCUUAGGCCAGAACUUAUUCAAGUGUAAAACGUGUAGAAGGGCAAGAAGAUUUUUUUGUACGAAAUGUCUACAUCCAUUCAAAAGUUAUACUCCUUCAGUUCUAAAUUGUAGAUCGUUUUAACUUUUUAAGUUUCAUAGAUAUUAUUAUGCACCUAGAUGCAGUGCAUGUCUAGAUGCAUAAUAAUAUCUAUGAAUUUAGAAAAUUUAAAAUAAGCUACGAUUUAGAACGAAUAGAUGGUACAUCUGACAGAGGUACAAUAUGAAGGGCACAUCCGACUAGCUACAAUUUGGAACGAACGGACGGACGAGUACAUCCGACAUGAAAAUGCAGGUCAGCACAUGUCAAGUUUAACGAACUGUGACUGACAUGUUGGCCCUGGUUGUUUUAACCUGCGGUAGUUAAACAAAGGUAGCAGAAUCUGGAAGAAGUUACGUGUUUACCCCUGUGUCCCUCCGUCGUCCACGGCGGCGUCGCCUCGUCGGCCCGGCCCGCCACCGCCACCGCCUAUAAAACUAGAGCAGGCACCCUCCCCGCCAUUUUCUUCUCCAUCUCCAUCCUUCCAACCCCCACCCGAACCAUCUAUCCAUCUCCUCGACUGGGUUCCAGACCUAGCCCACCAACCAAUCCAGGCCGAGGGCAAAUGGCGGCGCCAGCGGUCGAGGACAAGGACGUCGAUGCCUUCCUGGCGGACUGCAGGACCUCGGGCGACGCCGCGUACGGCGCCGCCAAGGCCGUGCUGGAGCGCCUCCACGCCUCCGCCACCCGCCCCGCCGCGCGACGCCUGCUCGGCGCCGUCCGCCGACGAUUCGCCGCGGACCCCGCCGCGGGGGAGGAUUGCUUCCGCACCUUCCACUUCCGCAUCCACGACGUCGUCCUCGACCCGCACGUACAAGGUGCUACCUCUUGUGCAUCCACAUCCCUCGCGCCACCGAUCUUUGUCUCGUCUCGGGGGUUUAUCUCGUGUUGAUAAAUCUUGAUAAAAUCCGGACUCCGCGAUCUACUUUUUAGCAAAUCUGGCCCCAAUGUCACCUUAUCAUGUACUCUGAUGGUAGUCACAGUGAAAUCUCGUGAUGGUACAAUUUCACAGCCUGUCAUCGGUAGUCUGAUGGUAAAAUCUCGUGAUAGUUGAUUGGUCCAAAAAAUACUAUUUUCCAGCGGUAGUUCCAGUAGCUAGCUUGUAGUUGUCGUGGUAAUUAGUAGUCACGGUGAGAGUGGUAUGACAUAGCAGGCACUGAUGUGUUUUCAUGAGGAAACAAAGAAAAAAAAAGAUCGCGAUUAUGUCUAUAUAGUACUCUAGUCAGUGCGACAAUGAUCUUGUUGCUUCUGACUUUCCACUCCCUUCUAGAAUCGGGGUAGCCGCACUGUGCCGGGUACCAACCAUGUGGCCCAAUGCGUAAUGCUGUUGUCAGCAUUCCAUAUUGCUACAAGGAUUUAUGUGUAUACUUCUGGGAAGUUUGGUUCCCAUGUGCGUGAUCCAGGGGACACUAUGCCUUGGUUGUUGAGUAAUGUAUACUCCCUGUCUGUCUUUUAUAGGGAGAAAAGGCUGAUUUUCUUCAUCUGUCUGCCACUUUUUUUUUUGUAAAUUGUUUAUGAUAUGACAUCAGCCUGGCUUCAGAGUUUCCUACUGUAAAAUCAUGUGCCUCCUCGUGCAAAGCAUGUUGUGAGGAUUGUCUCACUCUGAGCACAUUGAAUUAGAAAUGUUUGAUUUCUACUAGUUCACACUUUCCCUGUGCCCAGUUGAGUGCCUCUAGGCAUUCCCAUUGUAUGAGCUUGAAUUUCGGGGAUAAUAGCAGGAUCCUGGCCUACUUAUUAUCACAUUAAAAUUUUUUUUGCUUUGCAAGCACGGACUGGACUACCUAUCAAGGUCUAAGCUAUCAUCCUAAUAGAAAAAACAGGACAUACUCGCACCAUGCCUUUUACCCUGGUUUGUUUGCAUUGGCUUGAGAAGGGAGUCAUUUCUUUGGAACAACCAUAACGUAUGUGACCCUUAUACUAUCUUGUGUUCAUGACCAAACAGGGGUUCUCUUUUUGUCUGUUGGGUAUAUAAAGUAUAAACUGCUGUCUCUUGUUGGCUUUGGCCCAGUGACAAAAGCUUCCAGUAAACUAGUGAACGAAUUCUAUCAAGGAUCCAGCGCCUGGUUUUUGAUAUAACAAAUUUAUAAACUGCCUCUAGGUUUCCAACAAAGGAAGAAGCUGACGAUGAUGGAGAUACCUAGCAUCUUCAUUCCUGAAGAUUGGUCCUUCACUUUUUACGAGGGCCUCAAUCGGCAUCCAGAUUCCAUUUUCAGGGAUAAGACUGUAGCAGAGCUGGGAUGUGGCAACGGUUGGAUAUCCAUUGCUCUUGCAGAAAAGUGGUCUCCUUUGAAGGUUGGCUUCUUUUUUCCUGUUGCCAUUUUAUCUUACGCUUAAUUCUUCAUUGGUGCAUAAGCUAAUCUGGCAUAUCUUAAACAUUUAGCUCAUGUUACAAUAUGUAACAUGAGGUUCUAACUUGUUUAGUGAACCACACUCAGUGAAUUGAAAUUUUGUUUGCAUUCAGCUUGACAUGACCCAUUGUUGUUUGAAUCCAGUCUAACCAUUUCUCUUUUAUUUUUUUGAAGGUCUAUGGUCUGGAUAUAAACCCAAGAGCUGUGAAGAUUGCGUGGAUAAACCUGUACUUGAAUGCAUUAGAUGACGAUGGUCUCCCAAUCUAUGAUGGGGAGGGGAAAACAUUGCUUGAUAGAGUUGAAUUCUAUGAAUCUGAUCUUCUUUCUUACUGUAGAGACAACAAGAUAGAGCUUGAUCGCAUUGUUGGAUGCAUACCACAGGUGCAGGCAAUUGUCCCCUUGUUUGGUGAAAUAAAAUGAAAGAAGGAAAAAAAAUGCUUACUCAAUUACAUAUCUUUGUUUCAGAUUCUUAACCCUAAUCCAGAGGCAAUGUCAAAGAUUAUAACUGAAAAUUCAAGUGAGGAAUUUUUGUACUCAUUGAGUAACUACUGUGCACUUCAGGUUAGUUUAAGGGUGCCUUACAUAUAUUCUUCACUCAAUCAAAAUGCAGUCGCAUUCAUGAAAUAUAAACCAUGCCAUUUAAUUAAAUUGAUUUGUCUUCAAGUUUUUUCUUGAUCUGGAGUUAAGGAUCAGAAUCUAUUUAUGCAUUGUUUUUUUAUGUAGCUUCGUGUGCCCGUUUAAACAAUUGUUGUUGAAACACCAAUUAAAUAAGUGCAUGCACUUAUAGAACUUUGGAUUUAUUGAAUCUUCUAUCAGGGUUGCAGUUAGCAUUAUUUUUAAACAUGAUAGGAAAAAAUGCUGUACAUAGGGUUUCAGAAUUAAAAAAAAGUAAAGUCAAAAUCAUUUUACUCAUGUCAAUAUUACUUAAAUUAUUACAAGGACUAUUCUGACUUUCUAUUUGUUAGGAUUCUUAUUUCCUUUUCUCUAUUUUAUGUUUAUGAACACUUCAUAUCUUUCUGCAUACAGGGUUUCGUCGAGGACCAAUUUGGCCUUGGGUUGAUUGCUCGGGCAGUUGAAGAAGGGAUAGCUGUCAUAAAGCCUUCAGGUAUUAUGGUAUUCAACAUGGGAGGUCGACCAGGACAAGGUGUUUGUCAACGUCUAUUUGAACGGCGAGGAUUUCGCAUUACAAAGCUCUGGCAAACCAAAAUCAUGCAGGUAGUAAGGCUGUCAGGCACUAGAAUUCUAGAAAUAUGUUAUGUGUGCCAGCAAUAUGUUCUGGUUUUGGUCUGCUAGGGCCUAUAGUUUCAUCUAUUUCUUGAUACUUUAUAUUGCAGCGGUAUUUUUUUUCAGCGUCAUUACCAAUCAAUUGCCUUGUUUGCAGGCUGCUGACACAGAUAUUUCAGCCUUAGUUGAAAUUGAGAAAAAUAGCAGACAUCGCUUUGAGUUCUUCAUGGAUCUUGUUGGGGAUCAGCCUAUCUGUGCUCGCACUGCCUGGGCAUAUAUGAAAUCAGGUGGCCGCAUUUCACAUGCUUUGUCUGUGUAUAGUUGUCAACUUCGCCAGCCCAACCAGGUUCCUUUCUGUUCUGUAUUGAUUUCUAAAAGCAGUAAUAUGACAACAGAAAUGGUACUAACUAUAGAACUUUUCAGGUGAAGAAAAUAUUUGAGUUUCUUAAAGAUGGAUUUCAUGAAGUCAGCAGUUCCCUUGAUUUAUCCUUUGACGAUGACUCUGUUGCUGAUGAAAAAAUUCCCUUCCUAGCAUACCUAGCUAGUUUUUUGAAAGAGAAUAAGUCCAAUCCCUGUGAGCCACCAGCUGGAUGUCUAAACUUUCGGAAACUUGUUGCUGGAUUUAUGAAGAGCUACCACCACAUUCCUCUAACUCCUGAUGUAAGACUUGUCGAGAUUGUCUUUGAACUCUACUGAUUAUAUGCCUAUGCUUCUGAACUAUGAUUCACAUGAUGCUAAUUUUUCUCCUGGUCACUAGAAUGUUGUUGUGUUCCCUUCUCGUGCUGUGGCAAUAGAAAAUGCUCUUCAAUUGUUCUCACCGGCGCUCGCAAUUGUUGAUGAACAUUUGACCAGACACUUGCCCAAGCAAUGGUUAACAUCUUUAGCAAUUGAGGUAACUUGCUUUUGUUCUAUAUCUUUGUUUAUGAUCAUGGAUCUGGCUGUUCCCCAACACUCACAUUUUUUUGGGGAAACUUCAGGGUAGAGCAGAUUGUAACCAUGCUGAAGGUACAGUUACUGUGAUUGAGGCACCACGCCAGUCAGAUUUACUGAUUGAGUUGAUCAGGAAGCUGAAGCCUCAAGUUGUUGUUACCGGGAUGGCUCAAUUUGAGGCUAUCACUAGUGCUGCUUUUGAAAACUUACUAAAUGCAACAAAAGAUGUUGGUUCCCGGUUAUUCCUGGAUAUUUCAGAGCAUCUAGAGUUGUCUAGUCUGCCAAGCUCUAAUGGUGUAUUGAAAUAUCUUGCUGGAAAGACCCUACCUUCCCAUGCAGCUAUACUGUGUGGUUUAGUAAAGAACCAGGUGCCUAUAACUUAAACACAGCAUUGAAUUCCAUUGGUGCACUGUACUGCUAUGAAUUAAGAUUGUAAGUUUCGUUCGUAAUUGCUUUCUGAUUCUGGUUGUAGGUUUAUUCUGAUCUGGAAGUUGCUUUUGCCAUAUCUGAAGAUGCAGCUGUAUAUAAAGCAUUGUCACAAACUAUUGAGCUAUUAGAAGGCCACACUUCUUUGAUCAGCCAGCACUAUUAUGGUUGCCUUUUCCAUGAGCUUCUGGCAUUUCAAAUUGCUGACCGGCAUCCACAGCAGGAGGUAAACAGGGCUUAGGUCCAAAUCUGCCUCAUCCAUAACCCAUCCAUACUAACUCUUUGUAAUGAUUAAUGAACAUUCCCCUUAGCAUAAAUCAGGUAGUUCUUAAAUCUUCAUCUAGUUGGGUAGUACCUACUAUUGUAUGGUAGGAUGCUUUAGUGUUUUUCGAUGAUUUUGUAUAAUUGUGAGUAAGGGUAAUAACGCAUCCAGAAGAACAAGGAUAUUUUGUGGCCUUAUUAGUUUCCUUAACUUGUUAUCUUAUUUAUCCCUUGCUCCUUUUCAGAGGCAACCAGCAGAAGUGAUACCUCAGCAGAUGAUAGGAUUUUCUGAUCCAGCUAUGUCUACCCUAAAGGCAGCUGAAUUUUUCAUUCCUGAUUCAAAUGAAUCCAGUGUUAUUCAUAUGGAUUUAGAUCGCAGCUUUCUGCCAGUACCUUCUGCAGUGAAUGCCUCUGUCUUUGAAAGUUUUGUCAGGCAAAACAUCACUGAUUCCGAGACCGAUGUCCAUUCCAGCAUCCAGCAGCUGGUGAAAGAUAGCUAUGGUUUAUCGGUAGAUGGUUGUUCUGAAAUUAUCUAUGGCAAUGCCUCUCUUGCACUCUUCAAUAAGCUUGUUCUCUGUUGCAUGCAAGAACAGGGCACCUUGCUUUUCCCCUUGGGCACCAAUGGCCAUUACAUCUCUGCAGCAAAGUUUGUGAAUGCAAGCACCUUGACUAUACCUACAACUUUCAGUUCAGGAUUCAAGAUUGAGCCAAAGGUUCUAGCUGACACUCUUAAGAACGUAUCUCGGCCAUGGGUGUAUAUUUCUGGCCCCACGAUCAACCCUACUGGUUUUCUGUACAGUGACAGUGAUAUUCAAGAGCUGCUCUCCGUCUGUGCUGAAUAUGGAGCUAGGGUAGUGAUAGAUACCUCCUUCUCAGGCCUGGAGUACCAAACGGAUGGCUGGAGUCGGUGGAAUCUGGAAGGAUGCCUUUCUUCUUUGAAAUGUUCAAAGCCAUCAUUCUCUGUAGUCCUGCUGGGAGAGCUGUCUUUUGAGCUGAUCGCAGCAGGACAUGACUUUGGGUUCGUGAUUUUGAAUGACCCAUCCUUGGUUGAUGCGUUUCAUAGUUUCCCGAGCUUGAGUCGGCCGCACAGCACAUUGAAGUACACUUUCAAAAAGCUACUUGGCCUGAAAAACCAGAAGGAUCAGCAUUUCUCUGAUCUAAUGGCGGAGCAGAAGGACGAGCUGAAGAAUCGUGCCAACCAAUUAAUUAAGGUUAGUUUGUUGUAUAUGCUGAUGAUCAUUCUUCUGUAGUUUCUAUGCUUUCAAGCCAUUUUGACAUUUUCUCUUGUGUCACCGUUGCACAAUGAACAGACGUUGCAGAGCUGUGGCUGGGACGUUGCCAGCGGUUGUGCUGGCAUAUCGAUGCUGGCAAAACCGACUGCCUACAUCGGGAAGCCCUUCAAAGCUGACGGCUUUGAGGGCAAGCUGGAUGCAAGCAACAUCAGGGAAGCCAUCCUCAGAGCCACGGGGCUGUGCAUAAACAGCAGCUCCUGGACUGGGAUACCCGACUACUGCCGGUUCAGCUUUGCACUGGAGAGCGGCGAAUUUGAGCGCGCAAUGGGAUGCAUAACUCGGUUCAAGGAGUUGGUUCUGGGAGGCAAUGCUCAGACUCAGAUGAAUGGAAACUGAUGGAGCAGGCUGGCGAUUGAUCGAUCGCCUCCAUUCCAUUACCGUUCUGGGAGGCAAUCCAUCCAUUGUUUGGAAACCAAACUUUAGUGCUAUGAAGUAGUAACAUUGUCCAAAUAUAUGUAAAGGAAUAACAGCAGCAAGAAAUGCCUGCUGUGAAUUGAAGUUUGUCCCGUUAGUGGCUACACGUUGUAUCUGAAGUUUGUCCCGUCCGGCUUACGCAUUCUCUUGCUCUGUCAAGUUAAACUCGGAUUAUUCUUUCUUAACCUACGGAAUUAUGUGUGCAUGCAUCUUUUACUGCUUUCAGUUUUUUCUAUUUGUAUAGGUAUUUCCAUUAGAUUGGGGUAGCUGAAGACAAGGUUUUUUAAAUUCGCAGAUCCUACUUCUAAUAGCACUGCAAAUGGACUAUCAUGAAACCAGAGCUGAUUAUAUUUCAUUGGCAAAGUAACUAAAAUCGUAAUGUAGAAUCGAGAUUCUGAAAAUUUAUGACUAUAGAAGCACAGGCUACCAGCUUCUUUUUUACUACAUCCCCUGCAACGAAUCCAUUCCUCCUGGGCUAGACUUCCUAAGAGGACGUGGGCCUAAAGCAGAAGCGAGCAGCCCAGAGCCCAGUAAGGUAGUCACUCCCUGCGCUGCGGUACUCCGCAACUCGCCGCCGCGGGCGCUAGGCCGCUAGCCUCCCUCCCUCAUCGCCGACCCGCGCAGGCAGGUGUCGGCGACUCGGCGUGCGGCUCCGCCUCCGUCGCUCCAGUGCCCGCAGGCAGCUGGCUCUGCGCUUCCUCUUGGUCCUCGUCUCCGGACGCACAGCGAGGUAACUAUGUAAUUAGGUAUUCAAUCUUGAAAUUACGAACCGUUUGCCACCGGAACUAUGAAAUUGUUUGCAUUGUAUGUAGACGCACUUAUCUUCUUGGGAAAUAAAGUAUGUCUCGCUCUCCGCGUGCCCAGGCAGCAUAGCCGUCGAAUUUAAGCCCUAUCCUAGCUCAAUGCCUACUUGAUUUCUCCAAAACUAUUCUGUCUAAUGGCCAUCCAAAUGAGUUAAUCUGGAACACCAUAAUGGUUUCAUGAAUCGAUACCAUAAUCGAUCUGCUGAUACAUUUCCAAGCAGUCAGAACACUUGCUAAUAAAUCCCAUGUUUUCUGAAUGCCAUUGUAUAUCUUUUAUAAUUAGAGGUCGGGGUAGAGCUCAAUCAGUACAAUAAGAGGUAGUUAUUACGCUAUAAUGUCUCCUUUUCAAAAAGAUGAAGCCUCAUAGAAGCUAAACCUAGGGCAAUUCUUCUUACUUACAGUAUUUUCUAAUUUAUCUGGAGUAUUAUAUAUUUUUUAUAUGAAUCCUAACUAGUUUGAUAUUCGCUCUUGCGCCUACUAUUUGUGCUUUAAUUUUCCUGUUGUAAAUAUUUUUUUUUACUGAUCCAUGUUUUGUUAACUCUACACACUAAUGCUCAAGAAUCCUAGGUCACCAUUGCUUGUAGGCUGGCCCCAACAAUUGCAGACCCCCUCCAUCCUAUCCUCCUAUAAUGGUGAUUUGGAGUUGCUCUUCUUGUCUCCGUGGAUUCAUUUCCAGAUCUGCAUGGAGGAUCCACUACCCACUCUUGUCUUCUAGGUCCCCUGCACCGCUUCUGACCCAUUUCUUCUCCUCCUCCCCUCGACGAUCCAACAAGAGAUCUGCUGCAAAGGUUUCAAUGGACUCUGCCAGAGAGCCCUUCUAUGUCAUCCGUAAGGGGGGUGUCAUCGCCAUCUAUAAGACCCUCAGUGACUGCCAAGCUCAAGUCGGUAAUUCGGUAAGGGUAUACAAAUACAUCAUAAUGCUUCCCUUCCCUUCCCUUCCCUUCCCUUACCAUGUGCAGAGAUAACAUUUGUUGAUUAUUCCCUGCUACUAGGUAUGUGACCCUUCUGUCACUGUCUACAAAGGCUAUUCUCUGAGUAAAGAAACUGAGGAAUAUCUUGCUGCGCGUGGGUUAAAAAACGCUAUCUAUUGCAUCGAUGCAGCAGAUGCAAGAGAUGAAUUGUUUAAUGAUCUGGUUCCCUGCCCUUUUCAGGUAAACAGGGCAAUGCUCUAUGCUUCCAUCACUUGCUGGUGUUUUACACUACAUAUUAAUCUGAUUCCUAUGGUCUACUAUAUUUUCUGAACCUGUUCUGGUCAUUUCUAGACAUGGUAUCCAUUCAUAGUAAUAUAAAGCCACACAUUAUCAUCACAAAAAUAGUUUUAUGUUUAUAUUAUAUACCUAAUGCUGAUCUUUUCAAGUUACAUCUUCAGGCGGUCUGCAUUGCUACUUGAUUUUGCAUUUUUCCCCAUAACAUUUCUUGUAGAGUGCUGACUUAUGGAUGUUUGAUUUCAGCAACCUGAUGGAUCUGUGCAGUCUACAUUGAAAAGGUCAGAGGAGAUGGUAAUUUUUUUCCUUCAUGAUAAGUGUGAAGAUAUGGUCUCUUGAAAAGUGUUUUCUACAAUAUUUGUUGAGUUUGCUAUGUAUCUUUUUUACUCAGACUGAUAAUCAUUUUCUGAAGGAAACUGGACCAUCAAACCAUCAAAAAGUUGCUGAACAGGAACUGUUAUCUGAUAGUGAUGUGAGUAUGUAUGAAUAUGCACUGUGCUAAAUGCUAACUAUAUGUGCUUCUGUUUUGUUUCCUGAUUUGUUCUGUCUUAUGUAGGUAUAAUUUGAUGUUAGCAUGUAUAUUUGCAGCAUAACUUCACUAUUUUGGAAAUUUGACUUCUUCUCACCAUCAUGCUGUCUAUUACAGCUCUCUUGUAUUCUUGAAUUUGAUGGUGCUUGUAAAGGAAAUCCCGGGAAAUCAGGUGCUGGAGUUAUAAUUCGGAGGUUAGAUGGAUCUGUGGUAUGGAGACCAACCCUUAGCUAAGCUGAUGUGUUUUAUCAACUUCAUUUAUCAUGCCUAUCUGGUUAUUGUGCCCCCCUCUUCUACUGCAGAUUGCUCUACUCCGUGAGGGUUUAGGUAUUACAACCAACAAUGCUGCUGAAUACCGUGCAUUGAUCCUGGGGCUAGAUUAUGCUGCCAAGAAGGGAUUCAAGCAUAUUCGUGCUCAAGGUGACUCUAAGCUUGUCUGUAACCAGGUGAAUUGUUCUUUCUUUGCUAUUUGUGUUUGACAUUGAACCGUCAAUAGACAAUGAACACUGUGCAGUUCAUUCUGACUCUUUAAAUUCCACAGAAACACUAAAUUUGUUGAAGGAUGGGAAAUUCAAAUGAUUUUUUCAUUUGUCCUUUAUCUGCCACAUGGACUUUGAUUUUAACUAUCAUAAUUCUUCAGUUUUUCUUCACGAAAGGACUUCUUUUGUCAAAUCACUUAAAAUACAUGGCCCAAAGUACAUGUCAUAAUGAUAUAAUUAGGUCUCAUUGAAUAAAUGGGCCUUCUUCUCUACAGCAUAGGAAAAGAUGUGCACCUAGGUGCUAGAGGCUGGAGCACUUGGAAUAGCUUUUCUAGCUGUUGGUGGCUCUAGCAACGUCCAACCCUUUCUUAACAAAAUAACAUGUUGGGAUUUCUGGAGCAGGUUCAAGAUCUCUGGCGGUGUAGGAGUGAUAAUAUGGCUGUCUUGUGCAAGAAAGCCAAGGAACUCAAGGGAACGUUUCUUACAUUUCAAAUCAACCAUGUGUUGAGGGUACGUCCCACAUUUUCCGUUGUCGUUUCACCUUUCAUAUUUAUCUUUCAGCUUUAUGGUGUACUAAUGAGUUGUUAUUAUUCUGUUUUUAACGAUGCGGCCCAGAGACAACUUAUGUACUUUGUCAUGAAGAUUUUGUUGGCCAAUCAUGUCACAGAUAGUAGGCAUAACCAGAUAUUUUUUGCAUAUAACUAUUUAAUGUACAUUAGCAUAACAUAGAUAUUCCGAGCGGAAUGAGUGUCAAGUGACUUACAAGGUCGUCUCUUCCGAUUGCUCAAUAUCAAGUGCUAGUUAAAAUAUUUAUUCCAGUAAUUUUGUCAAUCUGUAUAACAUGAAAGCAUUUAGGUUGACAGCUCUAUAGAUGUUUGACUUUUCUAGUUUUUAAUUUAGCAGUCGAGACAGAGCAGUUCGUUUCAGCAGCUCUCUGAAUACCUCUCUGAGUUGAACUCUAGAUUUGAUCUGUAGGUAUGGACAGGCACAUAUAGCUUGAUGCUUGGAACCCAUUUCAAAUUUGCGCUCGAAUUUGGUCAUAACAUGUCACCAGGACUUGCUGGCAACUAAUACUUGAAAACACUGUUACUCAUAUUCGUUUGUUACACAGGAAUUGAACUCGGAUGCUGACGUUCAAGCGAACUUUGCAGUCGGACUUGCAGGUAUGAAACUGCUGCGAUUAACUCACCUGUGAAUCGCUAGACACAAAUAGAGUGGCAAUGCAGUAUUACACCUGAUUAUUUGAUCUCUUCCUCUCUACAGUUGAUCAAGUUGAGGAGCUGUGCGUCUGUUGAGCUCCCAUUGGCAGAGAAAACAAGACAUUGAGUGGAGCGAUUACAGCUGCAGUUGAAAUUAGACAUUCACAUGUGUGCAGUGUACGUGUACUCGAGGAAAUCAGUCAGCCAGCCAGUCGUGUCUAAUAUUCUUUGGAAGUCAGUGCUGGGGAAAUGUUCUUCUGUGCCCUGCCAAUAUAUGUGCACGAGACGACGUUGUAUUUUGAGCCGCUAAUGUUGGUGGUAAAAUGAAGAGCCCUGUUGGAAUUCGCUAUACUGUGCCCUGGACCCUCGUAGUUUGCUCUUUUCUCCGAAUUUAACCAGAUAUACACCUCCCUCUCUGAUGAGAUCAGGCUUCUCCAACGGGUUAGGGCUCCGGAGUCCGGAGGUAGCAACAGGUUUCCAUCCGAAGCUAAUAACUCUCAAACCUUUUUCUUCUGACACGGCCAAUUUUGAUAAGUUAGGAGGAGAUCGUUUGGUUCUUUUGUCACAAGCACUAGCGUCUGGUGGCGCCUUUUCCUUCAGCGGCUUUCCUCUUUGAAUACGUACUUCGAUUUGGCGCCUCCAUCGUCCCUUCAAUUUCCUGGCGUGUGCCGAGUCCGCCCAGCCAAGGCAAGGCAUGGCGGAGGGCGGGGACGGCGUGGCUCAGCAGGCGGAGCUCCGGCGGAUCGAGGGCAACGCCUGCUUCAAGAAGGCCCGCCUCGGCGCCGCCAUCGAUUGCUACACCGAGGCAAGAAUAACCCCCCCCCCCCCCCCCCCCCCCCCCCCCCCCCCCCCCCCCCCCCCCCCCCCCCCCCCCCCCCCCCCCCCCCCGCCUCAAUUUCAUUUCCCCUUGGCAGUGCAAAACAAAUAGAUUCGAUGCGACUUGGCUGUGGCAUCAGAUUAAGAAUGUUUCCUGCGCGAUGAAUCCUUUCUAGGCAAUCGCGCUCUGCCCCGACGUCGCUGUCUACUGGAUGAAUCGUGCCCUAUGCCAUUUCAGGCGCAAGUGAGCUUACUCCCCUCCUCUCCUCCCCUCUUGGGCCAGUUUGGCAAGGAAAAUGAAAAUCUGAGACAUUUUGCACAGGGAGUGGGCCAAGGUCGAAGAGGAUAGCAGGAGGGCUCUUGCACUUGAUGACACUCUAGUCAAGGUGACAACUUCUUCCUGUUUCUUCUUCUUUUUCCAAUGUGCCAACUUCAACUGCAACUGCUACCUUGUCACGACCCCUAACUAACUGAUUGAUACAGACAUACAUAAUUGCUCUGUUUCUUGUGUGAUGUAGGGGCACUAUUUGCUGGGAUCUGCGCUGCUCGACAAGGAGGAAUUUGCGCUUGCGAUCAAGGAAUUUGAAAAGGUUUGUCGUUCGUCCCUUGUAUGCCUCAUGUCAAUUCUCAACAAGUUCCUUCGUGUAUUCAUUCGUUUCCUUGCUGCUGGCCUUAUUAUGGUUAAAAAUAGUGUCCAAAUUUAUUAAAUUGUCAGGCUGGGUCUUCUUUUCGAUAAGUCAUCCAAAUCCAAACCUGACAUGUUCAUGUAUUUUUGUCCGUGGCAGGGGCCCAUGCCCCCGCAUGUAACUUUCCGUAAAAAACAAAAUUUAACUACAUUUUGAAAAUUUAGACACUGUUGGCUCCCCCUAGCAAUGAAAAUUUCGCGUUUCGGGCUCCGCCCCUAGUUUUUGUGAAUCUUUCCAUGAUUACAUCUUGCCCCUGAGACACCGACUGCAUGCAAUAACUUCCAUUUAUGAUAAAUAAAACUCCCAAUUACUACCAUAACAUAUUAAAAAUGGUUCUGAUGAUUAACUACCAUAAUGGUUCUAGACUUGUACAAAUGUGUUUUUUUCAUGCAUCUAAGUUAUACCAUAACUAUACCUCUUCAUUAACUCACAUUUGUCAACAGCUAUAUGUUGUGUUUUGCCCAUCUCUUUUGUUAUUGGUAACGAUCAUCGCAUGAAAUUGAGGACUCUUUAUAACCUUGUAACUGCACCUUGUUGGUCACUCUGCCUUCUGAACUUUGAGAAGUGGUACAGUGAUGCAAAUGUGUGAAAAGUAAUAUCAUCCUGGGUGCCUCUCCCCAUGAACUUCCACUGAUUUAGGAGCUGUACCAACCUACACACACACACACACACACACACACACACACACACACACACUACUAAGGCUAUCAUGCUAAGGCUAUGUCUUCAUACUUCACCUGCAUGUCACUGCACACUAUAGCUAUGUAUAUUCAUAUCCUGCUGUGGUACCUUGUUUUGAUUCAGGAUGUUGAUGUCUUGUCCUGCCAUAGUAUUGCUAAUCUCUCGUCCAUCUUAUUUUGGAGACAGGCUCUGAAUCUCUUGAAGUCUGCGAAUUCAACGGAUAAAAUGGCCGAGGACAUUUGGCAGGUCCUUGCGAAGGCGAAAUACCUAGAUUGGGAAAAACAUUCCACUGAACGAGUUUGGAGGAUACAAAGUUUGAAGUAUGCUAUAUAUUAAACCUAAAAUAAUAUAGCACUUUCAUUUUGUUUUAGAUCAAGUACAAUGCUCAUCUAUGGAUGCUCACUUUACCUUUCUGGCUGUUCAAGUCUCCUAACAAAAAGUAUAUGGACAUGCAGGGAAGCUUGUGAAAGUGCUCUGCAGGAGCAUCACUUUCUUAGCGGUACACUUGUAGAAGACUCGGAUGGAUCAAGCAAUGAGUAUUCAGAACAAAUUAAAAUGUUAUCAGAGGUCUUCAGCAAAGCGACACUUGCCGAUACACCAGUAGAUGUAAAAUCAGUACUUAUAAUCAACUUUGUUUUGGUUAAACCUUUUUUCUCUCUCUCUAUCUGUGAUCUUAAAGCUGCUGAUACCAUGAUGAAAACCUAGGUGCCCGACUACCUUUGCUGUCAGAUAACGUUCGAGAUAUUCAGAGAUCCAGUGAUCACACCCAGUGGUGUAACGUAUGAGAGGGCUGUACUUCUUGAACAUCUAGACAAGGUGCCACUUUCCCCCUUCAGUUUGCGUCCAGUUUUUAUAAAUUUUUUCUCUGUUUAUCUUGAAGGUCAGCUGUUUGAUAUUCAUGUAUAUAUGUCUUUAUAAUUAAAAUAUUGCUGCUUGCACAAUUUGUUAUUCUAGAAUUAGUUCAUUAUAUCCACUUUUGCCUAGAGUUUCAGUUGAGUGUCUAGUAGAUUCAGUCUCUACACAAGAAAGACAAUUCUAAGGCGGAUGAGGAUAACCAUCCAUACAGGCUACAGUUAACCUCUUUCUCUUGGUGUUUCAGGUUGGCAAUUUCGACCCGGUAACACGAGAGCCUCUUAAGGAGCAUCAGCUGGUUCCAAACCUGGCCAUCAAGGAAGCCGUGCAGGCCUACCUGAAAGAGCACAGCUGGGCCUACAGGCUGAACUGACUGUUAGAUGCUGUUGAUACUUGGCAGUGUACGCGGAGUGCUUUGCUGACUGCUGCUGAUGAAUGAUCGUCUUAACGUUGCCUUUUGUAACUAUAAUCAUCUGUCCAUGUGCGUCAGGUUGACGUUAGGUUGCUCGAUUCAUUUCAUUAUUGGGCAUGUUGAGUUGUAACUGAAGACAUUGACCGAUUGGAGCAAAUGUACAUAAACAUUAAUUGAAGGUAGAAUAGCUAUUUUUCACUCUGUCAUUAGUUCUUGACUCAACCAACAUUCGGCAUUGUGAUCAUGAAAUCCACCUUUUUUUUCCUUUUCUAUCUUUUGCCCCUUCAGAUUUAUUGAUGGAAAGUUUCAAAAAAAAAUAUUUAUUGAUUUCAUGAUCCUAUUCGGCAGUUUUCAUUGUAAUCUUUUUUGAAGGCAGUUUUCAUUGUAAUCUGUUACAACAACAAUGUGAUGCAAAAAGUCACGCCAUAUCAAUCAGGCCCAUAUUCAUUCACGGACGGGCCGCCUGAGUCGUCGUAGGCCCUGGCGCAAAUGGAGUGGGCCGGACCUUCUGCAAACAACUGCAGGCCCAGAGAAAGCCCUCGUCAGUAGAAGAACUAAAAGAGGAGACAAGAGAGAAAGGAAACCCUAGCCCAGCGCCACACCCAACGGGGACCCCUUCUCUCUCCGUCGCGCCGCCGCCCCCGCAGGCCGCAGCAGCAGAAGCAAGCCUCCUCCGAUUCGCUCGCUCUCCGUCGAGACCAUGGCGAGCUCCCCCGCUCUCCUCUUCCCUUCGACCUCUUCAUCCUCCUCCCCGUCCUCGGCGCGGGUCGAGGCGGUGGUGCUCUUCAACAUCUGCGACAGCUACGUGCGCCGCCCCGACCAGGCGGAUCGCGUCAUCGGCACCCUCCUCGGAUCCCUCCUCCCCGAUGGCACCGUCCAUGUCCGCAACUCCUACGUCGUGCCGCACAGCGAGUCCGCCGACCAGGUCGCUCCACAGUCCACAUCACAUCUCCAAUUCCUUCACUGACUCAUUGGCGUUUGUUGAUUGCUGAUGCUGGGCGAUGAUGCAGGUCGCCAUAGACAUCGAGUACCACCAUAACAUGUACGCCUCGCACCAAAAGGUCAACCCCAAGGAAGUUAUCGUUGGAUGGUAAGCAACCCACCCCUCAAGAUUCGAAUGCCCUUGCUCUUGUUCAUGAAUUUGAAUGGUUAGAAUUAGGCGUUUUUGCAAACUACAUUUAUUGACAACAGCUGAAUUCUGUUGUUUUCCCAAUGUAUAUUACCUCUUUUUUGUGUGCUGAAUUAGUGUAUGAGUGGAUGAAGUUGUCUAAUUAUCAUCAAAAUGCACAGCACAUCCUUGUUCCUAUGGUUCUGUUUUCUUGACAUGCCUGAUAGUACCUACACCUAUCACCUGUACUAUUGCGCUGCAGAAAAAACCAUUCUACAUGUAGUUCCAUGUGUGUGUAACUAUCAUCCAUGCACUUGAGUUCUGGAGUUAUUUUUCAGUGACUGUUUGUUUUGGUGGCACAGAAGCACAUUAACAGACACUAGAAAAGGUUGCUUUACUAAGUGUAUGAAUUAGUUCACCAAGUAUCCUUACUAAACUUUUCAACCCUGUUUGUUACCUUUCUAUCUGCGUGUAGGUUCUCGACUGGCUUUGGUGUUUCAGGGGGGAGUACACUUAUCCACGACUUCUAUUCAAGGGAAGUACAAAACCCCAUCCAUCUUACAGUUGACACCGGCUUCACUAGGGGGGAGGCUUCCAUCAAAGCCUACAUCUCAUCCAACCUGUCCCUUGGAGAUAGGCACCUCGCUGCGCAAUUCCAGGAAAUCCCUCUGGAUCUAAGGAUGAUUGAGGCGGAGAAAGCUGGAUGUAUGUGUCAUUUUUCUGAUUACUAAUUCAUCUCAUGUUAUUUAUGAAUUGUUUUGGUUUAUGGCAAGUGAACUUUGCAGAACUGAAACUCUUCAUCUAGUAAUAUAUACAUAUAAAUUUCUUAGAAGUUAGAACUACGAACUGACUACAUUGAGUGGAUACCUAAACUCGACUGUCAGUAACUUUGAAGUGAAUCCGCCUAUACUUUUUUGUACUGAGUAUUGACCUAAUUAGUGGUGAAUAGCUGUAUUAUGGACACUUACCUGCUGUUUAAAGGGAAUUUAUUUGCAGUUAUAUUGGUUUGUCUUAGUAUUUACUUUGUUGAAUUUCUCAUAAAUAUGUGUACUGGUUGAUAGAAAUUCAUUUGUUUUGUAUUGUUCUAGUUAGUGGAGAAUAAGAAACUAUGGAACAUUUACUUUAUGGUCUAUUAGUUGAUCUUUACUAGACUUUGUUGAUUUUUCUCAUAAAUAGUCACAGCUGUUACUUGACAGUUGUAAUGAUUAGAAGCCAAAACCUUUUGAUGUUGCGUCAUCCUUAUUGGUUUUAUAACAGUUGAGAUCCUGAAAUAUACAAUGGUGGAGAAGCUUCCCAAUGACCUGGAAGGAAUGGAGUCUUCAAUGGAAAAGCUUUACAUUCUUAUUGAUGAGAUCUACAAAUAUGUUGACGAUGUUGUGGUACGAAUCUCAUGCAGAAUUUCACUAAUUCCAUUUGGAUAUCUUUGUUAAUUAUCUCUGUAUGACACUUGCAGGAAGGACGUGUGGCACCUGACAACAGAAUUGGGAGGUUCAUCUCUGAAUCCGUUGCUUCGAUGCCAAAGUUGUCUCCAGCUGCUUUUGAUAAGCUUUUCAACGACA